UAAACCGAGAGAGCAUUUGAACCGUUACCGGAACAAUUUUGGUUCUUUCUUACCGAUUGAUAUGGGAGAAGAAGAUGAUUUCUUGGCGCCAUUGUUACUUUCCAAGUUUUUUUUUUGGGGGGGAGAAAUGGAGGGAAAUGAGAGGUUUUAUAUUAAAAAAAAAAAAGCGUGCAAUAUACAUACAUUUUAUGGGUAUAUACUUUCUCAACCUACAAAGGUAACAUAUCCCUCACAAUGUACUUGAGUAAUUUAUGUUCAACAAUAUGUGAUGAUUUCUAUUUUAUAGAGCCAAUUUAGUUUUUAUUGAUUGUUUAGUAGUACACAGCUACUUUAUAGGGUGAUUUUGGUAUUUUCAAUGGCCUAUAUACGAACAGUUCUCUUGCCUAAAUUUUUGAAGUGUUGUUUCUUCACGGUCUGGGUUGACCUUUCAUUUCUUGGUUUAAGCUGCCAUUCUUAUUGCAGACUAAGCUACAGUUUCUAGAGUUUCUAAAGGAGUUUCACAAAGAAGAUUGAUAAUAAAGAGAUGAACAACACAAUUGUUGAUUUUGAUCCAUCCUUCAACCUGUGGUUUCGGUUUCUGUCACACUGUGGAUGGAACUAGGUUGCUUGUAUGCGUUAGAUCCUCUAAAAGUAAUGUAUUUUUAUGGAGGAUUGCCCAACAACAUUUUUUAGAGUAAUACGACCCACGUCUUCAUAUACAUUGUUAUCACUAAACCAUACUAGGUAAUCAAUAAACAUGCUCAGUUUAGUUAUGAAACUUAGAUUUCAAUAUCUACGAGGAUAUGGCGCUAACCCCAAGUGUCUCNNNNNNNNNNNNNNNNNNNNNNNNNNNNNNNNNNNNNNNNNNNNNNNNNNNNNNNNNNNNNNNNNNNNNNNNNNNNNNNNNNNNNNNNNNNNNNNNNNNNNNNNNNNNNNNNNNNNNNNNNNNNNNNNNNNNNNNNNNNNNNNNNNNNNNNNNNNNNNNNNNNNNNNNNNNNNNNNNNNNNNNNNNNNNNNNNNNNNNNNNNNNNNNNNNNNNNNNNNNNNNNNNNNNNNNNNNNNNNNNNNNNNNNNNNNNNNNNNNNNNNNNNNNNNNNNNNNNNNNNNNNNNNNNNNNNNNNNNNNNNNNNNNNNNNNNNNNNNNNNNNNNNNNNNNNNNNNNNNNNNNNNNNNNNNNNNNNNNNNNNNNNNNNNNNNNNNNNNNNNNNNNNNNNNNNNNNNNNNNNNNNNNNNNNNNNNNNNNNNNNNNNNNNNNNNNNNNNNNNNNNNNNNNNNNNNNNNNNNNNNNNNNNNNNNNNNNNNNNNNNNNNNNNNNNNNNNNNNNNNNNNNNNNNNNNNNNNNNNNNNNNNNNNNNNNNNNNNNNNNNNNNNNNNNNNNNNNNNNNNNNNNNNNNNNNNNNNNNNNNNNNNNNNNNNNNNNNNNNNNNNNNNNNNNNNNNNNNNNNNNNNNNNNNNNNNNNNNNNNNNNNNNNNNNNNNNNNNNNNNNNNNNNNNNNNNNNNNNNNNNNNNNNNNNNNNNNNNNNNNNNNNNNNNNNNNNNNNNNNNNNNNNNNNNNNNNNNNNNNNNNNNNNNNNNNNNNNNNNNNNNNNNNNNNNNNNNNNNNNNNNNNNNNNNNNNNNNNNNNNNNNNNNNNNNNNNNNNNNNNNNNNNNNNNNNNNNNNNNNNNNNNNNNNNNNNNNNNNNNNNNNNNNNNNNNNNNNNNNNNNNNNNNNNNNNNNNNNNNNNNNNNNNNNNNNNNNNNNNNNNNNNNNNNNNNNNNNNNNNNNNNNNNNNNNNNNNNNNNNNNNNNNNNNNNNNNNNNNNNNNNNNNNNNNNNNNNNNNNNNUUUGAUAUGUGUUAUCGCGUCAGAUAUAGUAAUCCUGUUACUCUGAGAAAAGAUAUGUUAGAAUUGGGUGAAAUUUUCGAAUUAGAUCAACUACUUUGAAAUUCGAUUGGUGUUUUCCGUAACAGUUCGAGGGGUUGAUUUACUUUUGGACAUGCUUCGUUGUUCAGAGAUGUUUUUGCUUGUAUUGAACCAAUAGUAAGCUUUAUGAUGUACACUCUAGCGUCCUUAGAUUUCAGUUGUUGGAUUACACUAAAUUUAUUGUUGUUAUUGUAUUAUAGUCGAAUCUCUCGAUAACGAUGUGUUUAACUGCUAUAUUGAAAUGUUGUUAUAGAAAACAUAUAGAAUAACAUAAAUUGGCAAUCUAUUCUAGAUAAAAUUUGAUCGUUAUAGUGAAAUGUUAUUAUCAGAGAUAAUUAUUAUAAAUUCUUCCCAUCUGUUUUAGCAGUCCGCUAAAGAGAGUAGAGAAUUAACGAUGAUCAAUAGAUAAACAUUAAAUAGUUAUUAUGAUUAUUAAUGUAUUAUUUAGUGCAAUAAAAAGACCUCAAUUCUCUUGGCGGGCCUGAUUGAACAAGUCCGACGAUUAAAGGGACUUCUUUGUAUUUAAAACAGCGUGGAGGCGACAAGUAUCCCAUGAAAUUAGUCGAGGUGUACACAAGCUGCUCAGACAUCACAAUUAUCAAAAAACAAUUGUUAUAAAGCGGUCUGAUUGAUUAGCUAAGUUAACAAGCAAUCUCUAGUACAGCUUGCUAGCUGUGGAAACUGAGUUUUGAACCCCAUGGCUCAUAGUUGUGCUAAGGCAAUUUCGACACUAUAUAAGACAACAAAUGAUUGUUAAGGAUCUAAUAGAACCACAUGCACAGGUCGAAACUCGAUGGACGAUCAGCAUGCCCCUUUACCCUUCUCCACAUAAAUACCAAGCUUUCAUCUGCAGCAGGGUUCGGUUCAGAAGCCCGGUGUCGGAAAGACACUCCUUUCAACAAAUACAAUAAACCACAUUUUGUAUUGUGUGCAUUGACACAACCUAAAAGAUCAAUACUGGGAAAAGUACAAUGCCAGAAAAAUCGAAAAUAGGCAAGCCAUUAGGAGAUAGUUUACUUCAAAUGCUCGAAAAAGGAUCAUAACUCUAGCAAUGCAAAACUUCUGGAGUCCGCUCGUGUUUGAUGAUGACUCAUCACUCCUUCCACAUAUCUGCAAAUUCGUCAACCUCGAGAGGAUUAGACAACUGAUGCAUUUUUCUCCUGGUCUUGGCUUUGACUUUCUUCGCGUAUUUUCCAGCCUUCUGUUUUUUCUCUAGUGAUCGGAUCUGGAGAAACGUGAAAACAUAAACCUUUAGUAACUUAAGAAGUCAGUUCCUUCCACGAUACAAAACGAACAAAUCAAUCAUAUGUUCUUUGCUCAUAGGAAGAGCAGGCAGCAGGCGAGGAGAAGAACAAGGAGCAAGGGAUGAAGCUUACCUGAUUUGGUGCAACGUAAAAUGGGUUCUCAUAAAGUGUGGGGCCACCAAAGCUACCGGCAAAAAUCUUAAUUGGGUUCAAACAAAACCUUGGACCAACCUACAUACAUAAACACAUAACUUCAAUACCAAACGUGAGGGUUUCUCUCGGACUACACAUAGUUUGAUUACAAACCUCAACAAGUGUCAUCUUUUCCAGGUCCCCGCGGUCUAUUUUCUGUGCUGUUCCAGUGUGAGGACAUGAUAUCUGCUCCACCAAGUCGAGAAGUGAAUUGACAAAAGGCUACAAAUAGAUACUUGGAAUGGAAUUUCAGAAGCCUUUUUUACUACAAAUGAAAAAAAAGAAAUAACAGAAGGCUUUGAGGUGAAUGAUACUCCUAUUAGUCACCCUUUUCCCCUUAUAGCUAAAGAAACCAAAUCCGGUAAGCCAGUCAAUACUUGGCAUGCAAUUUCCACCCUAUCAAACAGAGCCACUAAAAUUUUAUUGGAGGUUGAGAGAACUAUGGACUACCUCUUCCACUAAAAUCUUUAGAUACUAUGUAUGUAUUUCGUGAAAGAGAGGAAAUGGGCAAGGAUUUCACGAUAGUCGGGACUCGAAAGGAUGAGAAUAGAACAGCCUAUAGCCAACCCUUACAAAUUUCCUUCCGGGGGACAAAAAGGAACUACUUAAAGCACAUUUUACUAUCGGCAAGAUAUGGAACAUACAAAGAACUACUUUUUUCAAGAGAGCGCAGUAUUUACAAUGCAGGAAGUUUACUAUGAUAUGAGUAGCAAUGAACCUGGUAAUUACGGAACCACACGUGGUCAUCUAGAAUUGAGAACACAAAUACAUGAUCAUAGAAAGGUUUAGAUUUCCGGUGAUCCUUUGGGGUUCCAAAAAUCUGAAGAAACAAAAGAAAAAGUACAUGUUAGAAUUUCAUCAAAGAUGGUUAAUAAUCACGUCACGAGAAAGCUAAAAACUUAAAGAGGGAUUUACAUAAUGGAUAAUAAAUGCAACUCAAACAAAUAACCCAAUAGCAUUUGAACCUUCAACCUCUAAAGAAAUCACAUUCAACAAUUUAAAUUUUAUAAAAAAGCUCUACCUGCCACUUAAUUUGACCAGCAGGAUUACAAUGAAGAGUCAUUGCAAGUAACAACCUUCAAUAAAGGAAAAGGAGUGGAAACCGAAGGAGUGAUUCUAUAUGACUAAAAAAACCAAAGUUUUGCAAUAAAAAUGGCAACUUCAGUAGACAAAACAACUAUCAAAUAAAACGCUUUCUGCUUCAGCCUCCUUCAAGGAGAAAAUCACUUAAAGAUCGGCUAAACAUAACAUGCGAAAACUGAAAAUGUAGAGCAUAAAAAACCAACUGUCUACAUUUAGUUACGGGGAAUUAUUACAAAGACUAAUGCUUGGAACGAAGUCAAAUUACCUGCAUGAACAUUUCUUUCAAAAGCUUCCAGUGAGGCUGCUUAUCAAAACUGCUUGAGAAAGUCAAAAUAGGACGUGAACCCUUCAAGUGAUUUCCAGUGAGUUUUAAUUCUUCCAUCGUGUGCACUUCAACACAAAAGGGAAAAGUAGAAUAAGUUGGACCUUUCCUCAUUCAAGAGAAUAUCAUAAGUGAGGGAAAAUAUUUAUUUUCAGUUGGCAUACAAUUUCAAUCGCAUUCCAAUUAUACAUGAACAGAAAUCAGAACAUGAUUGAUAAAAAGCAUCUACUAGAUUACCUGCAUUGACUAAGAACUUCACAGAUGGACCAUUGGGGCAUUUGGCCAUCCACAUAUAGAGGUCCUUUCCCUUCCGGCACUGAAAAUAAGAAAAUGACAAAAAAAAUAAAAAAAAAUUGAAGUGAUGAAACCAUAACUUCUACAUGCAUAAAAAACAACAAUAUAGUUCAGCAGAAUAUCUAUUCACUAUCGCCAAAACAGAUACAGAGGGAACUCCACAAAUCACAGUAUAGUCUCUAGAAUAAUAAGUUCUCAAGCCUCUUUUUGCCAAAAUCCAAAAUGGUAUACUAAUAGUUUCUCCGUAACAACUCAAACAGCCUCUAGUGCCAUGAGCUAAUUUCAGAGGGUUGUCCUCCUCCAAUCUAAGCUCAAUUGAAAGGCGUCUAAAAGAACUGAGUUACAAUAAGAAGAUAUGUUUUCCUUGCUGCACCAGGUGGCUGUGAAUUUAUGAUGCUACGCUAGACUUACUGAGUAAUUUUCAUAGCACUAAUAUUAGAAAAAUUUUCUCAUAAACUUCGAGAUUUAUGAUGCUUUUCCAGAACAUUAAUUAAAUAGAUUGCUAAAAUAAUUUGAGUUCCUCCUUCUGACAAGUGAAGGAGCAAAAUAGGAAAGAGACCACAGAGAUCACAUCUACUAGGGUACAAAAUGUGAAUUAACAAAGUAUAUCAUCCUCUAAACAUGACUAUCAUAGGAGUUUGUAGAGAACUCGGAACAAAGGAUGCACAAACAAGUUUAAAAAUUCGGUAUCAUCUUCUUAUUUCUAUGACAAGGGAACCCAACAGCUACCCUUGUUGAGUGCGCACAGGGUAAACCUCACUUAAGUGUAAUAGCCAGCAAAUCACACAAGAGAGGUAUGGUACGAGCUCGACUGAAAGCAUGCGUGGUUUCGAACCUGAGGCCCCCCAUUUGGGAGAUCCCUUGCUCAGACAACUCGGCCACCCUGGUGGGUUAUUCGUCUUCAAGGUUUAGUAGUACAACCCAGUCCCUCCACCCAUGCAGGAUGCACACAGCAAGAACAAAGCAAUUCAAUUGGAAAACCUUUAUCACAUACAUGUACAACAUGGUUUCAAACAAGUCAAUCUUACACAGCUUUGAAUAAAGUCAGUAACUUCUAGCUUCAAAACAGAAAUUAAGGAUUCAAUGUUUGAAUUAAUUCCAUUAAUUAGAAAAGUUGUUCCUAAUAUGUCAAGCAUGCGAUACAUUUUAGUAAUUUCAGAGUAAUACAUCAAGCUCAAUGAGCACCAAAAUAGAAUUUUCGAAAGCAAACUGGAAAAUAAAAAUAAAACAAGGUACCUCAAAGAACAAGCAAGACGAACAACUCUUCAACUCAACUAGCUCAUUCAACGUUGCACCUUUAGAAUCUUUAGACUCCACCUUGUUAUCCUUCUUACAGUGUGGCAGAAGCGACACCAAAUUCAACAUUAAAUGUCGAUACCUAAAAUACACCAAAGUCAACAAAAACCAAUCAAAAAAAUCAACCCUUCUUCAUUUACAACAAUCCUUUUGACUAAACGAAAAAUAAACAACAAAUCAACAAAACACAAACUAAAGUUAAAUCAAUGGUUUCAUCAUUUUACAGCAACCAUUUUGACCCCAAAAAAAGCCUACAUCAAAUCAAGAAAACCCAAACAACAAGGGUCUGUGGAUAGUAGAAUGUAUGUAAGCAGUACCACUACCCAAGAGGUAAAGAAGCUGUUUCAGAUAGACCCUCAGCUCAAGGAAUAACAGUCCAAAGCAACAUAUAUAGAGAACGAAAUAACUGAAAUAAAGAAAGUCAUGGCAAAAUACUAUAGACAACCUGACCAAUUCAUCCUACGAUUAAUAGUUCAGAAGAAUCAACUAUCUAACUACCCUCCUACCUAAAUCAGUGCCCCCCCGUAACCUCCUAUCUAAGGUCAUGACCUCAGUAAGAUGAAGCUGCAUUGAUUAAAUCUAUAAAACCUGACCAAAUCACCCUACGACUAAUAGUUCAGAAGAAUCAACUAUCUAACUACACUCCUAUCCAAAUCGGUGUCCCCCAUAACCUCCUAUCUAAAGUCACGUCCUCAGUAUGCUGAAACCUUUUUAUCAUUUACAGCAACCCUUUAGAUUAAAAAGCAAAACUAACAAAAAUGCACCAAAUAAACAAAACCCAACAACACAAAAAUCAAUCUCUUUCAUCAUAUACAGCAACCCGUUUAACUAAAAAAGCAAAAUGACACACCAUAUUAACACAACCCCCCACCCCCCAAAAAAAAACAAUCUUUUUAUCAUUUACAGCCACCCUUAAGACUACAAAGCAAGAAAAUCAACAAAAAUACACCAAAUCAACAAUACCCCAACAAAAAUAUCAAUCCUUUUUAUAAUUUACAGCAACCCUUUUAACUAAAAAUCUAAAUAAUACACCAAAAUCAACAAACCCAACAAAACAAAAAAUCAAUAUUUUUUAUCAUAUACAGCAACCCUUUUGAUUAAAAAGCAAAAUCAACAAAAAUACACCAAACAAACAAAACCCAAGAACACAAAAAAUCAAUCUUUUUAAUCAUAUACAGCAAACCUUUGAGCUAAAAAAGAACAAGAACACCGAACACUAAGUAACCUGUAGCUAAUACGACGAGAACAGGUAACAAGAACUUUUUCUUUAUUCCGAAAAGUAGCAAUUGAACUUUCUUUUUGUUGUUGUUCAGUAGUAGUAGAAGAGCCAUCUUUGAAGCCUAAAAGAGUUCUUUUAGGUCUUUCUACUGCAGUUUCUUCUUUGUUUUCAUUGGCAGCAGCACCAGUUUCACUGUGUUUUCUCUUCUUUCCCAUUGUAAACUUUUUCAAGAAUUUUUGCUUACAGAAGAGAAAGACAGCGGCAGGGGUUUAAGAAAAGCAAAAAUACUAGGAUGUUGUUUUGUGUUUUGUAAGGAUUUUAAUUGGGCUUUCUUGUUGGGCUUGCUAAGAUAAUGACCUGAUGUAUACAACAACAACAAAUACAGUAUAUGAAGUACACAGCUUGUUUUCGAUACAUCCUCGCUCAAUAUAAUAAAUAAUAAACAAAAAAAAGAAUUAAUAAAAUAGAAGUAACAGAAAUAUGAAAUACCAGAAAUAAGGGCAUAUGAAAUAAGAAAAUAUGAACGAAGAAAUAGGAAAUAGGACACCCAUCUAAUAGUAACAUACACUUACAAACCAAAGAUACCUAUGUACACGGUCCUAGGAUUACUAACCCGGCUACACAAAAUCUCUCACACUCAUACUAGCCUUCUAUCCUUAUUCACGACCUCCACAUCUUCCUAUUUAGGGUCAUAUCCUUGGUAAGCUGCAGCUGUUCCAUGUCAUGUCUAAUCACCUCCCUUCGAUAUUUCUUCGGCCUACCUCUACUCUUCUUAAAGUCAUCCAACGAUAGCCUCUCACACCUAGGAACUGGGGUAUCCGUGUCCCAUGAGCCGCUAUAUAGUAGUGUUAUAAGUACUAAAAAUUACACAAAUACACAACUUAUGUUUCCAAUAUUACAAAAAAUCCCAACUCCCUAAACAUAUUACAAAAAUCUCAAAAUAUACACAGAAUGCUAUGUAUAUGUCGGCUAUGUUAUGUAUAUUAAUAGAGAGAAAAAGUAAAGUAAUUUAAAAAGCGGGAGAGAGUAUAAUUACUUCCAAAAGGGUUGGUAUUUAUGUUAUUUAUACGGAAAACAAUAUAAAUCUCAUUUUGAAACUCAAUUACGGAAAAUUUUGAUAUUUUAUAUAAUUAUUAAAAUUUUAAUUUUAGGUCUAUUGAAAUAUACAAUUCGCUCAUGAUACAUCCAACAAAAUAUUUUUUUUCUUUAUAAAAAUACAUAAUUAGUUUCUGAUAUAUUUUUUUUGAUUCUGGGUCUGUCGAGAUACAUAAUACGUCCAACGAAAAUAUAUCUUUUCUCUGUAAAGAUACAUAAUUAGCUCUCAAUAAUUUUUUUUCAAAUUUGGGUCGGUCAACUCAAGAUACAUACUUAGCUCCAGAUACAUCCAACCAAGAUAAAUAAUUAGUUGAAUUAUAAGGAUGAAAAUUUGUGUAAAUAUGAUAAGUUAAGAUGUAUCUUUAUGUUAUUUUUCCUAAAAUAUAAAAGGAUCUAGAGUCCACCAAAAGGAUUGUGAUUACUUGAUAAGUAUUUGUUCAUUCUUAAAGUUUGAGAUAUGUUGGGUAUAAAUCAUCACCCUCAUUAGGAAUGCGCUUUACUUCUAGUAUGGAAUUUUCCAAUGAGAAUUUAAAUUUAAAGGGAUCUAAUACAAAUACGAACACUGAGUGAAAAAGAAAAAGGACCCACAGUUCACCAACUUAUGGUAUGAUCUAUGAAGAAGAUCUAUAUGUUUAAAAAUCAGUGUUUUUACUGGAUUUAAUUUAAUGUUUUGGGAAUUUCUCGAUAUUAGAAAGGUACUAAAUAAAUUUUGUUAAAAAGUAUAAAUUAUUCAAUUUUUUUCAUUAUAUGAUAAACUUUUCACUUAUAUUAUUAAAGAAAAUUAUAUCCAUGUUUUUUUCUAAUGAUUAAAAUAUAUUAAAUGUCAUUUACUUUUCUGAAAGUGGAACUUUCAAAAAUUCUAAAAAUACUUGAUGAUUAAACAUAAAAUUAGAAAAACUAUCAAUAUUUAUUGAGUUUAGAAAAAAUAAAUCAACAUCACUGAAUAUAAUAUUUUUAUUUAACUCUUUCAUAAAAAAAAAAGGAAUGUCAUAUAAUUAAAAAAUAUAAAAUUUUAUAUGUGUAUGUAAUAUGGCAUAGCCACGUGAUUUUUUUUUAUCUAGGUGACAUGCUUGGUGGAAUUUCAUUAAGGAAAGGAUAUUUUUGAGCCAAAUAUUUAACAGAGGAGUAUUUUUUUAGCAAAAAAACUAAUGAAGGAUAUUUUUAAUUCAUUUCAGAUAGUUCAGGGGUAUUUUUGAUUUCCUUUAGAGGGAGGAGUAUUUUUGAGCCAAAUAUUUAACGGAGAGAUAUUUUUGAGUCAAAAAUACAACGAAGUAUAUUUUUGAGCUAUUUCAGGAUAUUUUUGAGCAUUUUUUGAAAAAAAUAUAUAUACAUAAUUAACUUUUGAUACAUUAUUUUUUAAUUUUAAAUUUAUCGAGAUAUAUAAUUAACUCCCUAUACAUUCAAUACAACUACAUAAUUAGAUGUUAUUUUUUUAUAUAAUGAGCAAAAAAGUCAUUAUCUUUUUUCUGGUGUCACUAGGUUUUAGAACUUUUGGCUUUUCUCUUUCUCUGCCUCCAGCUGCUACCACUCACCAGGUUUUGUUCUCUCUCUCUCUUUCUAGUUAAGUUUUGUUUUUCCACUCUAUUGUGAAUUUCAAUUUACAUUGUUUAAAGGACUAUGAGAGGUGGCAUGUAUCUCGUGGAAUUAGUUUAGGUGUGCGCAAGCAGCACAGUUAUUAAAAGAAGAAGAAAGGAAAAAAAAAACUAAAUAAACUUGGGCUGAUACCAGUGCAUGUUGUGUAUGUACAAAUUAGAAUUCCCUGCAUUUCUCUGAAUAAUUGAGUAUGUGUUCCUAGUGAUCAUGUGCCUAUAUGUGUUUGUGUAUGUGUAAGUCUAGUUUCUGGGAACAUAGUGUUGGAUGUAGGCUCUAGGGUAUAGGUUUGGUAGAAUUCAGUAGCUUUGGUCUAAACCCGAUAUAUAUGAUGUAUGCUAAGAAAUUCAUUAAAUGUGUCCGAAAAUUAAAUUCAGGACUUGAAGUUGUUGUUAUACAAUGUAGAACUCAUAAAGUUCAAAUCUUGAAUCUGCCUCCGUUGAGUACGCUUUUAAGGUAUGGGUUUGGAAAAAUCCAGUAGCUUUGUCGAAACCAGGUAUUUAUACUAAGAAAUUCAAUAGAUGUGUAUAAAAAGUUUGAUUCAGAACUUGAGGUCGUUGUUCUACUAGGCAGAGCUUAUAAAGUUUAAAUCUUGGAUAUGCCCUCUGCUGAGGCAUAGUGUUGGAUGUAGGCUUUUAAGGUAUAGGUUUGGCAGAAUCCAGUAGCUUUGUCGAAACCGGGUAUUUAUGCUAAGAAAUUCAAUAGAUGUGUACAAAAAAUUAGAUUCAGAACUUGAGGUCGUUGUUCUGCUAGGCAGAGUUUAUAAAGUUUAAAUCUUGGAUAUGUCUCCGGUGGGGCAUAUUGUUGGAUGUUGGCUUUUAACAUAUCGGUGCUUUGGUGAAAACGGGGUUUAUAUGCUAUGAAAUUUACUAUAUGUGCACAAAAGGUAAAUUCAUAACUUGAGGUUGUUGUUGUAUGAUUCAGAACUCGUGAAGUUUUAAUCUUGAAUCUGUCUCUGCUGAGGCAAUAGUGUUGGAUGAAUGGUUUUACAAUAUCGGUUUGGCAGAAUUCAGUAGUUUUGGUCUAAACCCGAUAUAUUAACUUGAGGAGGUUGUUGUACAAUGCAGAACUCAUAAAGUUUAAAUCUUGAAUCCGUCUCUGCUGAGGCAAUAGUGUUGGAUGAAGGGUUUUACGAUAUCGUUUUGGCAGAAUUCAGUACCUUUGGUCUAAACCCGAUAUAUAUGAUAUAUGCUAAAAAAACUCAUUAAAUGUGUACGGAAAAUAAAAUUCAGGACUUGAGGUUGUUGUUCGACAAUGUAGAACUCAUAAAGUUCAAAUCUUGAAUCUGCCUCUGUUGAUUACGCUUUUAAGGUAUUGGUUUGGUAGAAUCUAGAAGCUUUGGUCCAAACCCGAUAUAUAUGCUAAGAAAUUCACUAAAUGUGUACAAAAAUUAGAUUCAGAACUUGAGGUCGUUGUUCUACUAGGCCGAGCUUAUAAAGUUUAAAUCUUGGAUAUGCCUCCGCUGAGGUAUAUUGUUGGAUGAAAUGCUUAGGUACUGUGGCAUGAAAGUCGAAGUGUCGAUCCAAGAAUAGUAGAACAAACCAAAAGCAAAGGAGCAAAUUCAUUUUGGACUAGAAAAUAGCUUUGUUAUAAUGCUGGUAUAUCUUGCUUGUUCUUUGAGGUUAUUGGAAAGAGGUUUCCAAACAUGUUUUUGUGCAUGUUUACUCAUAAAGUUCAAAUCGUGUCUGGCUCUACUGAGGUAUAGUGUUGGAUUUAAUGUUUAGGUACCAUGACAUUAAAGUCGAACCAAGAAUAACAAUACAAACCAACAGCAAAUGAGGAAGACUUAUUUUGGAUUAGAAAACAGCUUUGCUGUAAUGCUGGUGUGUUUUCUUGUAUAUGGUUAUAGGAAUGAAGUUUCCAUACAUGUUUCUGUGCUUGUUUGGAUAUAAGGUCCGCGUGUUUUGGAAUGAAAAACAACAAUCGACUAUGCUGUCCAUUAGCACUCAAGUAGCUUUAUUUGUCUUUGCGAACUAAACCUAAGUGGUGAAGGGCAAAGGGAUGUGCCCAUUAUCUUGAGUUCCGAAGGUUUAUGGUUGGUCCUAAGGGUUGGCAUUAUACAGUUUUCGCAGUCAUAAAAAAUCGGCAUGAGAUGAGUUUAAACGGAGUAACAUAGUCGGUGAGGAUUCAUAUAGUCGACCUCUAGCUUGUUUGGGACUGAGGCAUAGUUGUUAUUGUUGUUGUAUCAACACUUGAGUAGCUCCUAGAGCCAUCGCCAACCUACCCUACUAAAUCGUUGAGUACCAUCUCUAUACUGAAGAUUCUUUACAAGUUUAAACUUGUCUGUGAUAUAUAUUUGGAAAACUAAAACUUCAAUUUUUUUGUUAGUUGUCUAUACCAAAAACAAGCUAAUGGGCGACAAGAAGAAGGCUGGCGCUCUAUUCGUGAGGCUUGUUUCAGCUGCUGGAACUGGAUUUUUCUAUGUGAAGAAGAAGACUAAAAAGUUUCAAACGACUCAGACGAAGCUUGAAUUUAGAAAGUUUGAUCCUCGUGCGAAUCGUCAUGUUCUAUUCAAGGAAGAAAAGAUGAAGUGAUCCAAAAGCCAAAUCCUCUUGAACUACUAGAUAUGUUGAAUUAGACAAUAGAACCUUUUUGCCCACUUGUGCUACAACAAUAAAUGUUGGUUUGUUUAGAUCUAUGCAUGCAAUUCUCUGUAUUUGUUCGUGAUCAUGUGGAAUGAAGUGUAGUUUGCUCAUGAAGUUGAUGCAUUUUUGGUGGUAUUACGACAUGCAAUUCUCUGUAUUCGUUCGUGAUCAUGUUGAAUGAAGCUAGUUAAACAAGAAAAGGUAGUUUGCUCAUCAAGUUGAUGCAUUUUUGGUGGUAUUACGACAUGCAAUUCUCUGUAUUCGUUCGUAAUCAUGUUGAAUGAAGCUAGUUAAACAAGAAGUUGAUGCAUUUUUGGUGGUAUUACGACGUGCAAUUCUCUGUAUUCGUUUGUGAUCAUGUUGAAUGAAGCUAGUUGAACAAGAAAAGAUAGUUUGCUCAUGAAGUUGAUACUUUUUUGGUGGCAUUAAGACAUUUGAUAUGUCAAUUGAACCUUAAUUAGCAUUUGCAAAGAAACCAACCAUCAAAAUUUGCUCAUGAAGUUGAUACUUUUUUGGUGGCAUUAAGACAUUUGAUAUGUCAAUUGAACCUUAAUUAGCAUUUGCAAAGAAACCAACCAUCAAAAUUUACAUAUGCCAAGAGACCCUCCGCCCAAGUGCAACAAAUUUAAGUGCAAAAAAAGCUGCCCAAGUGCAACAAAUUUAAGUGCAAAAAAAGAAAUCUCAGAGAACCGUGGGCUAACAUCCACCGAUUUGGUUCGAAAACUGUCCGCUCAAGCCGUUUCGCUUGUUUGACCACUCAAAUGGUCCUGCCGACCCCGCAGACCUCCCACGAUGGAUCCGUUUGACCACUCAAAUGGUCCUGCCGACCCCGCAGACCUCCCACGAUGGAUCCAUAGCCCGCCUAGGGGCUGCCGAUCAAUUUUUGACCCAAAACACGCUCCAAGAAUCAUGAGCUAACACCCACCGAUUUGACCCGAAAACAGUCCGUUCGCGUCGUUUCACCUGUUUGACCACCCAAAUGACCCCACCGACCUCACCGGACUACCCAGGGUGGAUCCACGACCUGCCUAGGGGCCGUCGGUUGAUUUUCGGCUCAAAACACGUCUGGACCCCGAGCCCAGCAUUGCAAUUAGUAAGUAAAACAAUGCAGAACCUACACACGAAAGACGCAAUGACAACAAAUAAUAAGGUAAUCGAAAUACAAUAAACAACAUAUGAUGAUAGGGUAAUAAAGCUAGAAAUAAAUCAAAGAGUUGUAAUUGACAGCAAAAUUAACCAGUUUCAUAUAUACAUGAGCAAAAUAUGAUCGUCCCUUCCUUUACAUGCAGACUAACUUACAAACAUCUCAACUAGUUUACAAUUUGCCCGUCAAAACUCCAAGGUAAAAAGAUCCACCCAAAAAGGCAAAAGUAAAGAAAAUAAACUUUUUUUUUUUUGCAAAAUUUUCCGAACAACUCCACCUGCCAAGCAGUUGCAAACUAACAAAAUCUUCAUCUUUUGAAAAAGAAAACUAAUCGACUGUACUUGGCGAAUGUCCAGGGGUAAGCUGUUAAGAUAGAAUUGGUGUCGGUAGCAGUUCUUGCUUAGCAGCCAAUUGGUGACAUAGUUUAAAGACUGAAUCCAUUCAAGGAAUCCUUCGUCAGUGGAAUGACUGAACUUUUCGACCUUGGUUUCAUAUGAGCAAAAAUCAGAAAGAUUGAGAUAUAGAACCAUCUGAUUAAGUUCGUUCUCAAUAGCCACGAGAUGAUCAGAGCGGCUGGAGACACCAUCUCUAAUUAUACAGAUAUCUGGAAGAUGCAUAUCUUUUACCAUCUGGAAUGUGAUUCUCCAUAGGUUCUCCAAUUAUCUUGCCGAUAGUGCCUACUACUACUUUUACCAUAUGAAUUGCAAAAGUCAGAUUGUCUUCUAGACCAGUAGGUCCUCUCAAAUGGAGAAGAGUAAGAAUGAGAAGCUCUGCAAGAACUGCUGCUUCUUGGGCUUUCCCUUUGAACAUCUCUCAUUUCCUCUUCUAGAUCAUGUUUUGCACGCUACAACGCAGAAAUAAUACACAAGUCAGUAACUUCACACACAUGCAUCUUUCCUAAAUGGCAAAGUCAAGCAUAUUCUUUUAAACUUUCUUUAUUCUUCAACACCGGAAAAGUACAAGUAGUGUCAGACAAAAGGAGGAGGGACUAUCAGAAGAGUAACAAUGACCAAAAAGGAUCUUGCACAAGAAAGAGACAGUACGAUGGAAAUAAAGGGAACUGGAAUUGUACACCAAUGAGAUGAAGUUUUCGGAAGAAUGAUGCCCGGGAUGUACUUAUAACCAAUCAUCUCUAAAAUAAGCUGUAACACAAUAACUAAAAUUGACUUGGCAUUGCCAUGGUGCUACCGUGAAUGCAUGAGAUAUAAUUGAAUUUACGCACAUGAAUGCUUGUCCAGCUUGACCAGACCGCUAAUAUAGACAAGCAUGUCCUCAACUUGACCAUAUGGUAGCACAUGGUGCUGAACAGCAAUUUGAUGAUGAAAAGAUGCAAAAAAGUUGAUAGUUGACUUGGUAGGUCAAUUGACAUAAAAAAAUUGAUAAGCUAGCUAUCACAAAACGUUCACCAUAAAAAAGUGGACCACUAACUUUACAAUUCAGCUGACUCGGACCAAUGAUAUCAAACCUAGACAAAUUGAUGGUGCAUGAAGCAUGUAAGGCAAACACACAGCUGGAGCUAAGAUCCAGCACAAGAUUUUUACUAGUAGAUGAAAGCUUCUCUCUGCCAAGACCGUACAGGCUCUAAUACCAUAUGAAACAAGAGGGAAAUUUCUUAGCGAAUACGUUAAGAGCAUAUUUUACAGACUUCUCUUAGGAGCUUUGGCAAUGCAGUAAGUUUCCUGAACAGUUGGUGAUCCUGGUGAAUAUUUUAAGAACAUUUUUAUAUAUUCUCUUGUUUUUUUACGACAUAAAUCAUAAUCAAGAAUAUUCUACCAGAUGUUAAAAGUCUAAAUCCGCAUGGCGUACACAUGGCCGGCAAAACAUAUUAAGAUGCCAGAUUGCUGGAGAAGCAUAUGAUCAAAUUGUUUGAAUAGCAAGAAAGAAUAUUAAUCAUGCGUUAAUUUACCUUGUCGGUAUCUGAGAGAACAGCAUAUGCCUCCCCAAUCAACUUGAAUAGCCUAUCAGCAUCAUUGCGAACAGUCUCAGAGAUCUCUUUCCACAACCCACCAUCAUCCACAGUAUCACUUCUUGCAAAACUUUGACCCGCCUGCAUAAACAAUAUAAUGAGUACACUACCAACUACUAAUUCAACCUCUGAACUCCAAAAAGCUAGAGACUUGAACCUUGUCAGGAUGAUGUCUGAGGGCUGCUUUCCUAUAUGCCUUCUUGAUGUCAGAUUCUGUAUCAGAUGACUUGAUUGCCCUGCCAAAGAGAAUUUAAGAUCAAUAAAUAUAUCAAAUGCAUAAGAGACUAUUUCACAGAUGUUCAGGGAACAAAGGUUACAAGAUGUAUACACUAGCUCUAGCUAACCACAACACUGGAGUAUCAUCUACCAGCUGCAAGAUCUUCAGGUCAGAAACAAUGACCAUGUGAAUUUGAUAGAUCUCAACGUAGAACAACCAGUUUCUCAACUUGUAAUAGUCAAUUGUUAACAUAGGAAACUUCUUCAUAGAAAGUGAGGCAAUAUUACAUCAAAGCAAAGCAUGCAUUCUCAGAAACUAGAUACAAAGACGCAGUAGCCAGUAGCUAUUUUCUCUAUGGUACAAAGUUCUGUAUCUUAUACAUAAAAUAACAUCUUUGGGACCAUCACAAAAAUGUUUAUCAGUACGGACUUUCCUCUGGACACCACUCUAUGGGAUUGGAUUAAUACAAUAGCGGAGAUAACACUAUUAUAAUGAAUCAUGCAAGAUUACACUUUUAAAUAUUGGCCACAAUUAAACUUGAAAUAGUUUUUUUAUUUUAAAAGAAGGGAAAAGAAUAUACGAGAUAGAGGAAGUACAUUGUAAGAGUUAAAAGUAUAAGAAACAAGAGAUAAUAUAUGAUUCUAUGAACAAUCAAUUGAAAAUUUUCAUUUGGAAGUGUUAUGCAAUGCAGGGACCGUGAAGAAACAAGGACAUUUGACUUGGAAAGGAUGGAAUGUUAAAUACAGUAACGAAUGACAAGCCUCAUACAGAUUGCAUUCAAUUAAAUUAAUUUCAUCGAAAAUUUUUUCUGUUGAGAUGGUUCGGGCAUGUGAUAAGGAGGUGCAUGGAUGCCCCAGUGCAGAAGUGUGAAAGGUUGGCUAUGGAUGGAUGCAGGCGAGGUAGAGGUAGAGGUAGACCGAAGAAAUAUUGGAGGGAGGUGAUUAGACAUGACAUGGACCAGCUACAACGUACCGAGGACAUGACCCAAGAUAGGAAGGUGUGGAGGAUGCGAAUUAGGGUGGAAGGUUAGUAGAAAGGAGUGUGUCCUUGUUCUGGUAGGUAGGAGUGCUUUGUUUCGAUAUCUGUGCUAGUAAUCAUAGUGUGAUGCUAGUAGUGUCUUGUUUGUGGAGUUUUGGUAAUGUUUGUUGUUUCAGAUAGAUUGAUUGUAGUAUUACUUUUUCUGUUAUUACUUGUUAACACCUAUUGCUCCUACACCGUCUGGAGAUAACACUAUUAUAAUGAAUCAUGCAAGAUUACACUUUUAAAUAUUGGCUACAAUUAAACUUGAAAUAGUUUUUUUAUUUUAAAAGAAGGGAAAAGAUUACUUGUUAACACCUAUUGCUCCUACACCGUCUUUUUCUGAACUGUUGUUUGUCUUGAGCCGGCCUCUCUACCUCAUCUCUACCUCAUCUCUGAGGUUAGUGGUACGGACUGUGUACACUUACCCUCCCCAAGAUCCAGUUUGUUGGAAUAUAGGGUACAGUGUCGUUGAAAAGUUUUUCGGUUUAUCAAAUCAUAUCUGUAAAGAAAAUUCAGUCUUACUAGGAAUGAGAUUUGAACUUAAAUUUUCUGUUGAGAUGGUUCGGGCAUGUGAUAAGGACGUGCAUGGAUGCCCCAUUGCAGAAGUGUGAAAGGUUGGCUAUGGAUGGAUGCAGGCGAGGUAGAGGUAGACCGAAGAAAUAUUGGAGGGAGGUGAUUAGACAUGACAUGGACCAGCUACAACGUACCGAGGACAUGACCCAAGAUAGGAAGGUGUGGAGGAUGCAAAUUAGGGUGGAAGGUUAGUAGAAAGGAGUGUGUCCUUGUUCUGGUAGGUAGGAGUGCUUUGUUUCAAUAUCUGUGCUAGUAAUCAUAGUGUUAUGCUAGUAGUGUCUUGUUUGUGGAGUUUUGGUAAUGUUUGUUGUUUCAGAUAGAUUGAUUGUAGUAUUACUUUUUCUGUUGUUACUUGUUAACACCUAUUGCUCCUACACCGUCUUUUUCUGAACUGUUGUUUGUCUUGAGCCGGCGGUCCAUCGAAAACAGCCUCUCUACCUCAUCUCUGAGGUUAGUGGUACGGACUGUGUACACUUACCCUCCCCAAGAUCCAGUUUGUUGGAAUACAGGGUACAGUGUCGUUGAAAAAUUUUUCGGUUUAUCAAAUCAUAUCUGUAAAGAAAAUUCAGUCUUACUAGGAAUGAGAUUUGAACUUACAAAAUAAGAUAAAAAUCCAAUGGCGUUCCUCUUUUAGCCUUCUCCUGAACUAAUGAAAGCUGCUGACGGGUUUGCUUUGCUUCUUUACCACUGCUUCCAUUAGACUUAUCCCGCGCUUCAGGUUGUCGAGUCCGUUCUUGUGAUUGAGUUUCCUGAAGGGAUAUGAGCCUCUCAAGAUCAUUUGCAGCAUGCCCAUAGUCUCUAAUCAUCUCAUGUAAGGUAGCCCUCCUUGAAACAGCCUGAAAUUCGGAACACCAAGCAGAUUGAUCAAAGUUCACUUUAGACACAAAAUAACUAGGAUGGCUGUGACAGUAUAGAAAGCAUAAUUGAUGUUACAAUCUCAAGGAGCAGCUCUGCGGAAGAACCAAUUCCUAAAAUGGUAUGACGUCCAUCACUUUUAGUAACCCAUAUAAAUCCUGGAGUUUACACCAAAAAGUUUGCAUACACAGACAGUUAUAUUUCAUCGCAUGCACAAUGAUAUCUUUGCCCUUGAAACACCUAGAACUCCUUUUACAACAGAUCUCUGAAGCGUGUUUUCAUUCUCUAAUACUAAUACUUGCUCCUUUGGAGGAGUAUGACUGCUAACUCCAAUCAACAAUGUCUAAUAAGGAGAAGACAUGGAAACAUAGUAAAGGCCUCAGGAUAACUAGCAUUGUUACUCUUCCUGCUGUAUUUGAACGGCUAAACAAAUUGGAACCAUCCAGAUAUAUUAAAUUCCCACUCAUAUCCUUAUGGACACCUUAUUUAAGGUAUAUUUAAAAAGAAAAAGGAACUUAGUUGAGGUUAUUGAAGAUAGUUAGUUGAGGUUAUUGAAGAUAGUUAUGAAUAGAAAACCAAAAAUCUGCUUAAAGCAGCUUGCAAACAAACUUUUGAGUAGUUCUUGUCAAGAGCAAUGGCAUGACUGCAAUCUGCAAUGGCGUCAACAAUUUGACCAAGAGCUUGGUGAGCAGCAGCUCGAUUGCAGAAACAGAUAGCUGCAAAAGGGCGCGAUUCAAUACUGCUGGAUAUAGCAGCAGUAUAAUGUUCAAUAGCUUCCACAUACUUUCCAGACUUAAAUGCCUCGUUUCCGGCUUUCUGUUUUUAGAGAGGAAAACAAUAAAUACUUCAGAAAAGCUAGUAUUAACAGAAUCAAACUGAAAGAACAAGUGGAAUUCUACAACCGAAAGAUGAGGAACUAAUAGUCAGUAACUUUGGUGAACCCCUUACCAGAUAGAAUUCUAAAACAGCAAGUAACAUACCUUAUGAUGCAAAAGUUCACGAAUAGUGGUUGCUAGAGGAGAUAAUGAUUCCUGAUUCAAGUUUGCAGAUCUACAGAAAGGAGGAGCAAAAUACCCAAUAUCAUUCCUGAAAUCAAGAAGAGGAAGAGAGUUGGACAUGCUUCUUAAAAGUUCAGGUUUACCUUUUCCCAACAGAAGCCAUUUGCUCAUGCUUCUCAAUUAAGUCAAGGGCCAUCUCAAGCUUUCCAAGAUGGAAGUGCGACCUGGACUUAAGGUGCCAUCUCCAAAGAAUAAAAGAUGAGCUUUUGCUAUUGAGAUCAUCUAAAUUCGCAAAAUCAGAAGAAAAAUUCUUUUCAGCAACAUCAAGAGAUUUUUCGCACAGCUCAAUCACUUCAUUAUACAUCUGCAGCUGUAGAAUAUUUACAGUAAUGACACACAGAAUUCAGAAGCAAGUUGCUAUAAGUCUUUAUUGUUUUAUAACCUAUCCAGUUUAAAAAGAGAAGAUAUUCAAAAUUUAUAAUAGUACAGACCUUGAAAAGAGCUUCUCCUUUCAUUUCAAGUAACUUCUCUGAAUAGCAGCUGACAGACAAGGCCUCAUCGGUAAUUCCAAGUGCAUUUUUUGCUGCAUCCGGAGUUCUUUGUUGCAAAAGUUCAGAACACCGGUGCAAAUGUUCAGAUAUUUUCUGCCACAAAUAGGUAACCCAAUCAGCAAAUCGUCAAUGGAGUUCAAAGUAGGAAACUUUGGAAUGUUUAUUAAUAACAAUAGGUAACGAGAAGACUAAAUGUGUUAAGAGCUUUACAUUAAAUGGUUAGCAAUGUGAAGGAGGAUUUUUUGGUUAAAGGAAGCAAAUUAAUUGCUUUAGGCAGUAGCAAAUCAACAUGAUAGAAAUACUAAAAGUUCUAUAUUAAUUCAGUAGCCACCACAUGCUUCACAACCCCAAGAUAACUCAUUAUCAAUAACCUCCAAUCUUAUUAAUUAAGCAUCUUUUUCAUUGAACCAUAUUUAGGCAUUCCAGAAAGAAAAUUUAAGCUAAGCUGAGAUCAUCACUAUUCUAAAAUGAGUAAUUGACAACACCAAGAACGUUCUCCCCUCGAACUGAACUUGACUAGAACAUCAACUAAGAAGGAAAAGUUUAACAAUAAGAAUCAAAUUACAGUUAAAUUCUCAAAAAAAAAAAGAGAGAGAGAGAGAGCGAGAGAAUCAAAUUACAGUCAAAGCAGUUUUUCGUAGGUGGAAAAAGUUUUCAUCAAAUUACAUUAGAUGAGAAUAAUUUAUGCCAAGAUUAAGGCCACGUAGACAAGUAGUAGCCUACAUUAUUUUGAAUUGUGGGAACUCGGAAAACUUUACCAUUCAAUGCCGGGAGAAUCAACUCCAUGGGAAAAGUAAAUAUUGCUCACCUGUGCUUUUUGCAAGCCUUCUGCUGCUUCAAUUGUAAUUCUCCUAUCCAAGCAUAAAUUUAUUCUUGAUUCCAAGCAAUUGUUGUAAUAUUUAAGGGCUUCUUCAACCUCACCAAGAAGCAGAUAACAACUGGCAUGCAAAGAUAGUCAAGAUAUAUAAGUUUGUCAACAAAUAAUCCACUCAGGAAGGAAAAAGUAAGUGUCUUAAAAAAGAACACACGGCAUUGGGUUCAACACUCGACAGAAAUCUUUCUAACAUUAGGAAAUGAAUCAGAUGAUGAUAAUACAACACCUAAUGAUAUCACUGGACCUCAUUCUUUUAAAUCUUUCACCACACAGGAUCAAAACAAAUUUAGUUGCUACCAGGUUGAAUCCAAAACCUUUGUCUGCUCUAAUGUCAUAUGGAAUAUUCAUGUUAGAGACAUCAGAUGACACAUGUAGAAACCUUACUUUGCUGCUCUUAAUUUCACUUUAAGAAAUUGAGGGUCCAAGGCGGCUGCAGAUGCACAAUCACUGAUGGCUUCCCUCAUCCUUCUAAGCGACAAUCGUGUGGCAGCUCGGUUGCUGUAGCAUAACAAAAGAGGCUCUAGGCAAGAGCCUGAAAUUUCUGUAGCGGAAACUGAUUUGAUACCCUUGGUGUAUAAAUCCUCAGCUUGCGAUAGAUUUCCAGCCUUAUAGGCUUGGUUUCCCCUGAUACAGAAAAAUCUUUGUAAAUAUGAAGCACAAGAUCUUUUUUUUUUUUUUUUGAUUAAGAUAUGCAGGACAAGAUCAUAAUGCUCAAUGUCAAUGUUAUGGUAGAAAAAGCCAGAAUGCAACCAUAAUGAUGAAAUUAUAGCAAAAGUGAACUAAAAGUUCAGAGGAAAUGGUCUAAUGCAUAGCAAUUCACCAAAGAGUAGCUCAAAGAUGUUAGCACCUGAUCCGCCACUUUUCACAGGUUUCAUGGACAGUGAGCCCAAUCAUCUCACGGUCUUCGUCUGCUUUAGACACAUGUAUCCCUUUAUUUCUCCUAUGAGAUGUAACUCCGCUUGGGAUGUCUGCUGAACUUUUACUACCAAAGGAAGCAUGUUGAACUGUGUCAGUGGAAAAUUCGACUUUUCUAUGAUUUAAGUUAUUUGAACCACUAUCAACUUUUAAUCUGUAUUUUUUCCUAUACUGGCGUCUUAUGGAUGAUAACCCAUCUUGUGCAGAGGGUGAAGUAUAGGAACUAAAAUAUCUCCGAGUAUCAGACUCAGUUACUGAAUCAGUCCCAGAAACUCUCUCAUUUCCUCCUCCACAUUUCUUCUGAGAGUCAUUGAAACCGGGUGCGUCUUUGGCAGCAACCACAUCCUCCUUUGUUUCAGUUGCCCCAGUAGAAUUAUAAGCAGAUGUAGAAGAAUUUGUAUCCUGAUAUGGUGAGAAAUCCAUAGGUGAACAUCCAGGAGACUCAUUAUUGCGCAUGGAACUGUUUCCGUUAGACAAAUUAGUCUUGCCAGCUAACCCUUGUACCAAGUUUUCUUGCCUCAAUGACUUCUUCUUUUUCACUCUUUUGUCCCUCAAUCUGCUACUUGUUCCACCACCCAACUUUUCAUUUACUCCGGCAAAUAAAUUAGCAGUAAAGGAAAAUGAUUUACUUGAAUUGCAUGCACUAAAAUCAGAAAAGGGCUUCCCAGGUGUAAAUGGUGUGCUUGGAAAGCUGAAUUCUUCCUUCUUCUCAGCUUGGUGGCCAGAAAGUGCUUCCGGGGCAUCAACUUUGUGCUGGGAACCAAAGCUCUCUGGUGUAAAUAAUGGAAAGGGUGGCUUAUCCCUCUCAACGUCACUGUUUAGAUUCUUCUGCAGGAAUUCACUUGAGGCAUCAGUCUCACUGUUUAAAUUUAUUGGCUGAUUUUCUUUCCCAGAGGGUCCUGCUUAUUGGCUGAUUUUCUUUCCCAGAGGAUCCUGCUGAGAAGCUAAAUGAAUUUAUUUGCUCACUGGAAAGACCAAACUUAGCAUUUGUAUGAACCGUUGCUCCAGGCAUCCUUUUGUCCUUGCUUCCCUUUAACGAACUGGCAAUAUUUUCAUCAAUUUCGGAUGCACAAGCUUUCUUGGCAUUUGGUUCGCUAUUAAUUGUGUCAGCUUUAUCAAAACCAGAGCUACUACCAGAAUAUUUUACGUUGACAUCCUCGGGCCGACCACAAGAAUUACAAGCACCGGUUUCAGUUGAAACAUUUGAAGUACUUUGGUUAAGUCCAAACACAAAUACAUUCUGGAUGUUGACACUUGAUUUUUCAUUCAUACUAUCGGUCUUCUCAGCACCACUAACCGCUGAACGGCCAAUGUUCAACGAAUUCAUCUCAUUAGAGAGUUUAAAAAUGGGGUUUUUUGGUAAACCAGUGUCUACAAUAUUGCUACUAGAAGCAAACUUGAGCUUCCCAUCAGCAUCCGAGUCACUUUUUUGGGCAUUCCAACGACCACUGUGAUCUAGGGUCUUUUCCCUGUCAAAACUAUCCACAUCUUCAGCUACUUUUCCAUUUUCAUUCAAUUUGUUCUUCCCUUUGAUGCCACAACCAAAAACAAAAGUGCCAUCCACUUUUGAACCUUGAUACUCUCCCCCCCUGUAUGCUUCAUCUUUAUUACGCGCUCCGUUACUAGCACCAAACACAAAGUUAGCAUUCAAUUUAUCCGAUUGCAAUGUACUUCCAUUAGCCUCGUUUUUAUGAGACUCACUCGAGCAAUUCUUGAUCUCAUCAACUUGUGAUUGUCCUACAUUGCUACAAAACUCCCUCUCUCUAAAUUCCACAUUGGACUUCGAAUUACCAGUCCUCUCACUACAAUCAGGUUCCUUAUUAGACAAAUUCAGAUAGGACAUCCAGCUAUUCUUAUUCAUUUGAUCACCAUUCUUUUUCUUCGAAAUAAACUUCGAGCUACUCGUAUUAUUAGCUCCUAAAACAAACCCCAAAUCCUUCAAAUUUGAAUCCAGACCACUUUUUCCGGUUCUAAAUCCCCCCAUUACCUCCACAUUGUCACGAAAUUCUCCAUUUUUUUCGUUCAACAUUUCCCCUAAAUUCUUAUUAGAACCAAAAACAUCACUUAAACAAUCCAAAUUAAAAUUCAAAGUAGGAUCAUCACUCUUACCAGCACAAAAACCAAAACUCACAUUGUCACUUCUCCAGCAACAAUCCGAGCUCUUGGUAACCGGCUCGACCCGAUUAAAACUAGAUUCUUUCGGGUCGAUUUGAGGACCCGAUUGUUUCCUCAUUUUCAAAACAGGAUCAUCAGUCUUACCAGCACAAAAACCAAAGCUCACAUUGUCACUUCUCCAGUAGCAAUCCGAGCUCUUUGAAACCGGGUCGACCCGACUAAAACUCGAUUCUUUCGGGUCAAUUUGAGGACCCGAUUGUUUCCUCAUCUUCAUGAGCCUCGGUUUUCGCCUUGAUCGACCCGGAAAAUCCGAACCCGAUGACAUGGAAAAUGAGCAAUUGAAUUCUGAAUUGAGCUUAGAACUACAACUAGAAGAGCUGGAAUCGGAGCUAGGUUUAGAUGAUCGGAAUUCUCCGGCGCCACCGCCUGCCGCCGAUGACAUGAUCAAAUUUGGGGAUUUAGGGUUUUUUGAUUAUUUGGAUUUUAAGAGAGUAUUUGUUUGUGUGUUUGGGGGGUUAAAUGUGGGGUUUUAGUUGGAAUUUGAAAUUUUGUUGGGUUUUGGGUGGGUCGGGUCGGGUCGGGUUUGGUUACACAUUAGACAACUUGAUUCAGUUGACAUUUACGUUCUACAACGUUGAACAAGUAGACGUGUACGACCUAUGUGACAUUUACGUGAUAAUCUCAUGAAUUGUCACGUACAUGUUGACAAUUUGAUUCAGUUGAUAUUUACAUUUUAUAAUGUUGAACAAAUAGACAUAUACAUCCUAUGUGGCAUUUACGUGACAAUCUCACGCGAAUUGUCGCGUAGAUGUCGACAACUUGAUUCAACUGAUACUUACGUUCUACAAUAUUGAAUAAAUAAACGUAUACAUCCUAUGUGGCAUUUACGUGAUAAUCUCACGCAAAUUGUCACGUAGAUGCCGCAUGAGACACAUGUGUCUAUUAUUUCAACUUUAUAUAAGUUUAAGUAUGUGCUUAUUUCAGUUGUGACCAAGUUAAACGAGACAUUCACGUAUUCUGCCCUUUAGAAUUUUUUUUUUCUUAAUGUUAGUAUCUGAGUCGACUUAUGAUCGUUUAAGUUUUCAAAAGUUUUUACCUGUAGAGAAUUAACUUUUCAAGACAAAUAUUUUUGAAAUCGACUUAAGAUAAAUCUUUAAUACGUAUUUGCCUAAUCAUGUAAAUCUUCAAAUUCACAACACUUUCACACUCUAAAUUGCACUCCUGUUACUUCGCUCUCCUCUAUAAAAUUAAAAUCGCGAACGCUAAAACCUUCUCCCCAAAAAAUAAAAAAAAUAUAAGAUCUCAAAAAUGUGAGUGUACUAUGAAAAUUUAAUAAUAGGAGAAAAUUAUGCUAUAAUAAAAUUAGAUUGAUAAUCUUAACGAUUUGAAAUGAUAUAUACUGCAAACUACUAACCCUAAACUAAUAAUUUUUUUCUAUUAGAAAAAAGUACUUAUCUAGAAUAGUCGCGGAUCUACACUUCAAGUUAAGAGGUUCAUCCGAAUCUCCCUUCGAUGGAAAAUUAUGUUAUAUAUAUAUGGUUAAAAUUAUUUUUUAUGUAUAUAUAUUAGAUAUUGAACUUCCUUCGAUUAAUUUUUAUAUUUACUUAUGAACCCCUUGCUGAAAAUAGUGGCUCCGCCACUAAUUUAGAAGAUGAAUGAUAAAACACCAAACACUUGGGCCAAUGGGACUUUUUACCAAAUUUUUUUCCCAAAAACAUUAACAAAACAACAAAGUUACGUGUGUCUCUUUCUAUUCUACACGUAUAAGUUUGUACUGUCAAACACAAAAAAACAGUGCGAGAAAAUUCAAGAAUGUCAUAACAAAGUGCAAGUGAAUAGCAGAAUAGUUGAUAUUUGCUGACACCCUUUUUGGUAUGUUUACUAACCCCCUUUCAAUAUAUCUGUAUGAUAAAUCAACAGGUGCAUAGCAAUAAACAUAGCUAAUAAGCUCUUACUAUUUAAUUUUAGUAUUACCUGAUGUUUCAUUUGCUUCGAUAAUUAUCGUCGUAUUAUUUUGUUGUUGCUACGACUCAGCAUGACUUCUUCGUUAUUGUAUUUGCUUUACCUACUUGUUUUUGAUGUGCUUUACUUAAGUCGAGGGUCUAUAGGGGAAUGGUUUGAACUAUUACAACAACAAUAACAUAUGCAGUGUAGUUCCACAUAGUGGGGUUUGGGGACGGUAAAGUGUACGUAGACCUAGAGUCCGAGCUACACUUGGCCGAGGGGGUCAUCCGAACCUCCUUCGGCGAAUUUUUUUUACUAUUUAUACAUAGUUAAAAUUAUUUUUUAUAUAUAGACAGUAAAUGUUGGACCCCUUCGAUUAGUUCGUAUGUUUACUUCUGAACUCGCGUAGACUAUACCACUACCUCAGAUGAAGUAGAGAGGCUGUUUCGGAUAGACCCCCGGCUCAGAACAGAUAACAGUAUAACAAACACAAAACCUAAAAGCACACAACAAAAUGGGGAUAACACACUGCUAGCACACAACAGUUUGAACAAUUGAUUUAUUUAAUUGGAAAUAACCAAUUAGGUUCACGACGAAGUCUAGAAAUCGACCACUGAUCCAAGGCUGCGUAUACACCACUUUCGUCAAAUCUCACUUGUGGAAUUACACUGGGUAUGUUGUUGUUGUUGUUGGUUCUAGCUAAGUCUCAACUUUUCCAAUGCAGAGAGGGUUGAUAACAAAGUAAUGGAUUAAGUCCAUAGUAGGUGGCGGAGGUAUAAUUUUCACUUAGCUGCUCAACAUAUACUUUGAAUACAUAACUUUUAUGGACCUUGUAUGAACCCCCCUCCGUCCCUCUAGCUCCGCUCCCGGUCCUAGCUACAAAACUCGGUACAAUCCCAUCUACUCUAGACUUGGCGUGCAGGUUUAGUAAAUUAGUCGAGGUACAUGCAAGUUGGUGCUACCACUACUAAUCGUUGACACACAAUUUUCUUCAGGGGCACUAUAAAAUAUACCCGCUUCCAGUGGCGGAGAUUUGAAGCAUAUAGGUUUGGAUUAAAAGAUUUUGGGUUCUUAAUUAGUAAUAAUUUUUACAUAUUCAAUGAACUUUUAAUACCGAUUCUGGGUUUGAAUCAAACUACUGGAUACCAAGCCCGUAACCAAAGCGCUAACUCCGCCCCUGCCCGUCUUUCCGUAUCUGUUAGGCAAGACUGGUAAAUAGUUCAAGAAAUGACUGGAAUUUGGCAAGACUGGUAAAUAGUUCAAGAAAUGACUGGAAUUUGUAUCGGUAAAUUGCAUGUUAGGUUUUCUAUUUGUCUUGUUUGGGAGUGAAGAGAUAAAAGAGCACGAGUAACGGUAUGCAGUAACAACAAUCAUCUGGUGUCGAAACUUGAGUCUUGAUUCGACAAAUAUUAAGAAGUGUAUUGCAUCUUCUCUCCUCAUUUGCUCGGCUGUUUAGAAUAAUUGUCUUUGUUUGUAGCAAGAGUUCAUGGUUUCUUGUUACUGGAAAAUAAUUGAUGCUGCUGCUGCUGUUACAGGAUUUUCGGAAGUUCUCUCGAGCGGUUGUGAGCUGGUGAAGAUACUUGCUAGCGGAAAUCUUAAACUUCUGUUUUAAUUUAGGCAGAAUGGAUCCCAAUACUCUUGGAGCUUCACAAGGUAUUUCGGCUUGUUAUUAGAUCUCCCUUUCUGCGCAUCGCGUACACCUGGUCUUCUAAAAAUAUUUCCGUUUUUACUGAAACCGAUUAAUUUAUGCCUAGGUUUGUUGCUUUUGGUGUCUGCAAGAGAUUUUAGUUUAGGAGUUUACAUAGAGUUAUAUCAUUGGAAGAAGCUAACCGAAUAGCUUAAGGACAUAGUAUUCAUCAGAAAAAUAGUUGACGGAUGUUGGUUAUCAAAAUAAUAUCCGGUCUAAUCACCUCCCUCCAAUAUUUCUUCGGUCUACCUCUACCGCGCUUGAACCCAUCCCUAGCCAACCUCUCACACCUCCGCACCUCCAAUAUUUGUGAAGGAAGGAGCACUAAAAAAUGGGAUUCUCUUUUAUCGAAAAAAGAAUCGAAAAAAGAGCUCUAACGUACUGUCUUCUAGGGUAGUUAUCACAGCUUCUGUAUAUCAUCUAUUCAUGAAUUUUCUCGUCGACAGAAUGUAUUUGAGGUAUUCUCAAACUUUGCAAUUGUCCAAUUAGAUCGUAAUAAAUUGUGUUCGAUCUUUAAUCAAUUCCAAAUGUUGCAAAAACAUGAUGUCUUUCCCUUGACAUGGCACAUCUUUAGCUGCAGCUAAGAAUGACGAUACCACAAAGAAUGAAGGCAUCGAGUCCUGUAGAACAUCGCAACAGGCUUCUGGGGAAGAAACAUCUGAAGUGAAUCAAGGUCAAGGUGGUAAACACGUAGCAGCUGAUGUGGCCCCGGAACAUGAGAAAUCUCACGGCGAUGUAAACAUGGAGGCGGAUAUCACUAUGGAUGACGUAAUAAAAGCUGGGGGUCUAGGAGCAAGAGAUGAUUUAAAUAGUGUUCUUCCUAUGGCAGCUGAUACCACCGACUUUGAAGCUUCUAUUCGUGAUGCUUGGGAAUAUGAAGGGCAACGUGAAAGCAUUAGUCGACCUGGACUUGGCUGGACAGAACCUGCAAAGAAGUAGAUCUAUCCCUGCUACAACUUGAGGUGGACUUUCAAGGUGUUCUUCAGUUUUACUGUCACUUUUAAGACUCUUCGUUCAGCUACUGUUGAUUGAACGCGCCCUUAUGUGUCUUAUGGUUGUUCAAACAAUAAGUCCUAUCUCCGUGAAUGAAAUUAAUUUUUAACUCUGAGCGACGUGUUUACUUGUCAAUCUAUUGUUUCUCCUUUGUGCACUUUCGUAUUUGAUGUAUCUUGUUGUGCUGGAGAUGAGACUAGGAUAAAAGUCCCUUUUUAAAAUGAAAUUGUCAACCGUGGGUGGAAUCUUGCGGAAUCCUUAAUGAAAUCCCCUAAGCACAAGCAUCGGAGUCGCUGCCAGUUUUCAGGUAUUCAAUUUACAAAGAUAGUUCUUUCUGAAAAAGAAUGCUACAAUGCUUCAACGUUGUUACAUGUAUACAUUGUGGAGCAUUAUAACCAUAGAGAUCUAUGUAAAUAACUCUAUAUAGGUAUUUAUUUUAUCGGAAGAAAUCAUUGUUGUUGAAGGAGUGACACUCUUUUAAAAAUUCCGUGUCCAGGAGCUAGGAUAGCCAAAGGAUCAUACGUAGAUUUCCUCCUAGCGAAUGUUUCCCAUCGAGGGCCAAAGUGAACUUUCCAGUCUUCCUGUGUUGUGUAAUGUGGCAAAUACUGUUUCAUUCCAAUAUUUGCUUUACCGCAAAAGUUUAAUAUCUUCUUGUUCUUACUUAGAAUAUGUUCUAGUCCAUCUUUUCCUGUGGACGAUGGAACGGCAGAAGAUAGAAACGCUAUUAAAUACAUGAUGUCUUCUUCUGGUGUAACCAUUGAUGUUCCUUUUAUCCACCUGCAAUAUGAAAUGAUCGUCGAUCAUGUUAGGAAGAAGCGUUCAUCCUGUUAGAAGAUUAUUUAAGUGCUGAUGAUUUCCAUACUUUGAUUUGUUGACGGGGUAGAUGAGUAUAGGACCAUGGCUAGUAUCGGUAAGUAUCUUCCCGAAAACUUCUUGUGUAAAGUCAUGUAUCUUGCUCCUUGGAAUUAGAAGGUUUAGCCAUGGAUGAGGAACAUCCCAUAACCCCUUCUCUUGGAGUUUCAUCUCGGAUACGUGGACUCUGUCGAGGAAUUCCACGUAGGAGACUUCUGAUUGAAACAGCGAGGAUUCGAUAUAAUUCAACGUUGAUAAGAGGGCAUCAAUAUUCUGUAGUAUUAAGAAAACAACAGGCAAGAUGUUGACAUGUUUAGGUGAAUAUUAGAAAAUAUCUAUGUUGCUCGGACUCGUCAAAAAUGUUAACGGGCGUGUGUCGGAUUCACCAAAAAUAGUGUAUAUUUGAAGAAUCCGACAAGGGUGCGGCACUGAAAGUGAAGAGUCCGCGUAACUUAGGAAAAUAUCUUUACCUGAUCGGUAUUAGCUGUCUCGUCUGGAUUGAAGUAUUUGGCAACUUCUAAGCAGUAGAGAACUUUUCCUUCAGAACUGAACUUUCGGGCGAAAAGUGGAUCUUUAGGAUUGAAAGUAGACCUCCAGUUGUUCAACAAUCCUGUUCGAUUGAUAACGACAAAUCCUUCUACGUAGUCGAAAGAAUCCUUGGAUGAUAUCAACUGCUCUUGAUCAUUGGAAAACGUCGAGAAAUCUGAAUACAGCACUCUGAUCCACUUAACCUGUUAAAUUUUAGUAGAAAUNNNNNNNNNNNNNNNNNNNNNNNNNNNNNNNNNNNNNNNNNNNNNNNNNNNNNNNNNNNNNNNNNNNNNNNNNNNNNNNNNNNNNNNNNNNNNNNNNNNNNNNNNNNNNNNNNNNNNNNNNNNNNNNNNNNNNNNNNNNNNNNNNNNNNNNNNNNNNNNNNNNNNNNNNNNNNNNNNNNNNNNNNNNNNNNNNNNNNNNNNNNNNNNNNNNNNNNNNNNNNNNNNNNNNNNNNNNNNNNNNNNNNNNNNNNNNNNNNNNNNNNNNNNNNNNNNNNNNNNNNNNNNNNNNNNNNNNNNNNNNNNNNNNNNNNNNNNNNNNNNNNNNNNNNNNNNNNNNNNNNNNNNNNNNNNNNNNNNNNNNNNNNNNNNNNNNNNNNNNNNNNNNNNNNNNNNNNNNNNNNNNNNNNNNNNNNNNNNNNNNNNNNNNNNNNNNNNNNNNNNNNNNNNNNNNNNNNNNNNNNNNNNNNNNNNNNNNNNNNNNNNNNNNNNNNNNNNNNNNNNNNNNNNNNNNNNNNNNNNNNNNNNNNUUGUGGGGCGGGUUGUCCUUUUUUUUUUUUUUUUUUUUUAGUUUUUAAGUAUCGAAAAGUUAGAAAAAAAGGUGAUGACUUGCUGUGACAGAAUUGCCUUGUUAUGCUGACUUUGUUGAGUUCAUGUCCACAACAUAAGCACUAUUUUACAGAUAAAUUGUCUUGACUUUUAGGUGUUGUUUGGUACUCUAUUGAUUAAAAUAGAAAAAGUGGGAAGACUAAACUCUGGCUGAUAUGUAAGGUAAGGCUGUGUACGAUACACCCUUGUGGUGGGGCCCUUCCCGGACACCGCGCAUAGCGGUGCACCGGGCUGCCCUUUUUUACUAAACUCUGGCUGAUAUUAUGGAACUGGGGAAUAAUAGGCUUGUUGUGCAUGAACAUACCGGUGACAACUUCGAGUUGGUAGACAUUAUUGAUCUGAGGUCCAUGUUUGAAUGCUUGUCCGCUGAUCCCGGCAUUCGACAAAGUGCCUCCAACUGUGAGGUGAAGAUAAUCAGUCCAAGAUUUUGGUGUUAAUCCAAGUUUAAGACUUUCAUGCAGGAUAUUUAUCCAAAGUUCACCAGCAGAUACAUCAACAAAAGGCAGUUCCCCUUGGUGGAACCGCAUCGCUGGUGCUCGAAGCGAUUCCAUGCUGAUCACUACUCCCUGGUAAGCUUGAGCUUGUCCUUCUAAAGAGUGACCAUGUCCUCUAGCAGCAACAGUUAGUUCUGUUGUUGUACCCAUGUUAAAAACAUGUUUUACCGUGGCCGAUAUGUCGGAAACUGAUUUCGGGUACAGAACGGCUAACGGCAGGAAGUGAUAUCUGUUGCCAAAGUCCUUGGCCACGUGAUCGAAAUUCUUGAAACUAAAGUACCCUUCGAUCUUCAACUGUUUCAGCGAUGACUCGAUCGCUGAGAAACUCGAAGGGGUAAUAGAAUUAGUAGCUGGGGUCGCAAAAAGUUGGUCACAACAGAAGUUGCUUCUGUUGAUUGAGCAAAUGCCUAGUAUGAAUAUAAGAAGUCUUAGAAGCAUACUAUUAUGUUUAAAGAAGAAAUGAGUUGGUGAUGACUUCAUUCUUUCUUAAAUGUGUAGAGGGAACUAAAAGUGGUUGUUGAUACAAAGUUUUCUUCAAUAUUUGCCUUUACUUUUGAGUGAAAAAAUAGGGGGUGUAGAAUUGCCUCAAGAAAAUUAAGGUUGGUCAAGAGAAUAUAUAAAGGGGAGAAUUUGGAGGUGUCACUAUCAACGACGACAACAUACUCAGUAUAUUUUCACAAAGUAGGGUUCGAGGAGAGUAAAGUGUAUGCAGUCGGUAUACCUCAUAGGUGAGGUAGAGAGGUUGUUUCCGAUAGACUCCCUCCUGGCUCACGUCGAAAAACAAUCUAGAAAAAAGGCAUAAUAUGAGAACAAGAAACAAUAGAGGUGUCACUAUCAACAACAACAACAUACCGAGUAAGUAUAUUUUCACUGAGUGGGGUCUGAUGAGAAAAGUGUACGCAAUCCGUAUACCUCAGAGCUGAGGUAGAGAGGCUAUUUCCGAUAGACUCCCUCCCGGCUCACGACAAAACACAGUCUAGAAAAAAGACAUAAUAUGAGAACAAGAAACAAUAGAGGUGUCACUAGCAACAACAACAACGAUGACAACACACUCAGUAUAUUUUCACAAAGUGGGGUUCGAUGAGAAAAGUGUACGCAGAUCCGUAUAACCUCAGCGAUGAGGUAGAGAGGCUGUUUCCGAUAGACUCUUGCUCUUGCUGACAUACAUAAUAUGAGAACAAGAAACAAUAGAGGUGUCAUGUCAAUAUCAAUAGACACUAAUUAAGUGGUCUAUUGGACUGCAUGUGAGGACUAUAUAACUUGAAAGUGGAUGUUAAUUUAUGGAAAAAUAUUGAAAAUUUUGAUUUUUGUUCCAACAGUGUUUUAGUUUGAAGUGGAAAAUUUCAGCUGUCACUAACUUCACCAGUGUUCUUACAACUUUUAUAUGUCAAUUUUUAACAUGGAUCAUUGCUAUUUUCAGAAAAUAAAUUAUCUCCACAAUUUGGAAUUCUACACCAACUAUUUAUUCAAAGUGUUCACAUUUGGUGAAACAGUGUCACCAAAUUUCUUUAUUUAAAGCCAUCCAUCUAUAUGAAGGUGUUAUAUACUAUUAUUAUAUUUUUGCAACCUAUUCAACCUUUUUAAGUAUAUAUCCUAAUCUUGUAGCUUCUUGUUUCUAUUUAUUUUUAGCAUAAUUCAUAAAAUAUACACUCAAAUUUGGCUACAACUUACAAAGUGAUCAUUUAGAUACCUUGAAAAUAUAUGUAUCACGCCAGCGUUAGGUGGGUGUCCACGAGACAUUACAUAAAAUAGACACUCAAAUUUGGCCUUAGCUGGCAAGCAAGCGUUGAGUAUGCACAUCUAGACAUCUUAACUCGACCAAGUUGAGGUGUCUAGACAUGCACUCUCAAAGUUGGAGUGCUUACGUGUCUGUUGAAUAAUUUUAGUGUCUGUUUAUGUAUUAUGUGUUUAUUGUUCCUUGUCAGAGGCGGAGCCAAGAUUUCUGCUGAGGGUUCAAAAUCUGAAGAAAAACUCACCGAAGGAGGUUUAAAAUCUACAAUAUAUACAUAAAAAUCAUUUUACCAUGUAUUAAUAAUAGAAUUUUUCGUCCAAGGGGGUUCGGAUGAACCCCUUAUUCCGAACCCCUUAUUACUAGGAUGGCUCCGCCUCUGCUUGUACUUCUUGUAUUUCGAUUGUCGUAUUAUUCUGUUGUACAAGUUACCGUUCCUUCUUCAGAAUGCUUUGUCACGCCUUGUUUAAUAUUUCGCUUUGGUUUCUUCACUCCUAUUAUCUUCUCGAGCCAAGUAUCGGUAACAACCUCUCUACCUCUCAAGGUAUGGUAAGGUUUGCGUACACUCUGUAUCGUUCUCGGACUCCACUUGUGGGAUCGUUCUCGGACUCCACUUGUGGGAUUCUCAAGGUAUGGUAACGUCUGCGUACACUCUGUAUCGUUCUCGGACUCCACUUGUGGGAUCAUUCUCGGACUCCACUAGUGGGAUUCUCAAGGUAUGGUAACGUCUGCGUACACUCUAUAUCGUUCUUGGACUCCACUUAUGUGAUCGUUUUCAGACUCCACUAGUGGGAUUCUUAAGGUAUGGUAACGUCUGCGUACACUCUGUAUCGUCUCGGACUCCACUUGUGGGAUCGUUCUUGGACUCCACGACUGCGUACACACUGUAUCGUUCUCGGAUUCCACUUGUGGGAUCGUUCUCGGACUCCACUUGUGGGAUUCUCAAGGUAUGGUAGUGUCUGCGUACACUCUGUAUCAUUGUCGGACUCCACUAGUGGGAUUCUCAAGGUAUGGUAAUGUUUGCGUACACGUUGUAUCAUUCUCGGACUCCACUUGUGGGAUUGUUCUCAAACUCCACAUCUGCAUACACAAUGUACCGUUCUCGGAUUCCACUUGUGGGAUCGUUCUCGGACUCCACUUGUGGGAUUUUCCAGUAAUAUCUGCGUACACACUAUAUCGUUCUCGGACUCCACUUGUGAGAUCGUUCUCGGACUCCACUUGUGAGAUUAGACUGUUGUAUUCAGUGUACCCUAAUAGGAAAGUCAUAUAUAUAUUAUGACUGCACAAAAGUUUACAAUUCUCUUGUGUUGUAGUGGAGGCCCUUUAAACUUUACUAGGUCCACAAAUUUUAUCUUCUACAAUGUGGUAAGAAGCUUUGAUGAGAGGAUAUUCACUUCACGUGGGAGUGAAUGCAUGUGUGUUUUUCUGUCUGUCUACAACAUCACUUUCCUACUUGGAUUUGACAUUUAUAUAUAUAUAUAUAUAUACACUGACAGCGUAACGAAUGAUCACACUAUUCGUGUAUUUUAAUACGUUGUAGUAGGUAAUUUAUGUUGAUCAAAACUUUUCAAAAGAUGCUGUCGAAUGCUUGUCCGAUUAUCCAAAAGUAGUGCGAACACGGAGGAUCACAAUACACAAACAUGCCCUUUUUAACUUGACCUCAGGUCACAUCUACGACCUCCAACUUUAGUUGUGUACAAGUAUACAUAUAAACUUGUAUAUUGAACAAUUACACACAUAUGUUCUACGUGGCGUCCUACUAGGGGCGAACCUACACUUAUUUUUGGGGUGUUCCGACACCCGUUAAACUCGAUGCGGAAUGAGUAUAAUUACAUAGAAAAUAUACGAAAAUAGGUAUAAGUUAUAUAAAAGCACUCACUGAAACAAGAAGUUGGUUGGGUGCACUUGUAUUUAGGUUGAUCUUAAAACUCUCCACUAGCAAGUGUGUCCAGGGUUCAAAUCUGGUUGAUGCGAUUUUUUAUUUUUUUUAGUAGUAAGCAGUAAGCACCCACGAACCUUAAAUCCUGGGUCCGCCACUGCGUCUUACGUAGCUAAUUCUUGUCCUACAUGGCAUACAUGACAUUCUACGUGUAUUAUGCCACAUAGGAUGUGAGUGUCUACUUGUUCAACAAGUUAAAGUGUCUAGUUGUGCACACCGAAAGUUAAAGGGUAUGACGACCUGGGAAGUCGGCAGAGACGGAGCCAGGAUUUCAACGAAGGGGGUUCCAUAUUCAAAUAAAACUUAGGAUUUCAACUAAGGGGGUUCCAUAUUCAAAGAAAACUCACUCGAAGGGGGUUCAACACCUACUAUAACCACAUAAAAAAUAAUUUUAAUCAUGUAUAAAUAGUAUAUUUUUCCGUUGGCCGAACCCCCGAACAGAAGGCUGGCUCCGCCCCUGAUUAUCCUAAACGGUAGUUCUACCAAGAUAUAAUAAUAAUCGAAGUGUAAAAACCACAACUUGUUAGAGUUGUGACCCGAAUUUUGUUGAUCCGACUCUGAAAGUUUCGUGGUGCGACCCAUGUUUGUGAUUUUCUGUGGAGAUAGUAUAGGGAUCGGGCUUAUUUGUAUGCAAGUAUUAUAUAAGCGCAUUUAGUGGGUUGUUUUGAUUAUUCAGAAAAUUACGUCAUUGAGACAAUUCGUCUCCACAUUAUACUCUCUCUUCAUUAUAGUGAAACCUCCUCUGCCUCUGCCCAUGUUUUUCCCCGCAAGGAUUUUCACAUCAAUCUAUGUGUUCUUAUUUUUCUUGUCACUUUGGAAAAUUUGGUACAUUAUUUUUUGUUUUUGUGAUGAAAUAAAAUAUAUAAUUGGAGAAAUUGUCAUGUGAAAUAAAAAUAGAUAUUAGGAGCUGAAACAAAAAUAUAUGUGGGGUGAUCCUACAAGUGAAGUCGAAGGAUAUAAUGUAUGUAGACUUUAAUCCUACCUUGUUGAGACAGAGAGACCGUUUUCGAUAGAUAGUCGACUCAAAAAGAUAAUAAUCCUAACAUUGGAGGAUAUGAUGUCAACAACAAUAAGCUCAGUGUAUUCUCACACAGUGGGGUCUGGGGAGGGUAAGAUGUACGCAGUCCAUACCGCUAUCUCCGAAGAAGUAGAGAGGCUGUUUCCGAUAGACCCCCGGCUCAAGAUAAAGAAUAGUAAACAAAGUCAUGAUGAAACGUGAAGAUAUGAUGUAUGCGGACUUUAAUCUUACCUUGUUGAGGCAGAGAGACUGUUUUCGAUAGAUUCUCGGUUCAAAAAGAUAAUAAUCCCAACAUCGGAGGAUAUGAUGUAUGCCGACUUUAAUCCUUCCUUGUUAAGGCAGAGAGACUGUUUUCGAUAGAUUCUUGGCUCAGAAAGAUAUUACUCCUAAGAUUGGAGGAUAUGUUGUAUGCGGACUUUAAUCUUACCUUGUUAUGCAGAGAGACUGUUUCCGAUAGACUCUCGGUUCAAAAGGAUAUUUGGAGUUGAAAAAUCAUUUUAAUUGGUUAUCUUUUGAACAUAAUAUCAAGUGGAUUAGGGGAGUGUUUAGUAGGGAGAAACUAUUUUUUCAGAUAUCAUGUUCGAUUGAUCAAAAUUUUGGAAAUAUUUUCUUUCUGGGGAAACGAGUUCCUUCAAAAUAAAGAGAACGACUUUCUUGAUGGAGUACGAAAGAUAAGUUUUAUAACUGAUAUUUAAUCCUCUCGAUCCAUCAACACAACACUCCUUUGUUGUAGUCCUCAACUUUCGAGAUCGAUUGAUAUUCUCUUGAUGAUCCUAUAAAGAUCUCUACGUACUUGUCCAGGACAAGUCAGGACAAGUGAAAUCUUCGAUCGACGUGCUCCACUUGUACACUAAUUUUUUUUUACCUUCCAUAAUGUUUGUCUAAAUGGUAUCUGAAUACUCUUGAGACAACAAAUUUUGUUUAGUAAACAAACAUAAAAUAAAUAAGUUUUAAAAUAAAAAAAAUCACUUAUUUUUCAAGUUUUUUUUUUUAAUACAUCCAAAGGCUCAAAGUUAGAAAACAAAAAGAAUCACAUCCAAUUGAAAGAAACUAAAGGGCUUAGUUUGGUUACCUUUUUUCUAGUCUAUUUAAUUUCUUUAUUCUCUAUGCUCUUUUUCCCAUUGAUUUUUUUAUUUUGAGAAAGUUUCGAAAUAUAUCUAAAUUUCGGUGAAAUUUAUUGUAAUAUGUCUAAACUUUGCGGAGGUCCGAUGAUUCUCCAGAUUAUUUUUUAUCGUAUUUUCGUGGCAUAUAUUUGUCGGCUGGACCACUGCGUAAGUAUACGCUCACUGAACGUGUAAGGGUGUGAAGUAGUUCAUGUAAGAAAAUAUAUGUAAUACAAAUACCGUAAAAAAUAACUAGGGAUCAUAGGACCCCACAAAUUUGUGUGAAAAUUAAAGUAAACAACACAGCCUGACAAAUGAUUAACAUGAAGUUGCCAAAACAGCUAUUCUAUGGUCUUAAAAAACAGUAAAAAUCAUAUAUUGGCAGUUUGAUUUUCAUCUUGUUACUGUAUUUAAAGGCCAUAUAAUAGUUGUUUUGGCAACUCCAUCCUAAUCUCUUUAACAUUUUUUUAGAUUUUUUAUUCGGUAUUCAGUAUCUGUAUUGUGAUCAUGAUUGAUCCCCAAAGGCCAAUAGUCUCUAACAUUUGCUACGACUCACUCUAAUUUCACGGGGUCGUAUUAAUCCCCGAAUUAGAUUUUAGCAUAUUUUUGUCAAUUUUUUUAGUCGACGUGGCACUUUUUUAGCUAACCUGACAAUUUUGACGUGAUCCUUAUUUUUAUGGCAUAAAGGUGCUACAUCAGCUUAAAAGGGUGAUAAAAAUAUGCUAAAAUUGAGUUCAGGAGAUAAUAGGACCUCUGUCAAGUUAAAGUGUCGUAAUAAUUUCGGCUAUAAUUCGGGAGGUACUAAAUACUUAUCUCUUUGAAUAUUAUGCAUGACUUUUGUCAAAGUACUAUUUUGGAAAUUAUUACUCCAUUUCUUUUUGUUUCUUCAUCUUCCAAAGAUGAAUAAUUAUGUAUGUUUAGUGCCUCUUCCAUCAAUUAAUGUACUAUAAGAACUAUAUAUUAAUUUUAAUAUUGUGCAUAUGUACAUUACUAUAUGCUAAAAAAAGUAAGACUAUUUGUGAUGACUCGAUGAGAUCGCCACAAAAAGUUAAUAGUUUUAGUGGUGAUUCCUUAUAGUCGUCACGAAAGUGUCAUUUAAGUGACGACUAUACACAUUUACGCAAGAAGUAACGGAUGCAUAAAUUCGUGGAGAUUUUAUAAGAUCGUCAGAAAUUAAAAUAGUUAUAGUUAUGUGCGACUCUUUUAGUUGUCACUGUGUUACAAAAAGUAUCAGUUAAGUAAUGACUAUACACAUUUACACAAGAAAGUAACGGAUACGUAUAUUCCUGGAGAUUUAAUAAGAUCGCCAGAAAAAGUUACAGUUAUAGCGGUGUGCGAUUCUUCUAGUUGUCACUAUAUCAUAGAAAGUAUCAGUUAAAUAACACCUAUAUACAUUAUACCAAAAGUAAGGAUAUAUAUAUAUUCAUGGAGAUUUAAUAAGAUCGCCAGAAAAGGUUAUAGCUAUAGUGGUGUGCGACUCUUCUAGUUGUCCCUGUAUCAUAGAAAAUAUCAAUUAAACGACGACUAUACUCAGAAAGAAAUGAUACAUAUGUACAUGGCGAUUCAACAAAAUUGCCACAAAAAGCAAUAGUUAUAGCGACCGGUGACACUUGUAGUUGUCACUACGUUAGAGAAAGUAUCAAUUAACUGACGACUAUACUCAAGAAGAAAUGAUACAUAUAUCUAUAGCGAUUCAAUAAGAUUGCCACAAAAAGCAAUAGUUAUAGUGACCGGCGACUCUUGUAUCAUACAAAGUAUCAUUUUAGUAACGAUUAUACACAAAAAAGUGAAAGGGUAUUUGUGUGUACAUAUAUAUAUAUUUUUUUGGGGUGGGGGGGAGGGCGGGGCAUUAUAUAUUAUAUAGUGAUUAUCAUAGCCAACUAAGAGAAAAAUUAUUUAAAAAAUCUUUGUUGCUAGACAUUGUAAUGGACUUUUUGAUAUUUAUCCUCUAAUUGCUUGAGAUUAAGAAGACAAAAAUGACAAAAUAGGAUUAUGUUCAUCAUAACAAUCACGUCAAUUUAUAACAUUAUGCAAAUUUGUUACUUGAUUAUAGACUAAUGAUGUUGUAAAAUACUAAAGCAACAAAAAGAUCUUGUAAUCAUGAGGUUAACUACAUCAUGUUACAAAACAAAAGAAUAUUAUGAUGUAGUGAUGACACAUUACAAAUCUAAUAUAUAUAUAUAUAUAUGAAUAUCGAACAUCGAGCGAAAAAACUAAUAACAUUUUGUAAUCAUGGUCAUGUUGUCACAAUGAGUCACAAAGCAUAAAUAUUUCAUAUGUGUGAAACAUAUGAAUAUCAAACAUCGAUCGAAAAACUAGUAACAUUUUGUGAUCAUGGUCAUGUUGUUAAAAUGAGUCAGAAAGCAAAAAUUGACACAUAUGAAUAUCGAACAUCGAACAAAAAAAUUAGUAAUAUUUUGUGAUCAUGGUCAUGUUGUCACAAUGAGUUACAAAGCAAAAACAUUUUAUAUGCGACAACAUAUGAACAUCGAACAUUUCAUAUGUGACAACAUAUGAAUAUCAAACACCGAGCGAAAAAAUUAAUUACAUUUUGUGAUCAUGAUCAUGUUGUCACAAUGAGUCACAAAGCGUAAACAUUUCAUAUGUGUCAUACAUACGAAUAUCAAGCACCCAUAAUAUUUUGUGAUCAUGGUCAUGGUGUCGCAAUGAGUUACAAAGCACAAACAUUUGAUAUGUGUCAACAUAUGAAUAUCAAACGCCGAUCGGGAAAACUAGUAAUAUUUUUUGAUCAUGGUCAUGUUAUCACAAUGAGUCACAAAGCAAAAACAUUUCAUAUGUGUCAUACAUACGAAUAUCAAGCACCCAUAAUAUUUUGUGAUCAUGGUCAUGGUGUCGCAAUGAGUUACAAAGCACAAACAUUUGAUAUGUGUCAACAUAUGAAUAUCGAACAUUGAGCAGAAAAACUAAUACUCCCUUCGUCCCAAAUUAUGUGUCAUCAUUUCCUUUUUAAUCCGUCUCAAAAUAAGUGCUACCUUUCCUUAUUUGGCAACUUUUUAAAGGCACUAUUACCCUUUUACCCUUAUUGGUCCCACUUAAUUAAAAAAAAAAAGAUAUUGACACAUUUUUUUUAUAAAGGAUAAUUUGGUAAACUUUACCAAGUCUUCCCUUAUUUCUUAAACUCCGUGCCCGGUUAAAUGGCGACACAUAAAAUAGAACGGAAGGAGUAACAUUUUGUGAUCAUGGUCAUAGUGUCACAAUGAGUCACAAAGCAAAAACAUUUCAUAUGUGACAACAUAUGACUAUCGAACAGCGAGCGAAAUGUGUCAAACAUAUGAAUAUCAAACAUUUCAUAUGUGACAACAUAUGAAUUAUCGAAUAUCGAGCGAAAAAUUAACAAUAUUUUGUGAUCAUAGUCAUGGUGUCACAAUGAGUCACAAAGCAAAAACAUUUCAUAUGCGACAACAUAUGAAUAUCGAACAUUUCAUAUAUGACAACAAAUGAAUAUCGAAUAUCGAGCGAAAAAACUAAUAACAUUUUGUGAUCAUGAUCAUGUUGUCACAUUGAGUCACAAAGCAAAAAUAUUUCAUAUGCGAACAGCGAGCGAAAUGUGUCGAACAUAUGAAUAUCAAAUACUUCAUAUGUGAUAACACAUGAAUAUCGAACAUUGAGUAAAAAAAUUAAUAAUAUUUUAUGAUGAUGGUAAUGUUGUCAUAAUGAGUCAGAAAGCAUAAACAUUUGAUAUGGGACAACCAAAAAGGAUCUGCAAAAGCUAAAAAAGACUGGUCUAAAAAUAUUAGAUAUUGUCUAUGAAGUCAUAGAUCCCAGCACUUAUAUUAUUAUUAUUAUUAUAAAAACCAACAUGAUUCUUUCUGCAAAUUAUUUUGUGGCCAACCAUUCUACUGUUUUUUAUUUUGUUAUGUGGGAUUUGAAGUAUCAUAACAAGUCAUGUAUGUGCACCUUUUUUCCUCUGAAAAAAUUCACUACUUUUUACUUUGGAAGUACUUUGGGUGUGCACAUUCUAUUGGUAGAUGAGAAAAAGAUUCAAAUUUACACAUUUAUUACUUUAAAUUAUUUAAUUUUGAAUAUUCGAUGGAAUUCUAUCGGAAAUAGUCUCUCUACAUCACAUCUAAUCAGAUAGUGGUACAAAUUGUGCACACUUUAUUCUUUCCAAAUCUCACUAUGUUGUGAGAAUAUACUGAGUACGUUGUUGUUAUUGUUAAUUUCGCUUAUUCGUUUAGGUUUAGUUUAUUCAUACCUUUGUUGUUGGCAAAUCGCGCAUCGUAAUUAUUCUUAUCAUUAGUGGGGCUUCAAUAUGAAACAAAAUCCCUCUAUUUACUUUUCUGGAUUGUUCAACAACUUCAGCAAGUUCUUGAUAGAGAUUCGUCAUAUUUCCUUUGGAUUCGACCCCAACUUCUGUUGAAUUCUAUAUUUGACAACGACCGCGUUGUACUUUCUUGGAGGUAUAAUUUGGGCUGCAUUAAAUNNNNNNNNNNNNNNNNNNNNNNNNNNNNNNNNNNNNNNNNNNNNNNNNNNNNNNNNNNNNNNNNNNNNNNNNNNNNNNNNNNNNNNNNNNNNNNNNNNNNNNNNNNNNNNNNNNNNNNNNNNNNNNNNNNNNNNNNNNNNNNNNNNNNNNNNNNNNNNNNNNNNNNNNNNNNNNNNNNNNNNNNNNNNNNNNNNNNNNNNNNNNNNNNNNNNNNNNNNNNNNNNNNNNNNNNNNNNNNNNNNNNNNNNNNNNNNNNNNNNNNNNNNNNNNNNNNNNNNNNNNNNNNNNNNNNNNNNNNNNNNNNNNNNNNNNNNNNNNNNNNNNNNNNNNNNNNNNNNNNNNNNNNNNNNNNNNNNNNNNNNNNNNNNNNNNNNNNNNNNNNNNNNNNNNNNNNNNNNNNNNNNNNNNNNNNNNNNNNNNNNNNNNNNNNNNNNNNNNNNNNNNNNNNNNNNNNNNNNNNNNNNNNNNNNNNNNNNNNNNNNNNNNNNNNNNNNNNNNNNNNNNNNNNNNNNNNNNNNNNNNNNNNNNNNNNNNNNNNNNNNNNNNNNNNNNNNNNNNNNNNNNNNNNNNNNNNNNNNNNNNNNNNNNNNNNNNNNNNNNNNNNNNNNNNNNNNNNNNNNNNNNNNNNNNNNNNNNNNNNNNNNNNNNNNNNNNNNNNNNNNNNNNNNNNNNNNNNNNNNNNNNNNNNNNNNNNNNNNNNNNNNNNNNNNNNNNNNNNNNNNNNNNNNNNNNNNNNNNNNNNNNNNNNNNNNNNNNNNNNNNNNNNNNNNNNNNNNNNNNNNNNNNNNNNNNNNNNNNNNNNNNNNNNNNNNNNNNNNNNNNNNNNNNNNNNNNNNNNNNNNNNNNNNNNNNNNNNNNNNNNNNNNNNNNNNNNNNNNNNNNNNNNNNNNNNNNNNNNNNNNNNNNNNNNNNNNNNNNNNNNNNNNNNNNNNNNNNNNNNNNNNNNNNNNNNNNNNNNNNNNNNNNNNNNNNNNNNNNNNNNNNNNNNNNNNNNNNNNNNCUUUUACUCUUUCUGCUAAUUCCUUCACUGCUUUCCGCUUGAAAUUCUCCAUGGGUUUAACAUGACGUUUUUCGUGGUGGUUUGGACCAAAGAAAUUCUGAUAAAUUUGGUUUUCCAUACGGUCGGCAAGUGUGGAUGGAAUACCAAAAUGUAUUUCUUGUGUCGACUCUUCAUGUACUGAAGAUCCAGAUAUAUCAAUGACACAAUGUAACCAGUCAACCACUUCGGCUGCUCGCAUUAGCCUCAUGAAUCGACAUUUGAUAGAUGAUAAGAUCAGUUGGACCAUCCAAGCAUAUAUAUACCGAGAAUGAAAAGUAUGAAUCUACAGUAAGAUCUUGCACUUCAAUCAGUAUCGCAGAAAGCUACAAGUUCUUAUAGCUUUACUUCGAUACCCAGUCUGGCAUCUUUUGCAUUAAGAGUGCCUUUAUUCUCAACUUAACACACUAACAAAGGCAGAUUCUAAUAUUCUACACUUCCUAUCUGUUUAUAUCAUUAUCAUCCUUAAAACAGCAAAUUUGAACGUCACCUGUGAAUCCUUCUUUUUGGGAUAAUCAUGGUGUUCGGGUCAGCUUGCGUGCAUCUCCACUGGUUCUACAGAAUACAUCAAUUCUAUAGCAAUGUUUGUUUAUAGACCAAAGUUUCUACGUAAUGCAGCUAGAUUCAUAAUUUCAUAAACAAAGGCCGGCGUAAAAGCUUAGUCUUUUGGUUUGAGCAUGUGAAGAGGAGAUGUGCAAAUGUCCUACUGGGCAUAAGUGAGAGGAUGGAUUUAGUGGAUACGAGGAGAGGUAGAUUUAGGAUAAAGAUGUAGUGGGCAUAAGAGCAUAUGAAGGUCGCGGAUUAGGAUAGAAGGUUAGUAGGUAGUUGAGCGUUGGUUUGCUUUACAAUAGGAUUAAGCUUGGUGGUAGUCUAGCGCACCGUGUCAGUCAUAGUAUUAGCCUUAUUCACGUAAUUGCUCGUUUCUGUUAUCUGUCACCAUCUUUUGUUUAUUAUGUUUAGGUGGUUCCACUAUUUUGCUGAUGUUAUUGUUCUUCACCGAAAUGUUACUGUAAAAUAGGAUAAGACUGCGUACAAUACAUCCUCAGGUCCAGCCAUUCCUCGAACCACUCACAUAGCAGGAGCUUAGUCCACCGAGCUGGGGUUCCCUUUAGCGCAUGACGACAACUUCUGUUUUUAUCUCUUGAACAGCCAAAGCUUUGCGCAAGCAAAUUGCAUGUUUCUUCAGGGAGUUAUUUGGAAGAUACUAGGAUUAGGAUGUACAUAAUAGUACUAAAUGAACCUCCACGAUUCAAUAAUACAACAUUAAUAGUUGGUGUAUCAACAACUAUUUCUCGAGCACAGAUUUAGUGGGAAAGUAAAACGGAUCACCUAACAACACAUCUUUACAGGCCAAAAGCAACAAGAUGACCGGGAUUAGGCGGGACUCGAAGAGUCUCGGACACCUGGUUCAAGUCAAAAAAAAAAAAAAAAAAAAAAAAAAAAAAAAAAAAUNNNNNNNNNNNNNNNNNNNNNNNNNNNNNNNNNNNNNNNNNNNNNNNNNNNNNNNNNNNNNNNNNNNNNNNNNNNNNNNNNNNNNNNNNNNNNNNNNNNNNNNNNNNNNNNNNNNNNNNNNNNNNNNNNNNNNNNNNNNNNNNNNNNNNNNNNNNNNNNNNNNNNNNNNNNNNNNNNNNNNNNNNNNNNNNNNNNNNNNNNNNNNNNNNNNNNNNNNNNNNNNNNNNNNNNNNNNNNNNNNNNNNNNNNNNNNNNNNNNNNNNNNNNNNNNNNNNNNNNNNNNNNNNNNNNNNNNNNNNNNNNNNNNNNNNNNNNNNNNNNNNNNNNNNNNNNNNNNNNNNNNNNNNNNNNNNNNNNNNNNNNNNNNNNNNNNNNNNNNNNNNNNNNNNNNNNNNNNNNNNNNNNNNNNNNNNNNNNNNNNNNNNNNNNNNNNNNNNNNNNNNNNNNNNNNNNNNNNNNNNNNNNNNNNNNNNNNNNNNNNNNNNNNNNNNNNNNNNNNNNNNNNNNNNNNNNNNNNNNNNNNNNNNNNNNNNNNNNNNNNNNNNNNNNNNNNNNNNNNNNNNNNNNNNNNNNNNNNNNNNNNNNNNNNNNNNNNNNNNNNNNNNNNNNNNNNNNNNNNNNNNNNNNNNNNNNNNNNNNNNNNNNNNNNNNNNNNNNNNNNNNNNNNNNNNNNNNNNNNNNNNNNNNNNNNNNNNNNNNNNNNNNNNNNNNNNNNNNNNNNNNNNNNNNNNNNNNNNNNNNNNNNNNNNNNNNNNNNNNNNNNNNNNNNNNNNNNNNNNNNNNNNNNNNNNNNNNNNNNNNNNNNNNNNNNNNNNNNNNNNNNNNNNNNNNNNNNNNNNNNNNNNNNNNNNNNNNNNNNNNNNNNNNNNNNNNNNNNNNNNNNNNNNNNNNNNNNNNNNNNNNNNNNNNNNNNNNNNNNNNNNNNNNNNNNNNNNNNNNNNNNNNNNNNNNNNNNNNNNNNNNNNNNNNNNNNNNNNNNNNNNNNNNNNNNNNNNNNNNNNNNNNNNNNNNNNNNNNNNNNNNNNNNNNNNNNNNNNNNNNNNNNNNNNNNNNNNNNNNNNNNNNNNUGGAGCAGAAGAUAUGUUUAACAACGGCAUUUGGAGGAACCUUCUUGUUAAAAGGUGCAAUGUAAACUCGUCACAUCUAAAUGCCCGUGCUAGCGCAUCUAUAACCUGGAAAGGCAAUUGAUUAUCAUACAAUAAUAGGUCACGGCGCACCAAAUCUCUGUCACGUUUCUUCAUAUUCAACCAGCUCCUCUUGCCGCUAGUAAUUAUAUUGUCGUUGUAGAUGAAUUCAAUAAUAAAGCAGGCGUCGAGGAACACCAUCUGACACCACAUACCGUCAUCCGCUUGUUUGAACAGAGGAGAGUAACAGUUCUUUGUUUUGAGCAAGUGUUCUUCAACACUUGCAUACACCUGUUCAAUGGAUACAUCGCCUUUUACUCUUUCUGCUAAUUCCCUCAGUGCUUUCCGCUUGAAAUCCUCCAUGGGCUUAACAUGAGGUAAUUCGUGGUGGCGUGGACCAAUGGAAACCACAAUGGGACCAUAGAACCUGAGAUAAUAUUCCUUUGCCAUAAGAUCGGUAAUUGUAGAAGGAAUACUGAAAUGUAUUUCUUGUUUCAACUCUUCAUGUGGUGCUGUACCUACUGUACCUACUGAAGAGCCAGGUAUAUCAAUGAUAGAAUGUAACCAUUUAACCAUUUCGGCUGCUCUACUGUUGGGAGCAUUAGCCUCAUGAAUCGACAUUUGAUAUAUAUAUAUAUAUAUGUAUAUGCUGAUUGAUGAUAAGAUCAGUUGGACAAUUUAGGCAUAUAUAUACCGAGAAUGAAAAUUACGAAUCUACAGUAAGAUCUUGCUCUUCAAUCAGUAUCUGCAAAAAGCUACAAGUUUUUAUAGCUUUACUUCGAUACCAAGUCUGGCAUCUUUUGCAUUAAGAGUGCCUUUAUUCUCAACUUAACAUAUGAACAAAGGUAGAUUCUAGUAUUCUACACUUCCUGUCAUUUAAUAUCAUUAGUAUUUUUUUUCUUGGAUAAUCGUGGUGUUCGGGUCAGCUUGUACGCAUCUCCACUGGUUCUACAGAACGCAUCAAUUCUAUGGCAAUGUUUGUUUAUAGACCAAAGUUUCUACGAAAUGCAGCUAGAUUCAUAAUUCAUAAUAAAUGCCGGCUUAAAAGCUUAGUAUUUUGGUUUGAGCAUGUGAAGAGGAGAUAUGCAAAUGGCCUAGUGAGCAUAUGUGAGAGGAUGGAUUUAGUGGAUACGAGGAGAGGUAGAUUUAGGCCGAAGAUGUAUUGGAGAGAGGUGACUAGACAUGAAAUGACCAACAUCAGCUUACCGAGGACAUGACUUUAUAUAAGAGCGUAUGGAGGUCAUAGAUUAGGAUAGAAGGUUAGUACGUAGUUGAGCGUUGGUUUGCUUUAAAAUAGAAUUAAGCUCGGUGGUAGUCUAGUGCACCGUUUCAGUCAUAGUAUUAGCCUUAUUCAUGUAGUUGCUUGUUUCUGUUGUCUGUCACCAUCGUUGUUUUUCCUUUAGAUCUUCACCAAAAUGUUACUGUAAAAUAGGAUAAGACUGCGUACAAUAGAUCCUACGGUCCAGCCCUUUCUCGAACCACUCACAUAGCAGGAGCUUAGUACCCCGAGCUGGGCUUCCCUUCAGCGCAUGACGACAACUUCUGUUUUUAUCGCUUGAACAGCCAAAGCUUUGCGCAAGCAAAUUGCAUGUUUCUUCAGAGAGUUAUUUGGAAGAUACUAGGAUUAGGAUGUACAUAAUAGUACUAAAUGAACCUCCACGAUUCAAUAAUACAACAUUAAUAGUUGGUGUAUCGACAACUAUUUCUCGAGCACAGAUUUAGUGGGAAAGUAAAAUGGAGGACCUGACAACACAUCUUUACAUACCAAAAACAACACGAUGACCUUUUUUAUUUUGGGGUAACGGAGGAUCAACUUUCUUAGCAGAUUUUUGGUUUUAUCGGAUCCUUACGUCAUUUGUUGGAGAUGGGGAGCCAUGGCACUAUGGUAAAAGAUGUCAUCGUAUGACCAGGAGCUCAUGAUUUGAAUAAGAUAUCUGCAUAAGGAAUCGCAACAUGGCUGCAACUCUAUAAUCAUACAUGGACUAUAGGCCUAAGUCUGAGCUGAACUAAAUUCUCUCACCAUGUUCAAGCCUACUCAAAGUCACUCGGUACCACAAAUAACACCAUAAUACUAGUGUAAACCACGGAUUCAAUACCCUAUGCGCUUUCGCAUCUCUCAUCUCAAGAAUAAUACUCCUUACCACGACAACAAUGCAUUUAUCCACGUAUAUACAGACGUGACAUUCAAGCCUAUUAUUCACAUAUGAAUUUCCAGGCAACCAACCCACCUAGAAAUUCUUCCACAUUCUCAAAUAUCUCUUGUCAAUAACAACUCCCAUGCACUAUACCCAAUAAAACACGCAUAGAAUUCUCAACCAACCAUGAUCUACACCAAAAGCUUUACCUCAAUCUUCCUUCAACUUUGUAGCCUUGCAUAAAACAAGCAUACAACAAUCUUUCCUCAACAGGAAACAUCUACUCUCUCCCAUCUAAACCAUUGAUCAUCAAUUUUUCAUCGCCACUACCUUAACAUAAGGAGAGGUCACUGAAAGGUUAGAACAUGAGGACCUAAAGCAUGAAAGAAUACUAUGCAUAACGUGACACUUAACUGAGGCCUGAGGAAUAGAGUAUCAAAGGCAUGAAUUCAUUAAAGAGAUCUAAUCUGAGGACGUACAUGACAUAAUCUGAGUUUCGCUCAUCACUAAGAGUGCAUCAUGAGUUAUGGGAACUGAGCAUACUGUAAACCAUGUACAUGAGUCAUGAGCUGCGUGACCUGAGUUUGGAGUUCAUAAAUUCAUGGAAUAGAUUUAUACUGCUGAGUGAAUGGGAACUCCUCGUACUCUGAACUGAAAGCGUACAUGAUUCUAGAGAAAGUGCAUGAAGAUGAGCUAUGAUCAUAGAGCUGACUUGUAAGGCUUGAGUACAUGUCGUGAUAACUGAAGUACAACAAUUCGCACUGAGAUGAUAAUGGGUUGGGCAUCUUUCUCCCCUACUGAUGUUCUACAACACACUGGCAUCACUACUAGAAUAUGAGAGCCUGACUUGGUUCCUUGUUCUAUCAUCUCCCCCUUAGAUUUAAGCCGCUAUUCUAAAUUUGUGGACCCCUUUAAUAAACUAAACUGAAUUAAUACUUCCUUCUAUGAUAGAACUCUUUAACUUUUAAUAUCCCGAAUUAUCAUUCUAUAAUAACUCAAAUACUGACAAAUUUAGAAUUCUUAGGAAGUAUCACCAUACCCUGAGUUUACACAAUCUAGAAUUUCAACUCUUCUUUCUAUUAGCUCAAUCCUCCAAGAUUCAAACUUUGAUUCUAACACAUAACAUGGAUAUCCCCAAAUGCUAACUUCAUUCUUGAACACACCCUUAACAUAUAUCAUCCUUAACAUCCUUAAAAGUGGCUAUUCCUCAAGAUUCGUCGAAUAAUGAGAAAUUACAAUUACAUACAAAUUUGCAGUUGAACAAAGCUUAGUUAUUGUUUUAUUCAAAUACAACAACAAUCAAAAUACAACUUAUGAAUAUACAGUAGCUCAAGAAAAAGUGGAAUGAAAUGUAGAUACGAGUAUACAGUCAGUCUAUUUGUAAGUCUGAAUGGCUGUGAGGACAGUCUGAAUUACAGUCAUACCAACCGUGAAAAUAACAGCAAGGAACACAAGGAAACUCCAAGGACCACUAAAAUACCUUUGCUUCAUUUCAGCACGGGCAACUACUAGAGGGAAGCGUUUACUUCUGAAGUAAGUAGAAAUCUGUCGUUUGACAUUCCUAAUAGCUUGAGGAUUUAACUCAGUAGGUGCUGACAUUUCUCUCAAGAAUCUAAUCAGUUCACCAUCGCCAGCAGCGAUGUUCAUCUGGAUUAUUCCUCUGGCUCGCAGCUCCUUAACAUCUUCCUCUCCAUUAAUUAACAUACACAUGAAAUUCAAGUAAGAUAAAAACCCAAAAGAUCUAUUUUGGGAUCUAUUCUGUAAGCUGCAUGCAUAUUCAUAAGCAACUAGGUUAUGAAAAAGGUACAGAGUCCAUUCAUCGAUCGUUAGUUUUGGAAGGAAUAACAUUCCUGAUAAGAUGGAUGACUCAAAGCGGAUGCCUUUGGAAAGAUCNNNNNNNNNNNNNNNNNNNNNNNNNNNNNNNNNNNNNNNNNNNNNNNNNNNNNNNNNNNNNNNNNNNNNNNNNNNNNNNNNNNNUGGAGCAGAAGAUAUGUUUAACAACGGCAUUUGGAGGAACCUUCUUGUUAAAAGGUGCAAUGUAAACUCGUCACAUCUAAAUGCCCGUGCUAGCGCAUCUAUAACCUGGAAAGGCAAUUGAUUAUCAUACAAUAAUAGGUCACGGCGCACCAAAUCUCUGUCACGUUUCUUCAUAUUCAACCAGCUCCUCUUGCCGCUAGUAAUUAUAUUGUCGUUGUAGAUGAAUUCAAUAAUAAAGCAGGCGUCGAGGAACACCAUCUGACACCACAUACCGUCAUCCGCUUGUUUGAACAGAGGAGAGUAACAGUUCUUUGUUUUGAGCAAGUGUUCUUCAACACUUGCAUACACCUGUUCAAUGGAUACAUCGCCUUUUACUCUUUCUGCUAAUUCCCUCACUGCUUUCCGCUUGAAAUCCUCCAUGGGCUUAACAUGAGGUAAUUCGUGGUGGCGUGGACCAAUGGAAACCACAAUGGGACCAUAGAACUUGAGAUAAUAUUCCUUUGCCAUAAGAUCGGUAAUUGUAGAAGGAAUACUGAAAUGUAUUUCUUGUGUCAACUCUUCAUGUGGUGCUGUACCUACUGUACCUACUGAAGAGCCAGGUAUAUCAAUGAUAGAAUGUAACCAUUUAACCAUUUCGGCUGCUCUGCUGUUGAGAGCAUCAGAAUCAUGAAUCGACAUCUAAGAUAUAUAUCACCAAGAGUACAAUAGAGAGGUUACAAAAUUAGAGUAGUCACUCUAAUUAACCCAAAUAUCCCAAGAGAACAACCUCACAAGAUCGAUCACUACAAAAGAAAGGGAUCACAAAAGUGUUUCCCAACACCCACUCUCUAACUAAAUACACUAAUAAGGGAGAAUAAAUACAAGAGAAUGAAAGAAAACUCUUGAAAUUGAUGUGUUAUGAAUGACAGAGAAGGUCCCAAUGUAUAAAGGAUGAAAACAAGUGUGAACCAAAUCAAUGGCCACAUUACAAGUCUUGCAUCUUUUGCAUUAAUAAAAAAUAUUGACUUAGUAAAAUAAACUAAGUAUAUUGACUUACUUAAAAAAACUAAGUCAAUGCCAGUUGGGUGUGUGAAAGCAGAUCUGUCAUUCACUCAAGUUGGAUUAUUGUAUAUUUGUUCUGGUUGGAGAAAACUGGCAUCCUAAGAGUUGACUGUUAAUGAACGUGGAGUUGUAGGAGUGUUGUUCUCAUAGCCAUAUAAUAAAUUGGAAAAUCAACUGUCAUGUGACUGGAAAGUCACGUGUUCAAGCCAUGGCAAAAGGCUCGAGUGUGUUAUUCCCUUUAGCGCACGAAGACAACUACUGUUUUUAUCUCUUGAACAGCCAAAGCUUUGAGCAAGCAAAUUGCAUUUUUCUUCAGAGUUUUAUUGGAAGCUACUAGGAUUAGGAUGUAUGUAAUAGUACUAAAUGAACCUCCACAAUUCAAUAAUACAACACUAAUAGUUGGUGUAUCGACAACUAUUUCUCGAGCACAGAUUUAGUGGGAAAGUAAAAAGGAGCACCUAACAACACAUCUUUACAGACCAAAAACAACAAGAUGACCUUUUUCAUUUUGGGGUAACAGAGAAUCAUAUCAUUCGAGUCUUUCCUUUUGACUAAAAAUAGAAGCACGUUUUGAGAAAUGAUCGUUAAGCGUGUGGGCUUAGGCUAGAAGAGUGUCUUUAACACAACUUGUUCGGGACUUAAAACAUAGAUGUAACAAAGGAGAUAAAACCAUAUUAAUCCAUUCACAACUUGCUGACAGUGGUUCAUCCAUGUGCUUCCUAAUGAAUCCAAUUCCACGAGUUCUCAUCAAGUAAACUCAUCAGUAUUUCUAUAAGAUUCUUUGAUAAGUUGCUAAAUUUCAUCAAAGAAAAGGUGAAAAACAUACCCCAUACAAGAAGUAUAGCAAAAGCAGAAAGCGUUACAGAAAGACAUAGAUUUUUUAUGAAUGAUAUCAAGUCAUUUAUACAAAUAAGAACCUUAUAGGUCCACCAAAAGGAAAUAAGGGAGAAGUGGCUAUUCCUCGAGACACAAUGAAUACAUGAAAAAGUACAAUUACAUAUGAAUAUGCAGCCGAACAAGGCCUUGUUAUUGUUUUAUUCAAUACAACCACAACCAAAAUACAACUUAUGAAGAAUGAAGAUACAAUAGCUCAAGAAAAAGUGGAAUGAAAUGUAGAUAGGGGUAUGCAUUCAGUCUAUUUGUAAGUCUGAAUGCCUGUGAGGACAGUCUGAAUUACAGUCAUACCAACCGUGAAAAUAACAGCAAGGAACACAAGGAAACUCCAAGGACCACUAAAAUACCUUUGCUUCAUUUCAGCACGGGCAACUACUAGAGGGAAGCGUUUACUUCUGAAGUAAGUAGAAAUCUGUCGUUUGACAUUCCUAAUAGCUUGAGGAUUGGAAUCAGUAGGUGCUGUUAUGUCUCUCAAGAAUUUAAUGAGUUGAUCAUCGCCAGCAGCGAUGUUGAUCUGGAUUACUCCUCUGGCUCUCAGCUCCUUAACAUCUUCCUCUCCGUUAAUUAACAUACACAUGAAAUUCAAGUAAGAUGAGAUCCCAAAGGAUCUGUUUUGGGAUCUAUUUUGUAAGCUGCAUGCAUAUUCAUAAGCAACUAGGUUAUGAAAAAGGUACAGAGUCCAUUCAUCGAUCGUUAGUUUUGGAAGGAAUAACAUUCCUGAUAAGAUGGAUGACUCAAAGCUGAUGCCUUUGGAAAGAUCACUUGCACAAAUACAUCGAAUACCUGCUUUCUUCAAUUCUGUGGCUGUGAAAGGUGGGCAAACCGCAAGACGAUCUUCUUCUUCUUUGCUAUUGUUGUCUUCUUCUUCUUCUACAUCAUCUCCAAAUAAAACACUGAUCCAUAUGUCUUUAUAAAAUUGAAGAAGAUGUACAGGAGCUUGCUGACGUUGAAGACAAGAGACACACUUGAUAUAAUCAAGAAACAUAGGAGUUGGAGCAGAAGAUAUGUUUAACAACGGCAUUUGGAGGAACCUUAUGGUUAACAGGUCCAACGUAAACUCUUCACAUCUAAAUGCACGUGCUACCGCGUCUACAACCUGGAAAGGCAAUUGAUUAUCAUACAAUAAUAGGUCAUGACGAACCAAAUCUCUAUCGCGUUUCUUCAUAUUCAACCAGCUCCUCUUGCCGCUUGUAAUUAAAUUGUCGUUGUAGAUGAAUUCAAUAAUAAAACAAGCGUCGAGGAACAUCAUCAGACACCACAUACCGUCAUUCAUUUGUUUGAACUUAGGGGAGUAACAGUUCCUAGUUUUGAGCAGGUGUUCUUCAACAUUCGCAUACACCUGUUCAAUGGAUACAUCGUCUUUUACUCUUUCUGCUAAUUCCUUCACUGCUUUCCGCUUGAAAUGCUCCAUGGGUUUAACAUGAGGUAAUUCGUGGUGGCGUGGACCAAUGGAAACCACACGGGGACCAAAGAACUUGUGAUAAAGUUCCUUUAUCAUAAGAUCGGUAAGUGUAGAAGGAAUACUGAAAUGUAUUUCUUGUGACGACUCUUCUUGUACUGAAGAGCCAGGUAUAUCAAUGGCAGAAUGUAACCAUUCAGCCACUUCGGCUGCUCUACUGUUGCGAGCAUUAGCCUCAUGAGUCGACAUUUGAGAUAUAUAUAUGUAUAUGCAGAUAGAUGAUAAGAUCAGUUAAGACCAUCCAAGCAUAUAUAUACCGAGAAUGAAAAUUAAGAUCUUGCACUUCAAUCAGUAUCUGCAAAAGCUACAUGUUUUUAUAGCUUUACUUCGAUACCAAGUCUUGCAUCUUUUGCAUUAAGAGUGCCUUUAUUCUCAACUUAACACACUGACAAAGGCAGAUUCUAGUAUUCUACUCUUCCUGACUGUUAAUAUCAUUAGUAUUUUUAUUUUUUGGGAUAAUCGUGGUGUUCGGGUCAGCUUGUACGCAUCUCCACUGGUUCUACCGAACACAUCAAUUCUAUGGCAAUGUUUGUUUAUAGACCAAAGUUUCUACUUAAUUCAGAAGCUUAGUAUUUUGGUUUGAGCAUGUGAAGAGGAGAUGUGCAAAUGGCCUAGUGAGCAUAUGUGAGAGGAUGGAUUUAGUGGAUACGAGGAGAGGUAGAUUUAAGCCUACGAGGUAUUGGAGAGAGGUGACUAGACAAGAAAUGACACAUGACUUUAUAUAAGAGCAUCGUAUGGAGGUCGCGGAUUAGGAUAGACGGUCAGUAGGUAGCUGAGCAUUGGUUUGCUUUACAAUAGAAUCUCAGUCAAAUGUUGUUAAUUGGUAGGUACCCUCCAUGAGUCCUUUCCUGGUCAUGUGUCAAUGCCACUUUUGUUAAAGGAUAGGUAUGAUGACUAUCAAUAAUUCCUUUUACAUACCACUUUCUGUCAUAUAAUUAAAAAGCAAAGAUAUGAAAGUGAUCCCAAGUCCCACAUUUGUCUCUCUUUUCAUUAACAUUAACACAUCAUGCCAACUAAGUCCCAAGUGGACUACACUAUGAUUUCAUGUGCUUUAAUAUUGUUACUAUUUAUGUUUACUUUUUUGUUUUCAUUAUGGCUUCUAAAAAUAAAAAAUAAAAAAUAAAAAAUAAAAAAUUAUUUUAGCUUCUUCACGAAGGGAGCCUUGGAGUAACUGGUAAAGUUGUUGUCAUGUGACCAGGAGGUUACGGGUUCAAGCAUUGGAAAUAGCCUCUAGCGGAAAUGCAAGGUUAGACUAUGUACAAUACACCCUUGUGUGGUGGGGCCCUUCCCCGGAUCCUGCCCAUAGCCGGAGCUUUAGUGCAAUGGGAUACCCUUUUUAUUAUGGCUUGUUCAUGAAUUGAGCCGAGGAUUUAACACUAUCUCUAUCUUCACAAAGUAGGGAUGCAAUUUGCGUAUAUAUUACCUUCCUCAUGACUUAAUCAUAAGAUUACGUUGAAUAUAUUGUCAUCAAUUCGAAGCAAGGUAAAAAGAAAACUAACCUUCCUUUAGAUCUUCACCCAAAUGCUAACUGUAAAAUAGGAUAAGACUUCGUACAAUUAUGAGAAGCCAUCGCUCUAUAGUAAAAGAUGUCAUCGUGUGACCAGGAGGUCACAGGUUCAAACCACAUACAGAAAUAACCUCUUGCAGGAAUGUAAGAUUGCGUACAUAUAUAAGAUCCAAUGUGCAUAGAGGGACAUUGGGCAUCAUCUUUCUGAGCAAGAAAAACUGAAUUGGCAAAUACAAAUCAUGACUGCUCUAUAAACUGUUCGAGAGCAAAAAGCGGAAAGCGUUACAGAAAGACAUAGGCUUUUAUGAAUGAUAUCAAGUCAUUUAUACAAAUAAGAACCUUAAAGGUGCACCAAAAGGACAUAAGGGAGAAGUGGCUAUUCCUCGAGAUACGAUGAAUACAUGAAAAAGUACAAUUACAUAUGAAUAUGCAGCCGAGCAAGGCCUUGUUAUUGUUUUAUUCAAAUACAACCACAAUCAAAAUACAAUUUAUGAAGAAUGAAGAUACAAUAGCUCAAGAAAAAGUGGAACUAAAUGUAGAUAGGGGUAUGCAUUCAGUCUAUUUGUAAGUCUGAAUGCCUGUGAGGACAGUCUGAAUUACAGUCAUACUAACCGUGAAAAUAACAGCGAGGAACACAAGGAAACUCCAAGGACCACUAAAGUACCUUUGCUUCACUUCGGAAAAGGCAACUAUUAGAGGGAGGCUUUUACUUUUAAAGUAAGUAGAAAUCUGUCGUUUGACAUGCCUAAGAGCUUGAGGAUUGGACUCAGGAAGCGCUGUUAUAUUUCUCAAGAAUUGAACAAGUUCCUCGUCGCCAGCAUUGAAGAUGACCUGGAGUAUGCCCUUGGCUCGCAGCUCCUUAACGUCUUCCUCUCCAUUAAUUAACAUACUCAUGAAACUCAAGUAAGAUGAGAUUCCAGAGGAUUUAUAUAGUAAGUUGCACGAAAAUUCGUAAGCAACUAGGUUAACUAAAAGGGUCACACCCCAUUCGUCGAUAGUUAGUUUUGGAAGGAAUAACUUCCCCGAUAAGAUAGACGAUUUAAAAUGGAUCUGUAUGGAAGGAUCACUUGCACAGCUGCAUGGAAUACCUGCUUUCUUCAACUCUGUGACUGAGAAAGGCGGGCCACCAGUAAAAUAAUCUUCUUCUUUGUUGUCGUCAUCAUCUUCUUCUACACGAUCUCCAAAUAAUACGUUGAUCCAUAUGUAUCUAUAAUAUUGAAGAAUAUGUACAGGAGCUUGAGCCUCCCACUGCUGAUGUCGAUGAUAAGAUGCACCAAGAAAUGUUGGACUUGGAGCAGAAGAUAUGUUUAACAACGGCAUUUGGAGGAACCUUAUGGUUAAAAGUUGCAACGUAAACUCUUUACAUCUAAAUGCGCGUGCUAACACGUCUAGAACAUGGAAAGGCAAUUGAUUAUCUAACAAUAAAAGGUCACGACGCACCAGAUCUCUAUCAUGUUUCUUCAUAUUCAACCAGCUCCUCCUGCCACCGGUAUCUAUACUGUCGUUGGAGAUGAAUUCAAUAAUAAAGCAGCCGUCGAGGAACAUCAUCUGACACCACUUACGGUCACUUAUACGCUCAAACGAAGUAGAGUAAUAAUUCCUAGUUCCGCGCAAGUGCUCUUCAACACUUGCAUACACUUGUUCAAUGGAUACAUCGUCUACUUUUGCUCUUUCUGCUAAUUCCCUCACUGCUUUCCGCUUGAAAUUCUCCAUAUGUUUAACAUGAGGUUUUCCGUGGUUGAUUGGACCAAUGGAAACCACACGCGGCUCGUAGAACUUGUUAUAAUCUUCCUUUCUAGUAAUCUCAGCAAGUGGAUGUGGAAUACCGAAAUGUAUACUGUGUGUCAAGUCUUCUGUCAGAUUCCGGCCUAACGGAGAGGCAGGUAUAACAAUGAUGGAAUGUAACCAGUUAGCCACUUCAGCGUCGACAGCAUCAGCUUCAUGAAUCGACAUUUGAGAUAUAUAUACACUUAUAUACGUAUAUGCAGAGAAAUAAUAAGAUCAGUUGAACCAUCCCAGCAUAUAUAUAUAUAUAUGUAUAUAUACAUACAUGUAAUGAAAAUUAAGAAUCUACAAUAUAAUCUUGUACUUCAAUUAGUUUCGGCAAAAGCUACAAGUCUGGUAUCUUUUGCUUUAAGAGUGGCUUUAUUCUCAACUUAACAAACUAACAAAGACAAAUUCUAUUAUUCUAAAUUGCCAAAAUAACCAAUUUGGUCCCAAGGUAAGGAAUAACCAGUAACGCGAAAAGAUGCGGUUAAUACAACCAGAACCGCACCCUGUAACCCAAGUCAAUUCGUGAGGUUUUUUAAAUCCGCCGGUGAGAUACACACGAAAUACAUGCAGGAUCAUCAUUAGGACCAUUAUCAUACUUGCCGACCAUCGAUAAACUGAUCGGAUUAACCAACCAAAGUUGGCUGACUGUUGUACAUCCUUAAACAUGCAUGCAACUUUGAACAUCAGUAUGUUUGAAUCUUUUUGAUAACUACUGUUCGGAGGCCAGCUUGCAUGCACCUCGACUAGUUCCUCGAAACAUUUGAAUUCUAUGUCAAUGUUUGUUUAUAGACCAAAGUUAAACAUAAAACCCAACAAAUUAAAAAGAGAUAAUGAUCAUAAACACACUUACAGGCCGUGAACAGCCAACUAUCAUACUACAAAAAUUGUAUAGGUUCGAUCUAUAGUCAUUAGGGUCUCCUAAAACGAUCUACUAAAUUCAUCGAGUUGAACCACUAUUUUCUCGCGAGUUUCACACUAUAACUAUCAGUUGUUGUUCUACCAUCUAUGUAUUAAAAUACGCCUGGUUGAUGAAUUUGUAGAUGUUAAUGAUUCGGAAAAGCGAACAACUGAUAAUUUGACCAAGUUAUCUUUCAUAUAUAUUUUAAUACUUCCUCCGUUUUAAUUUAUUCAUUUGGCUUUGGCUUGACACGACAUUCAACAAAGUAUAAAAAAAAAAAAAAUUUGAAUUUUGUGAUACUAAACAUAUGCGAAAAAUUGAAACUAACCAAAUUGCUUUAUUAAUGCAAUUUCACAAGUUGUUGCAUAAUGGUAAUUAGAAACUUUAUUGGACCAAAUUGCCCUUAAAGUAUAUAUGUAAAUCCAAAUAUAUCCUUAUUAGUCUUUUGUUAAUAAUUUAAAAGAGAAUGUCUCUCUCUUAUUUUAGAUUUUAAUAUUUAAUAAUAAAAAUAAAAUAAACUAAAAUAAUAAAUUAUUAAUUAAUUUUUGAAUAAAUUAUUAUUAAAAUUUUAAGAUUGAUUUAAUACAUUUUGAAUUUAGUAUCAAAAGAUUGAUUUUUAUUUUAUUUCGAGAUAAAAUAGACAAACAAAUAAAAUAAGAAAAAAGAAAAUCUUGAAAGCUAGCUGGUCAUCUUCUUGUUCAUCAUCUACACUGGGACUGACCAUACAUACCUUCACAAUUUGCUUACAGCACACAAAACUGAAAGAGAAAAAAUUAUGGGGUUGAAAAAAUGAGAAUUUUAAGCAACCCCAAGAUGAAAUUUUAAUCAAUUAAAUAUCUUUAUGGUCCAAGAAUUAUUGAGCAAGAAUCUUUAUUUGUGUCAAGAAAUUAUGGGUCAUGCUCAAAUUAGUGUUAAAAAAGACCAUUUUUUCCUAAGUGGAUUUACAUGGAUGGCUUCAAGAUCACUUUCUUGUUCACACAUUGAUGGGGUGAAAAAGCUCAAAGGUACAAUUUUUAUUAGCCCCCUUAAUACCCUUUUGCAUUUUAUUAGUGUUGUAACAACUGGUAAAAUAGUUGGUUCAUUAUAUAUUGAUGGGGUGAAAAACCUUAAUGAUUCAAUUUUUAUUAGCCCCUUUAAUACCCUUUUGCAUUUUAUUAGUGUUACAGCAAUUAGUGAAAGAGUUGAGGUUGAUUAUAUAUUGAUGGGGGUGAAAAAUCUUAAAGAUUCAAUUUUUAUUAGCCCCUUUUGCAUUUUAUUAGUGUUGUAACAAUUAGUAAAAUAGUUGAGGUUGAUUCUAUAUUGAUGGGGUGAAAAAGCUUAAAACUACAAUUUUUAUUAGCCCCCUUUAAUACCCUUUUGCAUUUUAUUAGUGUUGCAACAAUUAGUUAUAAAAUAGUGGUGGCUCAUUUUGGAUUUGGACUCUUUUAGUGUUAUAAAGGUGUAGCCUUUAUGGUGAGCUGGGUUAUCUUGCUAUGCUUUGUAAUCUAUACAUUUUGCUUCUAAAAGAUUAGUUAGUGAGUGUGAAAAAAUUUGGAGGUCUAGUAGAGUGUUUUUUGGAUAACCGUGGUGGCUGGGCCAACUUGCAUUCACCUCGACUAAUUCCAUAGGAUACCUUUAGUGUUUAUCUCUGUUGGGAUUUGAACUUGAGAUCUCAUGGUGCUCGAUCCACUUAAUUGACCACUAGGCCACACCAUUGGGUGCAGAGGUCUAGUAGUUGAAAUGAAAAGUAAUUCUUUCUUGAGAGUUAGCUUGACAAGUUCUUGUUUGAUCUAACUAAUGUUACAAUAAUUAGUACUAAUUGAGGUCGAUUAGAUAUUGAGUCUGCUCAUUUUGGACUUGUUUCAUCACAAAGGCUUCACCUUUAUUUGGUGAUUUCUUCCUAUCUAUUCUAUCCUUGAGUGGAAAGAGUUACCUGGUAGCAACACUGUUGGUGGUGGGAGGUGACAAGUAUUCCGUGUUAAAAUAGUUUGAGGUGCGAGCAAGCUGGCUGGACAACAUGGUUAUUGACACAAAAAAGAAAUACUUGGUGAGUGUGAUAAACUUUGAAGGUUUAGUAGUUGAAAUGAUAUAAUAAUCUUUUUGAGAGUUAGUUGACAAGUUUUCUUGGUUGCUUUGAAUUAUCAUUUGACAUUUGUUUUUCAUUACCCGUUUACAUUUAACUAGCGUUAGCAAUAUUUUUGAACUAGUUGAGGUUGAUUAUAUAUUGAUGUUUGGUCAAUCUGGAACCAUUUCAUCACAAUCAACUAGUUUUAUGCAGAUCGUUCUCCCCUUUAAUUUGGACUUUGGGAUGGAUAUCUGAGUUUGUGCUUUGCAUUGUAGAUAUAUAUAAUUUGCUUCUAAAAGAAUUAGUUAGUGAGUGUGAUAAACUUUGAAGGUCCAGCUGACAAGUUAUGAUAAUCCUUUCCUGAUAGUUAGUUGGAAGUGUGGACAAGAAAUCAUGUAGUGUUUUUGCCUCCAUUGAGUUUUAAACCUGGGACCUCAUGAUUCUCAACUCACCUCAUUGACCACUAAGCUACCCCCAUGGAUGGAGAAGUGUCAACGAGCUCUUGGUUGCUUUGGAUUCCCAUAUAACAUUUGUUUUUGUUUUGACUUUGAUGGUUAAGCUGCAAUGACGUCUUAAUUCAAGUAGACACUGUAUCUUUCAUAUUUUAUAAAGGAAGCAUCUUUAGCGCUUUGGAUAUUUGGAUUGUUCUCGUGGUUGCAAAUUUUCGUAUUUCGUAAUAUAAGAGCAAUUGUUAGGUGUACAAUUAGUAUUUUCUAAACUAAACCAACAAAGUUUUCUUGGUAGAAGAGUUGCUUUUAUUCAUGUAUUUGCCAAUCAUGGGAGAUGUCUUUGACUUAAAAACUCUUAUUUAGGAUGAUAUUAGUUAAGAAAAGUAUUCUUUUCACCGUACUAUAGUAAAUUUUAGCUCGAAUCCCAUGCUAAUAUUUUGGCCUUUUGUCCCUGAAGGACUCAGAUAUAGGAAUCUAUCAUCUCAAAUUGUUGGAAAGUUCAGUCAAAAUACUCAAGAUAUCUCACAAGACUUCGAGCUUCCAUUCGCAUAUGAAACUGCCAUGGAAGCUCUUUCAACUCUCAUUACUCAGAAAAAAAGAAAUGGCACAUCAGCCGUUAAUGGUCAAAAUCAGAAAUUGGACAGAAUGUUGAGGUACAUUAAGGUAGUGCCUUUUUUAGCUGGGAUUGUUUCUCCUUUAAUACUUGCGUGCAUCUUUCUGGUACCGGUCUUGCCUUUUUAUUUAUGUUUGACUACGGUUUCCAAAUAUGCAGUAAACUGAUUGUAAUAUUUUUUUUACUUCGGUAAUGAUACCGCUUUUUUGAGUUGUGAUUCAAAUAAACUUCACUGUUCCUUGGCAUCUAUGUUUUGGGGAACAUGUUGAAUCAAAUUUUUUCUUAAAAAAAAGAACUUUUCAUCAGAUGUAAGAUGUUUAUCUUUCGUUAGGAACACGUCUGUACAUGAGUUUAAGAAUACAUGAGACGCACCUUUGUCUUUGGUAAAUUAGAUAGUUUCAUUAAUCAUAGCACUAAGUGGUGCUAAAAGCAAAUACAGGAACAAUGGAUUUAUUUACACUCCAUCGACAUACAAGGAUUUAAGAUAUUUAGAGUAGCAUCAAAGCCAUAUACGUUCUUCAAUUUGACACAAAAAACUUAGAAGAACGCCAUUCAAAAAUUUCAGAGAGUAGUUGCUCUUGUUAUUUUUCUUCUUCAAAAUAUCUGCUAUUUCUCUUCAGCCGAAGAGUCCAUAAAUGCACGAAAGAGGUGUUCUCCAUAUUGUUCCUAGCUGCUUCAUUUUUUUGUCAAGUCUUAAUUAGUGAUUUGGCAUACCCCGCUGCACUCCAAGAACGAUUGAGGAAUAAGCACCAGGACUGCCGUGUCUUGCGCAAUUUAUACAUAUGUUAUUUGGGGGACUUUGGAGCACAUUCAUACAUGUAGGAUCUGUUCCAAAAGAAGUAAUCUUUUUAGGUUUGCAUCUAGACAUGUUUACGUUAUAGCUAACCAUCUAAAGCAGGUUACUUUAUGGGGUGGGGGCUUUUGUCUUCUGAAUUAUUUUAGGCAUUUGUAUUACUCUCUUCUCUCCAUUAAUUAACAGUUAUAACAAAAUGCACUUUAAACUUCCCUUCUUUCUUCAUUUUCCAGCACAAGGUGUUACCUCAGAAGAUGUAGUUUCUUAUUCCCGUAGCUUUAGAAGAAGUAGUGACACUCGCUUAAUUUCCCACUCCAGAGGAUUUCUUGUGACGUUAAUUUGCCAUCCAUUUUCGUCUCUGCUAUCUGCAAUUGUGGCAUCUUUUUGCAAUUCCAUGUAUAAAUCUGGAAUUUAUUCUUUGAAAUUGAAGUGCUCUAUCCAUAGUUCAUGGCAUAAUCUUAUCUUGCUUUCCAUUGCUUCUUUAGGCCUUAAUAAUGUAAAAUUUGCUUCCAUAUUUCUACUCGUAGAACGUAUUUAAGAUGCACUUGUUAAUGUUUUGACAACAUAUACCUUAUGCUUGUUUUAAUAACCUGAUCAUGAGAGCUUGUUGCCAUGGUAGAAGAAAAAACUGAUGCAUUAGAGGCCUACCCUGAUUAUGGAGUCUUAUCCACAAAAUCUCAAUAUGGAGAUCUAAUAAUUAAUUUACAGAUAUAUAUCACAAAGUUUCCUAGUUACAACUAGAUUGAUGGAGGAAUAUGUUUGAGUGUCGGUGGUCAACCAUUCUCCAUGCCAUUGAGAUUAGAAAUUGGUGCAGUUAGCGAAUCUCAAGGUAAUUUCUUCCCAGCUGCCUAACCCUAGGUGGGUGGAAUUACCUGUACCUGUGUACCAUUGGUUGUAUGAUAGCAGUUAUUAGUUUGGAACUUCAUAACUUUCAAAUUACAAGAAUGCUGGUUAUUAAAUAUAUUUUAAAAAUAAUGUACGCCUAAUAAGGUAUUGUAUUUCUGUUGCAGAUUUUGGGCUUGGAGGAAAAGAUAGCUGGCCUUAAGAUUAUCCAUGUUGCUGGAACUAAAGGAAAGGUAUCUCGUAGUUGAUAUUAUGAUUAAUGUAGACAUCCAGUUAUCUUCUCAUUGACAGCUCAAAGGAUGUCUGUUUCUUAUGGACCUUCAAGUUUUUUCUUCUUUUUGAACCUGUCUUUUCUGUAACAUUUGAUCCAACUCAUUCCGUUAUCCUUGAUGGUUUGAUGUGAUGCUUCCUGUUAAAAAUAUGAGAUCCAAUAUGUUUAUAAAUUUAAAACAAAAGGGGGUUGAUUAAAUGGUAAGCACCCUCCAUCUCCAACCCUAAGGUUGUGGGUUUUCUUCAUCAAGGGAGUAAAUAAAAGGUGGGACAUCCUAGGGAGGGAUUUUUUUUAAAAAAAGAGAGUUAUGUCCUCUGAAAUGGUGAACGCAUGUGCUAGAUUCUCUUGUAGAUUUUUGGAUAUUAGGCUUAUCUUUGAUGGUUAAGUUGCUAACAUAUACUGCAUGUCUAUACAUCUUUAUGGUAACCUGUCAGUUUCCAGGAAUUCAACAAUAUUUAAUGUUGGUGUGCAUGUGUAGUGUAUAUGACGAAUAUUAUGCAUAGGUUUGAAUUUGAUAUUCCUUGAGUAUUUAUGUUGGUCUUCUGAAGUUGGGAUUUACUCAACUCCAAAAGUUAGUCCACUCUCAAUCAAUGUGGACUCUAACCACCCUCAUGUACACACCCGGGGGCCUGGAUCUUUGUAGCGUGGACAAUAUAACAUAGGGGCCCAAAAUUGACUUAACUAAGAACAAAGCUGGGUUUGACUUUGAUACAAUGAUAAAGAAAUUGACAUUGGGCUCAAUUCAACCCUAAAAGUUAAGAUCAUGCUGCGAGGAUUGUCCAAUGCUAUAUAAAGAAACUACCGUCCAUACCCUCAAGGCCUCAACCAUUGUUGGGCUCUAACAUGUUCCACUAAUUGGCUGCAAUUGUCCAGCAUCUAACAUUCACCAGUGCCAGAACAAGUGCAAAUUGGAAAAACUUUUCUAGAGAAGUGUUAUGACUUCAGUUGUUCUUUUAAUUUUUGGGUGGAAAAUCAACCAUGUUGACUUGAUGGCAAUUAAGAUAUUUCCCAAGUGCAAAAAUUCUCUAUCAUUCAUAUAUUGUCUCUGUUCAUGUCUACAAUUCAUUUCAGGGCUCAACAUGUGCAUUCUGUGAAGCAAUUUUACGGGAGUGUGGUUUCAGAACAGGACUUUUCACUUCACCACAUUUGAUCGAUGUUAGAGAAAGAUACCGUCUUGAUGGGUAUGUAUUCUUGUUUUUGAAUUUUCCUACUUUUGUUAGAACAUCUUCCGUGCUGUUUCAUUAAUUUGGGGGGGGGGAGGGGGGUAUCAUUUUUAUUUAAUAAAAUGGAAUACUUUUUGAGGAAUUACGCAACAGUUAGUGAUUUUCCACCCUCAUUUCACUUCUCAUAAAAAGAUAAAACCAAUACUUUAGGUAUUCCAAUCUUUUCCCGGUCAUCAUCCUAAUAAGUGCACCCAAUGAGGUUUUCCCUGAACAGAAUCAAUAGAUAGGGAAUAAGUCAAUAGCCUGUCGAUUUUAAGUGCUACUUGGUAUGUCUUGAAGUACACAAGGGAUCCCUACUCAAAUUUCAAAUUGAACUUCAUUGAUGCUAAUUAGCUUUCUUUAUGUGAUUGAUGUCUUUCCUAUAUUUGAUUGUAGUUUAAUUAUUGAUGAAAUUUCUCAUUCCAUUACAACGUGUUUAGGAUGGACAUAUGCCAGGAAAAUUUUCUUCAAUACUUUUGGGAUUGUUGGAAUCAGCUCAAGGUAUUCUUUCAUUUUCGGCUCUGUGCUGGAUGACAAGAUGCCUCUAUCUAAUUAUACCGGUGUAUCUUCCUUGUUACCUUGACUACAUGUCAGUUGGUUCUCUUUUUCGCAUUUAGAUAGUCUUAAGUAUCUUUUCUGGUUUAAAAAUGAAGAAGUUCUUCGUCAUUAUAAUUCAACAUUGCAAUGGGAUUACACCAAAUUGGAAAGAUCAUGUUAAUGCUAGAGAUGUCUAGAUCAGUGUAAUUUUAUUGGUUCACUUGUUUUGUAGGAAUCCUUCACUUGCUCGAUCUAACAUCUCUCGACUUCACCAUUCCUUGAUACACACUCUCUGAUAUAGUAUAUAUGAUUUACUUUAAGCUCAUGUUAAGAAUUUUUUUUUUAAUUUUGUUUUAGUGGUUUGUGUUGGAUGAGAGUAAAAUAUUAUUUUCCAAAACUUCUUAUGGUUAGUUUUUACUCAUCCCAAAAAUGUUAAUUUGCAGGCGAACAUCUCUGAAGACUUGCCUAUGCCUCCUCUCUUCCAGUUCCUUACUGUAUUGGCUUUUAAAAUUUUUGUGAGCGAGAAGGUAGAAACAUGUUCUCUCUAUUUUGCUUGAUUUUUAAAUGCCUUCAAUGCGUGAUUUGAAGUUCCACUGAUAUGGUUUGACUUGACUUCUAGUGUUUAUCUUCUCUUUUCUAUGACGUGCUUGGAAGCUGUAUACAAUUCAUAUAUGGUAGUAUUGCCAUAUGAGAAUACUGGUGUUGCUCUAAAGAAUGAUGGCCGUAGAAAACCAGAACCUGGAAUAAAAUUAUUGAAUGAACAAAAACUAAGUUAUUAGUCCUGGAACAAACAUGCUACAUACAUGCCUUGAUGUCUAUUUGUGACCAAAUUGUGUCAUUUCUGACACUUUGUAAAUGAAAUAUGUUUAAUGCUUUUUCUCUUACCCUAAUGGUGUUACAGAACUAUAGAAUAAUUUCUUCUUUUUAUUGAUAAGUAGUGCUAUUGAAGGGGGGUAGAAUAGUAGUAUCGACAAAAGUGUAUCAAUAGCUGAAACUUUCCGAGUUAUCAUGGUAUGGCUAGGAGGUCAUAUAUUUAAUCCAUAAAAGCAGCUUCUUGCAGAAAUAUAUGGCAGUAUUACUUCAAUUGCCCCAAUGAGCCCCGACCGUUUCCCGUAUCCCACAAAUAACGUGAAUUAAUCAUCGGGCUAGCCUCUUAUGGAUAAGUAGUGCUAUCGGAUAAAUUUCAUACCCAAAAGUCUUUAGUGGUAAGAAAAAGGAGUAUUCUUUCUUUGAUAGGUAAAGAAAACAUUCAUUAAAAAAAUGUGAAAGAAUAUUGAUAGAUGUAGAUUACUUUUGAGUCAGAUAGUUGAUUACAUUAUUCUUAAUUGCUCGGUUGAUUACAUUAUUCUUAAUUGCUCGUAUGUGGAUCAUUUGGAGGGAUAGAAAUAGGAGAGCUUUUGAGGAGACUAAGAAUGAUUUUGUACAUUUGAAGAACAGCCUUUUGUCUUUGAGUGCUUUUUGGUGAACCCUUGAGAUUCCUACUUGUACAGAUGGUAGGUGUCUUUCGUAGCGAAUCAUGUUUAAUUGUAGAUUCUCUACUUUUGGAAUACCUCUUGUAUAUGAGGGUUUUCCUACUGUUGAUGAUGUUAUUUACCUUAUAAAAGAUUAUUCUCACUUGCAUCUCCGUAGCCUAUGUUUGAGUUUUCCAACAAGAACAAAACAAGUGAACCUCAACCAUUAUGUAACAAGACUUUCUAUACCUUCACAGGUUGAUGUUGCCAUCAUUGAAGUUGGUCUCGGAGGAAAACUGGAUUCAACAAAUGUGGUAAUGCAUCUUAUCGUGUAUUCAUGUUGCUCCAACAUAUAAUAUAUGCCAGGUAGCAUAGAUGUUGGAAAAAUCUUUUCUGUUCUUUGUUGGGAAAUAAUAUGUUGAGCCUUGGCAUUGAUGAUCGUGUAAUUAAUUGAUGAAACAAUUUUGCAGAUUAAGGAACCCAUUGUCUGUGGUAUUACUUCUCUGGGUAUGGAUCACAUGGAAACUUUAGGUGUGGCCUUCUGUCCUCUAUGGACUUGUUUGUUACUUUCUAUAUGAUGUUAGAAUGAGAAAACGAGGAGAAGAGAUUGACAAAAUGCGUAAAUACUACUUUAAUCCUGUUAGAAUAUGUAUAGGAAUAGGAAUAGUAUACAGAAUCCUACUUAGAAAAGGAUUGUAAUGUAGUGUCACUAUAAUUACGUAGACACACAAUUCAAUAAUAUUUUUUCUCCAUUAUUACUCACAUGGUAUCAGAGCUAGGCCCAUCCCAAAUCUUUGUUCACCGAUGUUGGGCCCCCAUAUUAUAUUGUCCACGCUCCAGUUAACGAGGCCUGGCGUGCGGGGGAAUGUUAAGCAUCCCACAUCGGAAAAGGAAUGGGUAAUUGGUCUCUUUAUAUGGACUUGGGCAAUCCUCCCCUCAUGAGCUAGCUUUUGAGGUUGAGUUAGGCCCAAGAUCCAUUCUUUACAAAUCCUUUUAUGACACACUUUACCAGAUAGAUAUCUAUAUUAUGCUCGGGGGGACACCGAUAUUCUAUUAAUUCGGGUAUUAAAUAUAGAAUAGCAUUUUCAUUUUAAGUGUUGUUGCUAACCCUAGAAUGAAUAUUAAAUGUCUCUAAUUUAUAACAACGUAAAUUUUUAGUUGAGACGUGAUAAAAUGUCUAAUAAAAGCAUACACAAGCCAGAAGCAUGGUUCAUAAGCACUCAGCAGCUUCAACUUAGAUAUGCUAUUGAAUGUGUUAGAAUUGUGUGAACAUCUCAUCUAAAAGUUUAAGUUGUUCGAGAUGACACAUCUUUUUGGACCUGAUUCUUUUUAUUCAGAUAAGCGCAUGGAAAUUCUUUUUAAUAAUGGCUUUGCUGGAUGGCUACCAGAACACCUUUUUGAUAUACUUGUUUAUCUGCCAACUAUAAUGUGUAGGAGAUACACUAGGCCAGAUUGCUUCUCACAAGGCCGGCAUUCUUAAGGUUCUCACGUUUGUGCAAUUUCAGAAUUGUGAUAUGUUUUUGCUUAUAUCUUGAACUGGCAGUUAAAUUAUGAAGUAUUUUCUGAAUUGGUUUGGUUUUCCUAUUCGUGAAGCCUCAAAUUCCUGGAUUCAGCGUACCACAACUUUCUGAAGCAAUGGAAGUUCUUCAAGAAAGGGCCAAUGAGUUGAUGGUAAUCUACUCGUGACAUUAUGUUUGGAUUCUCGUUAGACUAGUGGCUAGCAUUUAUUUACCUUCAAAAUCAUGUCUUGGGAUCACACCCUUUUCGUAAAACUCAAUCAAGUUUCUUACAUAUAGGCAGUUUCUAUUGAUGUAAUAUUUUCGUUACCCAUAAUCCCAUAAUUUGGAUGGGUCUAAAAUAUUUCCAUGAACUGAAGAAUCAUGAUUUGAAAAGUGACUAUCAUUUUUAUCCCAUGGAAACUGGCAAGCAAAUUUCACAUAUCUUUGAAUGUUUCUUGUCGCCAGAAUUUCAUUUCCUUGUACGUAUAUAUCGCUCUACAUGGACACGCAAAUCAAAACUAGAUGCAGAAAACAGUUGUAUAAUCUCAGGAAAGAUGUAGAUAAGUUACUAGCUUAUUGAACCAUUCAUCGUGUAACCAUACAAUGAGACAAAGGAUAGUGAAUUGAGAUAAACUCGUGUUAAUCUUUCCCUCAAGCUACUGGGUUUUAAUAGUGAGUGAACAACAGUUAGAGAGGAAAUAUCCUGACUUCCUGAUUACAAGAAAGAUUCGAUCUAAUUAAUUCUGACCAAUCCUAAUUGGUACAUAGUAUCAGUUAAAAUAUUCUUGACACUGGCUACUAUCCUCUCUUUCCAUCAGUUCACUAUCUACAAUAUAUGUAUCUACACAACAACAACAACAAACCCAGUGUAUUCCCACCUAGUGGGGUCUGGGGGGGUAAGAUGUACGCAGUCCAUACCUCUACCUCUAAAGAAGUAGAAAGGCUGUUUCCGAUAGACCCCCGGCUCAAUAUAUGUAUCUACACAGAAAUUUCUAAAUACUAUCUCUGUCCAUGCAGAUUCCACUGGAAGUUGUCGCACCACUAACCUUGGAAAAGUUAAAUGGAACAAGGCUAAGCUUGUCUGGUGACCACCAGCUCAGUAACGCUGCCCUUGCUGUAUCCCUUUGUAAAAGUUGGCUUAGAGGUACAGGGAACUGGAAAAGGCUGUUUGAAGAUGUUGGUACUCUCUUUAUUCUCUCCUCUGCAUUACUCUGCAUAUGGGAAUUACAUUUUUACAUACCAACCAAUAUUCAUAUUCAUGAUUUUUCCAGACAAGUAUUAAUAUCAGUAAAGCCUGUGAUUUUUGAAAUAGACCCUUGUGGUCGGGUCUUCCCCAGACCCUGCACAUAGCGGGAGUUUUAGUGCCCCGGGCUGCCCUUUUUGCCAGUUUUUAUUGGAUGUGGGGAUUUCAAUCCCUCUCUUUUCUCAUCUAAGCUCGCGCUCUCUCUUUACCAGUGUUACUGUAUUUAUUUUAUUAGUCAAAGUGGCUCAGGAAGAGUGAUCCAGACUUAUUGUAGUCGUAUGUCAUCUAGCUCUAUUAUGAUGCUAUUGAUCUUUUCUUGGCAUCAAAUAGGCAUAUGAGGAAGACGGUCUACCAGAGCAAUUCCUGAGGGGCCUCUCAGCUGCACGUCUUUCUGGAAGGGCUCAGAUUGUUGUUGACCCUCUGAUCAAUGCAUCUGGAGGAAAUAAAAGGGUUUCAGGAGAUCUGACCUUCUACCUCGAUGGAGCUCACAGUCCUGAGAGCACUUAUGCUUGUGCAAGAUGGUUUUCUGCUGCUGCGGUUGAACGAAAAGACCUGUCACUUUCAUCAGUUUCCCCGGGAGUUGAGACGACGGAGACAGCUUGGACAAAGGGUUACAUCAAACAUUGUCAUAACAAGGAGCCGGACGAAAUAUUGAAGCGGGUAAAAGAAACCUCAUUUUUGAUGCAUGAUAUUUGGUUCUUCUGCAUUACAUAAAUAUCAUGCUAUGGUGUUUUCUGUUCCUCUAAUUCCUGUCUAUGUUGAGUGGCAUGCUUUAUGAUUAAGAUGGUCUCUGUAAUGCAGAUUCUGUUAUUCAACUGCAUGGAUGCAAGAGAUCCUCAAAUUCUUCUUCCUAAGCUUGUCGAUACUUGCGCAUCAUCAGGUAUUGAACAAGAUAACCAUGCAGCAAUUCGUUGUUGUCAUUGAUGUUUGCCUCUGCAGACUGGGAAUUGCAUUCCAUUUGGGUUCUUUGAGACUAGAAGAGAUGGCACAAGUGAUGUUCCUUCUGUGUUACACUUGUAUACCACGAAACACAUGUUUGGUUGUUUGUAUAGGCAUCAACUUUGUUCCUCGAACAGCAUCAGAGCUGAUAUGCUAUUUGUUUUCUUUGUACUAGGAAUAACAUACGAUGGCUUUGCUCAUUAGCUGGUUGGCUUGAAGGAAAAAAAAAGUAGCUCAGAAAUGAGAAGCAGUUGGGGUGAACUGAGGGUUCGUGUGGGAUAACGAUGUGACUAGUUAUAUGAAUUGAUUGGAUUCACAAAGUUAAUAAAUCUAAGUUCGUAUCAACUUUUUUGGUAAAAAAGUUCACCGUGCAAUUCACAAGUAGUUCUAUUUUCAAAGCUUAAUAUGUACAAGUUGACUGCUCUUGCAUACAUUGUCUCUCAGUCGGUGCUUAUGACAAUGAGAUCCGGAGCUUUGUUAAUCUCGCCCAACUUACGGUGUGAGGAAUCAGAUAAUAUCUGAUUGGAGGCUAAUCUUAUGCUUCCGAGAUGUUUGAAGUAUUUCUAAUUUGACCCUCUUGAUCUUUAAGGUGGAUUCGUGUAGAGUCCAAAUAGAAUGUGCCUCGACACCUUGUUCGUCUAGUUCAAGGAAGAUCACGGAAAGCACUUUGAUGUCUCGUUUUAAAUGUCUCUCUUGUUAAAUGAAGAGGAGAUCCCAUUGAGAGUAAUAAGUGGUUGAUAUGAAUGUUCCCUUUUACAGGCAUUUACUUCUCAAAAGCUAUUUUUGUGCCAAGCAUUUCGGUACAUACCAAGGUUACUUCUGCUACCUCUACUAUACCCUCAUACGUUCCUGGAAAGGAUUUGUCAUGGCAGUUUAACAUUCAGAGAAUUUGGGAGAGAAUCAUUCAUGGCAAAGGUAAGUCCUGCACUGUUCGUUGGUAACUGGCUCGUCUUACUUUUCUCUUGCAUGAUUUGUGCCUCUUAAGAAAUGACAUAAUACAUAAAUAGAUACUCAAACUUGGCCUCAGCUUAGGCACAUAUUGACACCUCAACUGACAACUAAAUACUCCAACUCGUCCCCACUCUAUCUAGUGGACAACUGACGUGGAACAUAAAUUUUGUAGGUUUCUAGAUGAUCAUUUUGUAAGUGGGAAUGUUCAACUGACACAGUGGAGAUGAGUUGAGGUGUCUAGAUGUGCUUACUUGCCGGAGGAGAUCAAGUUUGAGUAUAUGUUUAUGUAUUAUGCCUUAAGAAGUCCUAGGUAGCCUGCAUUUCUCCAGAACAAGGUUGUCGUCUGUCUUAAAUAGAUGAUUAGAGCAGACUGCAUCUAAACAUAACCUAAAAAAGGAAUGCUCACCUUAUGUAUGUUCGGAAGUGAUCAACCAUUUCAAUUUGACACCAUGCAUCGUUUCUUGGUUAAGGAUCCUCCUGAAAUGGUUGCUUAUACGCUAAAAGCCGGGGAUCACUAAUCCAUCUAGAAACCUCAUGUAUCUUCCUGUUUAAUGCAGAUGUUCUCGAUCAGGAUCUCAAGAUAAAUGCCUCGGCAGGCUUGCCACCCCGCGAAUUCCUUUACAAAGAGGCGUCUCGUUACUGUCCAGAAGAUAGAUAUUUUGCGUCCAGUGCGGUUUUUCCUUCGUUACCAUUGACAAUAAAUUGGCUGAGGGAUUGUGUUAGAGAAAACCCUUCCCUUAGACUUCAGGUACAUAACACUGCUGGAAAUAUCACAUUCAUUACAACUCUUUUGUAGUAUGACAUACAGGAUAAGCCUGCUUGCGUUGGACUCUUAGAGGUUUUCGUACAUGUAUACUAGUCGUAGAUGAAGGGGGAGCCUUGGAGUAACUGGUAAAGUUGUUGUCAUGUGAUCAGGAGGUCAGGGGUUCAAGCCUUGGAAACAGCCUCUGCCUCUGUCAGAAAUGCAAGGUAAGGCUGCGUACAAUACACCCUUGUGGUGGGGCCCUUCCCUGGACACCGCGCAUAGCGGUAGCUUUAGUGCACCGGGCUGCCCUUUAUACUAGUCGUAGAUGAAGGGGGGAGCCUUGGAGUAAAUGGUAAAGUUGUUGUUAUGUGACCAGGAGGUCACGGGUUCAAGCCUUGGAAACAGCCUCUGCCUCUGACAGAAAUGCAAGGUAAGGCUGCGUACAAUACAUCCUUGUGGUGGGGCCCUUCCCUGGACACCGCGCAUAGCGGUAACUUUAGUGCACCGGGCUGCCCUUUUAUUCUAGUCGUAGAUGACGGGUUGAACUUUUAGUGUUAUGCUCCGGUUGUCUACAUCACACCCUUUGGGUGGCGCCCUUUGUGCACCGGACUGCCCUGUUUUGUCAUAGAUGGCAUCACGAGUUCACUUGCAACGUUAGAGUUUCAGGUUGACAGAGAUGAAUCCUUUUUCUCGAUUUUCAUUGAUAAAACUCGAGAAUAUAAUGCUACUACAUGAAUCCUAACAAGUAACCAACUCGAUCGUAAAUGUCACUUAGAGCUUUCGUAUGGCAGAUAAUUUCAUGCUUAUUUUGGUUAUCACCCCACGUGUCUUAUUUUACGUGCUUGUUGUAGCUGAAACAAAAAGACAUUUAGUUCCUGAUGAAUAUUUGAGGUUAAUGAAGAUGAUAUAACAUCACAAAUGCACACUGCUAGGCUGGAACAAUCGAAUUUCUGACUCUACUUCUUUUUCCAGGUUCUUGUCACCGGUUCAUUGCAUCUCGUUGGCGAUGUAUUGAAGCUACUAAGGAGGUAAUGUUGCAUUUCCUUCCACGGGUGGUCGGGGGCAGUUGAUGGAGCGCGUGAUAUCCUCAGAUCAAUUUUGAGAGUUUCUCACAACUUGAAUUUUGUUCUAUUGUUAUUAUUGUCAUGGGGUUUUCGUUUCAACAAAACGACAACAUACCCUAUGUAAUCCGACAAGUGGAGUGGGGUCUGGCGAGGGUAGUGUCUAUCAUUUUAUUUUCGAUGUUCAUUAAUUAAUUUACGCUGACAAUGUUUCAUCUCGAAAUUGGAAGAGAUGGCACUGAUGCAGUUGCUCAAUUUGUUUUCAAUAAUUUCACAGAUUACAGAGCUUUGUAACACCUUAUUUGAAUGGUUAUUAUUUGUCCGUCUCAUAAUGUAUCUUAUUGUAUUGUAUUGAAUUGUACUGGAUUAUUAAUUAUUUUGAGAUUGUAAUGUGAUUUUUAUCCUAUACUAAGGAUAAUUAAUCCCGCGAUAACUUGUUUCUCAACCAAACUACCACAAGUAUACAAUCACCUCUGUCGGGAAUUAUUUUUUCUGGCGCGAAUAAAAAUAUUCAAAUAAAAGGUUCGUUUAACUGACAGGAAAUGUUCAAGAACGCGGAAUGAAUUCAAAUUUACUCGAGCACCAAUACAAGAACUAAUUAAGAAUUCAAAAUAAAUUCAAAUUUAGUCGAGCGUCAAUAUAAACCUCACCCUCUUGCCAAAUCAACACUCGUAUUUAAUUGAACUUCAAUAUAAACUCUAAUCAAGAACACCAACACAAACACUAAUUAAGAACUCGGAAUGCAAUUCAAAUUUAGUCCAACGGCAAUACGAACAUACUCAAACUCGGAAAUGACCUCAUUUCACUGCCACCAGCAACUUCACUCUUCUGGCAAAACCCUACCUCUCUUACCAAAUCAACGCUCGUAUUUAGUCAAACUCCAAUAUAAACACUAAUCAAGAAUGAAUUCAAAUUUAGUCGAAUGUCAAUACGAACACUACUCAAACUAGGAAAUGAGCUCAUUUCACUGCCACCAGCAACUUCACUCUUCCUGCAAAAACCCCACCUCUCUUACCAAAUCAACGCUCGUAUUUAGUCGAACUCCAAUAUAAACACUAAUCAACAACUCAUAAUGAAUUCAAAUUUAGUCGAACGGCAAUACGAACACCACUCAAGAACUCGGAAUGAGUUCAUUUCACUGCCACCAUUAAUCGAACUUCAAUAUAAACACUAAUCAAGAACACUGAACACCAACACAAACACUAAUCAAGAACUCGGAAUGCAAUUCAAAUUUAGUCGAACGGCAAUACGAACACUACCCCAAAUUCGGAAAUGAGCUCAUUUCACUGCUACCACCACCUUCACUCUUCCUGCAAAAACCCACCUCUCUUACCAAAUCAACGCUCGUAUUUAGUCGAGCUCCAAUAUAAACACUAAUCAAGAACUCGGAAUGAAUUCAAAUUUAGUCGAACGGCAAUACGAACACUGCUCAAACUCGGAAUGACCUCAUUUCACGGCCACCAACUUCUUCUUUCUUCCUGCAAAAGCCUCACCUCUCUUACUCAAAUCCAUGCUCGUAUAAUCACUUCAGGCUAUAAUUUCAACAUUCCCAUCACAACCCACCUCAUAAAUCUUUACUCUUCCUUCAAAAAAUCCAAUUUUUCUCGCACCCUUUUCGAUUUAACACCAAACCCACCUCUAAUUCUAUGGAAUUCAAUGAUCAGAGCUUAUAUAAGAGCAAGUCAGCAUCAAGAAUCACUGAAAAUGUACAGUUUAAUGUCCGAAAAAGAGCGUAUUGAGCCGGAUAAGUAUACGUUUACAUUCGUGCUGAAAGCUUGUACAGGGUUAUCUAAUUUUGAAAAGGGUGUAAAGAUUCAUGAAGAUGUAGUGAAAAGGAAUCUUGAAAAUGAUGUCUUUAUUGGGACUGGACUUAUUGAUAUGUAUAGUAAAAUGGGUGAUUUGGUGAGUGCUUGGAAGGUGUUUGAUAAAAUGCCUGAGAGGGAUGUUGUUGUUUGGAAUGCAAUGAUUUAUGGGGUUGCACAGAGUGGAGAGGCGGUUAAGGCAGUUGAACUUUUUAAGAAAAUGCAAAUUGUUUGUGAAAUUAGUCCUAGUUCGGUUACGUUGUUGAAUUUGCUUCCUGCAGUUUGUAAAUUAAGGGAUGUGAGGGUGUGUAGGUGUAUUCAUGGUUAUGUGUAUAGGAGAGUGUUUCCGGUUUCGGUUUAUAAUGCGUUGAUUGAUGCGUACGCGAAAUGUGGUUAUGACAAUGUUGCUCGACGAGUUUUUGAUGAGUUGAGGGGGAAAGAUGAUGUUUCAUGGGGUACAAUGAUGGCAGGUUAUGCAUAUAAUGGGAAGUUUUACGAGGUUUUGGAAUUGUUUGAUUGGAUGAAGAGUUUGGGCUUGACAAUGAGUAAAGUAUCGGCUGUAAGUGCAUUGCUUGGUACUGGUGAAGCGGGUGAUUUAGAGAGAGGGAUAGAAAUUCAUGAACUUACGAUUGAAGAAAUGAUUGAUUCUGACGUUAUUAUUGCUACUUCUUUGAUGACAAUGUACGCAAAGUGUGGAGCGGUAGACAAAGCUAGAGAUCUGUUUUGGGGAAUUAAUGGAAGAGAUUUGGUUGCUUGGUCUGCAGCGAUAGCUGCUUUCGCACAAUCAGGAUGUCCUCAAGAGGCGCUUUCUCUGUUUCGAGAUAUGCAGAAUGAGUACUCACAGCCAAAUAGCAUUACUUUAGUCAGCGUAAUCCCAGCCUGCGCAGAGCUAAGGGCAGUGAGAUUAGGAAAGAGUGUCCAUUGUCAUGCCAUCAAAGCCGGUAUGGAUUCUGAUAUUUCAACGGGAACUGCAUUGGUUUCCAUGUAUGCUAAGUGCAACCUGUUUAGUUCUGCACUUAAUCUGUUCAAUAAGAUGCCACUGAUUGAGGUAGUGACAUGGAAUGCUCUGAUAAAUAGGUAUGCCCAGAUAGGUGACUGUUAUAACGCAUUAAAAAUGUUUUGCCGAUUAAUAUUAGCUGGAUUUUGCCCAGAUCCAGGAACAAUGGUUGGUGUGCUUCCAGCUUGUGCUUCCCUGGAUGAUGUACGCUUGGGAAUGUGCCUUCAUUGUCAAAUUAUCAGAUACGGGUUUGAGUCAGACUGUCAUGUGAUGAAUGCUCUAAUUGACAUGUAUGCCAAAUGUGGAAGUUUAUCAUCGGCUGAGUUCAUGUUCAACAAAACCGAGUUCUCUAAGGAUGAGGUGUCCUGGAACACAAUGAUCGCAGGAUACAUGCAUAACGGACUUGCCAAGGAAGCCCUUUCUGCAUUCCAUUCCAUGAAAUUUGGAUCGUUUCAGCCCAAUGUCGUCACAAUAGCGAGCAUCCUGCCUGCCGUGUCACAUUUGACGUACUUGAGAGAGGGCAUGACUAUACAUGCCUAUAUAAUCAAGAGUGGCUUUCAGUCCCAUAAGCUUGUUGCCAACAGUCUUAUCGAUAUGUAUGCCAAAUGUGGUCAACUUGACCUUUCGGAGCGUGUAUUUGAGGAGAUGGAGAACACUGACAGCGUUUCUUGGAAUGCUUUACUUACAGCGUAUUCUAUGCAUGGGGAAGGUGAUCAUGCUCUUUCAGUCUUCUCUCUAAUGGAGAAGAGAGACGUCGAGGUUGAUUCUAUAUCCUUCCUUAGUGUCUUGUCUGCAUGCAGACAUGAAGGCUUGGUUGAAGAAGGAAGGAAAAUUUUCCACCGCAUGCGCGACAAAUAUCACAUCGAACCUAAUGUGGAACACUAUGCCUGUCUGGUAGACUUGUUAGGACGUGCUGGCUUGUUUAGUGAAAUUAUGGAUCUACUUAAGACGAUGCCUAUGGAACCAGAUGGUGGAGUUUGGGGAGCGUUGCUGGAUGCAUCGAGAAUGCAUUCUAAUAUCGAGAUAGCAGAGGUUGCCUUGAAGCAUCUUGUCAAAAUCGAGCAAGGAAAUCCAGCUCAUUAUGUGGUAUUGUCAAGUUUAUAUUCUCAAUCUGGUAGGUGGAAUGAUGCCGUUCAUACUAGAGUAAAGAUGAACGACAUUGGAUUGAGAAAGAAUCCAGGAUAUAGUCGGGUUGAGGUGAAGUAGCCAAUUACGCGACAUGAUUUUGUAUAGGUGCGUGCAAUAGAGAUAGCCAUCGGUGAAGAAUCUAUGGGACACUGGGCUAACAAGUCACCGUGUAGCAGUUACACAACGAUGGUCUGCAGGAAAAAACUUAUGAAUCUCGCGGACAAGGUUCUUAUUGAGCAAGGUCGUAAAGAAGUAAUGUUAUGACCACGCCCAGCUGAUUGGCCCUCGACAACUAAUACAGUCCGCAGCUAAUGUCAUUAUUCCUUCAGAAGCUGAAAAUGUGAGGCGGAGCAAGGAGAUGCAGACCAACAACUUUUUGGUUUUCCACAUUAGGGUCAAAGCGUUUCCUAACAAAGGUAACUCCAUAUCUGAACUUGAACUCGAGACCUCUGAUUUAAGAACGAAGGAAUAGUUUUUAUUCCACUACUACUCUUGUCUUUUAUCUCCCUCCCUAACAAUGUAUAGUUUGGGUUCGUUUAUAUCAAUUGAGUCUCUUCUUAUCGAGUUCAUUGCAAAAACUAUCCGCAUAUGAUGUUUAUGUCUACGUUACUUGGGUUCUUUAAAAAUGCGACGGCACAUAGUGAAUCUCUAGAAGUAGUGUUUUUCUUUCGAGGAUUCACCAUGUGUACGCGACAACAUUUUUGGAGAGUCUCUAGCAAAGAUUCAACCAAACAACAAGAUGCGAAAUAACAGCACAAUUGUAUUAAAACUUUAAAGGAACAAUCUGACAUUAUUAUAAACUAAAACAAAGGCCAAAAGGCCAGCCAGUAUUGUUCCUAGAUGAUCCACUUUCAGUUACUACCAACAAAACUAACUAAAAACAAGCGCAAUUUACGCAAAACAAAAGCUUGAACCCGAGCCAUAACGAUGCAGAGACUUCACAUCCACUAUAUGCCCGAACCUCCAUUCGCCUACACAAAUAAACCAAAGGAAGACCGAAUUACUAGAUAAACUUGACAAAGCAGAAAUGAGCAUUCAUUAUGUAUAGCAGAUUUCAUUACCCUAGGCCUAACGAUUCAGAAACGCAAAGAUCCACCCAUACACCGCACCACCUUAGCUUGAAAAUAUUCCUUCUCGCCAUUUGAAACCGUAAAGGUCAGCUAGUAAACACUGUAUACGCCGCACUCAUCUCGAUUAUUAACCUUGAGAAUCUCAUUGACCUCAUAUUUAGUGUCCUGAAUUGAAUACACAGGAGUUUUGUCAGCUUUCUGGAGAAAACAAGGAAAAAGAACAAGUAGAAAGACAAUGGCAAGUGUGACUGGAGCAUACAAAUCUCUCAUUGUACUGCUUAAGUGCCUCUGCAGCAUAACCCUUCAUCUCUUCAGCAUAAGCACGAAUUUCCAAGUAGUAUGGACUGGGCAAUAAGGUAACCGCUGGAUGCCCACCAGGAUAAUCUUUAAUGUCGAAUCCCUAUCGAAGUAAAAGUCGACCAAUUAGAGACAAACAUCCUUGGAGUAACCGGUAAAGUUGCUGCCAUGUGACCAGGAGGUCACGGGUUCAAGCCUUGAAAACAGCCUCUCGGCGGGGCCCUUCCCUGAAUACUGCGCAUAGCGGUAGCUUUAGUUGCACCGGGCUGCCCUUCCCUGUGUUUUCAUCUUACCCAUAUAACUAUGUUGAAAUGGCGAGAUUAUAGAGUUUUAUUUUUUUUUUUCCAGAUACACUUGCGCGCACCUCAACUAAUUUCACCCAUGCCACCUCCCACCAGCAACAGUGUCCGCCAAGGCUAAAACAAAUGGGAAGAAAUUACCUAGUGUUUGUCUCUGUUGGGAAUUGAACGUGAGACCUCAUGGUGCUCAACCCAACUUCAUUGAACCGCGAUGUGUAAAUACUAAAAAAAGAGCAAAUAAACCUAGUGUAAUCCCACUUGUGGUUUCACAAUUAGUGACAAAAAGAGAACCAACAACAACAACAGGCAGAAAUCAAGGAUAAACAAACACAAAUAGUAUAUAUAAUUUGAUGAAAAUAAACAUAGAUACGUGACUCUCAUUGAGCUGUUGCAAAUACUUGUCCCAGCUAUCUUUAUCUAUCACAUACUCAUCAUCUGAAUCUGAAUCUGCGAUAUCAAACUUGCAACAUGUACAGUUUGUAUAAUCAUGCUCCAUUGGUAAAGGCUCCAAUCUUACGUAGCCGCUCGAUGCAUCACCCUCCUCCUCAUCAUCAACCUUUGGCUUUUGAUGGAAUUAUUAUAAAAUUAAAAUUAAGAACUAAUUAAGGUUGCCACAUCAUUUUUAUGAUGAAAUUAUUAUAAAAUCUGAUCAUAGUGACUUUUGUGAUGGUCGGAGUAAAGUUAAAUGACCAUGGAUGAAAUGAAUGAAAGAACAGUGACUUUUAGGUAAUAGAUACAAAGUUAAGUGACCAUGGAUGAAAUUUACUCCAUGCGGACGCUAACUAGCAAAAGUUAGCCUGGUAACUAUAUGUUGUGCAUUGCAUAAUCAAGCAUUCAUUUUUCGACUUUUUAUAUGCUUGUGCAAGAUGGUUUUCUGCUGCUGCGGUUGAACGAAAAGACCUGUCACUUUCAUCAGUUUCCCCGGGAGUUGAGACGACGGAGACAGCUUGGACAAAGGGUUACAUCAAACAUUGUCAUAACAAGGAGCCGGACGAAAUAUUGAAGCGGGUAAAAGAAACCUCAUUUUUGAUGCAUGAUAUUUGGUUCUUCUGCAUUACAUAAAUAUCAUGCUAUGGUGUUUUCUGUUCCUCUAAUUCCUGUCUAUGUUGAGUGGCAUGCUUUAUGAUUAAGAUGGUCUCUGUAAUGCAGAUUCUGUUAUUCAACUGCAUGGAUGCAAGAGAUCCUCAAAUUCUUCUUCCUAAGCUUGUCGAUACUUGCGCAUCAUCAGGUAUUGAACAAGAUAACAAUGCAGCAAUUCGUUGUUGUCAUUGAUGUUUGCCUCUGCAGACUGGGAAUUGCAUUCCAUUUGGGUUCUUUGAGACUAGAAGAGAUGGCACAAGUGAUGUUCCUUCUGUGUUACACUUACUUGUAUACCACGAAACACAUGUUUGGUUGUUUGUAUAGGCAUCAACUUUGUUCCUCGAACAGCAUCAGAGCUGAUAUGCUAUUUGUUUUCUUUGUACUAGGAAUAACAUACGAUGGCUUUGCUCAUUAGCUGGUUGGCUUGAAGGAAAAAAAAAGUAGCUCAGAAAUGAGAAGCAGUUGGGGUGAACUGAGGGUUCGUGUGGGAUAACGAUGUGACUAGUUAUAUGAAUUGAUUGGAUUCACAAAGUUAAUAAAUCUAAGUUCGUAUCAACAUUUUUGGUAAAAAAGUUCACCGUGCAAUUCACAAGUAGUUCUAUUUUCAAAGCUUAAUAUGUACAAGUUGACUGCUCUUGCAUACAUUGUCUCUCAGUCGGUGCUUAUGACAAUGAGAUCCGGAGCUUUGUUAAUCUCGCCCAACUUACGGUGUGAGGAAUCAGAUAAUAUCUGAUUGGAGGCUAAUCUUAUGCUUCCGAGAUGUUUGAAGUAUUUCUAAUUUGACCCUCUUGAUCUUUAAGGUGGAUUCGUGUAGAGUCCAAAUAGAAUGUGCCUCGACACCUUGUUUGUCUAGUUCAAGGAAGAUCACGGAAAGCACUUUGAUGUCUCGUUUUAAAUGUCUCUCUUGUUAAAUGAAGAGGAGAUCCCAUUGAGAGUAAUAAGUGGUUGAUAUGAAUGUUCCCUUUUACAGGCAUUUACUUCUCAAAAGCUAUUUUUGUGCCAAGCAUUUCGGUACAUACCAAGGUUACUUCUGCUACCUCUACUAUACCCUCAUACGUUCCUGGAAAGGAUUUGUCAUGGCAGUUUAACAUUCAGAGAAUUUGGGAGAGAAUCAUUCAUGGCAAAGGUAAGUCCUGCACUGUUCGUUGGUAACUGGCUCGUCUUACUUUUCUCUUGCAUGAUUUGUGCCUCUUAAGAAAUGACAUAAUACAUAAAUAGAUACUCAAACUUGGCCUCAGCUUAGGCACAUAUUGACACCUCAACUGACAACUAAAUACUCCAACUCGUCCCCACUCUGUCUAGUGGACAACUGACGUGAAACAUAAAUUUUGUAGGUUUCUAGAUGAUCAUUUUGUAAGUGGGAAUGUUCAACUGACACAGUGGAGAUGAGUUGAGGUGUCUAGAUGUGCUUACUUGCCGGAGGAGAUCAAGUUUGAGUAUAUGUUUAUGUAUUAUGCCUUAAGAAGUCCUAGGUAGCCUGCAUUUCUCCAGAACAAGGUUGUCGUCUGUCUUAAAUAGAUGAUUAGAGCAGACUGCAUCUAAACAUAACCUAAAAAAGGAAUGCUCACCUUAUGUAUGUUCGGAAGUGAUCAACCAUUUCAAUUUGACACCAUGCAUCGUUUCUUGGUUAAGGAUCCUCCUGAAAUGGUUGCUUAUACGCUAAAAGCCGGGGAUCACUAAUCCAUCUAGAAACCUCAUGUAUCUUCCUGUUUAAUGCAGAUGUUCUCGAUCAGGAUCUCAAGAUAAAUGCCUCGGCAGGCUUGCCACCCCGCGAAUUCCUUUACAAAGAGGCGUCUCGUUACUGUCCAGAAGAUAGAUAUUUUGCGUCCAGUGCGGUUUUUCCUUCGUUACCAUUGACAAUAAAUUGGUUGAGGGAUUGUGUUAGAGAAAACCCUUCCCUUAGACUUCAGGUACAUAACACUGCUGGAAAUAUCACAUUCAUUACAACUCUUUUGUAGUAUGACAUACAGGAUAAGCCUGCUUGCAUUGGACUCUUAGAGGUUUUCGUACAUGUAUACUAGUCGUAGAUGAAGGGGGGAGCCUUGGAGUAACUGGUAAAGUUGUUGUCAUGUGAUCAGNNNNNNNNNNNNNNNNNNNNNNNNNNNNNNNNNNNNNNNNNNNNNNNNNNNNNNNNNNNNNNNNNNNNNNNNNNNNNNNNNNNNNNNNNNNNNNNNNNNNNNNNNNNNNNNNNNNNNNNNNNNNNNNNNNNNNNNNNNNNNNNNNNNNNNNNNNNNNNNNNNNNNNNNNNNNNNNNNNNNNNNNNNNNNNNNNNNNNNNNNNNNNNNNNNNNNNNNNNNNNNNNNNNNNNNNNNNNNNNNNNNNNNNNNNNNNNNNNNNNNNNNNNNNNNNNNNNNNNNNNNNNNNNNNNNNNNNNNNNNNNNNNNNNNNNNNNNNNNNNNNNNNNNNNNNNNNNNNNNNNNNNNNNNNNNNNNNNNNNNNNNNNNNNNNNNNNNNNNNNNNNNNNNNNNNNNNNNNNNNNNNNNNNNNNNNNNNNNNNNNNNNNNNNNNNNNNNNNNNNNNNNNNNNNNNNNNNNNNNNNNNNNNNNNNNNNNNNNNNNNNNNNNNNNNNNNNNNNNNNNNNNNNNNNNNNNNNNNNNNNNNNNNNNNNNNNNNNNNNNNNNNNNNNNNNNNNNNNNNNNNNNNNNNNNNNNNNNNNNNNNNNNNNNNNNNNNNNNNNNNNNNNNNNNNNNNNNNNNNNNNNNNNNNNNNNNNNNNNNNNNNNNNNNNNNNNNNNNNNNNNNNNNNNNNNNNNNNNNNNNNNNNNNNNNNNNNNNNNNNNNNNNNNNNNNNNNNNNNNNNNNNNNNNNNNNNNNNNNNNNNNNNNNNNNNNNNNNNNNNNNNNNNNNNNNNNNNNNNNNNNNNNNNNNNNNNNNNNNNNNNNNNNNNNNNNNNNNNNNNNNNNNNNNNNNNNNNNNNNNNNNNNNNNNNNNNNNNNNNNNNNNNNNNNNNNNNNNNNNNNNNNNNNNNNNNNNNNNNNNNNNNNNNNNNNNNNNNNNNNNNNNNNNNNNNNNNNNNNNNNNNNNNNNNNNNNNNNNNNNNNNNNNNNNNNNNNNNNNNNNNNNNNNNNNNNNNNNNNNNUGCAUCUGAUUCGCUGCUCAAGAAGUUCUCCGAUUCGCUCGAGUCCGAUUCACUUUCAUUUUCACCUUGUGAUGGUGGUGAUGAUGGUGGUGAUGAUGGCAGCUGUGGCUUUUCACCUUCUGCAUCUUCCUCUUCAUUCACCUUUUGUUUCUUCACCGACGGCUCACUGUAUUUCGAUUCGCUUGAUGGCGGUGGCGACUUUGGUGGUUGCAACAUCAUGUCAAAUCGACAAAGAAUCUAAGAUUUGGGUAUGCAGUAUUGCCCCAACCCCAAUAGAGCCUUCAACUAAUACUGGAUAUUAUAAAUAAUAAAAACUUUGAUAUCUUGAUGCAAAUAAAAUAAUUAAAAUACAUUGACAUAUACUUAAAUUACAUUGGUUUCUUCAGUCUAGUAAGCAGAUGAUUAGUGCUUGAUAAUAAUUUUAUAGCAACACCAAACAUAUUCACACUAAUAACUCAAAGUAGAAAGAGAAUUCAUAACCAAAAAGUUAAAAAUAAAUGGAAUUUAACUCCAAAAUAUUACUAAUUUUUUUUUUACUACUUUCUCCAUCUUAUGAUUGCAGGUUGUUUCAAUGUCUUAAUAUAAUCUUCCGAAAUCUAACAAAAGCGUCUUGAACAUAAGAAAAUACGCUCUAUUUAUUGUAAUAUUGACAUACAUUAAUAGCAAAAUUAAUCANNNNNNNNNNNNNNNNNNNNNNNNNNNNNNNNNNNNNNNNNNNNNNNNNNNNNNNNNNNNNNNNNNNNNNNNNNNNNNNNNNNNNNNNNNNNNNNNNNNNNNNNNNNNNNNNNNNNNNNNNNNNNNNNNNNNNNNNNNNNNNNNNNNNNNNNNNNNNNNNNNNNNAGGAAUGAGAUUAUUCGGGAGAAGGUGGGAGUUGCCUCGAUGGAGGAUAAGUUGCGAGAAGUGAGGCUACAUUGGUUCGGACAUGUGAUGAGGAGGGGCCUGAUGCUCCAGUACGGAGGUGUGAGACUCUGGCUAUGGAUGGUUUUAGGUGGGCUAGAGGUAUACCGAAGAAAUAUUGGAGGAAGGUGAUUAGGCAUGAUAUGGAGUAAUUACAGCUUACAGAGGACAUGACCCUUGAUAGGAAGGUGUGGAGGACGCGAAUUAGGGUAGAGGGUUAGGGAGUGGGAGCGCGGUGGUAGUAAUAGGGGAGUGCUCCUUUGGGUCUGGAGUUUCUGGUUCGUAGUAUUGGGGCUGUAGUUUUUGGGAUUAGUGGUGUUGGCUUUUUUGCAUCCCGUGUUAGUUUAUUAUGCACUUAUCUUUUGUGUUUGUUAUACUGUUAGCUUAUUUUGUGUACCAUACUAGUUUGUAUCCGCUUACUUUUUGUAUUUGUUAUACUGUUACUGGUCCUAAGCUGGUGGUCUAUCGGAAACAACCUCUCUACUUAUCUUGAGAUAGUGGUAUGGUCUUCGUACACUCUACCCUCCCCUGAUCCCACUAGGUAUGUUGUUGUUUUUGUUGAUCAUAUCUUUUAGGACUCCUUAAUUAUUAGUUCUCCUAAUAACUCUUACCAUAUUUUAGGACUCUUUAAUUUUAAAUAUUAUAAAAAUAAUUCAAGAAAAAUAGUGAAAAGAUAACUUUGUUUAAAGUAGAGACUUUUAAUGAAGGUCAAAAAGUUCAAUUCACUUUCCUAAGGGUAUUUACACUUUUAAUAUAUUAUUAUAGAUUAUAGAUUAUAGACUAGUUUAAAGUACGUGCUUUGCACGUGGAUCUCACGUCAAAUAACAUAACUAUAUAUAAGAAAAAUAAAAUCAAUUUUUUACAUAUAUUAUUCUCCAUUUUCUUUGAUUUGUCAAUAAUUUAAAGAUAUAUUUUCCUCUGUAAAUCUUCAAAGUGAAAUAUUACCAAUCUAUCAUCAAAAUUUUUACGAAUGCAUGAAAAACAAUACCUAAAUUGAAACUUAAGAGAUGUCACAAAAUAUCCUUAAACUCUAGCUUUUUCUUCAUUCUUCAAUACACAAUAAAAGUGAGACUUCACAUUAUUUCUGUGGUAAUUAAAUAUGUGAUUAUACUUGUUACCAGAAAAGUAAUACGCAGGCAACCUGAGAACGAUAUCCCUCACCUACAACUUUUUCAAACAAAGUUUGUUGCAUCGGUGUAUAUAAUCUUGAUUAAUUGUCACUAAAUACUCAAGUUAUUAUUCGAUUGUCUUUUUAGUUGUUGAGCUUCUAACUUCAGACAUGAAUACUAAUAGCAGUGGGUUAUAAGUGGAUUUCAAGCGCAUAGGCAAACUCUAGCAUUGUGAAUCAAUAUUAUAAUCAUUUAUAUUAAUAAAUCAUAAGAAAAUUUUCUUUUGAAGUUACAUUCAUAAAUUCAAGUUGAUUAAUUUGCUCUAUUCACAAAGAUUUAAACAUUAAAAAUAAAGAUAAUAGGUGGAAUCAGAUUAGAGAACAAAAUGUUACAACUUAGAGACAUGAAAGUUUAUCUAAACAAUAUAUGCAUUUUUUAAUAUCAGAAAAAAAAAGACAAGAUAGAUUCAACACAUCAUUUCUUUAUUGGUUUCAUCAUAAAAUUUGUGACCAUCAGAAAGCAAAAUAAUAUUCAUGAUUAUAAAACCAACAUAAUAAAAAAAGAAAUUUGACCUCUAGAAACCACCAAGUUACUCGACAAUAAAAUCUUGUUAUUCAUGAACAAUAUACCUAAUGUAAUAGAAAAGAAAAUCUUAAACCGACAGAAACCACAAAGCUCCAUGGGAGAUUGAACAACAAAACUUAUUUACAAAUAUAAAAAAAAAAAUUGUUAUUCUUAAUCAAUAAAACCAACGUAAUAGAAAAGAAAAUUGAGAUCUGAAAAUCAAAUUAAAAAUGAUUUUAGAGACUCAACAACAUAAGCUACUUAUAAACAUAAAAAGACGAUUUGUUAUUUAUGAUCAAUAAAAUCAAUGUAAUAGAAAAAGAAAUUCGAAACUUAUAAAUCACAAAAUUACUCAAAAAUGAAAUCUUGUCAUUCAUGAUCAAUAAAUCUAGUGUAUCAAAAAGAAAAUCUCAUAACAUAAGCUAUUUACAAAUAUAUAAGGACAAUACUUAGGGCUGCUUGAUGGUUGGAUCGGUUGGAUAAUUAUGCUUAGCGGUUCGACUUAUUGGUUAUUGGCUUUUAAAUAUACUAAUCCGCUAGCCACCCAAUAAGAUAACGGUUGGUUCGGUAUUUGAUUAGUAAUUAACAGACGGUUAUCGGAUGGUGUAAUGGAUUAAUUUAAGAGACAAUGAAAUAUCGAGUGAUUAUUGAUAGUUCCUCCGUUUCUCACCGACUAAGUUGUUUGUAUACUACGAUUGAUCUAUUUAUAAAUCUUUUAGGCUUCUUAUGGUUAUUUAAUAGGUUAAAACAUAGAAUCAAAUAAGAAUUUUCUUAUAAACCUAAGAUGUACGUAGAAACAUUUUUAAUUACUGGUCGAUAGAAAAAUCAAAACUUUAAUAUUAUUUGAAUUUUUAUGUUUUAUAUAAAACUUUGUGAAGGGCACAUUUGAGUUGUUUCAUUUUUGUUGCGGUCCUUUGUGUUGUCAAGAAUAAUUUAUGUUUUGAUUUAAGAAUUAUUUUUAAGUUUUUGUUACAUUUUAGAGAGCCUGACUGUGCUUUAUGGUUAGAUGUCACAAGAAGUGGCAUGUUAUUUUCUAAAGUAACAACUGAAUAGAACAAUAAAUGGAGUUUUAUACGUUGGAUUGACUAAGAUACUUGAUAUAUCUGUCAUACCCUAUUUUUACCUGAGGUCAAAACGAGCAUGACGUUAUGGAUUCAAAAGAAUAAAUUAAAUACAUAGUCGCCACCUAAUUUUUUAAGGAAAAAUAGGAAACCUAUCUGUUAACAUGUAUAAUUAAUGUUUUUUAGUUUGCGAAGAAAAUCAGUUGAGAUUCCAGGUAAGGGUUCAAGUUAUCUCGAAGGGAAGGGAUUAGGCACCCUUCGAGAUCCUCAACUGUGGUACCCGGCUAUACUAAACUUUUCAAAGAGGGAGGAGAUAUGUAAAAAUAAUGUAAAAGUGUAUAAAAGUGUAUAAAUUACAUGUAAAAGAAUAGUAUUUCUUGUGACAUGUAUGAAAAGAAAUGUAUGUUUUAUGUACUAAGAAGAAAAAAUAUUUUUUAAUAAUAAUACUUUUAUUUGAUCACAUCACGAAGAAAAAUAAAAAUUCAUUUGAAAAGAAAAAGGCUUCAUAAUAGGUGAAUGUAUGAAUUAAUUAAUUAACUUAAUUAUUUUAUGUAAAUAUUAACGGCCUAAGUUUUGCCUAAAAUUGAUGAAAUUAUGUAAAUGAAGAAUAUCUCCGCCCGACACCCAAAAAUAAAGUUUUCACUAUUUGGCCCGAAAAUGCCCCAUUUCGCUCGUUUGUCCACCCAAAUAGCCACAAAAAUUUAAACGGACCAUACUGGGAUGAUCCCCAACCUCCCUGGCAUGCCCCGGUCGAUUUUUGACCUACAGCAUGCCCAAACCCAGAGCCCACCCAUGAAAUCGUGGGCUAUAGCACACCGAUUUGGCCCUAAAAGGACCCGUUCAUGCCACUUCACCCGUUUGUCCACUUAAAUGGCCACGAAAAUUUAAACGGACCACACUGGGACGAUCAUCAACCUCGCUGGCAUGCUUCGGUUGAUUUUCGGCCCACAGCACACUCGAACCUCAGGCCCAUCCCCAAAACUGUGGGCUAUAGCACACCGAUUUGGAUUGAAAAUGCCCCGUUUGCACCGUUUCGCCCGUUUGUCCACCCAGAUGGCCAUGAAAAUUUAAACGGACCAUACUGGGAUGAUCCUUAACCUCCCUGGCACACCCUAGUCGAUUUUUGGCCCACCCACGCCUGGACCUCGGGCCCACUUUCAAAACCGUUGGCUAUAGCACACCAAUUUGACCCGAAAAUUCCUCGUUCACUCUGUUUCGCCCGUUUGUCCACCCAAAUGCCCACAAAAAUUUAAACAGACCAUACUGGGAAGAUCCCUAACCUCCCUGGCACGCCCCGACCGAUUUUCAGCCCACAGCACGUCUGAACCCCGGGCCUACCCCCAAACCUGUGGUCUAUAGCACAUCGAUUUAGCCCGAAAAUGCCUCGUUCACACUGUUUCACCCGUUUGGGCAAUCAAAUGGCCACAAAAAUUUAAACGGACCACACUGGAUGAUCCCCACCCUCCAUGGCACUCCCCAAUUAAUUUUCAGUCAUAGUACGCUGGACCUCGAGCCCACCCAUAAAACCGUAGGCUAUAGCACACCGAUUUGGUUCGAAAAUGCCCAGUUCGUGUCGUUUCGCCCGUUUGCCUAUACUAAUGGAAACGAAAAUUAAAACGGACCAUACUAGGACGAUCCCCAACCUCCCUGAAAUGCCUCGAUUAAUUUUCAGCCCACAGUACGCCCAGACCCCGGGCCCACCCCUAAAACCGUGGUCUAUAGCACACCGAUUUGGUCCGAAAAUGCCCCGUUCGCGUCAUUUCAUCGGUUUGUCUACCAAAAUGGCCACAAAAAUUUAAACGGACCACACUAGGACGAUCCCCAACCUCCUUGGCAUGCCCCAAUCAAUUUUUGACCCACAGCAUGCCCGGACACACCCCAAAACCAUGGGCUAUAACACAUCGAUUUGACCUGAAAAUGCCUCGUUCGUGCGUUUCGCCUGUUUGUCCACCCAAAUAGCUACAAAAAUAUAAACGGACCGCACUGGGAUAAUCCCUAACCUUCCUGGCAUUUCCCGAUAAAUUUCAGCCCAUAACAUGCCUGGCCCCGGGCCCACCACCAAAAUCGUGGGCUACUACAGCACACCGGUUUAGCCCAAAAAUGUCCCGUUCACGCCAUUUUUCUCGUUUGUCCACCCAAAUGGACACGAAAAUUUAAACGGACCACACUAGGAUGAUCCCCAAUAUCUCUGACAUGCCUUAGUCAAUUUUUAUCCCACAACACGCCCGGACCCCGGGCCCACCCUAAAAACGUGGGCUAUAGCAUACUAAUUUGGCUCGAAAAUGCCCUAUUCACGUUGUUUCGCCCAUUUGUCCACCCAAAUGGCCACGAAAAUUUAAACGAAUCAUACUAGGACGAUCCCCAACCUCCUUGGCAUGCCCCAGUAGAUUUUUGGCCCAGAACAUGCCCGAAUCCCGAGCCCACCAACGAAACUGUGGGCUACAGCACACCGAUUUGGCCCUAAAAUGACCCGUUCAUGCCAUUUUGCCCAUUUGUCCACCCAAAUGGCCACGAAAAUUUAAACGGACAACACUGGGAUAAUUCUCAACCUCGCUAGCAAGGCCUGGUUAAUUUUUGACUCAUAGCACACCCGGACCUCGGGUCCACCCCCAAAACCGUGGGCUAUAGCACAACGAUUUGGUUAAAAAAUACCACAUUCACAUCGUUUCCCCCGUGUGUCCACCCAAAUGGCCAAAAAAAUUUGAAUGAACCAUACUGUGAUGAUCAUUAAUCUCCUUGGCACGCUCCGGUGGAUUAUCGACCCACAGCACGCCUGGAACCCGGGCCCACCUCCAAAACCGUGGGCUAUAGCACACCAAUUUGGCCCGAAAAUGCCUCGUUCGCUCUGUUUCGCCCGUUUGUCCACCCAAAUGGCCACAAAAGUUUAAACGAACCACACUGGGAAGAUCCCCAACCUCCCUAGCAUGCCCCGAUUGAUUUUUGGCCCACAACACGCCUGGACCCCGGGCCUACCCCCAAACCAUGGGCUAUAUCACACCAAUUUGGCUCGAAAAUACUUCGUUCUCGCCGUUUCGCCCGUUUGUCCUCCCAAAUGGACAUUAAAAUUUAAAUGAACCAUACUGGGAUGAUCCCCAACCUCCCUAGCACGCUCCGAUCAAUUUUCAACAGACAGCACACCCGAACCCUAGACCCACCCACAAAAUCGUGGGCUAUAACACACCGAUUUGGCCUGAAAAUGCCUUGUUCACUCGUUUCGCCCGUUUGUCCACCCAAAUGGCCACGAAAAUUUAAAUAGACCACACUGAGGUGAUCCUCAACCUCCCUGGCAUUCCUCGAUCAAUUUUGGCCUACAACAUGCCUGGACCCCAGGCCCACCCCUGAAACCAUGGGCUACAGCACACCGAUUUGGCUUGAAAAUGCCCCGUUCACUCUGUUUCUCCCGUUUGUCCACCCAAAUGGCCACGAAAAUUUAAAUGGACCAUACUAGGAUGGUCCCCAACCUCCCUGGCAUGCCCCAUUUGAUUUUCAGCCCAUAGCACACCCGGACCCUGGGCCCACCCCCAAAAACAUGGGCUACAACACACUUAUUUGGCCCAAAAAUACCCCAUUCGCACUGUUUUGCCCAUUUGUCAACCCAAAUGGCCCCAAAAAUUUAUAUGGACCACACUGGGAUGAUCCCCAACCUCCCUAGCAUGUCCCGCUCGAUUUUUGGCCCAUAGUAUGCCCAAACCCCGGGCCCCAGGCCCACCCACAAAACUGUGGACUAUAGUGCACCGAUUUGACCCUAAAAUGACCCGUUCAUGCCAUUUCGCCCAUUUGUCCAGCCAAAUGGCCACGAAAAUUUAAACAGACAACACUGAGAUGAUCCUUAACCUCGCUGGCAUGCCCCAAUUGAUUUUCAGCCCACACCACACCUGGACCCCGGUCCCACUCCUAAAACCAUGGACUAUAGCACACCGAUUCGACUUGAAAUUGCCUCGUUCGUAUCGUUUCGCUCAUUUGUCCACCCAAAUGGCCACGAAAAUUUAAAUGAACCAUACUGGAAUGAUCCUUAACCCCCUUGGCAGGCCCUGGUCGAUUUUUGGCCCACAGCACUCCCGGACCCCGUGCCCACCCCCAAAAUCGUGGGAUAUAGCACACCAAUUUGGCUCGAAAAGGCCUCGUUCAUAUCAUUUCGCCCGUUUGUCCACCCAAAUGGCCACGAAAAUUUAAACAAACCACACUAGAAAGAUCCCCAACCUCCCUGGUAUGCCCUGGUCAAUUUUUGGCCUACAACACGCCUGGACCCUGGGCCCACCCCCAAAAUUAUGGGCUAUAGCACGCCAAUUUGGCCCGAAAAUACCUCUUUCGCUCUUUUUCGCCUGUUUAUCCAACAAAUGGCCACGAAAAUUUAAACAGACUACACUGGGAUGAUCCCCAACCUCACUGACAUGCCUCUAUUGAUUUUUGGCCCACAGCACGCUUGAACUCCAUUUUCACCCCCAAAACCAUGGGCUAUAGCAACCGAUUUGGCCUGAAAAUGCCCCGUUCGCGCCGUUUCACCCGUUUGUCCACUAAAUGGCGACGAAACUUUAAAUGGACUACACUGGGAUGAUCUCCAACCUCCCUGGCAUGUCUACAUCGAUUUUUCACCCACAACAUGCCCGAACCAUAUGCCCACCCCCGAAACCAUGGGUUAUAGUACAUCGGUUUGGCCUAAAAAUGCCCCGUUCGCGUCGUUUUGCCCGUUUAUCCACCCAAAUAGCCACAAAAAUUUAAACGAACCAUACUGGGACAAUCUCCAACCUACUUGGCACACACCGAUUGAUUUUCGAACCACAGCACGCCCGGACCCCAGACCCACCCCCAAAACCAUAGGCUAUAUUGCACACUGAUUUGGCCUGAAAAUGCCCCAUUCGCAUUGUUUUACCCGUUUGUCCACACAAAUGGCAAUGAAAAUUUAAACGGACCUCACUGGGAUGAUCUCCGACCUCCCUGGCAUGCCCCAAUUGAUUUUCGGCCCACAACACACCCGAUCCUCAUGCCCAGCACAGAAACCGUGGGCUAUAGCACACCAAUUUGACCCAAAAAUGCCCCAUUCACGCCGUGCUGCCUAUUUGUCCACCAAAUAGCAACGAAAAUUUAAACGGAUCACACUAGGAUGAUCCCCAACCUCCUUGGCACACUCCAGUUGAUUUUUGGCCCAAAGUACUGUAACACCCCACAUUUUACAUGUGGCCUUAAACGGAGAAAAUCAUUGACAUGCUUAUGGAACUUAGGAAGCUAGCAGGUGAGUCACCUGUGUGCUUAGCUUAAAAAUUUUAUAUACAUGAGGGAGAAGAAUUCAUUCAUAAGUGAACUCACUUGAAGUCUAGACGUUAGUAAAAAGAAAGGGGAACGAAGACAAGGCUUAACGCCGAAACUUUCCAAGUCUUGUGACAAACGAAGCCCAAGUUAGGGAGGCUAUUUAAGCCAAUGGUUUAACAUUUUAGCCUAUCAAAACAGUCCACCAUGGACAGAUUCGGAUUUACUUAAAUUUUUAAGGGCAAUAUGGUCAUUUUCCAUCACCUCAUGGACGAAAAUUGGUCAUUAUAUACAUAUACUUAGCCUUAUAUCCACCAUUUAUCAUCCAAAUCAUUGAAGAAUAAGAAACCCUAGCCUAAGUUCAACUCCAAUUAUCUUGUGAUUCAACCGUAGAAAAUCCAAAUUGAUUCCGUAGUUGUGUUCACCGUCUCAAGGGCUUCGAGAAGCACCCCUUAUUUGUGCCAACAGGACUUCGAAAUCAAAAGGGCCAUUUUUUUUGGUAAGGAUGUAAAUUAUGUUGGUGUUAUUUAUAUGGAUAUGUAUAUAUAUAUAUAUAUGCAUGUGAGCAUAAGAAGUAUGUUAUUUGAUUGUUGUUGAAAGAUGAUUGGAAAUGAUGUUGGAUUAUUCUUGUGCAUGGUUGGAUUAUGUUAAAUUGUGAAGGAAUUUGGGGUGAUGAUGUGGUAUUGAUGAUGUGGUAUUGAGAUGAUGAUUAUAUACAUAUACACACAUAAACCUAUUGUUCAAGUUGGUUUUUGGAAUGUUUUGCAAAUAUUGGUAGUAUGGAAUUAUGGAAGAGAAUUGUGGUGUUGGGUUGCUAAUACUAGAUGCCAAACAUUUCAUUGUAGAUAAGUGAUUUGUAAAGGCGGGAAGUUGUGUUGAAUUGGUAGCUGAAUCUACAACGAGGUAUGUAAAGCAUACUCUAACAAUGUUCUUUGGCAUGAAAACACCAAUGUUCCAUCAAGUAAGAUUCCGAGGUUGUCCAAAAACAUGUAUUGUUCUACGUUACCAACGAAGUUGUUUCCAUCCUAUAAAGUGUCAAAAUGUUCAUUGAUAUACCAAAAGGCUCUUAUUUCAUUGUUGUGAUAUUGAUGAUUCUGAAACAUAUUGUUGAUGUACCAAUGAGUCCUUAUUACAUCGUUAUUGUAUAGAAGGUCUAUUACUUGGUUCCUAUUGAUGUAUCAUUGUUUCAAGGUAUCAAAAAUGUGGUGACGACCGAAAUAACAAUCUCAAAGAUUAAUUGAACUAAGUGAUGAAAGUUCUCUCUUAUCGGGUGGUAUCCCAGGGGCAUAAGCCUAGCAUGGGUCGAUCCCUAUUUCAUGUGUUUAUGGGUGGUAUCCCAGGGGCAUAAGCCUAGCAUGGGUCGAUCCCAGUUGAUAUGUACUGGAGGCAUCCUAAUGGUCACAGUACAGUACAGUAAUGAUUACAAAGACGAUAAGAACGAAGGUAAAGUGAUUGAAUAAAUACAAUGUACAGGUUGUCACAAGUUCUAGUAAGUGUGGUCCACUCCUAUUACGACUUAUUCACUUGUUUCUGAUUUCUAUUGAGCUCCUAUAUCAUAUGUGAUUAUUUACAGCUUUACAUACUCAGUACAUAUUUCGUACUGACGUCCCUCACGGGGGACCUGCAUUUCAUGCUGCAGGCACAGGUACCUCAACUCAUACACCGCACAAGUAGGAGCCAGGUCAUACAGCUAUUGUUGGUGAGCUCCAGUUUGCUUCGGAGCUUUCCGAGUCGGUUCCUUAUGUUUUGUUAUUGUACAUGAGUCACGUGUGGGCGGGGGUUUGUCCCGACCCUAGUUAUGUCAUGUAUAUCCUAGAGGCUUUGUAGACAUAAGGAAGGGUAAAGUCAUGGAAGUUUAUAUAGUAACGUUAUAUUUGUAUAUGUGGUGGCCCCGACGGCCAAGUAUUAUAUAUAUAUAUUUGUGCGUGUUGUGCUGAUACAGGUAAUUAGACCUUUCUAUAUGCAACGAAGUGCUGUCCAAUUUUUUUGGUGACAUGUAAGUGAAAGUACAGGUAUUUGAACGGGUUCUCCCGGGCCUUCUCGGCUUCGGGUGCCAGUCCGGCCCGAUGGGAUUUUGGGGCGUGACAAAAGUGGUAUCAGAGAGGUUCGUCCUAGUGAGUCUACAAAGCCGUGUCUACGUAGGGUCUUGUUUAUCGGUGUGUUGUGCACCACAUCUAUAAACAGGAGGCUAUGGACAUUUAGGAAUUGUUUCUUUUCUUCAUGUCUUAGAUCGUGCGAUAGAGCUUAUAUUGUAUAUGAAGUCAUAGUUGACCACUGAAUCAGUUUGUUUCUCUUAUUAUAGUAAUGAUGCCGGUUACCAGAAGCAAGAAUACCGGUAAGCAAGUAGAUGUGGCUGCCGGAGAGGGGACUAGUAAGUCACCCACUAUACCAGCUAAUCAAAGUGAGGCUCCAGCUGAGCAUGCAUCAGAAACUUCCUCCAGUCCGGAAGAAAUAAGGGGGAGGAGAACUAUAUCCGCAGAGCCACCUAUUAAUGUUGUUGAUCAAGAUCUUAGAAAUGCAGUGCAACUUUUGACUCGUAUAGUUGCUGGGCAAGCUCAAGGGCAAGCCAUUCCUACUGCAGGUCCUAGUGGUAUAGAUAGGGCGGCUAGCCUUCGAACACAGGAUUUUCUUAAGAUGGAUCCUCCCACUUUUACUGGAUCAGAUCUUAACGAGGACCCACAGGACUUUAUCGAUCAAAUUCAAAGGGCCUUGGAUGUUAUGCAUGUAACGGGUAGAGAGACAGUGGAGUUAGCGGCGUAUAGAUUUAAAGGGGAGGCUAUAUAUUGGUAUGAGGACUGGAAACGAUCUAGGGGUAUUGAUGCACCCCCAGCUACUUGGAAGGAGUUCAAAGAGGCAUUUCUUGAUCAUUAUCUUCCAUUCGAGAUUCGUCAGGCCCGUGCAGAUCAGUUUUUAAAUCUUCGUCAGGGGAAUAUGAGCGUGAGGGAGUACAGUCUUCGAUUUAAUUCCUUGUCGAGAUAUGCUCCUAAUGUUGUAGCUACUAUGGUUGACAGAGUUCAUCAAUAUGUGGAUAGGCUAGAUCCAUAUCUGGUUAGAGAUUGUACUAUUGCUGCUUUGAACAAAGAUAUGGACAUAGCGAGAAUCCAAGCUUUUGCACAAAAAAUGGAAGAUCAGAGGCAGAGGAGAAGAACACAGGAAUCAGAAAGAGGAUAUUCCAAGAGGGCCAGAUCUACAGGGCAGUUCAUGGCAUUCGAAAGAGGGUUCAGACCACAGUUUUCUGCUAGACCACCUAGGCCAUUAUCCUCUUAUUCUACAGCUAGUGCCCCACCACAGUUCCAAGGGUUCAGAGGAAAUCAAUUUGGGCACAGAAGUGAGAGUCAGAGUUCGCGGACAGUGGGGUACCAAGGUCAAGGGAAUAUGAGCCAAUCAAGACCUCCUCGAGAGCCAUGCAAUAAAUGUGGAAGGUAUCAUUUGGGCGCAUGUCGGCUGGGGACCAAUGUUUGCUUUUGGUGCGGUAUGUCGGGGCAUAUGAUGAGGGAAUGCCCACGAAGGGACAUAGGGGGUAUGGCACGACCUACGGGGUCAUUUGUUGCAUCAUCAUCAUCGAUGCCUUAUUCAGGAAGGGGUGCACAGCCAAUGGGUCGUGUUAGAGGUGAUAGAGGAGCCACGAGUUCUAGCGGGGCUCAAAAUCGUACGUAUGCUCUAGCAGAUCGACAGAAUUUAGAGGCUUCUCCAGAUGUGGUUACGGGUAUGUUGGCUAUAUUUUCAUUCAAUUUAUAUGCCUUAAUUGAUCCCGGUUCUACAUUAUCUUAUGUUACUCCAUUGGUUGCUGGAAAGUUCGAAAGAAUACCCGAACUGUUAGUUAAGCCAUUUGAAGUGUCCACACCGGUCGGGGAAUCUAUUAUAGCUAGAAGGGUUUAUCGAAACUGCAUAGUAACUGUUUGUGGUCGUGAUACGAUGGCUGAUCUUGUGGAGUUAGAAAUGGUAGAUUUUGAUGUUAUAAUGGGUAUGGACUGGUUGGCGUCUUGUUAUGCCACAAUUGAUUGCUGCACGAAAAAGGUAUAUUUCCAUUUUCCAAAUGAAUCAGUCCUUGAAUGGAAAGGUGAAAUUAGCGUGCCAAGAGGUAGAUUUAUUUCUUAUUUUAAGGCGAGAAGAAUGAUUUCCAAGGGAUAUAUAUAUCAUUUAGUUAGAGUAAGGGAUACAGAAGCGGAGCCACCAACUCUUCACGCUGUUCCGGUGGUAAAUGAAUUUUCUGAUGUAUUUCCUGAAGAUCUUCCAGGUUUGCCUCCUGAACGAGAAGUAGAGUUUGGUAUUGAUGUAAUACCAGGCACCCAACCAAUCUCCAUUCCUCCGUAUAGAAUGGCCCCAGCAGAAUUACGAGAAUUGAAAGAGCAAUUGAAAGAUUUGCUAGAAAAGGGGUUCAUUAGGCCUAGUAUUUCCCCUUGGGGAGCACCAGUGUUAUUUGUACGCAAAAAGGAUGGCUCGCUGAGGAUGUGUAUUGAUUAUCGGCAAUUGAAUAAGGUGACUAUUAAGAAUAAAUAUCCUCUCCCAAGAAUUGAUGAUUUAUUUGAUCAGUUACAGGGCGCCAAGUGCUUUUCUAAGAUUGAUUUGAGGUCAGGUUACCACCAAGUGAGGGUCAAAGAAAAAGAUAUACCCAAAACAGCUUUCCGAACAAGGUAUGGUCAUUAUGAGUUUCUAGUUAUGUCAUUUGGGCUAACAAAUGCACCCGCAGCUUUUAUGGAUUUGAUGAAUAGGGUUUUUAAGCCAUUCCUGGAUGUAUUUGUGAUAGUUUUUAUAGAUGAUAUUCUAGUUUAUUCUAGAUCAGAAGAGGACCAUGCCAAUCACUUACGACAGGCAUUGCAGACUCUUCGUGAUUGUAAGCUUUAUGCAAAGUUCUCUAAAUGUGAGUUUUGGUUAAAGUCGGUGGCAUUUUUGGGUCAUAUUGUAUCUAGUGAAGGGAUAAAGGUUGAUGCUCAAAAGAUAGAGGCUGUGAAGAACUGGCCAAGGCCCACAACGCCUACGGAGAUUCGUAGUUUUCUUGGGUUGGCCGGUUAUUAUAGAAGGUUUGUCAAAGACUUUUCUUCCAUUUCAGCACCCUUAACCAAGCUAACCCAUAAAGCAUCCAAAUUCCAAUGGAAUGAUGCCUGUGAGAAGAGUUUUCAAGAUUUAAAGAACAAGUUGAUUUCUACACCCGUGUUGGUACUACCAGAAGGCACCGAAGGGUAUACAGUGUAUUGUGAUGCUUCCAGAAUUGGUUUAGGAUGUGUAUUGAUGCAGCAUGGUAAGGUAAUAGCAUAUGCUUCUAGACAAUUACGGCCACAUGAGAAAAAUUAUCCUACACACGAUCUUGAGCUGGCAGCGGUUAUUUUUGCUUUAAAGAUAUGGCGCCACUACUUAUAUGGGGUUCACGUUGAUAUAUAUACUGACCAUAAGAGCUUGCAAUAUAUUUUUAAUCAGAAGGAUCUAAAUUUAAGGCAGCGGAGAUGGCUUGAACUAUUAAAGGACUAUGAUGUUGAUAUCUUGUACCAUCCAGGGAAAGCAAAUGUGGUAGCUGAUGCGUUAAGUCGUAAGGCUAUGAUGGCGCCUAUAGAAAGGCAAGGGAUGGUUAAAGAUCUUCACCAGUUAGCUAGUUUGGGAGUUCGCCUUCUUGAAACUCCGAAUAAAGAGCUUAUCGUACAUAAUGCUGCGGAAUCUUCAUUAGUAGCUGAAGUGAAAGAGAAGCAAUAUGCAGAUCCUAUUUUAUUACAUCUUAAGGAGAACGUUCAGAGUGGUGCGACCAAGGCAUUUGAGCUUACGCGAGAAGGAGUACUUCAGUGCCAAAACCGAUUGUGUGUGCCGGAUAUAGACGGGCUAAGAAAGAAGAUUAUGACAGAGGCACAUUUUUCAAGGUAUUCCAUUCAUCCAGGAUCAACCAAAAUGUAUCAAGAUUUGAAAGAUAUGUAUUGGUGGAAUGACAUGAAGAAGAGCAUUGCAGAAUUUGUAGCUGAAUGUCCAAAUUGUCAAAGAGUUAAAGUUGAGCACCAAAAACCCGGAGGCUAUAUGCAAUGCAUAGAUCUUCCAAUUUGGAAGUGGGACAUGAUCAACAUGGAUUUUGUUACAGGUUUGCCUCGUACAGCUCGAAAAUUUGAUUCUAUAUGGGUGAUUGUGGAUAGGCUUACUAAAUCCGCACAUUUCUUACCCGUUAAGACCACUUACACAGUUGAAGAAUAUUCGAAGCUGUAUGUUAAAGAAAUAGUCCGAUUACAUGGAGUGCCAACUUCUAUUAUAUCGGAUCGGGGAACUCAAUUUACUGCAAACUUUUGGAAGUCUUUCCAACGGGGUUUGGGAACACAAGUGAAUCUGAGUACAGCUUUUCACCCUCAGACGGAUGGACAAGCAGAGCGCACCAUUCAAACACUUGAAGAUAUGCUACGAGCAUGUGUUAUAGAUUUUAAAGGCAGCUGGGAUGAUCAUUUACCUCUUAUUGAGUUUGCCUACAAUAAUAGCUAUCAUUCAAGUAUCAAAAUGGCACCAUAUGAAGCUUUAUAUGGGAGAAAGUGUAGAUCACCAAUAGGAUGGUUCGAAGCGGGUGAAACUCUUAUGUUCGGACCGGAUCUUGUGUAUCAAGCCAUAGAAAAAGUCAAGGUGAUACAACAACGGCUAAAAACAGCCCAAAGUCGUCAUAAAUCAUAUGCAGAUAUUCGGAGAAGAGGGCUGGAAUUCUCUAUUGGAGAUUGGGUAUUUUUAAAGGUAUCACCAAUGAAAGGGGUUAUGAGAUUUGGUAAGAAGGGGAAACUAAGCCCACGUUACAUAGGGCCAUAUAAGAUUACCAAGAGGGUCGGACAAGUUGCAUAUGAAUUAGAGCUACCCCAGGAACUUUCAAUGGUUCAUCCAGUGUUUCAUGUGUCAAUGCUUCGAAAAUGCAUAGGUGACCCCUCUCGUAUCACUCCUAUAGAAGAUGUACAGGUCACAGAGGAUCUUACUUAUGAAGAGGUACCGGUUGCUAUUCUAGAUCGCCAAGUUAAAAAGUUAAGGAACAAAGAAAUGGCAUCAGUAAAGGUACUCUGGAGAAACAACCAAGUAGAAGAGAUAACGUGGGAACCGGAGGAAGUAAUGAUAUCCAAAUACCCUCAUCUAUUUGAAGACAAGGAGGGACCAAAAGAUACAGAGGAGGAACAUUAAUAGGUAUGUGUUUGAAUACUAGUUAUGUUAUUAAAAGUUGUGUGACCAGAAAUUCAAACCUGCCUAGACUAUACAGUUAUGUUAACAUUCGGGACGAAUGUUCCUAAGGGGGGGAGGAUGUAACACCCCACAUUUUACAUGUACUAGUAAUGUUCACAUAAAAUGACAUACGACUUGAUUUAAUUACUACCAAAAUUUUUCAAGUGUUCAAGUGUUAGAUUGGGGCACUAUAUGGAAGUCUAUUUAGAGACUGUGGCCUUAAACGGAAAAAAAACAUUGACAUGCUUAUGGAACUUAGGGAGCUAGCAGGUGAGUCACCUGUGUGCUUAGCUUAAAAAUUAUAUAUACAUGAGGGAGAAGAAUUCAUUCAUAAGUGAACUCACUUGAAGUCUAGACGUUAGUAAAAAGAAAGGGGAACGAAGACAAGGCUUAACGCCGAAACUUUCCAAGUCUUGUGACAAACGAAGCCCAAGUUAGGGAGGCUAUUAAAGACAAUGGUUUAACAUUAUAUUGGGCCAAGAUGUUCAGCCCAAGAUUUUUAUAUAAUAGGCCCAACUACAUUCAUUCACUACUAACAAAAUUGAGCCCAAACAAAGUGCAAGAAAGAGUAAGGAAAUGGGCCACUAAAGCCCAUUGAUUUAGAGAUCCAAAAGGCCCAAGUGAAAGGGGAAAAUUAGUCAUUGACCAACUUGAGUUAAUCAGCUACAAAUAUUAGGAGAAAGUCGGUCUAAAGUCUCCUUAAAAAGGGACCAAAACCGAGCUCUAGGUUAACCAAAGAAAAGACCAAAAAAUUUCAGAAUUUCUCUCUAAGUUUCUCUUGGUAUUUCUUCACCUUGGAAGGCAACCAAAGGCUACUUUUUGAGUUCUUGAAUUAGACCUACACCUUGGGAGUUAAGGUAUGUAAAAAUAACCAUAUACUUGAUAUGAAUUUUCCAUGGAAAACAAGAUAAGUUGGCUGGUUCACUGUGCAGGAAUUUCUGGACAGCUUGUGUCCUGAAAGUUGUUGUUUGGUUUUCUUGGCUUUGGAACGAUUUUUACCCUGAUUUUUCACUUUAAUAUGAUGUAAAGUUGAGGUUAUUAACAUGUUAUAGUGUGUAUAUGGUUGCCAAGGUUGCUGGACUGUUUUGCUAGUUCUUUGGAAACAAGUAUCCUUAUAUGAUCUUAUGUGCUUCCAAACUGGUAUUGGACUGUUUUGUUGAGGGGGAUGUUGUUUCACGUUUCCCCUACGUUUUGAGCUAUUUUGUGACUAUGUUAAGGUUUAUUUGAUGUAUAUAUAUGUUGGGAGCAUCUGGUUCAAAGUUGGGACAAGUAUGAAUUGUUAACGACGAAAUGUAGGGAGACGACGAGAUGUUGUGCUUCUUAGUUGAGCGUUUUGUAAAAUGGUUAUGUGUUGUAGUUAUGGACUGUUGCCAGCAUGUUAUAGAACUAAUAUAGGCUGUAUACAUCAUGUAUAUGAUAAUCUAUGCUGGUUGAAUACAGUUAGAAUUGAGAAAGUCGGAAUAACACCAUUGAGUUGAUGGUUAUACGUUUGUUGCCAAAGUGUUGUGUCUUGUGAGAUUGGGCUGUCCAGAUGCAUUGAUUAGCUGCUAAUACUAGCUUUAAAACAUGAUAUUGUAGAUAAAUAGUUGGAAGAAAAGAAGUCAUUUCGACGUAAAAACAAGUUGAUAUGUCGAGGUAUGUAAGGCUAUUCGAUCUCUUAUUAUUUGGCAUGGAAUCCAAAGUCUUCAUUGGCACAUAGAGAUCUUUACAAACUUUGACAUAACCACUCCACUCUUUAACAUGUACUUGUGUGUCCAGAUUCGAGCAUUGUCACUGCUGCAUACAUACAUUGGGUACCAUGACAUAUGAGUCUUCUUUUUAGCUAAAUAAAGUUCAUACGUUGUUUAUGUCCUACAUGUUUCACUAAUUGUACAACCCACUCUUUUCAUUAUGAUAUGAUGUUACAUGGACACAUACUUGUCAUUUGUCAUGCUUAUAGUCUUAUAGCUCAAAUGUUACGACCACCAAAGAUUCAUCUCAAAAGUAAUAAGAAGAUAUAUGUAUACAGUUGCUUCUGUUGGGUGGUAUCCCAGGGGUGAAAGAAUCACCUAGCAUGGGUCAAUCCCAGUAUUACAGGGGGUAUCCCAGGGGUGAAAGGAAAGCCUAGCAUGGGUCGAUCCUGAUAUAGAAUUACCACUGAUCAGCUGGUCAUUUGUAUUACAUGCUGUGCACAGAUUAUUCAAGUAAUAAGAGUAAAGUAACAUAAUUGUUAUAAGAUACAUGACUCCACAAUAUUCAUAAAGGUGGUCUUUUACCCUACAGCAGUACAUGGUUUCAUUUGAGUUUUUAUCUCAUAUAUAGUACAUGUUGCCUUACAUAUUCAGUACAUUAUUUCGUACUGACGUCCCUCUUGGGGGACCUGCAUUCCAUGCUGCAGGUACAGAAGCUAAUAAACCUCCCUAGUAAGAGUACAGGAUAUCAACCGCAGUCACUGAGCUCCAGGUUGCUUCGGGGCUUUGAGUCUUAUCAUAUCUUUUUGCAUUGUAUAGUAUCUUAUCAUGAGGCGGGGCCUGUCCCGACCCUUAUAAGAUAACUUUUCUUGUCUAGAGGCUUUGUAGACUACGUAAAGUAUAGUAUGGUCAUGUAUCCUAUCCUAGACAUUGUGGCUCCAACGACCUAGUCAUAUAAUAUCUUUUGGCUUGCUAGUCCUAUUUAUCUUUUGAGGGCGUGUUUAGUAUGAAAGGAACUUAUAAUGUUCAUAGGUAAUAUAUUGCUACAGGUUGGUUCUCCCGAGCCUUACCGGCAACGGGUGCCAGUCCGCCUUAAUAGGAUUUGGGGCGUGACAAGUACGCCCGGACCCCAGGUCCAUCCCAAAAAUAGUGGGCUAUAGAACCCCAAUUUGGCACGAAAAUGCCCCAUUCACGUCGUUUGCUCGUUUGUCCACCCAAAUGGCCACGAAAAUUUAAACAGACCACACUGGAAUGAUCCCUAAUAUCUCUGGCAGUCCUCGGUCAAUUUUUCACCCACAACACACUCGGACCCCGGGCCCACCCCCAAAACUGUUGGCUAUAGCUUACAGAUUUAGCCUAAAAAUGCCCCGUUCACAUCGUUUCGCCCGUUUGACCACCUAAAUGGACACAAAAAUUUAAAUGAACCAUACUGGGAUAAUUCCCAACCUCUCUGGCAUGCUCUGGUCGAUUUUCGGCCCACAGCACGCCCGGAACCCUAGCCCACCCUCGAAAAUAUGGGCUAUAGCACACCAAUUUAGCCCGAUUCGCAUCGUUUAUGCCCGUUUGUCCACCAAAAUUGCCACGAAACUCUAAAUGAACCACACUGGGAUGAUCCCCAACCUACCUGACCCGCCCCAUUUGAUUUUUAGCCCACAACACGCUCGUACCAUGGGCCCACCCCAAAACCUACGCUAUAGCAAUCCGAUUUGGUCUGAAAAUGCCUUUUUCACGUUGUAUUGCCCGUUUGUCCAUCCAAAUGGCCAUGAAAAUUUAAACGGACCUCACUAGGACAAUCCCCAACCACCUUGGCAUGCCCCGAUCGAUUUUUUCCCAACAGCACGCUCCAACCAUCAUGGGCUAUAGCACACCAAUUUGGCCCGAAAAUACCCCGUUCGCAUCGUUUCGCCCAUUUAUCCUCCUAAAUGGCUACAAAAAAUCUAAACGGACCACACUAGGAUGAUCCCCAACCUCCCUGGCAUGCCCCGGUCAAGUUUUCGCCCACAGCAUGUCUGGACCCCGAGCCCAGCCCAAAACUGUUGGAUAUAGCACACUGAUUUGGCCUAAAAAUGCCUUGUACGUGCUGUUUCGCCCAUUUGUCCACCCAAAUGGCCACAAAAAUUUAAAAGGACCACACUGGGAUGAUCCUCAUCCUCCCUCCCAAGCCUCGAUCGAUUUUUAGCCAACAGCAUGCCCAGACCCCAGGCUCACCUUGAAAAUUGUGGGCUAUAGCACACCAAUUUUGCCCAAAAAUUCUCCGUUCGCAUCGUUUUGCCCGUUUGUCCACCCAAAUGGCCACAAAAAUUUAAACGGACCUCACUAGGAUGAUAUAUAACCUCCCUGGCAUGCCCCAAUUAAUUUUUAGCCAACAGCUUACCCGGACCCUGGGCGCACACCCAAAAUCGCGGGCUAUAGCACAGUGAUUUGGCUAAAAAAUGCUCCAUUCGCGUUGUUUUGCUCAUUUGUCCACCCAAAUGGCCACGAAAAUUUAAACAGAUCACUCUAGGACGAUCCUUAACCUCCCUAGCAUGCCCCAAUAGAUUUUUGGCCCAUAACAUGCCCGAAUCCCAAGUCCACCAACGAAACUGUGGGCUACAGCACACCGAUUUGGCCCUAAAAUGACCCGUUCAUGCUAUUUCGCCCGUUUGUCCACCCAAAUGGCCAUGAAAAUUUAAACGAACAAUACUGGGAUGAUCGUCAACCUCGCUGGCUAGGCCUGGUUGAUUUUAGGCCCACAGCACACCCGUACCCCGGGCCCACCCCCAAAAACGUGGGCUAUAGCACACCAAUUUGUCUAAAAAAUGCCCAGUUUGCAUCGUUUCCCCCGUUUGUCCACCCAAAUGGCCACAAAAAAUUGAACGAACCAUACUAAGAUGAUCCUUAACCUCCUUGGCACGCUCCGGUCAAUUUUCAGCCCACAGAACGCUUAGACCCCGGGCCCAUCCCUAAAACCGUAGGCCAUAGCACACCAAUUUGGCUAAAAAAUAACUCGUUCGCUCAGUUUCGCCCGUUUGUCCACACAAAUGGCCACGAAAGUUUAAACGAACCACAUUAGAAAGAUCCCCAACCUCCCUAGCAUGACCCGGUUAAUUUUUCACCCACAACACGACUAGACCCGAGCCCACCCCCAAAACCGUGGGCUAUAGCACACCAAUUUGGCUCAAAAGUUCUCCGUUCGCGCCGUUUCGCCCGUUUGUCCUCCCAAAUGGCCAUGAAAAUUUAAACGAACCACACUGGGAUAAUCCCCAACUUCCCUGACAUACCUCGGUCAAUUUUCAGUACACAGUACGCCCGAACCCCUGGCCUACCCACGAAAUCGUGGGCUAUAACACAUCGAUUUGGCCUGAAAAUGCCUUAUUCGUACAUUUCACUCGUUUGUCCACCCAAAUGGCCACGAAAAUUUAAACAAACCUCACUGAGAUGAUUUCCAACCUCCCUGGCAUUCCCCAAUCAAUUUCAGCCCACAACAUGCCUGGACCCCAGGCCCACCCCCGAAACCAUGGGCUAUAGCACACCGAUUUGACCCGAAAAUACCUCGUUCACUCCGUUUCUACCGUUUUCCACCCAAAUGACCACAAAAGUUUAAACAGACCAUACUAGAAUGGUCCCUAACCUCCCUGGCAUGCCCCAUUUGAUUUUUGGCCCAUAGCACGCCUGGAACCCGAGCCCACCCUCAAAAACAUGGGCUAUAGCCAACUAAUUUGGCCUAAAAAUGCCCCAUUCACCCUGUUUUGCCCAUUUGUCCACCCAAAUGGACAUUAAUGUUUAAACGGACCACACUGGUACAAUCCUCAACCUCCCUAACAUAUCUCGGUCGAUUUUUGGCCCACAGCAUGCCCGAACCCCGGGGCCACCCAUAAAACCGUGGACUAUUAUGCACCGAUUUGGCCCUAAAAUGACCCGUUCACGCCAUUUCGCUCGUUUGUCCAGUCAAAUGGCCACAAAAAUUUAAACAGACCACACUGAGAUAAUUCUCAACCUCGCUGGCAUGGCCCGAUAGAUUUUUGGACCACACCACACCUGGAACCUGGGGCCACCCCCAAAAUCGUGGGCUAUAGCACACCGAUUUGGCUCGAAAAUGCCCCGUUUGCACCGUUUCGCCCGUUUGUCCACCCAAAUGGCCAUAAAAAUUUAAACGAACCAUACUGGGAUGAUCCUUAACCUCCUUGGCCGGCCCCGAUUGAUUUUCGGCCUACAGUACACUUGAACCCCAUGCCCACCCCUAAAAUCGUGGGAUAUAGCACACCAAUUUGGCCCGAAAAGGCCUCAUUCAUAUUGUUUUGCCCAUUUGUCCACCCAAAUGACCACCAAAUUUAAAGGGACCACACUAGGAAGAUCCCCAACCUCCCUGGCAUGCCUUAUUCGAUUUUUGGCCUACAGCACGCCUGGACCCCGGGCCCACCCCCAAAAAUGUAGGCUAUUACACUCUAAUUUGGCCCGAAAGCACCCCUUUCGCGCUGUUUGGCCCAUUUGUCCACCAAAAUGGCCAUGAAAAUUUAAACGGACUACACUUGGAUGAUCCCCAACCUCCCUGGCCAUCCUCUAUCAAUUUUUGUCCCACAUCACGCCCUAACCCUAUUUCCACCAUUAAAACCAAGGGCUAUAGCAUACCGAUUUGUCCAAAAAAUACACCAUUCGCGCUGUUUCACCCGUUUGUCCACUAAUAAAUGGCCACAAAAAUUUAAACGGACCACACUGGGAUGAUCCCCAACCUCCCUGGCAUGCCUAUAUCAAUUUUUUGCCCACAACACGCCCGGACCACGUGCCCACCCUCGAAACCAUGGGCUAUAGCACACCGAUUUAGCCUGAAAAUGCCCCGUUCGCAUCUUUUCGCCCGUUUAUCCACCCAAAUAGCCACAAAAAUUUAAAUUGACCAUACUGGGAUGAUCUCCAACCUCAUUGGCACACACUGAUCGAUUUUCGGACCACAGCACGCCUGGGCCCCAGGCCCACCCCCAAAACUGUGGGCUAUUGCACACUAAUUUGGCCCGAAAAUGCCCCGUUCGCAUUAUUUUACCUGUUUGUCCACACAAAUAGCAACGACAAUUUAAACGGACCUCACUGGGAUGAUCCCCAACCUCCCUAGCACGCCCCAAUCGAUUUUCGACCCACAGCACGCCCGGUCCUCGUGCCCACCACCAAAACCAUGGGCUAUAGCACACCGAUUUUGCCGAAAAAUGUCCCGUUCAAGCCAUUUUGCCCGUUUAUCACCCCAACUUGCAACAAAAAAUUAAACGGGCAAUAUUGGGACGAUCCCCAACCUCUCUGGCACACCCGAGCUGAUUAUCAGCCCACUGCACGCUUGGACCUCUGGCCCACCCCCAAAACCGUGGGGUAUAGCACACCAACUUGGCUAAAAAAUGCCCCAUUCACGCCGUUUCGCCUGUUUGUCCACCCAAAUAUCCACGAAAAAUUAAAUGGACCACACUGGGAUGAUCCCCAACCUCCCUAGCAUGCCCCAUCGAUUUUUGACCCUCAGCACGCCCGGACCCCGAGGCCACCCCCGAAAUCGUGGGCUAUAUAGCACACUGAUUUGGCCCGGAAAUGCCCCGUUCACCCUGUUUCGCCCGUUUGUCCACCCAAAUAGCCACAAAAAUUUAAACUAACCACACUGACACGAUCCCCAACCUCUCUGGCAAGCCCGGUCAAUUUUUUACCCUCAGCACACUUGGACCUUGGGCCCACUCCCAAAACUGUGGGCUAUAUAGCACAUCGAUUUGGCCCGAAAAUGCCCUAUUUGCGCCAUUUCACCUAUUUGUCCACCCAAAUGGCCAUAAAAAUUUAAAUGGACCACACUGGCAAGAUCUCCAACCUCCCUGGCAUGUCCCAAUUAAUUUUUUGCCCAUAGCACGCCCGGACCCCGGGCCCACCCCCAAAAUUAUGGGCUAUAACACAUCGAUUUAGUUCGAAAAUGCCCCGUUAGCGCAGUUUCGCCCAUUUGACCACCCAAAUGGCCAAGAAAAUUUAAAUGGACCAUACUGGAAUGACCCCUAACAUCCAUGGCACGCCCUAGUCAAUUUUAAGCACACAGCACACUCAAACCUCGGGCCCACCCCCAAAACCGUGGGCUAUAGCACACCAAUUUAGCUUGGAAAUGCCCCAUACACCCAGUUUUGCCCAUUUAUCCACCCAAAUGGCCACAAAACUUUAAACGGACCACACUAGAAUGAUCUUCAACCUCCUUGGCAUGCCCCGAUCAAUUUUGACCCACAACGCCCCCAUACCCCGUGCCCACCCCCGAAAUAAUGGUCUAUAACGCACUAAAUUGGCUUGAAAAUGCCUCGUUCGCUCCUUUUUCGCUCGUUUGUCCACCCAUAUGGCAACAAAAAUAUAAACGGACCACACUGGGACUAUCCCCAACCUUCCUGGUAUACCCUAAUCGAUUUUCGACCAAUAUCACGCCCAAACCUUGAGCCCACCCUGAAACUAUUGGCUUUAGCAUACCGAUUUGGCCCAAAAUGCCCCGUUCGUGCCAUUUUGCCUGUUUGUACACCCAAAUGGCCAUAAAAAUUUAAACGGACUACACUGGGACAAUCCCCCAACCUCCCUGGUAUGACCCGAUUAAUUUUUGGCUUAUAGCAUGCAUGGACCCUGGGCCCACCCCCAAAUCGUGGGCUAUAGCAUAUCGACUUGGCCUGAAAAUGCCCCGUUCACGCUGUUUCAUCCGUUUGUCCACCCAAAUGGCCACAGAAAUUUAAAAGGACCACACAAGGAUGAUCCCCAACCUCCCUAGCAUGCCUCGGUUGAUUUUUAGCCCACAGCACCCCCAAAAUCGUGGUCUAUAUAGCACACUGAUUUGGCCUAGAAAUGCCCCGUUCGCCCUGUUUCGCUCGUUUGUCCACCCAAAUAGCCACAAAAAUUUAAACUAACCACACUGAGACGAUCCCCAACCUCCCUGGAAAGCCCGAUCAAUUUUUUACCCUCAGCAUACUGGACCUCGAGGCCACUCCCAAAACUGUGGGCUAUAUAGCACAUCGAUUUGGCCCGAAAAUACCCUGUUUGCGCCAUUUUGCCCAUUUGUCCACUCAAAUGGCCACAAAAAUUUAAACGGACCACGCUGGAAAGAUCUCCAACCUCUCUAGCAUGUCUCAGUCAAUUUUCCACCCGCAGCACGCUCGGACCCUGGGCCCACCCUCGAAAUUGUGGGCUAUAACACAUCGAUUUGGCUCAAAAAUGCCCCGUUAGUGUAGUUUCGCCUAUUUGACCACCCAAAUGGCCAAGAAAAUUUAAAUGGACCAUACUGGAAUGAUCCCUAACAUCCAUGGCAUGCCCCAGUCAAUUUUUAGCACACAGCACACUCGAACCUCAGGCCCACCCCCAAAACCGUAGGCUAUAGCACUCCAAUUUAGCUUGGAAAUGCCCCGUACACCCAGUUUUACCCAUUUGUCCACCCAAAUAGCCACAAAACUUAAAACGGACCACACUGGAAUGAUCUUCAACCUCCUUGGCAUGCCCCGAUCAAUUUUUGGCCCACAACACCCCCGGACCCCGUGCCCAUCCCCGAAAUCAUGGUCUAUAGCAGACUGAGUUGGCUCGAAAAUGCCACGUUUGCGCCCUUUUCGCUCGUGUGUCCACCCAUAUGGCAACGAAAAUAUAAAUAGACUACACUGAGAUGAUCCCCAACCUUCCUGGUAUACCCCAAUCUAUUUUCGGCAAAUAUCACGCCCAAACCUUGAGCCCACCCUGAAACUAUUGGCUUUAGCACACCGAUUUGGCCUAAAAUACCCUGUUCGUGCCGUUUUGCCUGUUUGUACACCCAAAUGGCCACAAAAACUUAAACGAACCACACUGGGACGAUCCCCAACCUCCCUGGCAUACCCAGAUUAAUUUUUGGCCCAUAACAUGCGCGAACCCUGGGCCCACCCCAAACCGUGGGCUAUAGCACAUCGACUUGCCCCAAAAAUACCCCAUUCACGCUGUUUCGUCCGUUUGUCCGCCCAAAUGGCCACGAAAAUUCAAACGGACCACAGAAAGAUGAUCCCCAACCUCUCUGGCAUGCCCCGAUUGAUAUUUAGCUCACAGCACCCCCGAAACCCAAUCCCACCCCCGAAACCGUGGGCUAUAGAAUGCCAAUUUGGCCCGAAAAUACCCCAUUCGCGCCGUUUUACCCAUAUUUUCCACCUAAAAGGCCACAAAAAUUUAAACAGACCAUACUAGGACAAUCUCCAACCUCCCUGGCACACCCUGGUUGAUUUUCAGACCACAACACGGCCGAACCCACCAACAAAACCGUGUGCUAUAGCACACUGAUUUGGCCUAAAAAUGCCCCAUUCGCGCCAUUUCGCCAAUUUGUCCACCAAAAUAGCCAAAAAAAUUUAAACGGACCAUACUGGUAUGAACUCCAAGCUCCCUGUCACGCCAUGGUCAAUUUUCAGCCCACAACACGCCCAGACCCUGAGCCCACCCCCAAAACCGUGGGCUAUAGCACACCGAUUUGGCCCAAAAAUGCCCUGUUUAAGCCAUUUCGCCCGUUUGUCCACCCAAAAUGGCAAUGAAAAUUUAAACGCACCACAUUGGGAUGAUCCCUAACCACCCUUGCAUGCCCCAUUUAAGUUUUUACACACAGCACGCUCGAAUCCCGGGCCCACCCUCAAAACCGUGGGCUAUAGCACACCGAUUUAGCCAGAAAAUGCCCUUUUCGUGCUAUUUUGCCCAUUUGUCCACCCAAGUUGCCACGAAAAUUUAAACUAACUACAUCGGGACAAUCCCCAACCUUCCUAGCACGCCUUGAUCUAUUUUUGGCCCACAACAUACCCGGACCCUGGGCCCACCCUUGAAACCAUAGGCUAUAGCACACCGAUUUGGCCCGAAAAUACCACGUUCAUGAUAUUUCUCUCAUUUAUCCACCCAAAUUGCCACAAAAAUUUAAAUGGAUAACACUGGGAUAAUACCCAACCUACUUUGCACGCCUCAGUCAGUUUUUUGCCCUCAUCACGCUCGGACCCCGGCCCACCCCGGAAAUCAUGGGCUAUAGCACACCGAUUUGGCUCAAAAAUGCCCUGUUCGUGCUUUUAUGCGCAUUUGCCCACCCAAAUGGCUACAAAAAUUUAAACGAACCACACUGGGAAGAUCCCUAACCUUUUUGGCAUACCCCGAUCGAUUUUCAGCCCAUAACACGCCCGGACCCCGAUCUCACUCUUAAAAUCGUGGGCUAUAGCACACCAAUUUGGCCCGAAAAUAUUCCAUUCGCGCCAUUUCAACUGUUUUUCCUCCCAAACAGCCAUAAAAAUUUAAACGGACCACACUGGGAGGAUCCCCAUCCUCCCUGGCAUGCCCCAGUCGAUUUUUGGUCCAAAGCAUGCCCGGACCCCGAACCUUCCCCAAAAACUGUGGGCUAUAGCUCACCGAUUUGGCCCAAAAAUGCCCCGUUCGCAUCAUUUCGCCUGUUUGUCCACCCAAAUGGCCAUAAAAAUUUAAACGAACCACACUGGGAUGAACCCCAACCUCUCUGCCAUGCCCCGAUCUAUUUUUAGCAUACAACACACCCUGAACCCGAGCACCCCUCAAAACCACGAGCUACAACAUACUAAUUUGGCCCAAAAAUGCCUCGUUCGCAUCAUUUUGCUCGUUUGUCUACCCAAAUGCCACAAAAAUUUAAAAAAAAAUUACUCGGACGAUCCCCAACCUUCCUGGCAUGCCCCGAUAAAUUUUUAGCCCAUAACAGGUUCGAACCCUGGGCCCACCCAUAAAAUCAUAGGCUAUAGCACAACGAUUUGGCUUGAAAAUGUCCCGUUCGCACCGUUUUGACUGUUUUUCCAUCCAAAUGGCCAUGAAAAUUUAAACAGACCAUACUUGGAUGAUCCCCAACCUCCCUAGCAAGCCUCGAUUGAUUUUUGGUCGACAACAUGCCCAGACUGCGGGCCAACUCCCGAAACAGUGGGUUAUAGCACAUUUAUUUAGCCCAAAAAUGGCUCGUUCGCGCCGUUUCACCCAUUUGUCCACCCAAAUAGCCAAGAAAAUAUAAAUGGACCACAAUGGGACAAUCCUCGACCUCCCUAACAUAUCUCAGUCAAUUUUCGGCCCAUAGGACACUCGGACCCCAGGUCACCCCCGAAACCGUUGGCUAUAGCACACCGAUUUGGCUUAAAAAUGCCCUAUUCGUGUCGUUUCACUCGUUUGUCCACACAAAUGGCCACGAAAAUUUAAAUGGACCACAAUGGGACGAUCCCAAACUUCCCUGGCAUACCCCAAUCAAUUUUUGACCCACAACAUGCCCAAACCAUGGACCCACCCCCAAAAUCAUGGGCUAUAGCACACCAAUUUGGCCCAUAAACGCCUCGUUAGCAUCGUUUCACCCUUUGGUCCACCCAAAUAGCAUCAAAAAUUUAAACGGAACACAAUGAGAUGAUCCCCAACCUCCUUGGACUGCCAUGAUUGAUUUUUGGCGCAUAGCACGCCUGAACCCCAGGCCCACCCCAAAACAGUGCGCUAUAGCACACUAAUUUGGUUCGAGAAUGCCCCGUUCACGCUUUUUCACCCGUUUGUCCACCUAAAUAGCCACAAAAAUUUAAACGAACUACAUUGGGAUGAUCCCCAACCUUCCUCUCAUGCCCCAGUUGAUUUUUGCCCCACAGCACACCCAGACCCCAGACCCACCCCCUAAAAUAGUAGGCCAUAGCACACCAAUUUGGACCGAUAAUGCCCCAUUAGUGUCGUUUCGCCCAUUUUUCCACCUAAAUGGCCGCAAAAAUUUAAAUGGACCAGGGACAAUCCCCAAUCCCCUGGCAUGCCCCUAUCAAUUUUUAACCCACAGUACGCCCAAACCCCGGGCCCACCCUCAAAACCAUGGGCUAUAGCACACCGAUUUGGCCCAAAAAUGCCCCGUUCGUGCAGUUUCGCUCGUUUGUCCACCCAAAUAUCCAUGAAAACUUAAAUGGUCCAUACUGGGAUAAUCCCCAACCACGCUGGCAUGCCACGAUCAAUUUUCGGCAUACAACACGCUCAAAACUGGGGACUACCCCUGAAACAGGGGGCUAUAGUGCACCGAUUUGGCCCGAAAAUGCCCCAUUUGUGCUGUUUCGCUCGUUUGUCCACCCAAUUAUCACAAAAAUUUAAACGGACCACACUGGGAUGAUCUUCAACCUCCCUAGAACACCCCUAUCAAUUUUGGCCCACAACACACAUGGACCCUAGGCCCACCCCCAAAAUCGUGGGCUAUAGCACAUCGAUUUAUCCCAAAAAUGGCCCGUUUGCGUUGUUUUGACCAUUUGUUUACUCAAAUGGCCACAAAAAUUUAAAUAGACCACACUGGGACGAUCCCCAACCUCGCUGGCACAUCCUUACAUAUUUUUUGCCCACAGCAUGCCCUGACCCCGAGUUCACCCCCAAAACCGUAGGCUAUAGCACACGAAUUUGGCCCGAAAAUGCCCCGUUCACGCCGUUUCGCCCGUUUGACCUCCUAAAUGGCCACGAAACAGAUCACACUGGGAUGAUUCUUUUCUUCCCUGGCAUAUCCUGAAUUGUUUUUGGCCCACAGCACGCUCGAACCCUGGGCCUACCACCAAAACCAUAUGCUAUAGCACAUUAAUUUGGCCUGAAAAUGCCCCAUUCGCGCUGUUUUGCCCAUUUGUCCACCCAAAUAGCUAUAAAAAUUUAAACGAACCAUACUAGGAUGAUCCGAAACCUCCCUGGCAUGACCCGAUCAAUUUUCAGCCCAUAGCACACCCAAACCAUGGAUCCACCCCUAAAACCGUGGGCUAUGGCACAUAGAUUUGGCCCAAAAAUGCCCCAUUCACGCCGUUUAGCCCGUUUCUCCACCAGAAUGGCCAGGAAAUUUAAACGGACUAUACUGGGAUGAUUCCCGACCUCCCUGUCAUACCCCGGUCUAUUUUCGGCCUACAGUACGCCCGGACCCCAGGCCCACCCCCGAAACCAUAGGCUAUAGCACACCAAUUUAGCUAAAAAAUGCGUCGUUCGCAUCGUUUCACCCAUUUGUCCACCCAAAUGGCCACAAAAAAUUAAAUGGACUGCACUGGGAGGAUCCCCAACCUCCCUGGCAUGCCCCGAUAGAUUUUCGGCCCACAGCACGCCCGGACACCCAGCCCACCCCAAAACCAUGUGCUAUAGCACAUCGAUUUGGCUCAAAAAUGGCUCGUUUGUAUGUUUAUCCACCCAAAUGGCCAUGAAAAUUUAAACGGAUCAUACUGGGACGAUCCCCAACCUCCCUGGCAUGCCCAGAUAAAUUUUCAACCCACAGCAUCCCCGGACCUCAGGCCCAACCCCAAAACCGUAGGCUAUAGCACACUGAUUUAGCCCCAAAAUACCUCGGUCGCAUCGUUUCGCCCAUUUAUCCACCCAAAUAGUCACAAAAAAUUUAAUGAACCACGCUGUGAUGAUCCCUACUUCCCUGGCAUGUCCCGAUUGAUUUUUGGCCUACAGCACGCCCGAACCUCGGGCCCAUCCCCGAAACCGUUUGCUAUAGCAUACCAAUUUGGCCUAAAAAUGCCUUGUUUGCGUCGUUUUGCCUGCUUGACCUCCCAAAUGGCCAGUAAAAUUUAAACGGACCACACUAGGAUGAUCCCCAACCUUCCUGGCACGCCGCGGUCAAUUUUUGACCUACAGCAUGCCCGAACACCGAGACCACCCCCAAAAUCAUGGCCUAUAGCACAUCGAUUUUGCCCGAUAAUGCCCCGUUCGUGCUGUUUUACCUGUUUGUCCACCCAAAUGGCAACAAAAAUUUAAACGAACCACACUGGGAUGAUCCCCGACCUCCCGGGCAUAUCCCAAUCGAUUUUUGUCCUACAGCAUGCCCGACCUGGGCCUACCCCCAAAACUGUGGGCUAUAGUACACCAAUUUAGCUUGAAAAUGCCCCAUUUGCACCAUUUUGCCUGUUUGUGCACCCAAAUAGCCACGAAAAUUUAAACGGACCAUACUGGGACGAUCCCCGACCUUCCUGGCACGUCCCGAUUGAUUUUUGGACCACAACACGGCCGAACCCUAUGCCUGAUCAAUUUUUGAACAACAAUACGCUUGAACCCCGUGCCCACCCUUUAAACCGUGGGCUAUAGCUCACCGAUUUAGCCCAAAAAUAUCCCAUUCGUGCUGUUUCACCCGUUUGUCUACCCAAAUGGCAAUGAAAAUUUAAACGGACCGUACUGGGAUGAUCCCCGACCUUCCUGGCACGCCCUGAUAAAUUUUUGGCCCACUGCACGCCCGAACCCUUGGCCCACCCCCAAAACUGUGGGCUAUAGCAUACCAAUUUAGCCCAAAGAUGCCCCGUUCGCGCCGUUUCGCCCGUUUGUCCACCCAAAUGGAAACGAAAAUUUAAACAGACCAUACUGGGACUAUCCCGAACUCACUGAAAUGCCCAAAUCAAUUUUCAGAGCACAGAACGCCUGGACCCCGGGCCCACCACCAAAAUCGUGGGCUAUAGCACACCGAUAUGGUUUGAAAAUGCCCUGUUCGCACUGUUUUUCCAUUUGUCCACCCAAAUAGGCACAAAAUAUUAAACGGACCACACUAGGAUGAUUUUCGACCUCCCUAAAAUGCCCGAACCUCAUGCCCACCCCUAAAACCGUGGGCUAUAGCACACUGAUUUGGUGCAGAAAUGCCCUAUUCUUGCUGUUUCGCCCGUUUGUCCACCCAAAUGGCCACGAAAAUUUAAAAGUACCAUACAGGUAUGAUCCCCGACUUUCCUAACAUGCCUCGAUCAAAUUUUAACCCAUAGCACACCCGGAACCCGGGCCCACCCCUAAAACCAUGGGCUAUAUAGCACACCGAUUUGGCCCGAACAUGUCUCGUUCGUAUUAUUUUGCUCAUUUAUCCACCCAAAUAGCCAUAAAAAUUUAACCAGACCAUACUGGGACGGUUCUCGACCUCCCUUGAAUGCCAAAAUCAAUUUUUGGCCCACAGCACGCUGGACCCCAGGCCCACCACCAAAACCGUGGGCUAUAGCACACCAAUAUGGCCCGAAAAUGCCCCGUUCGCACUAUUUUUCUAGUUUGUCGACCCAAAUGGCCACGAAAAUUUUAACGGACCACACUAGGACUUUUCCUGACCUCCCUGGAAUGACCCAAUCAGUUUUUGUCCCACAGCAUGGCUGUACCCCGAUCCUACCCCCAAAAGCAUGGGCAAUAGCAUACCAAUUUGGCUUGAAAAUGCCCUGUUCGUGCCGUUUGGCCCGUUUGGCCCGUUUGUCCACCCAAAUGGCCACAAAUAUUUAAACAGAUGACACUGGGAUGAUUCCCAACCUCCCUGGAUCUCCCCGAUUGAUUUUUGACCCACAGCAUGCCUAGACCCCGAGCCCGCCCCUCCUACCCUAAAGCCGUGGGCUAUUGCACAUCAGUUUGUUUCAAAAAUGCCCCGUUCGAGCCGGUUCGCCCGUUUGUCCACCCAAAUGAUCAAAAAAUUUAAAUGGACUACACUGGGAUGAUCCCCAACCUCCCUGGCACGCCCCGAUCAAUUUUCAGCACAUAGCACGCCCGGACCCCAGGCCCACCCCCAAAAUCGUGGGCUAUUGCACACUGAUUUAGCCCGAAAAUGCCCCGUUUGCACUGUUUUGCUUGUUUGUCCACUCAAAUAGUCACAAAAUUUUGAACGGACCACCCUGGACGAUCCCCAACCUACCUGGCACGACCCAGUUAGCUUUUAGUCCACAACACAUUGGACCCCGAGCCCACCCUAGAAACCGUGGGCUAUAGCACACUAAUUUGGCCUGAAAAUAUCCCAUUUGCACCGUUUUGCCCGUUUGUCCACCCAAAUGGCCACAAAAAUUUAAACGAACAACACUAUAAUCAUCCCCACCCCCUGGCAUGCCUCUAUCAAUAUUAGACCUACAGGACGCCCGAACCCUGGGCCCACCCUCAAAAUCGUGGGCUUUAGCACACCGAUUUGUCCCGAAAAUACCUCGUUUGCGCAGUUUCACUCGUUUGUCAACCCAAAUGACCACGAAAAUUUAAAUGGUCCAUACUGGGAUAAUCUCCAACCACCCUGGCACACCACGGUCAAUUUUCAACCCACAGCACGCCCGGACCCGGGUCCGCCCCCAAAAUAGGGGGCUAUAGUGCACCGAUUUGGCCCGAAAAUGCCCAUUUGUGCUGUUUCGCUCGUUUGUCCACCCAAUUUCCACAAAAAUUUAAACGGACCACAUUGGGAUGAUCUCCAACCUCCCUAGCACGCCUUGAUCAAUUUCAACCCACAACACGCACGGACCCCAGGCGCACUCCCGAAAUCGUGGGCUAUAGCACACCAAUUUAUUCUAAAAAUGACCCAUUCACGUCGUUUCGACCGUUUGUCCACUCAAAUGACCACAAAAAUUUAAAUGGUUCAUACUGGGAUGAUCUCCAACCUCCCUGGCACACCUCGAUCAAUUUUGGCACACAACACACACGGACCCCAGGCCCACCCCCAAAACCGUGGGCUAUAGCACACCAAUUUGUCCUAAAAAUAACCUAUUUGCGUCGUUUCGACCGUUUGUCCACUCAAAUGGCCACAAAAAUUUAAAUGGACUACACUGAGAUGAUCCCCAACCUUCCUGGUACACCCCUGCCAAUUUUCGGUGGACAACAUGCCCCAACACCGAUUCCAACCCCAAAACCGCAGGCUAUGGCACACGAAUUUGGCUCGAAAACACCCCGUUCCCCGUUCACCCGUUUUUCUUCCUAAAUAGCCACGAAAAAUUAAACAGACCACACUAGGAUGAUCCUUUUCUUCCCUAGAAUAUCCCGAUUAUUUUCAGCACGCAGCACGCCCGAACCCUGAACCCACCCCUGAAACCGUACGCUAUAGCACACCGAUUUAGCCUGAAAAUGCUCUAUUCAUGCCGUUUUACCCAUUUGUCCAUCCAAAUAGCCACAAAAAUUUAAACAGACCAUACUGGGAUGAUGCCCAACCUCCCUGGCAUGACCUGAUCGGGCCCACAGCACACCCGAACCCCGGAUCCACCCCAAAAUUGUGGGCUGUAGCACACCGAUUUGGCUAAAAAAUGCCCCAUUCAUGCCGUUUCGCCCGUUUGUUCGCCCGAAUGGCCAGGAAGUUUAAACGGACUACACUGGGAUGAUUUCUGACCUCCCUAGCUGCCCUGGUCGAUUUUUUGCCCACAACAUGCCCAGACCUCGGGACCACCCCUGAAACCAUACACUAUAACACACCGAUUUAGCUUAAAAAUGCAUCGUUCACGCUGUUUCACUUGUUUAUCCACCCAAAUAGGAAAAAAAAAUUAAAUGGACUACACUGGGAGGAUCCUCAACCUCCCUGGCAUGGCCCGAUUGUUUUUCGGCCCACAGCACACCUGGACCCCGAGCCCACCCCAAAAUCGUGCCCUAGAGCACAUCGAUUUGGCUAAAAAAUGAACUAUUCGUCCAUUUAUCCACCCAACCUCCCUGGCAUGCCCCGAUCGAUUUUCAACCCACAGCAUGCCCGAACCUCGGGCCCAACCCCAAAACCAUGGGCUAUAGCACACCGAUUUAGCCCCAAAAUGCCUCGUUCACGUUAUUUCGCUCAUUUGUCCACCCAAAUAGCCACAAAAAUUUUAACGGACCAUGCUGUGAUGAUCUCAACUUCCCUGGCAUGCCUUGAUUGAUUUUUGGCGCACAGCACGCUCGGACCCUGUGCCCAUCCCCGAAACCGUAGGCUAUAGCACACCGAUUUGGACCGAAAAUGCCCCGUUCGUGCUGUUUUGCCCGCUUGACCUCCCAAAUGGCCACAAAAAUUUAAACGGACCUCACUGGGAUGAGCUUCGAUCUCCCUGGCAUGCCCCGAUCAAUUUUUGGUGUACAGCAUGCCCGAACACAGAGCCCACCCCCCAAAAUCGUGGGCUAUAGCACACCAAUUUUUCCCAAUACUUCUGCGUUCACACCGUUUCUCCUGUUUGUCCACCCAAAUGGCAACGAAAAUUUAAACGAACCACACUGGGAUGAUUUCCAACCUCCCUGGCAUGUCUUAAUCGAUUUUUGUCCUACAUCAUGCCCGGACCUGGGCCCACCCCCAAAACCGUCGGCUAUAGCACACUGAUUUGGCUUGAAAAUGCCCCGUUCGCACUGUUUUGCCUGUUUGUGCACCCAAACAACCACAAAAAUUUAAACGGACCCACACUAGGAGGAUCCCCAUCCUCCCUGGCAAACCCCGAUCGAUAUUUAGCCCAAAGCACGCUCGUAUCCCGAAUGCACCCCAAAAACUGUGGGCUAUAGCUCAUUGAUUUGGCCCAAAAAUGCCCCAUUCGUGUCAUUUCGACUGUUUGUCCACCCAAAUGGCCACAAAAAUUUAAACGAACCAUACUGGAAUGAUCCCCAACCUCCCUGCCAUGCCCCGGUCAAUUUUUAGUAUAUAGUAUGCCCAGACCUCGAGCACCCCCCCAAAACCGUGGGGUAUAGCAUACUAAUUUGGCCCAAAAAUGCCCCGUUCGCAUCAUUUUGCCCGGUUUUCCACCCAAAUGCCACAAAAAUUUAAACUAAAGUCACUGGGACGAUCCCCAACCUCCCUGGCAUGCCCCGAUUAAUUUUUGUCCCACAGCAGGUCUGGACCCCGGGCCCACCCCCUAAACCAUGGGCUAUAGCACAACAAUUUGGCCCGAAAAUGCCCCGUUCACGCUGUUUUGACUGUUUUUCCACCCAAAUGGCCAUGAAAAUUUAAAUACACCAUACUGGGAUGAUCCCCAACCUCCCUAGCAAGCCCCGAUCGAUUUUUGGCCCACAGCAUGCCCAGACCAUGGGCCCACUCCCUAAAUCGUGGGUUCUAGCACACCUAUUUACCCCAAAAAUGGCUCGUUCGCGCUGUUUUGCCCAUUUGUCCACCCAAAUAGCCAUGAAAAAAUAAAUGGACCACAAUGGGUUGAUCCCCAACCUCCCUAGUAUAUCCCGAUCAAUUUUUGACCCAUAGGACACUCAGACCCCAGGCCCACUAUCGAAACCGUUGGCUAUAGCACACUAGUUUGGGUUGAAAAUGCCCUGUUUGAGCCGUUUCACCCGUUUGUCCACCCAAAUGGCCACAAAAAUUUAAAUGGACCACAAUGGGACAAUCCCCAACAUCCCUGGCAUGACCCGGUCAAUUUUUGACCCAUAACACGCCUGAACCAUGGGCUCACCCCCAAAAUCGUGGGCUAUAGCACACCGAUUUAGCCCGUAAAUGCAUCGUUAGUGCCGUUUCGCCCUUUUGUCCACCCAAAUAGCAAUGAAAAUUUAAACAGAACACAAUGAGAUGAUCCCCAGCCUCCUUGGCAUGCCACGAUCGAUUUUCAACCCAUAGAACGCCCAAACCCAAGGACCACCCCCAAAACAGUGCACUAUAGCACACUAAUUUGGUUCGAGAAUGCCCCAUUCGCGCUAUUUCACCCGUAUGUCAGCCCAAAUAGCCACAAAAAUUUAAACGAACUACACUGGGAUGAUCCCCAACCUCCCUGGGAUGCCCCGGACCCACCCCCUAAAAUAGUUGUCUAUAGCUCACCGAUUUGGACUGACAACUCCCCAUUUGUGCCGUUUCGCCCGUUUGUCCACCCAAAUGGCCACAAAAAUUUAAAUAGACCAUACUGGGAUGAUCCCCAACCCCCCUGGCAUGCCUCUAUCAAUUUUAAACCCACAGCACGGCCGAACCCUGUGCCCACCCUUGAAACCGUAGGCUUUAGCACACCGAUUUGGCUCGAAAAUGCCCCGAUCGUGCAGUUUCUCUCGAUUGUCAACCCAAAUAGACACAAAAAUUUAAAUGGUCCAUACUGGGAUAAUCUCCAACCACCCUGGCAUGCCACAAUCAAUUUUUGACCCACAGCACGCCCGGACCCCGGGUCCGCCCCCAAAACAGAGGGCUAUAGUGCACCGAUUUGACCACACUGGGAUGAUCUCCAACCUCCCUGGCACACCCGGAUCAAUUUCGACCCAUAACACGCACGAACCCCAGGCCCACCCCCAAAACCAUGGGCUAUAGCACACCAAUUUGUCCUAAAAAUGAUCCGUUCGCGCCGUUUUGACCGUUUGUCCACUCAAAUGGCCACAAAAAUUUAAAUGGACCACACUGGGAUGAUCCCUAACCUCGCUGGCACACCCCUUCCAAUUUUUGGCGGACAGCAUGCCCCAACUGCGAUUCCACCCCUAAAAUCGCAGGCUUUGGCACACGAAUUUGGCUCGAAAAUGCCUCGUUCACGCCGUUCGCCCAUUUUUCCUCCUAAAUGGCCACAAAAAAUUAAACGAACCACACUAGGAUGAUCCAUUUCUUCCCUGGCAUAUCCCAAUUAUUUUUGGCCCACAGCACACCCGAACCCUGAACCCUCCCCUAAAACCGUAUGCUACAGCACACCGAUUUAGCCCGAAAAUGCUCCAUUCACGCUGUUUUACCCAUUUGUCCACCCAAAUAGCCAACAAAAUUUAAACGGACCAUACUGGGAUGAUCCCCAACCUCCCUGGCAUGACUUGAUUGAUUUUUGGCCCACAGCACACCCGAACCCCGGAUCCAAACCCAAAAUUGUGGGUUGCAGCACACCGAUUUGGCUCGAAAAUGCCCCAUUCACACCAUUUCGCCCGUUUGUUCGCCUGAAUGGCCAGGAAAUUUAAACAAACUACACUGGGAUGAUUCCUGACCUCCCUGGAAUGCCCUGGUCGAUUUUUUCCCCAAAGUAUUCCCAGAACCCGGGCCCACCCCCAAAACCAUAGGCUGUAGCACACCGAUUUAGCUCAAAAAUGCAUCGUUCGCGCCGUUUCACCCAUUUAUCCACCCAAAUGGCAACAAAAAAUUAAAUGGACUACACUGAGAGGAUCCUCAACCUCCCUGGCAUGACCCGAUAGAUUUUUAGCCCACAACACGCCUAAACCCCGAGCCCAUCCCAAAAUCGUGCCCUAGAGCACAUCGAUUUGGCCUGAAAAUGACCCAUUCAUCCGUUUAUCCACCCAACCUCCCUGGCAUCGCCCGAUCGAUUUUCAACCCACAGCAUGCCCGAACCUCGAUCCCAAUGCUAAAACCAUGGGCUAUAACACACUGAUUUAGCCCCAAAAUGCCUCGUUCGCAUUAUUUCGCCCAUUUGUCCACCCAAAUAGCCGCAAAAUUUUUAACAGACCACGCUGUGAUGAUCCCAACUUGCCUGGCAUGCCCCGAUUGAUUUUCAUCCCACAGCACGCCCGGACCCUGUGCCCAUCCCCGAAACCAUAGGCUAUAGCACACUGAUUUGGCUCAAAAAUGCCACGUUCACGCCGUUUUGCCUGCUUGACCUCCCAAAUAGCCAUAAAAAUUUAAACGGACCACACUGGGAUGAGCCCCGAUGUCGUUGGCAUGCCCCGAUCAAUUUUUCGCCUACAGCAUGCCCGAACACCGAGGCCACCUCCCAAAAUCGUGGUCUAUAGAACAUCGAUUUUUCCCAAUACUUCCGCGUUCACGCUGUUUCACCUGUUUGUCCACCCAAAUGGCAACAAAAAUUUAAACGAACCAUACUGGGAUGAUCCCCGACCUCCCUGGCAUGUCUCAAUCAAUUUUUGUCCUACAGAAUGCCCGGACCCGAGCCCACCCCCAAAACCGUCGGCUAUAGCACACUGAUUUGGCUUGAAAAUGCCCUGUUCGAAUUGUUUUGCCCGUUUGUGCUCCCAAAUAGCCAAAAAAAUUUAAGCAGACCACACUGGGAUGAUCCCCGACCUCCUUGGCAUGUCCCAGUCAAUUUUUGGACUACAACACGAUCUAACCCUAUACCCGAUCAAUUUUCGAACCACAACACGCCCGAACCCCAUGCCCACCCCUAAAAUCGUGGGCUAUAGCUCACCAAUUUUGCCCAAAAGUGCCCCGUUCGUGCUGUUACGCCCGUUUGUCCACCCAAAUGGCCACAAAAAUUUAAACGGACCAUACUGGGAUGAUCCCUGACCUCCCUGACAUGCCUCGAUCAAUUUUUGGCCCACAGCACCCCCGGACCCUUGUCCCACCCCCAAAACCGUGGGCUAUAGAAUACCGAUUUAGCUCGAAGAUGCCUCAUUCGCGCCGUUUUGCUCGUUUGUCCACCCAAAUGGCCACGAAAAUUUAAAUGGACCAUACUUAGACUAUCCCCAACCUCCCUGGAAUGCCCAAAUCAAUUUUCGGCCCACGACACGCCUGGACCCCGAGCCCAGCUAUAAAAUCGUGGGCUAUAGCACACCGAUAUGGUCCAAGAAUGUCUUGUUCGCACCAUUUUUCCCAUUUGUCAACCCAAAUGGGCACAAAAUUUUAAACGAACCACAUUAGGACGAUCCCCGACCUCCCUAAAAUGCCCGGACCUCGAGCCCCCUAAAACCAUGGGCUAUAGUACACCGAUUUGGCCCAAAGAUGCCUCGUUCGCAUUAUUUCGCUCGUUUGUUCACCCAAAUGGCAAUGAAAAUUUAAACGGACCAUACUGGGACGAUUCUCGACCUCCCAUGAAUGCCCAAAUCAAUUUUUGGCCCACAGCACGCCUGGACCUUGGGCCCACCCCCAAAACCGUGGGCUAUAGCACAUCGAUAUGGCUAGAAAAUGCCCCGUUCAUACCAUUUUUCCCGUUUACCGACCUAAAUAGCCACGAAAAUUUAAACGGACCACACUAGGACUUUCCCCGACCUCCCUGAAAUGCCCCGAUUAGUUUUUGGCCCAUAACACUACUAUACCUUGGUCCCACCCCCGAAAUCAUGGGCAAUAGCACAUCGAUUUGGCUCAAAAAUACUUCGUUCAUGUCAUUUCGCCCGUUUGUCCACCCAAAUGGCCACAAAUAUUUAAACGGACCACACUGGGAUGAUCCCCAACCUCCUUGGCUCUCCCCAAUUGAUUUUGGGCUCACAACACACCUAGACCCCGAGCUCGCCCCUCCUACCCCAAAGUCGCGGUCUAUUGCACACCGAUUUGUUCUGAAAAUGCCCCAUUCGAGCUGUUUUGCCCGUUUGUCCACCCAAAUCAUCAAAAAAAUUUAAAUGGACAAUACUAGGACGAUCUCCAACCUCCCUGGUAUGCCCCGGUCAAUUUUCAGCCCACAGCAUGCCCGGACCCCAGGACCACCCCUAAAAUCGUGGGCUAUUGCACACUGAUUUGGCCCAAAAGUGCCCCGCUUGUGCUGUUUUGCUUGUUUGUCCACCCAAAUGGCCACAAAAAUUUAAACGGACCACAUUGAAUGAUCCCCAACUUCCCUGGCACACCUCGGUUAGUUUUUAGCCCACAGCACAUUGGACCCCAGGCCUACCCAAGAAACCGUGGGCUAUAGCACACUGAUUUUGGCCCGAAAUUGCCUCAUUUACGCCAUUUCGCCCGUUUGUAGACCCAAAUGGCCACAAAAAUUUAAACGGACCACAAUGGGAUAAUCCGCAACCUCCCUGGCAUGGCUCGGCCGAUUUUCAGCCCACAACACACCCAGACCCCGAGCCCACCCCCAAAACUGUGGGCUAUAGCUAACCGAUUUGUCCAAAAAAUACCCCGUUCGUGCCGUUUUGCCCGUUUGUCAACCCAAAUGGCCACAAAAAUUUAAACAGACCACAUUUAGAUGAUCCCCAACCUCCCUGUCAUGCACCAGUCAAUUUUUGUCCCACAGCACGCUCGGACCCCAGGCCCACCCCCUAAAUUGUGGUCUAGUACAUUGAUUUGGCUCGAAAAUGCCUCAUUCGUCCAGUUUCGCCCGUUUGUCCAUCCAAAUGGCCAUAAAAAUUUAAACGGACCAUACUGGAAUGAUCCCUAACCUCCCUGGCAUGCCCAAUUUUUUUUUCAAGCCACAGCAUGCCCGAAUCCCAGGCCCUCACCCGAAACCGUGGGCUAUAGCACACCGAUUUGGCGAAAAAAUGCCCCAUUCACACCGUUUCACUCAUUUGUUCACCCAAAUGGACACAAAAGUUUAAAUGAACCACACAGGGACGAUCCCCAACCUCCCUAGCAUACCCCGAUUGAUUUUUCAAAUCACACCACGCCCAGCCCCCCUUAAAAUCGUUGGCUACAGCCUACCGAUUUGGCUCAAAAAAGCAUCGUUUGCACUAUUUUACAUGUUUCUCCACCCAAAUAGCACGAAAAUUUUAACAGACCACACUGGGACAAUCCCUAACCUCCCUGGCAUGCCCCGAUUGAUUUUUGUCCCACAGUACAUCGGACCCCGAGCCCACCCUCAAAAUCAUGGGCUAUAGUACACUGAUUUGGCCUGAAAACGGUCCACACUAAGAUGGUCCCCAACUUCCCUAGCAUGCCCCGAUCAAUUUUUAGCCUAUAACACACCUGAACCCCAGGCCCACUCCCAAAACCGUGGGCUAUAGCACACCAAUUUAGCUAAAAAAAUGCCCCGUUUACAUCCGUUCGCUCGUUUGUCCACCCAAAAGGCCAUAAAAAUUUAAAUGGACCACACUGGGAAAUUCCCCAACCUCCUAGGCAUGCUCCGGUCAAUUUUUCUCCCACAGCAUGCCAGAACCACCCUCAAAACCAUGGGCUAUAAGCACAACGAUUUGGCCCAAAAAUGCCCCGUUCAUGCUGUUUUUCCCUUUUGUACACCCAAAUAGCCAUAAAAAUUUAAACUGACCAUACUGGGUUAAUCCCAAGCCUCGCUGGCAUGCCCCGGUUGAUUUUAGGCCCAUAGCACGCCUAAACCCCUCGUCCACCCCUAAAACCGUGGGCUGUAGCACACUGAUUUGUCUGAAAAAUGCCUCGUUCGCGCUGUUUCGCCCGUUUGUCCACCCAAGUGGCCACCAAAAUUAAAUGGACCACACUGGGACAAUCACCAGCCUCUCUGGUAUGCCCCAGAUGAUUUUCAACCCACAGCAUGCCCGGACCCCGGGCUUACCCCCAAAACCAUGGGCAUAGCACACCCAUUUGGCCCAAAAAUGCCUUGUUUGCGCUGUUUCGCCCGUUUGUCCUCCCAAAUCGACAUAAAAAUUUAAAUGGCCCAUACUGGGAUGAUCCUCGAUUUCCUUGGCAUGACCUGGUCAAUUUUUGGCCCACAGCACGCCCGAACCCCAUGCCCACCCCAAAAUCGUGGGUUAUAGCACACCAAUUUGGUCCAAAAAUACCCGAUUCAUGCCGUUUUGCUCGUUUAUCCACCCAAAUGGCCAUCAAAAUUUAAAUGGAUCACACUGGGACGAUCCUAACCUUCCUGGAAUGCCCCAAUCUAUUUUUAUCCCACAACACACUCGGAUCCCCGCCCCACCCCCAAAACAGUGGGUUAUAGCACACCGAUUUGGCCAGAAAAUGCCCCAUUCGCGUCGUUUCACCCGUUUGGGCACCCAAAUGGCCACAAAAAAUUAAACGGACCAAAUUAGGAUGAUCCCCAACCUCCCUGGCUCGCUUCGAUCGAUUUUUGACCUACAGCAUGCUCGAACCCUGGGCCGACCCCCGAAACCGUGGGCUAUAGCACACCAAUUUAGCCUGAAAAUGCCCCAUUCGUACCGUUUCGCCCAUUUGUCUACCCACAUGGCCACGAAAAUUUAAACGAACCACACUGGGAUGAUCCCUAGCCUCCCUGUCAUACCUCGAAUGAAUUUUAGACUACAGCACACCCGAAUCCUGGGACCACCCCCAAAAUCAAGGGCUAUAGCACACCGAUUUAUCACGAAAAUGCCCCGUUCACGUUAUUUCACUUGUUUGUCCACCCAAAUGGCCAUAAAAAUUUAAACGGACCAUAAUGGGAUGAUCCCAAAUCCCCUGGCAUGUCCAGGUUGAAUUUUGACCCACAGCACGCUCAGACCCCGAGCCCACCCCCGAAACCAUGAGCUAUAGCACACCUAUUUGGGUCAAAAUGCCUCAAUCGCACCAUUUUGCCCGUUUGUCCACCAAAAUGGCCACAAAAAUUUAAACGGACCAUAUUGGGAUGAUAUCCAACAUCCCUGGCAUGUCUCGGUCAAUUUUUGGCCCACAGCAUAACUGGACCCCGGGCUCAUCCCCAAAAGCAUGGGCAUAGCACACCGAUUUAGCCCAAAAAUGCCUUGUUCGCAUUGUUUCGCUCGUUUGUCCUCCCAAAUAGCCAUGAAAAUUUAAAUGGACCAUAUUAAGAAGAUCCCCAACCUCCCUGGCAUGCCUAGGUUGAUUUUUGGCCCACAAUAUGCUCGGACCUUGUGCCACCCCAAAAACCGUGGGCUAAAGCACACUGAAUUGGCCCAAAAUGCCCCAUUUGCGCUGUUUUGCCCGUUUGUCCACCCAAAUGGCCACAAAAUUUAAACGAACCAUACUGGGACAAUCCCUAACCUUCCUGGUACAGCUUGAUCAAUUUUUGGCCUACACUACGCCUGAAUCUUGGGCCCACCCUCAAAAUUGUGGGCUAUAGCACUUCGAUUUUACCUAAAAACACCCAAUUCGCGUUGUUUCGCCUCUUUAUCCACCCAAAUGGCCACGAAAAUUUAAAUAGACGACACUGGGAUGAUCCCCAAACUCCUUGGGACGCCCCGAUCAAAUUUUAGCCUGCAACAAGCCUAGAUCUUGAUCCAACCCCAAAAAUCAUAGGCAAUAGCACACAGAUUUGGCCCAAAAAUGCCUCGUUCAAACGAUUUUCCCCGUUUGUCCACCCAAAUGGCCAGGAAAAUUUAAACAGACCAAACUGGGACAAACCCCAGCCUCCCUGGCAUGCCCCGAUUAAUAUUUGGCCCACAGAACGCCCGGACCCCAUGCCUACCCCUAAAAUUGUGGACUACAGCACACCGAUUUGGGCCGAAAAUGCCCCAUUCGCACCGUUUCGCCCGUUUAUCUAACCAAAGGCCACAAAAAUUUAAACGGACAACACUACGAUGAUCCCCAACUGCCUAGGCAUGCCCUAAUCAAUUUUUGGCCCAUAACACGCCCAGAUCUGGAGCCCACCUCCAAAAUCGUAGGCUAUAGCACACCGAUUUGGCUUAAAAAUACCUGUUCGCACCGUUUUGCCCGUUUGUCCACCCAAAUGGCCACAAAAAUUUAAACGGACCAUACUGGGAUGAUCCUAAACAUCCCUCGCAUGUCUUGGUCAAUUUUUGGCCCACAGAACGCCUGGGUCCACCCCCAAAACCGUGCGCUAUAGCAUACCAAUUUCGCCUAAACAUGUUCCGUUCACGCCGUUUCGCCCGUUUGUCUACCCAAAUUGCUGCAAAAAUUUAAACAGACCACAUUGGGAUGAUUCCUAACUUCGCUGGCAUGCCCCGAUCAAUUUUCAGCCCCAGCACGCCCAGACCCCGGGCCCACCCCUAAAAACGUGGGCUAUAUAGCACACCGAUUUGGCUUGAAAAUGCCCCAUUCCCGCAGUUUCACCCGUUUGUCCACCCAAAUGAUCAUGAGAAUUUAAAUGGACCAUACUGGGAUGAUCCCCAACCUUCCAGGCAUGCCCCAAUCGAUUUUCGACCUACAGCACGCUCGGCCCCCAAGCCCACCUCCGAAACCGUGGGAUAUAGCACACCGAUUUGGCCUAAAAAUGCCCCAUUCGCGCCCUUUCUCCCGUUUAUCCUCCUAAAUUGUCACAAAAAUAUAAACGGACUACACUGGGAAAAUUCUCAACUUCCCUGGCAUACCCCGAUCGAUUUUCGGACCACAUCUCGCCCGAACCUCUGCCCCCCAAAACCAUGGGCUAUAGCAUACUGAUUUAGCCUAAAAAUACCCUGUUUAUGCUGUUUCGCCUAUUUAUCUACCCAAAUGGCCACAAAAAUUUAAACGAACCAUACUGGGAUGACCCGCAACCUCUCUAGCAUGCCCCGGUCAAUUUUUCGCCCACAGUACAACUGUGGGCUAUAGUGAUACAAGGAUAAUCCCAAACAUGAAUUUAUGAGAGUGCAUGUUGGAUCCGAGACUUGGUGUGUUCAAUUGAAGAGCCAAAGAUGACCUAAUUAUGCACCCAAAAUAGUCCAAACACUACACUUAGGCUACACUUGAUGGGAACCCAUCACUUAAGGGCCUUUUGGUUAUUUUUAGCUUUCAUUUUGUAAUAACUAUAUAAGUAACAUGCUAGGGCUUCCAUUAGGAGUUUUUGGGGGAUAUUAUUGUAAGUCUUGUAAGACUUGAAACACCAUAAUUAGGGCUUGACUAGUGAUUGUGUUUGCUUGGAAACAUUGAUGCUUAGGAGGUGAAAUCCAAACUUUUAUCUUUGUAAGAGAUAGAUUUAUGUGUGGUGUUAAGGGUCCAAGAUUGUCCAUUCUUGGGUUCUUAAGAUUAUACUUUUAUGUGGUCUAUCUAUCUAUAAUUUUACCUUCAUGUAAUCUUGUUUAUUGUUGUGUUGUAAUCUUGUGUUCUUGUUGUUAUUGUUAAAUUCGAAUCUUGUGUCUUCUUGUUCAUCAUAUAUUGUGGUUAAUCUUAGUUUGGACUGCUGAUUUGGUGUCAAAUACACCACUAUAUCUUGUAAUCUUAUUGUUGGUAAUGAAUCCGAGAGUGGUUUCCAUCUUGGUCCUCGAAUUCUUAAUAUUUGUAGACUGAUUUUGAGUGUUUUUCGUGCCUUCCUUGUUAGUCUUGUAUCAUAAAGUACACCAAUUUGGCCCAAAAAUGCCCCAUUCGCGCCGUUUCGCCCGUUUUGUCCACUCAAAUGGCCACGAAAAUUUAAACAGACCAUAAUAGGAUAAUCCCCAACCUCCUUGGAAUACCUCAAUCGAUUUUCGACACACAGCACACCCGGACCCCUGGCCCACCCCCAAAAUCAUGGGCUAUAGCACACCGAUUUGGCCCAAAAAUGCCACAUUCGCAUCGUUUCGCUCGUUUGAAGACUCAAAUGGCCACAAAAAUUUAAACAGACCAUACUGGGAUGAUCCCCAACCUCCUUGGUAUGCCUCGAUUGAUUUUCGGCCCACAGCAUGCCCGAACCCCUAGCCCACCCCCAAAACCAUAGGCUAAAGCACACCGAUUUGGCUAAAAAAUGCCCCGUUCGUGCUAUUUCGCCCGUUUGUCCACCCAAAUGACCGCAAAAAUUUAAAUGGACCACACAGGGAUGAUCCCCAGCCUCCUUGGCACACCCCGGUCGAUUUUCAGCACAUAGCAUGCCCGGACCCAGGGCCCACCCCAAAAACCGUGGGCUAUAGCACACCGAUUUGGCCCAAAAUGCCUCAUUAGCACCGUUUCGCCUGUUUGUCCACUCAAAUGGCCAUGAAAAUUUAAAUAGAACAUACUGGGAUGAUCCCCAACCUCCUUGGCAGACCCCGAUCGAUUUUUGGCCCACAGCAUGCCCGGACCCCUGGCCCACCCCAAAAAUCAUAGGCUAUAACACACCAAUUUGGCCUAAAAAUGCCACAUUCACGUUGUUUUGCCCGUUUGAAGACUCAAAUGGCCAUAAAAAUUUAAACGGACCAUACUGUAAUGAUCCCCAACCUCUUUGGAAUGCCCUGGUCGAUUUUCGGCCCACAGCACGCCCGGACCCCUGGCCCACCCCCAAAACCGUGGGCUAGAGCACACCAAUUUGGCUCAAAAAUGCCUCGUUCGCGCAGUUUCGCCCGUUUGUCAACCCAAAUGGCCACGAAACUUUAAACGGACCACACAAGGAUGAUCCCCAGCUUCCCAGGCACACCCCAAUAAAUUUUCAGCACACAGCAUGCCUGGACCCUGGGCCCACCCCUAAAACUGUGGGCUAUAGCACACCGAUUUUGCCCAAAAAUGCCCUGUUCGCGUCAUUUCGCCAGUUUGUCCACCCAAAUGGCCAUGAAAAUUUAAAUAGACUGUACUAAGAUGAUCCCCAACCUCCCUGGCAUGCCCAUCCAAUUUUAGGCCCACAACACGCUCGUACCCCAGGCCCACACCCAAAAUCGUAGGCUAUAGCACAUCGAUUCAGCCCGAAAAGGAUCUGUUCACCCCGCUUUGCUCGUUUGUACAUCCAAUUGGCCAUAAAAAUUUAAACGAACCAUACUAGGAUGAUCCCUAACCUUCCUGGCAUGCCCCGGUCAAUUUUUAACCUACAGCAAGCUCGGGCCCUAGGCCCAUCCCUAAAACUGUUGGCUAUAGAACACCAAUUUGGCCCUAAAAUGCCCCGUUCCCAUCGUUUUGCCUGUUUGUCUACCCAAAUAGCCACAAAAAAUUAAACGGAACAAAUUGAGACGAUCCCCAACCUCUCUUUCAUGCCCCAAUUGAUUUUCGGCCCACAGCACGCUCGGACCCCAGGCACACCCCCGAAACCAUAAGAUAUAGCACUAUGAUUUGGCCCAAAAAUGUCCCGUUCAUGCUGUUUUGCCCGUUUGUCAUCCCAAAUGGCCACGAAAAUUUAAACGGACCAUACUGGAAUGAUCCUCAACCUCCCUAUCAUGCCCUUGUUGAUUUUCGGCCCACAGCACGUCCGGAUCCUGGGCUCACCCCCAAAACCGUGGGCUAUAGCACACCUAUUUGGCCCGAAAAUGCCCCGUUCAUGCUAUUUUGCUUGUUUGUCCACCUAAAUGGUCACGAAAAUUUAAAUAGACCACAUUCGGAUGAUCCCCAGCCCUCCUGACAUGCCCUGGUCAAUUUUUAGCCUACAGUAAGCACGAACCUCGGGUCCACUCCUGAAACCGUGGGCUAUAGCACACCGAUUUAUCUUGAAAAUGCCUCGUUUGCGCUGUUUCGCCCUUUGUUCACCCAAAUGGCCACGAAAAUUUAAACGGACACACUGGAAUGAUCCCCAACCUCCCUGGCAUGCCCCGGUCGAUUUUAGGCCUAUAGUACGCCCAGACCCCAGGGCCUCCCCCAAAACUGUGGGCUAUAGGACACCAAUUUGGACCAAAAAUUUCCCGUUCACGCUGUUUCGCCUGUUUGUCCACCCAAAUGGCCACGAAAAUUAAAAUGAACCAUACUGGGAUGAUCCCAAACCUCUCUGGCAUGCCCUGGUUGAUUUUUAUCACACAGCACGCUCGGACCCCAGGCCCUUCCCCAAAAUCGUAGGCUAUAGCACCCCGAUUUAGCCCAAAAAUGCCCCAUUUUACCCGUUUGUCCACUCACAUGGCAACAAAAAUUUAAACAAACCAUACUGGGAUGAUUCCCAACCUCCCUGAUACACCUCGAUCGAUAUUCAUCCUACAUCAUGCUCGAACCCCGAGCCCACCUCCGUUCGUGCCGUUUCGUCCGUUUGUUCACCCAAAUGACCAUGAAAUUUUAAACGGACCAAACUGGGAUGAUCGCAACCUUCUUGGGAUACCCCGAUUUAAUUUUUAGCCCACAGCAUGCCCGAACCCCGGGACCACCCCAGAAACUGUGGGCUAUAGCACACCGAUUUGGCCCAAAAAUGCCCCGUUCGUGCUGUUUUGCUCGUUUGUCGACCCAUAUAGCCACAAAAAUUUAUACAGGCCACACUGGGAUGAUCCCCAACCUCUUUGGCAUGCCUCGAUCAAUUUUUGUCUCAAACUACACCCGAACCCCAGGCCCACCUCCGAAAUCAUGGGCUUAGCAUACUGAUUAGGCCAAAAAAUGCCCCGUUUGCACCGUUUUGUCUGUUUGUCCAUCCAAAUAGCCAUAAAAAUUUAAACGGACCACACUGGGAUGAUCCCCAACCUCUCUAGCAUACCUCGGUUGAUUUUUAGCCCACAGCACACUCAGACCUCGAGCCCACACCCAGAACUGUGAGUUAUAGCACAUCGAUUUGUCCUAAAAAUGCUCCGUUCAUGCUGUUUCGCCCGCUUGUCCACCCAAAUGUGCACAAAAAUUUAAAUGGACCACACUAAGAAGAUCCCCAACCUCACUGGCAUGACCCGAUCGAAUUUAGGCCCACAGCACGCCCGGACCCCUGGCACACCCCCAAAACCAAGGGCUAUAGAACACUGAUUUGGCCUGCAAAUGCCCCGUUCAUAUCGUUUGGUCCAUUUGUCCACCCAAAUGGCUACAAAAAUUCAAAUCGACCAUACUGGGAUGAUCCACAACCUCCCAGACAUGGCUCGGUCGAUUUUAGGCCCCAAGCACGCUCGGACCACCAGCCCACCCCCAAAAUCGUGGGCUAUAACACACCGAUUUGGUAUAAAAAUGCCCCAUUUUGCCCGUUUGUCCACUCAAAUGGCCACAAAAAUUUAAACAAACCACACUAGGAUUAUUCCCAACCUUCUUGGCAUGCCCUUAUUGAUUUUUGGCUCACAUCAUGCUUGGACCCCGAGACCAACCCAAAACCGUGGGCUAUAGCACACCUAUUUGGUUCGAAAAUGCCCUGUUCGCGGCGUGUCGCCCAUUUUUCCACCCAAAUGGCCACAAAUAUUUAAAUAGACCACACUGGGACGAUCCCCAACCGCCCUGGCAUGCCCGGGUCGAUUGUUAACCAACAUACGCCCGAACCCCGGAUCCUGAACCCUGGACCCACCCUUAAAAUAGUGGGCUAUAGCACACCGAUUUGGCCUGAAAAUGCCCCGUUCGUGCUUUUUCGACCGUUUAUCCACCUAAAUGGCCACGUAAAUUUAAACGGACCAUAUUGGAAUGAUCCCCAACCUCCUCGGCACUCCCCGGUCAAUUUUUAGCCUACAGCACGCCCGAAACUGGGCCCAUCCACGUAAUCGUGGUCUAUAGCACACCGAUUUGGCCCGAAAGUGCUCCAUUCGUGCCGUUUCACCCAUUUGUCCACCCAAAUAGCUAUGAAAAUAUAAACGGACCACACUAGGAUGAUCCCCAAUCUCUCUUGGAUGCACCGGUCAAUUUUUAGCCCAAAGCACACUCGAACCUCGGGCCCACCCUCGAAACCGUGGUCUACAGCUCACCGAUUUGACCUAAAAAUUCCCCGUUCAUGCUGUUUCGCUCGUUUGUCCAUCCAGAUGGCCACAAAAAUUUAAACUGACCACACUGAGAUAAUCCCCAACCUCCCUUGCACGCCCCGAUCGAUUUUUGGCCCACAACACGCUUGACCCAGGGCACACCACCAAAACCGUGGGUUAUAGCACACCGAUUUGGCCCAAAAAUGCCCCUUCGCACUGUUUCACCAAUUUUUCCACCUAAAUGGCCAUGAAAAUUUAAAUGAACCGCACUGGGACAAUCCCCAACCUCCCUGGAAUGCCUCAGUUUGGCCCAAAAAUGCCCCGUUCGCAUCGUUUUGCCCGUUUGUCCUCCCAAAUGGCCACAAAAAUUUAAGCACACCUCACUAGAAUGAUCCCUAACCACCCUUGCACGCCUCGGUUGAUUUUUUGGCCCACAGUACGCCUGGACCCCAGGCCCACCCCCGAAACCAUGGGCUAUAUGAUAUGAGACAACCCAAGGAGCUCACAAAAUGAUACCAAAAUAGUCCACUCAACAAGGCACAAACAGAGGACCCUUUGAGAGCUAGUUUCGGCCAAGAACAAGAAUACGAGUUUCACAAGUUAACAAGGUAUUGGUGACACCAAAAUCAGCCAACCAAUCUAAGUUACAACACAAUCUAAUGAACAAUGAAGAACAAUGACAAUGUUAUAACAAAACAACACCACACGGCUUACAACACAAGAUUCAAACUACUACAAGAUGGAAACAAACAAAAGGAUAGAUAGUUAGACAAAGGUGGUGUAAAUCCAAGUAACCAAAGAGUACAUAAAACUCUAAGACCCCUAACACCUCCACACACGAUCACCUAACUCUUACGAUGACACAAGAGAUGAUUCCACCACUCAAGCGCCAAGGUUUCUCAAAAACAAACAAUUACAAGUGAUUCCACCCUUGAAUUGCUAUCCUAGUAACAAAUUUCAAUUCGCCUCGAGAGAGGACUUUGGUGUUUCAAAUGUCAAGACUUACAGCAAUAAUCAACUAAUCCUCAAAAGACCUAUCUUGUUCUAUUUAUAUUACAUAACAAUUUAGACUUAAAAUAACAAAAGUGCCCCUUUAAUGAAAAGCCUUCAAAGGCCACCCCUCUAGUGUUGCAAAUAAAAAAAUGGGAGGCAUUGGGUGUGUCUUUGGUCCAUCUCACAUCUCAAUUUUGAACUUCCUAGGAUGAUAAUUUGCUAAACUUGUACACACGUUGAUCUUCAUAGUCGCACUUGUAUCACUAUAGCACACCGAUUUGGCAAAACAAUGUCCCGUUCGAGCAGUUUUGCCAGUUUGUCCACCCAAAUGGCCACGAAAAUUUAAACGGACCACACUGGGAUGAUCCCCAACCUCCAUGGUACACCUCGGCCAAUUUUUGGCCUACAGCAUGCUCGAAUCCCUGGUCCACCCCCAAAACCGUGGGUUAUAGCACACCGAUUUAUCCCAAAAAUGCCCUGUUCAUGCCGUUUUGCUCGUUUGUCCACCAAAUUGCCAUAAAAAUUUAAACAGACAACACUGGGAAGAUUCCCAACCCCUCUGGCAUGACCCAUUCGAUUUUAAGCCCACAGCACGCCUGGACCCUGGGCACCCCCCCAAAUCGUGGGCUAAUUUAAACCAAAAAGGCCUCGUUCACAUCAUUUCGCUCGUUUGUCCACCCAAAUGGCCACAAAAAUUUAAACGGACCACACUGGGAUGAUCCCCAUCCUCUAUGGCAUGCCCCGAUUGAUUUUUGGCCCACAACAUACCCGGACCCCUGGUCCACCCCCUAAAUCUUGGGCUAUAGCAUAUCGAUUUGGCCCGAAAAUGCCCCGUUCUCGCUAUUUCGCCCGUUUGACCAUCCAAAUGGCCAUGAAAAUUUAAAUGGACCAUACUGGGAUGAUCCCCAACCUCCCUGGGAUACCCCAGUCAAUUUUCAGCCAACAACACACCCGUAACCUGGGCCCAUCCCCAAAAUCGUGGCCUAUACCAUACCACUUUGGCUUGAAAAUGCCCCGUUCGUGCCUUUCGCCCAUUUUUCCACCCAAAUGGCAAAAAAAAUUAAACGGAUCACACGAAAAAGAUCCCCAACCUACCUGGCAUACCUCAGUCGAUUUUCGGCCGACAGAACGCCCAAAGCCUAGGUCCACCCCCGAAACCGUGGGCUAUAGCACACCAAUUUAGCCCAAAAAUAUGUCGUUCGCGUCGUUUCACCCGUAUGUCCACCCAAAUGGACAUAAAAAUUUAAAUGGACCACACUGGGAUAAUCCCCAACCACCUUGGCAAACCGCAAUUAGUUUUUGGCCCAUAGCAUGCCUGAAGCCCGGGUCCACCCCUAAAACCGUCGGCUAUAACGUAUCGAUUUGGCCCAAAAGGCCUCGUUUAUGCCGUUUUGCCCAUUUGUCUAUCAAAAUGGCCACAAAAACUGCAACGGACCACACUGGGAUGAUCCCCAACCUUACUGGCAUGCCCCCAUCAAUUUUUGGCCCACAGCACACCUGGACCUCAGGCCCACCCCCGAAAUCGUGGGCUAUAGCACAUCGAUUUGGCCCAAAAAUACCCAGUUUGUGCUGUUUCGCCCGUUUGUCCACCCGAUUGGCCACAGAAAUUUAAAAGUACCACACUGGGAAGAUAUCCAACCUCCUUGGUAUGCCUUGAUUGAUUUUCGGCCCUCAGAACGGCCGGACCCUAGGCCUUCUCUCAAAAUCAUGCACUGCACAUUGAUUUUGCCCGAAAAUGCCCUGUUUGCGCUGUUUCGACCCUUUAACCACCCAAAUGGCCACAAAAAUUUAAAUGGACCACACUAGGAUGAUUACCAACCUCCCUGGUAUGCCCAGGUUAAUUUUUGGCCCCGACAUGCCCACACCACUGGCUCACCCCAAAACUGUGGGCUAUAGCACACUGAUUUGGCCCGAAAAUACCCCAUUCACUUUGUUUCACCCAUUUGUCCACCUAAAUGUCCACUAAAAUUUAUACGGACCAUAUUAAGAUAAUCCCUAACCUCCCUGGCAUGCCUCAGUCAAUUUUUGGCUCACAGUAUGCUCGGACCCUGAGUCCACCCCCAAAACUGUGGCUAUAGCACACUGAUUUAGCUCGAAAAUGCCCCGUUCGCGCUAAUUCGCUCGUUUGUCAAACCAAAUGGCCACAAAUAUUUAAACGAACCAUAAUAGGAUGAUUCCCAACAUCCUUGGCAUGCCCCGGUCGAUUAUCAGCCCACAACACGCCCGGACCUCAGGCCCACCCCCAAAACUAUGGGCUAUAGCACACCGAUUUAGCCCAAAAAUGCCCUGUUCGUGCUGUUUCGCCCGUUUGUCCACCUAAAUAACCAUGAAAAUUUAAAAGGACCACACUUGGAUAAUCCCAAACCUCCCUGGCAUACCCCGGUCAAUUUUCAGCCUAUAUUACGCUCGGACCUCAGGCCCACCCCCGAAACCAUGAGCGCUAGCACACCGACUUAGCCCAAAAAUGCCCCGUUUGCGCCAUUUCUCCCGUUUGUCCACCCAAAUGAAAAUUUAAACGAACCACACUAGAAUAAUACCCAACCUCCCUGGCAUUCCUUGGUCGAUUUUUGACCUACAGCACGCCCGGACCCCAGGCCCACCCCCGAAACAGUGGGCUAUAACACAUCAAUUUGGCCUGAAAAUGCUUCGUUUGCGCCGUUUCACCUGUUUAUCCACCCAAAUGGCCACAAAAAUUUAAAUGGAUCAUAUUGGGAUGAUCCCCAACCUUCUUGGCAGAUCGAGGUUGAUUUUUCGCCCACUGCACGCUCGUAGCCCAGGCCCACCCCCAACACCGUGGGCAGUAGCACACCUAUUUGGUCCAAAAAUGCCCCGUUCGCUGUUUCGCCAGUUUUUACACCUAAAUGGCCAUGAAAAUUUAAAUAGACCACACUGGAAGGAUUCCCAACCUCUAUGGCAUGCCUCGAUUAAUUUUCGGCCAACAACACACCAAGACCCGGGGCCACACCGAAAUCGAGGGCUAUAGCACACCGAUUUGGCCCAAAAAUGCCCAAUUCGUGUUGUUUCACCCGUUACUCCAUGGAAAAGGCUACAAAAACUUAAACGGACCAUACUGAGAAGAUACCCAAUCUCUCUGGCACGCCUUGGUCGAUUUUUGGCCGACAGAACUCCUAAACCCCAGGCCCACCCCCAAAACUGUGGGCUGUAGCACAUAAUAAUUUGGCACAAAAAUGCCCUGUUCGCGUCGUUUCGCCUGUAUGCCCACCCAAAUGGCCACAAAAAUUUAAAUGGACUACAAUGGGAUGAUCCCCAACCUGCCUGUCUUGCCCCGAUCAAUUUUUUUCUUACAGCACGCUCGGACCCUAGGCCUUCUCCUCCCUCCCAAAAUCGUGGUUUAUAGCACACCGAUUUGGCCCGAAAAGCUCCAUUUGCACCAUUUCUCCACCCAAAUGGCCACAAAAACUUAAACGAACCACACAAGGAUGAUCCUUCAUCUACCUACCACUCCCCGGUCGAUUUUUGGCCCAUAGCACAUUGUACCCUGAGCCCACCCUCAAAAUUGUGGGCUAUAAUACACUAAUUUAGCCCGAAAAUGCCCCAUUUGUGUUGUUUCACCCCUUUGUCCACCCAAAUGGCCACUAAAAUUUGAACGGACCACACUUGGACGAUCCCAAACAUCCAUGGCAUACCCUAAUUGAUAUUUGGCCUGCAACACGCCUGGAUCCCGGGCCCAUACCCAAAACCAUAAGCAAUAGCACACCAAUUUGGCCUGAAAUUUCCCUAUUUCAUGUUGUUUUGCCUGUUUGUCUACCUAAUUGGCCACAAAUAUUUAAACGGACCAUACUGGUACAAUCCCCAACCUCCCUAGCAUGUCCCGAUUAAUUUUUGGCCCACAGUACGAUCGAACCUGGGCCCACCCUCGAAAUCAUGGGCUAUAGCACACCGAUUUGGCCUAAAACUGCCUAGUUUGCGCCGUUUCGCCUGAGUAUCCAUGCAAAAGGCCACAAAAAUUUAAACGGACUACACAGGGUUGAUCCCAAGCCUUCCUGGCAUGCCCCAAUUUAUAUUUGACCUACAAUAUACCCUGACCCUGGGCCCACCCAUGAAACCGUGCGCUAUAGCACACCAAUUUUGCCUGAAAAUACCCCCUUCGCGCCGUUUCAUCUGUUUGUCCAUGUAAAGAGCCACAGAAAUUUGAAUGGAAUACACUGAGAUGAUCCCUAACCUCCCUGGCAUACCCUGGUCAAUUUUAGGCCCACACCACUCCUAGAACCAGGGCCCACCCUCGAAAUCGUAGACUAUAGCACACAAAUUUAGCCCGAAAAUGCCCCAUUCAUGCCGUUUCUACCAUUUCUCCACCCAAAUAGCCACGGAAAUUUUAAUGGACCACACUGGGAUGAUCUCUGACUUCCCUUGCAUACCCUAGUCGAUUUUUAACCCAUAGAACGCCCGAAACCCGCAUCGACCCCCAAAACCGUGGGCUAUAGCACACCAAUUUGGCCCGUAAAUGCCCAGUUCGCACCGUUUUGUCUGUUUAUCCACCCAAAUGGCCACAAAAAUUUAAGCGGACCAUACUGGUAUGAUCCCCAGCCUCCCUGGCAUGUACCGAUCAAUUUUCGACCCACAGUAUGCCCGGACCCCGGGCUCACCCCCAAAAUCAUGGGCAUAGCACACCGAUUUGGCCCGAAAAUGCCUUGUUUGCGCUGUUUUGCUCGUUUGUCCUCCCAAAAGGCCAAUAAAAUUUAAAUGGACUAUAUUGGGAUAAUCCCUAACUUCCCUGGCAUGCCCUAGUCAAUUUUUUGCCCAUGCCCACCCCUAAAAUCGUGGGCUAUAGCACAUCGAUUUAGCCCAAAAAUGCCCCGUUCGAGACGUUUUGCCCAUUUAUCCACCCAAAUGGCUAAGAAAAUUUAAUAGGACCACACUGGGAUAAUCCCAACCUCCCUGGCAUGGCCCGACCUAUUUUUGGCCCACAGCACACUCGAAUCCCCGCCCCACCCCAAAAAUAGUGGGUUAUAACAUACCGAUUUGGCCAGAAAAUGCCCCAUUCACGCCGUUUCGCCCGUUGUCCACCCAAAUGGCCACAAAAAUUUAAACGGACCAUAUUGGGAUGAUCCCUAACCUUCCUAUCUCACUCCAAUCAAUUUUUAACCCACAGCACGCCUGAACCCCGGGCCCACCCCCGAAACCGUGGUCUAUAGCACACCAAUUUAGUCUAAAAAUGCCCCGUUCGCUCUGUUUCUCCACCCACAUAGCCACAAAUAUUUAAACGGACCACAAUGGGAUGAUCCCCAGCCUCUCUGGCAUUCCCUGGUCGAUUUUUGACCAAUAGCAUGCACGGAUCCUGGGCCCACCCACGAAAUCAUGGGAUAUAAAACACCAAUUUGUCACGAAAAUGCCCCAUUGGUGCUAUUUUGCCUGUUUGUCCACCCAAAUGGCAACGAAAAUUUAAACGGACCAUACUGGGAUGAUCCCCAACCACCCUGGCACGCCCAGGUUGAUUUUUAGCCCACAACACGCUUAGACCCCGGGCCCACCCCUGAAACCGUGAGCUAUAGCACAUCGAUUUAGCCCAAAAAUGCCCCGUUUGCGCUGGUUCAUCCAUUUGUCCACCCAAAUAGCCACGAAAAUUUAAAUGGACCACACUGGGAUGAUACCCAACCUCCCUGGCAUGCCCUAGUCGAUUUUCGGCCCACAGAAUGCCCGGACCCCGGGUCCAACCCCAAAACCAUGGGCUAUAGCACAUCGAUUAGGCUCGAAAAUGCCCCGUUCGCGCCGUUUUUCCCUUUUGUCCACCCAAAUUGCUACAAAAAUUUAAACGGACCACACUGGGAUGAUCCCUAGCCUUCCUGGCAUGCCUCGGUCAAUUUUUAACCCACAGCACGCCCGAACCUCGGGCCCACCCUUGAAAUCAUGGGCUUAUAGCACACCUAUUUGGCCUAAAAAUGCCCCAGUCGCAUCGUUUGUCCACCCAAAUGGCCACAAAAAUUUUAAUGGACCAUAUUGGGAUUAUCACCAACCUUCCUGGCAUGUCCCGAUCGAUUUUCGUCCCACAGCACACCCAUACCCCAGGCCCACCCCAAAACCAUGGGCUAUAGCACACUGAUUUGGCCCAAAAAUGCACCGUUCGCGCUAUUUCAUCCGUUUGUCCACCCAAAUAACCAUAAAAAUUUAAAUGGACCAUACAGGGAUGAUCCCCAACAUCCCUGGCAUGCCCCGGUCAAUUUUUAGCGAACAUCACGCCGGACCACAGGCCCAACCCCAAAAUCCUGGGCUAUAGAACACCGAGUUGGCCAAAAAAUGCCCCGUUAGCACUGUUUCACCCAUUUGUCCAACCAAAUGGCCACAUAAAUUUAAACGAACUAUACUGAGAUGAUCCCCAACCUCUUUGGUAUGCCUCAGUCGAUUUUCGGACCGCAGUAUGCCUGGACCCAGUCCCACCCCAAAAUCCAUGGAAGAAUGCUAAUUUGGUCUGAAAAUUCCUCAUUCGCUCCGUUUCGCCCGUUUGUCCACCCAAAUGGCCAAAAAAAUUUAAACGAACCACACUAGGAUAAUCCCUAACUUUCCUGGUAUGCCUCAGUCAAUUUUUGGCCCACAGUACGCUUGAAUCCUGAGCCCACCCUCAAAACUGCGGUCUAUAGCACACCGAUUUGGCCCGAAAAUGCCCAAUUCGUGCUGUUUCGCCCGUUUGUCCACACAAAUGACCAUAAAAAUUUAAACGGACCACACUGGGAUGAUCCCCAACCACCCUGGAAUGCCCUGGUCGAUUAUUCGCCCACAGCACGCCCUGAUCCCGGGUCCACCCCAAAAACCAUGGGCUAUAGCACACCGAUUUGGCCCAAAAUACCCCAUUUGCGUCGUUUCACCCGUUUGUCCAUUGAAAUGGCCAAAAAAAUUUAAACGAACCAUACUGAAAUGAUCCCCAACCUCGCUGUCACACCCCGAUCGAUUUUUGGCCCACAGCACACCUAGACCUCGGGCCCACCACCAAAAUCGUGGGCUAUAGCACAUCCAUUUGGCCUGAAAAUGCUCCGUUCGUGCUGUUUUGCCCGUUUGUCCACCUGAAUGGCCAUGAAAAUUUAAAUGGACCAUACUGAGAAGACCCCCAACUUCCCUGGAAUGCCCUGGUCGGUUUUUGUCCCUCAGAACACUCGGACCCCAGGCCUUUCCUCGAAAUCGUGCGCUGCACACUGAUUUGACCUGAAAAUGCCCCAUUUGUGCCGUUUUGACUGUUUGACCACCCCAAUGGCUAUAAAAUUUUAAACGGACAACACUGGGAACUCCCUGGUAUACCCCGAUCAAUUUUUGGCCCCAGCAUACCCAGACCCCCAGCACACCCCAAAAACUGUGGGCUAUAGCACACCGAUUUGGUCCAAAAAUGUCCCGUUCGCGCCCUUUCGCUCGUUUGCCCAAAUGUGCACAAAAUUUAUACGGAACACACUAGGAUGAUCUCCAACCUCCCUGGCAUGCCCCAAUCGAUUUGUGGCCCAUAGCACGUCAGACCCCAGGCCCACCCUCAAAAUCAUGGCCUAUAGUACCCUAAUUUGGCCCCAAAACGCCCCGUUUGCGUCGUUUCACCCGUUUGUCCACCCAAAUGGCUACAAAAAUUUGAACGGACCAUACGGGGACAAUCCCAAACCUCUAUGGCAUACCCCGGUCAAUCUUCUGCCCACAACACGCCUGUACCCUGGGCCCACACCCAAAAUUGUGAGCAAUAGCACACCGAUUUGGCUCGAAACUGCCCUGUUUUGCGCCGUUUUGCCCGUUUAUCCCCCUAAUUGGCCACAAAAAUUUAAACGGACCACACUGGUAUGAUUUCCAACCUCUCUAGCAUACCUUGGUUAAUUUUUAGCCCACAAAAAGCUCAAACCCUGGGCCCACCCAUGAAACCAUGGGCUAUAGCACACGGAUUUGGCCCAAAAAUGCCCAGUUCUAGCUGUUUCACCCGUUUGUCCAUGCAAAAGGCCACAAAAAUUUAAACGAACCAUACUAGUUUGAUCCCAAGCCUCCUUGGUAUCCACCGGUUGAUUUUUGACCCACAGCAUGCCCUAACCCUGGGCCCACCCCCAGCAUGCCUUGAAAAUGCCCCGUUCACGCUGUUUCAUCUGUUUGUCCACCCAAAUGGCCAUGGAAAUUUAAAUAGACCAUACUGGGAUGACCCCCGACCUCCUUGGCACGCCUUGGUAAAUUUUAGGACCACAGCACAUCCAGAACCCGGGCUCACCCCCAAAACCGUAGGCUAUAGCACACCAAUUUGGCCCAAAAAUGCCCAAUUCACGCUGUUUCGCCCAUUUCUCCACCUAAAUAGCCACAAAAAUUUUAACGGACCACACUGCGAUGAUGCCUGACUUCCCUGACCUACCCUAGUAGAUUUUUGGCCCAUAUCAUGCUUUAAACCCACGUCCACUCCCCAAAAUCGUGGGCUAUAACACACCGAUUUGCCCAAAAAAUGCCCCGUUCACGCCGUUUCGCCUGUUUGUCCAUCCAAAUGGCCACAAAAAUUUAAACGGACCACACUGGGAUGAUCCCCAGCCUACGUAUCGGUUGAUUUUCGACCCACAGCAUGCUCGGACCCCAGGCUCAGCCUCAAAACCACGGGCAUAGCACACCGAUUUGGCCCAAAAAUGACUUUUUCGCGCUGUUUCACUCGUUUGUCCUCCCAAAUGGCCACGAAAAUUUAAAUGGAGCAUACUAGGAUAAUCCCUAACUUCCUUGACAUACCCUGGUCAAUUUUUGGCUCACAGCACGCCCGAACACCAUGGCCACCCCUGAAACCGUGGGCUAUAGCACAUCGAUUUGGCUUGAAAAUGCCCCAUUCGCGAUGUUUUGGCCGUUUAUCCACCAAAAUAGCCAAGAAAAUUUAAACGGACCACACUGGAAUGAUCCCAACCUCCCUGGCAUGCCUUGGUCUAUUUUUGGCCCACAGCACAUGCGGAUCCCCACCCCACCCCCAAAACAGUGGGUUAUAAGAUACCUAUUUGGCCAAAAAAUGCCUCAUUCACAUCGUUUUAUCCGUUGUCCACCCAAAUGGCCACAAAAAUUUAAACAGACCAUAUUGGGAUGAUCCCCAAUCUCCCUAGCAUGCCCCGAUUGAUUUUUGACCAACAGCACGCCCGGACCCCAAGCCCAUCCCCAAAACCGUGGGCUAUAGCAUACCGAUUUUGCCCAAAAAUAUGCGGUUUGAGCUGUUUUGCCAGUUUGUCCACCCAAAUGUCCCCAAAAAUUUAAACGGACCAUACUGGGAUGAUCCCAAACUUCCCUGGAACACCUCAAUAAAUUUUCAAACCACAACACGAUCGAAACCCAGGGCCACCCCCGAAAUCGUAGGCUAUAGCACACCGAUUUGGCCCGAAAAUGCCCCGUUCGCACCAUUUCGCUCGUUUGACUACCUAAAUGGCCACAAAAAUUUAAAUGGACCAUACUAGGAUGAUCCCCAACCUCUUUGGCAUGCCUCGGUUGAUUUUUGGCACACAACACGCCCAGAUCUCGAGCCCACCCCUAAAAUCGUAGGCUAUAGCACAUCGAUUUAGUCCAAAAAUACCCCGUUUCAUAUGUUUGUCCUCCCAAAUGGCCACAAAAAUUUUAAACGGACCACACUGAGACAAUUCCAAACCUCCCUGGCACACCCCGGUCGAUUUUCAGCCCACAACACACCUGGACCGCUGACCCACCUUCAAAAUCGUGGGCUAUAGCACCCAGAUUUGGCCCGAAAAUGCUUUGUUCGUGCCUUUGCCCUUUUGUCCAGCCAAAUAGCCAGAAAAAACUAAAAUGACAACACUGGGAUGAUCCUCAAACUCCCUGGCAUGCUCCAGUCAAUUUUUGACCCACAGCACGCCGGACACUGGCCCACUCCUAAAAUCGUAGGCUAUAGCACACCGAUUUAGCUUGAAAUUGUCCUGUUCAUGCCGUUUCGCCCUUUUGUCCAUCCAAAUGGCCACCAAAAUUAAAUGGACUACACUGGGAUGAUCCCCAACCUUCUUGGCAUGUCCUGGUCAAUUUUUGGCCAACAACAUGCCCGGACCUUAGGCCCGCCCCCAAAAUAGUUGGCUAUAGAACAUCGAUUUGGCCUAAAAAUGCCCCAUUUGCGCCCCGAUCACACUAGAACAAUUCCCAACCUCCCUGUCACUCCCCGAUCAAUGUUUCACCUACAGCACACCCGGACCCCAGGCCCUCCCCCCCAAAACCGUGGGCUAUAGCUCACUGAUUUGGCCCGAAAAUGACCCAAUUGCACUGUUUCGCCCGUUUGUCCACCCAAAUGACCACAAAAAUUUAAACAGAACACACUGGGACUAUCCCCAACCUCUCUGGCAUGCCCAAGUCAAUUUUUGGCCAACAAAACGCCCGAACCCCGAGCCCACCCCCAAAAUCGUGGGCUAUAGCACACCGAUUUUUCCUAAAAAUGCCCCAUUCGCGCCGUCUCUCCCGUUUAUCCAUCCAAAUGGCUAAGAAAAUUUAAAAGGACGCCUCUGGGAUGAUCCUAACCCUUCUUGGUACACCUAGGACGAUUUUUAACAAACAGAACGCCCGAAUCCUAGGCCCUCCCCCGAAAUCAAUGGCUAUAGCAGACUGAUUUGCCUUGAGAAUGCCACAUUCACGCCGUUUCAGUGUUUGUACGCCCGAAUGACCAAAAAAAUUUAAUCGGACCACAAUGGGAUGAUCCCUAACCUCCCUGGCAUGCCAUGGUCGAUUUCAACCCACAGCACGCCCGGACCCUGGGCCCACCCCCAAAACCAUGGGCUAGCACACCGAUUUGGCUCGAAAAUGUGUCUUUCAUGUCGUUUCACCCAUUUGUCCACCCAAAUGUCCCCAAAAAUUUAAACGGACCAUGCUGGGAUGAUCUCCAACCUCCCUGGCACACCUCGAUCGAUUUUUGGCUCACAGCGCGCUAGUACCUCGAGAUCACCACUGAAAUCAUGGGCUAUAGCACACCGAUUUAGUUCAAAAAUGCCUCGUUCGCGCUUUUUGCCUGGUCGUCUACCCAAAUGGCUGCAAAAAUUUAAACAAACCACAUUGGGAUGAUCCCCAACUUUGCUGGAAUGCCCCGAUCAAUUUUUAGCCCCAGCACGCCUGGACCUCGGGCCUACCCACAAAAUCGUGGGCUAUACCACACCGAUUUGGCUCAAAAAUGCCCAGUUCCCGCCGUUUUGCCCUUUUGUCCACCCAAAUAGCUACGAAAAUUUAAACGAACUCCACUGGGAUGAUCCCCAACCUCCCUGGCAUGCCCCGAUUGAUUUUUCGCCCACAGCACGCCCGGACCUCAGGCCCACCACCAAAACCAUGGGAUAUAGCUCACUGAUUAGGCCCAAAAAUGCCCCGAUUGCGCCGUUUCGCCCGUUUGUCUACCCAAAUGGCCGCAAAAAUUUAAAUAAACCACAUUGGUAUGAUCCCCAACUUUACUGGCAAGCCCCGAUCAAUUUUCGGCCCCAGCACGCCUGGACCCCUGUCCCACCCCCAAAAUCAUGGGCUAUACCACACCAAUUUGGCUUGAAAAUGGCCAGUUCUCGUCGUUUUGCCCGUUUGUCCACCCAAAUAGCCACAAAAAUUUAAAUGGACCACACUGGAUGAUCCCUAACCUCCCAGGCAUUCCCUGAUCAAUUUUCGGCCAUAGCAGGAUCGGACCCUGAGCCCACAUUUGAAACCGUGGGCUAUAGUACACUGAUUUGGCUCAAAAAUGUCCCGUUCAGGCCGUUUCUCCCAACCUUCUUGGCAUGCCCUGAUUAAUUUUUAGACCACAACACGCCUGGAUCUCUGGCCCACCCCCAAAACUGUGGGCUAUAACAAACUGAUUUGGCCCGAAAAUGCUCCAUUCACACUGUUUCGCCUGUUUGUCCACCCAAAUAGCAACGAAAAUUUAAACGGACCAUACUAGGAUGAUCUUCAACCUCCCUGGAACACCCCGGUCGAUUUUUGACCCACAGCACACCUGAACCCCGGACCCACCCCCGAAACCUUGGGCUAUAGUACACCAAUUUGUCCUGAAAAUAUCUCAUUCUCUCCAUUUCGCCCGUUUGUCCACUCAAAUUGCCACAAAAAUUUAAACGGGCCUUACUGGACGAUCUCCAACCUCCUUGGCAUGUCCCAAUCUAUUUUUGGUCCACAGCACGCCCGGACCCCUGGCCCACCCCCAAAACUGUGGACUAUAGCUCACCGAUUUAGCCCAAAAAUGCCCCGUUCACGUCGUUUCUCCCAUUUGUCCACUCAAAUGGCUACGAAAAUUUAAACUGACCAUACUGGGAUGAUCCCCAACCUCCCUGGCAUGCCCCGGUCAAUUUUUGGCCCACAGUAUGCCUGGAACCCUGGCCCACCCCCUAAACCGUGGGCUAUAGGACACCAAUUUAGCUCGAAAAUGCCCCGUUCGCGCGGUUUUGCCCGUUUGUCCACCCAAAUGGCCACAAAAAUUUAAACAGACCACACAGGGACGAUCCCCAGCCUCCCUGAAAAGCCCCAGUUGAUUUUCAGUAUAGCAUGCUUGGACCCUGGGCCUACCCCCAAAACCGUAGGCUAUUGCACACCGAUUUGACCAAAAAAUGCCCCGUUAGCGCCAUUUCUCCCGUUUGUCUACCCAGAUGGCCACAAAAAUUUAAACAGACCACACUGGGAUGAUCCCAACCUCCCUGGUAUGCCCUAGUUGAUUUUCGGCCGAUAGCACACCCGUACCCUGGAACCACACCCAAAACCGUGGGCUAUAGCACAUCAAUUUACCCCCAAAAAUGCCACGUUCGCGCCGUUCUGCCCAUUUGUCCACCCAAUUGGCCAAAAAAAUUUAAACGGACCAUACUGGGAUGAUCCCCAAACUUCCCGACAUGCCUCAGUCAAUUUUCAACCUACAGCACGCCCGGACCCUUAGCCCACCCCGGAACCGUAAGCUAUAGCACACCAAUUUGGCCCGAAAAUGCCCCAAAAAAUUAAACGGACCAUAUUGGGACGAUCCCCAACCUCCCUGGCAUGCCCCAGUUAAUUUUUGGCCCACAGCACGCUCGGAUCCCACGCACACCCCUGAAACUGCCGGCUAUAGCACACCGAUUAGGCCCGAAGAUACCCCAUUCGCGCUGUUUUGCACUUUUGUCAACCCAAAUGGCCACAAAAAUUUAAACGGACCAUACUGGGAUGAUCCCAAACCUCCCUAGCAUGCCCCAGUUAAUUUUUGACCCACAGCAUGACUGGAUCCUAGGCUCACCCCCAAAACCGUUGACUAUAACACACCGAUUAAUCCCGAAAAUGCCCCAUUCGUACUGUUUCUCUAAUUUGUCCACCCAAAUGGCCACAAAAAUUUAAACCGACCAUAAUGGGAGGAUCCCCAUUCCCCUAGAAUUUCCUGGUCAAUUUUAACCCACCCUCAAAAUCGAGGGCUAUAGCACACCGUUUAGGCCCGAAGAUACCCCAUUCGCGCUGUUUUGCACUUUUGUCAAUCCAAAUAGCCAUAAAAAUUUAAACGGACCAUAUGUGGGAUGAUCCCGAACCUCCAUAUCAUGCCCCGGUUGAUUUUCGACCCACUGCAUGCCCGGAUCCUAGGCUCACCCCCAAAACCGUAGGCUAUAGCACACCGAUUUAUCCCAAAAAUGCCCCGUUCAUACUAUUUCUCCAAUUUGUCCACCCAAAUGGCCACAAAAAUUUAAACCGACCAUACUGGGAUGAUCCCUACUCCCCUGGCAUUCCCUAUUCAAUUUUACCCCACCCUCAAAACCGUGAGCUAUAGCACAUCGAUUUGGCACGAAAUGCCUCGUUCACGCCGUUUCGAUCGUUUAUUCUCCUAAAUGGCCAAGAAAAUUUAAACGUACCACACUAGGAUGAUCCCCAACCUCCCCGGCAUACCUUAUUCAAUUUUUGGUACACAGCACGCCCAAAACCCUAGCCCAUCCCCGUAACCGUGGGCCAUAGCACAUCGAUUUAGCCCAAAAAAGCCCCGUUCGUGCCGCUUCUCCCGUUUAUCCAUCCAAAUAGCAACAAAAAUUUAAACGAACCACAACGAGACGAUCCUCAACCUCCCUUGCAUGCACCAAUCGAUUUUCAUCCCACAGCACGCCCAGAUCCCGGGCCCACCCUCAAAACUGUGGGCUAUAGCACACCGAUUAGGCCCAAAAAUGCCCUGUUCGCGACGUUUUGCCCGUUUGUCCACCCAAAUGGCCAUGAAAAUUUAUACGGACCACACUGGACAACCCCUAACCUCCCUGGCAUGCCUCGGUUGAUUUUUGACUCACAGUAUGCUCGAACCCCGUGCCCACCCCUAAAACCGUAGGCUAUAGCACAUGGAUUUGGCAAAAAAAUGCCCCGUUCACUCGUUCAUUUUGUUUGUCCACCCAAAUAGCCAUAAAUAUUUAAACGAACCACACUGGGACAAUCUUCGACCUUCCUAGCAUACCUCGGUCAAUUUUUGGCCCACAACACGCCUGAACCUCAAGCCCACCCCCAAAAUUCGUGGGCUAUAGUACACCAAUUUGGCCCCAAGAUGCCUUGUUCGCAAUGUUUUGCCUAUUUGUCCACCCAAAUGGCCACGAAAAUUUAAAUGGACCACAUUGGGACUAUCCCCAACCUCCCUGAAAUGCCCUGGUCAAUUUUUGGCCCAUCGCACGCUCGAACCCCAGGCCCACCCCCAAAAUCGUGGGCAAUAGCACAUCGAUUUGGCCCAAAAAUGCCUCGCUCAUGUUGUUUCGCCCGUUUGUCCACCCAAAUGGACACAAAAAUUUAAACAGACCAAACUAGGACGAUUCCCAACCUUCCUGGCAUGCCCCCAUUGAUUUUUGGUUAACAACACACCUGGACCCCUAGCCCACCGUCGAAAUCGUGGGCUAUAGCGUACCGAUUUGGCCCAAAAAUGCUCCAUUCACGUUGUUUCACCUGUUCUUCCAUCCAACUGGCCACAAAAAUUUAAAUGGACUACACUGGAAUGAUCCCCAACCUCUUUGGCACACCCCGGUCGAUUUUCAUCCCCCAACACGCUCGUACCCCAGGCCCACCCCUAAAACCGUGGGCAAGAGCACACCGAUCAGGCCAGAAAUACCCGGCUCGCUGCUUUGCCCGUUUUUCACCCAAAUAGCUAUAAAAUUUAAACGGACCACACUGGGACGAUCCUCAAUCUCCCUGGCAUGCCUUGGUUGAUUUUUGGCAACCAGCACGGCCGAACCCCAAGCCCAACUCUGAAACAGUAGGCUAUAGAACACCAAUUUGGCCUGAAAAUGCCCCAUACUUGCCGUUUUGCCCGUUUGUCCACCCAAAUGGCCAUAAAAAUUUAAACGGACCAUACUGGGAUGAUCGCCAACCUCGCUGGCUCGCCCCGAUCGAUUUUUGGCCCACAUACCAACUGGACCUCGGGCCACCCUAAAAUCGUGGGCUAUAGCACACCGAUUUUGCUAAAAAAUACCGCAUUCAUGUCGUUUAGCCCGUUUAUCGACCUGAAUGGCCACGAAAAUUUAAAUGGACCAUACUGGGACGAUCCUCAAACUCCCUGGCAUAUCUCAGUCAAUUUUUUCCCCAUAGAUCGCCCGGACCCCGAGCCCACCCCUAAAAUCGUGGGCUAUAGCACAUCGAUUUGACCUGAAAAUACCUCGUUCGUGCCAUUUCACCCAUUUGUCCACCCGAAUGACCACAAAAAUUUAAACGAACCACACUGAGAAGAUCCCCAACCUCCCUGGAACACCUUGAUCAAUUUUUGGCCCUCAGAACGCCUGCACCCCGGGCCACCCCCGAAUUCGUGGGCUAUAGGACACUUAUUUGGCCCAAAAAUGACCCAUUCGUGCCUUUUCGCCUAUUUAACCACCCAAAUGGCCACAAAAAUUUAAAUGGACCAUACUAGGAUGAUCCCCAACCUCCCUGGUACUCCUCGAUCAAUUUUCGGCCCAGCACGCCCAGACCCCCGGCCCACCCUCAAAAUCGUGGGCUAUAGCAUACCGAUUUGGCCCAAAAACUCCCCGUUCGCGUUGUUUCGCCCGUUUAUCAACCCAAAAGUCUUCAAAAAUUUACACAGACUACACUGGGACAAUCCCUAACCUCCCUGGCAUACCUCAGUCAAUUUUUGGCUCACAGUACACUCGAACACCGAGGCCACCCCCAAAAUCGUAGGCUAUAGCACACCAAUUUAGCCCGAAAAUGCCCCGUUUGCGCUGUUUCGCUCGUUUAUCCACCUAAAUGGCAAUGAAACUUUAAACGAACCACACUAGGAUGAUCCCUAACCUCCCUAGCAUGCCCCAGUUGAUUAUCAACACACAACACACCCGAACCUUAGGCCCGCCCCCAAAGCUGUGUGCUAUAGCGUACCUAGUUGGCCCGAAAAUGCCUCGUUCAUGUCGUUUUGCCCGUUUUUCAACCCAAAUGGACACAAAAAUUUAAACGGACCAUACUGGGAUGAUCCCCAAUCUCCCUGGCAUACUUCAGUCGAUUUUUGGUCCACAACACGCCCGAACCUCAGGCCCACCCUCAAAACCAUGGGCAUUAGCACACUGAUAUGGCCCGAAAAUGCCCCGUUCGCGCUAUUUCGCCUAUUUGUCCACCCAAAUGGCCACGAAAAUUUAAAUAGACCACAUUAGGACAAUCCCCAAACUCCCUGAUAUGCCUUGAUCAAUUUUUGGCCCACAGCACGCCUGAAACCAGGGCCCAUCACCAAAACUGUGGGCUAUAUAGCACAUCUAUUUGGCUUAAAAUUUCCCCGUUCGCGUCGUUUCGCCUAUUUGUCCACCCAAAUUGCCAUAAAAAUUUAAACGGACCAUGCUGGGACGAUCCCCAACCUCUCUGGCAGGCCCCGAUCAAUUUUCAGCCUACAACACACCUGAAUCCCGGGCCCACCCCAAAAAUCGUGGGCAAUAGCACACCGAUUUGGCCUAAAAAUGCCCCGUUUGCGUCAUUUCGCCCAUUUGUAGACCAAAAUGGCCACAAAAAAUUAAACGAACAAUACUAGGACGAUCCCCAACCUCACUGGCAUGCCCCGAUUGAUUUUUGGCCCACAGUACACCCGAACCCCUGUCCCACCCCUAAAAUCGUGGGCUGUAGCACACCGAUUAGGUUCAAAAAUACCCCGUUCGGGCUGUUUCGCCCAUCUGUCCACCUAAAUGGCCACAAAAAUUUAAAUGGACCACACUGGGACGAUCCCCAACCUCCCUGGCAUGCCCUAAUCGAUUUUUAGCCCACAACACGCCCAAACCUCAGGCCCACCCUCGAAACCAUGGGCAUUAGCACAUUGAUAUGGCCCGAAAAUGCCUCGUUCACGCUAUUUCGCAUAUUUGUCCACCCAAAUGGCCACGAAAAUUUAAAUGGACCACAUUAGGACAAUCCCCAACCUCCCUGAUACGCCUUGAUCGAUUUUUGGCCCACAGCACGCCUGAAACCAGGGCCCAUCCCCAAAACUGUGGGCUAUAUAGCACAUCUAUUUGGCUCAAAAUUUCCCCGUUCGCGUCGUUUCGCCGUUUGUCCAUCCAAAUUGCCCCAGAAAUUUAAACGGACCACGCUGGGAUGAUCCCAACCUCUCUGGCAGGCCCCAAUCAAUUGUCGACCUACAACAUACCUGGACCCCUGGCCCACCCCUAAAAUCGUGGGCAAUAGCACACCGAUUUGGCCUAAAAAUGCCCUGUUUGCGUCGUUUCGCCCAUUUGUCCACCAAAAUGGCCACAAAAAAUUAAACGAACAAUACUAGGAUGAUCCCCAACCUUACUGGCAUCCCCCAAUAAAUUUUUGGCCAACAGUACACCCGAACCCCCAUCCCACCUCCAAAAUCGUGGGCUAUAGCACAUCGAUUAAGCUUGAAAAUACCCCGUUUGGGCCGUUUCUCCCAUCUAUCCAGCUAAAUGGCCACAAAAAUUUAAAUGAACCACACUGGGAGGAUCCCCAACCUCCCUGGCAUGCCCUGGUUGAUUUUUAGACCACAAUACGCCCGUACCCCGGGCCCACCCCCAAAACCAUAGGCUAAAGCACACCGAUGCCCGAAAAUGCUCCGUUCGCAUCGUUUCGCCCGUUUUUUCUCCCAAAUGGCCAGGAAAAUUUAAAGGGUCCAUAAUGGGACGAUCCUUAACCUCCCUGGCAUGCCUCGGUCAAUUUUAGGCCAACAGCACGCCCAGAUCCCAGGUCCAUCCCCGAAAUCGUGGGCUAUAGCACACCAAUUUAGUCUGAAAAUACCCCAUUCACGCGGUUUCACUCGUUUGUCCAGCCAAAUGGCAACGAAAAUUUAAAUGGACCACACUGGGACAAUCCCCAACCUCCCUGGCAUGCCCCAGUCAAUUUUUGUCCCAUAGCACGCCCGGACCUCGGGUCCACCCCUAAAAUCAUGGGCAAUACCACACGAAUUUCGCCUGAAAAUAUCUUGUUCACACUGUUUCACUCGUUUGUCCACCCAAAUGGCCACAAAAAUUUAAACGGACCAUAUUGGGAUGAUCCCCAACCUCGGUCGUUUGUCCACCCAAAUGGCCAAAAAAAUUUAAAUGGACUAUACUGGGAUGAUCCCCAACCUCGGGUCCACCACCAAAAUUAUGGCUAUAGCACACCGAUUUGGCUCAAAAAUACCGCGUUCGCAUCGUUUCGCUCGUUUGUCCACCUAAAUGGACACUAAAAUUUAAAUGGAACACAUUGGGACGAUCCCCAACCUCCUUGGUACACCCCGGUCAAUUUUCUGCCCACAGCACGCCCGAACCCUAGCCCACCCCUGAAAUCAUGGGCUAUAGCACAUCGAUUUGGCCCAAAAAUGCUCCAUACGUGUCGUUUUACCUGUUUGUCCACCCGAAUAGCCAUGAAAAAUUAAAUGGAUCACACUGGGAAGAUCCCCAACCUCCCUGGCACGCCCUGGUUGAUUUUUGGCUCUCAAAACGCUUGGUCCCCAGGCUCUCCCCCGAAAUCGUGGGCUAUAGCACACUGAUUUAGCUCGAAAGUGCCCUGUUCGUGCCAUUUCGCCCGUUUGUCCACCCAAAUAUCAACGAAAAUUUAAACGGACCACACUAGGAUGAUCUCCAACCUCCCUGGUACGCCCCAGUCGAUUUUUUGCCUCAGCACACCCAAACCCCCGGACUAUCUCCGAAACCAUAGGCUAUAGCACACCGAUUUGGCUCAAAAAUGCCCCGUUCAUGUUGUUUUGCCCGUUUGUCCUCCCAAAUGUCCACAAAAAUUUAUACAAACCACAAUGGGACAAUCCCUAACCUUUCUGGCAUGCCUCGAUCAAUUUUUGACUCACAGUACACUUUAACUCCGUGCCCACUCCCAAAACCGUGGGUUAUAGCACACCGACUUGGUCCGAAAAUUCCCCGUUCGCGCCGUUUCACCUGUUUGUCCACCCAAAUGGCCACAAAAUUUAAACGGACCAUACUAGGACGAUCCCCAUCCUCCCUGGCAUGCCCCAAUCGAUUAUCAGCCCAUAGCAUGCCCGGACUUUAGGCCCAUCCCCAAAACCGUGGGCUAUAGCACACCGAUUUGGCCUAAAAAUGCCCCGUUUGUGCCGUUUUGCCCGUUUGUCCACCCAAAUGGCCACAAAAAAUUAAACGGACCAACUGGGAUGAUCCCCAACCUCCUUGGGACACCCCAAUCAAUUUUUGGCCCACAGAACGCCUGAACCUCGGGCCCACCCCCAAAACCUUGGGCUAUAGCACACCAAUUUGGCCUGAAAAUGCUCCGUUCGCGCCAUUUCGCUCGUUUGUCCCCCAAAUGGCCACGAAAAUUUAAAUGGAGCAUUCUAGAACAAUACCUGACUUCCUUGGCGUGCCCUGGUUAAUUUUUAGCUCACAGCAUACCCGAACCCCGUGUCCACCCCUGAAACCGUGGGCUAUAGCACAUAGAUUUGGCUCCAAAAUGCCCCGUUCGAGACGAUUUGCCCGUUUAUCCACCCAAAUAGCCAAGAAAAAUUAAACAGACUACACUGGAAUAAUCCAAACCUCCCUGGCAUGACUUGGUCUAUUUUUGGCCCACAGCACACUCGGAUCCCCGCCCCACCCCAAAAACAUUGGGUUAUAAGAUACCUAUUUGGCUUGAAAAUGCCUCAUUCGCGUCGUUUCGUCCGUUGUCCACCCAAAUGGCCACAAAAAUUUAAACGGACCAUAUUGGGAUGAUCCCCAGCCUCCCUGGCAUGCCCCGGGUGAUUUUGGCCAACAGCACGCCCGGACCCCAAGCCCACCCCCAAAAUCUUGGGCUAUAGCACACUGAUUUUGCCCAAAAAUGCGUAGUUCGAGCCGUUUCACCCGUUUGUCCACCCAAAGAUCCCCGAUAAACGGACCACACUGGGAUGAUCCAUAACUUCCCUGGAACACCUCAAUCAAUUUUCAGACCACAACACGACCGAAACCCGGGGCCACCCCCAAAACCGUAGGCUAUAGCACACCGAUUUGGACCAAAAAUGCCCCGUUCACACCAUUUCGCCUGUUUGUCUACCCAAAUGGCCAUAAAAAUUUAAACGGACCACACUAGGAUAGUCCCCAACCUCUUUGGCAUGCCUCAGUUGAUUUUUGGCACACAACACGCCCAGAUCCCAAGGCCACCCCUAAAAUCGUAGGCUAUAGCACAUCGAUUUAGCCUAAAAAUGUCCCAUUUCACCAGUUUGUCCUCCCAAAUGGCCACAAAAAUUUAAACGAACCACACUGGGACAAUUCUAAACCUCUCUGGCACACCCUGAUCAACUUUCAGCCUACAACACACCUGGACCGCUGACCCACCUUCAAAAUCGUGGGCUAUAGCAUACAGAUUUGGCCCGAAAAUGCCUCGUUCGUGCCAUUUCGCCCUUUUGUCCAGGCAAAUAGCCACAAAAAUUUAAAAGGACAACACUGGGAUGAUCCUAAACCUCCCUGGCAUGCCCUGAUCAAUUUUCGACCCACAGCACGCCAGGACAACUGGCCCACUCCUAAAACCGUAGGCUAUAGCACACCGAUUUGGCCCAAAAUUAUCCUGUUCGUGCUGUUUUGCCCUUUUGUCCAUCCAAAUGUCCACGAAAAAUUAAACGGACUACACUGAGAUGAUCUCCAACCUUCCUGGCAUGCCCUGGUCAAUUUUUGGCCAACAACAUGCCCGGACCCUGGCCCACCCCCAAAAUAGUGGGCUAUAGCACAUCGAUUUAGCCCGAAAAUGCCCCAUUUGCGCCCCGAUCAAACUAGGAUGAUUCCCAGCCUCCCUGUCGUGCCCCAAUCAAUGUUCGGCCCACAGGACGCCCAGACCCCAGGCGCCCCCCAAAACCGUGGGCUAUAGAACAUCGAUUUGGCCCAAAAAUGCCCCAUUUGCGCUGUUUUGCCCGUUUGUCCAUCCAAAUGGCCACAAAAAUUUAAAAAGAAUGCACUGGGACUAUCCCCAACCUCUUUGGCACGCCCAAGUCAAAUUUUUGCCAACAACACGCCCGAACCCCGUGCCCACCCCCAAAACCAUUGGCUAGCACACCGAUUUGGCCCGAAAACAUGUCCUUCAUGCCGUUUUACCCGUUUGUCCACCUAAAUGUCCCCAAAAAUUUAAACGGACCACGCUGGGAUGAUCUCCAACCUCCCUGGCAUACCCCAAUCGAUUUUCGGCUCACAGCACGCUAGGACCCCUAGACCACCACUGAAAUCGUGGGCUAUAGCACACCGAUUUAGUCUAAAAAUGCCCCAUUCAUGCUUUUCGCCUAUUCGUCCACCCAAAUGGUUUUGAAAACAUGGGCUAUAGCACACUGAUUGGGCCCGAAAAUGCCCCGUUCGCACCAUUUUGCCCGUUUGUCCACCCAAAUGGCCAUGAAAAUUUAUACGGACCACACUGGGACAAUCCCUAACCUCCCUGGCAUGCCUCAAUCGAUUUUUGACUCACAGUACACUCGAACCCCGUGCCCAACCCUAAAACCGUAGGCUAUAGCACACCGAUUUGGGAAAAAAAUGCCCAGUUCGCUCGUUCAUUUCGUUAGUCCACCCAAAUGGCCAUGAAAAUUUAAAUGUACCAUACUGGGAAAAUCCCCGACCUUCCUAUCAUGCCUCGGUUGAUUUUUGGCCCACAACACGCCUGAACCUCAGGCUCACUCACAAAACCGUGGGCUAUAGUACACCGAUUUGGCCCCAAGAUGCCCUGUUCGAGCUAUUUUGCCUGUUCGUCCACUCAAAUGGCCAUGAAAAUUUAAAUGGACCACACUAGGACUAUCCCCAACCUCCCUGAAAUGCCCUGGUCAAUUUUUGUCCCACCGCACGCCCGGACCCCAGGCCCACCCCCAAAAUCAUGGGCAAUAGCACAUCGAUUUGGCCCAAAAAUACCUCGUUCAUGUUGUUUCGCCCGUUUUUUCAGCCAAAUGGCCACAAAAAUUUAAACGGACCACAUUAGGACGAUUCCCAACCUCCCUGGUAUGCCCCGGUCUAUUUUUGGUCAACAGUAUGCCUGGACCCCUAGCCCACCGUCAAAAUCGUGGGCUAUAGUGCACUAAUUUGGCCCAAAAAUGCUCCAUUCGCGUCGUUUCACCUUUUUGUCCAUCCAAAUGGCCACAAAAAUUUAAAUGGAUCACACUGGGAUGAUCCCCAACCUCUCUGGCACACCCCAAUUAAUUUUCAUCCCACAACACGCUCGUACCCAAGGCCCACCCCUAAAACCGUGGGCAAGAGCACACCGAUCAGGCCAGAAAAUACCCCGCUCGCUAUUUUGCCCAUUUUUCACCCAAAUGAUUAUGAAAAUUUAAACGGACCACACUGGGACGAUCCUCAACCUCUCUGGCAUGCCUUGGUUGAUUUUCGGCCAACAGCACGGCCGAACCCCAGGCCCAACUUUAAAAUCGUAGGCUAUAGAACACUAAUUUGGCCCGAAAAUGCCCCGUACCCGCCGUUUUGCCCGUUUGUCCACCCAAAUGGCCACAAAAAUUUAAACGGACCACACUGGGAUAAUCCCCAACCUCGCUGGCAUGCCCCAAUCGAUUUUUGUCCUACAACCCAACUGGACCUCGGGCCCACCCCCAAAAUCGUGGGCUAUAGCAUACCUAUUUGGCUAAAAAAUACCGCAUUCAUGUCGUUUAGCUCGUUUGUCGACCUGAAUAGCCACGAAAAUUUAAAUGGACCAUAUUGGGAUGAUCCCCAAACUCCCUGCCACAUCUCAGUCAAUUUUCUGCCCAUAGCUUGCCCGAACCCCGGGCCCACCCCUAAAAUCGUGGGCUAUAGCACAUCGAUUUGACUUGAAAAUGCUCUGUUCGAGCCGCUUCACCCAUUUGUCCACUCGAAUGGCCACAAAAAUUUAAAAGAACCACACUGAGAAGAUCCCCAACCUCCCUGGCACACCUUGAUCAAUUUUCGGCCCUCAGAACGCCCGCACCCAAGCCCACCCACAAAAUUGUGGGCUAUAGGACACUGAUUUGGCCCAAAAAUGACCCGUUCAUGCCUUUUCGCCUAUUUCACCACCCAAAUGGCCAUGAAAAUUUAAAUGGACAAUACUGGGAUGAUCCCCAACCUCCCUGGUAUGCCUUGAUCGAUUUUCGGCCCCAGCAUGCCCAGACCCCCGGCCCACCCCCAAAAUCGUGGGCUAUAGCAUACCGAUUUGGCCUAAAAACUCCCUGUUCGCGUUGUUUCACCCGUUUGUCAACCCAAAAGUCUUCAAAAAUUUAUACGGACUACACUAGGAGAAUCCCUAACCUCCCUGGCAUACCUCAGUGAAUUUUUGGCUCACAGUACACUCGGACACCGAGCCCACCCCCAAAGCCGUGGUUUAUAGCACACCAAUUUAGCCCAAAAAUGCCCCGUUUGCGUCGUUUCGCCUGUUUGUCCACCUAAAUGGUGAUGAAAAUUUAAACGAACCAUACUAGGACGAUCCCCAACCUCCCUGGCAUGCCCCAGUCGAUUAUCAACACACAGCAGACCCAGACGUUAGGCCCACCCCCAAAAUCGUGUGCUAUAGCGUACCUAUUUGGCCUGAAAAUGCCUCGUUCAUGUCGUUUUACCCGUUUGUCCACCCAAAUGGCCACAAAAAUUUAAACGGACCACACUGGGAUGAUCCCCAACUUCCUUGGCACACUCCGAUCUAUUUUUGGCCCACAACACGCUCGAACCUUGGGCCCACCCUCGAAACCGUGGGCAUUAGCACUCUGAUAUGGCCCAAAAAUGCCCCGUUCGCGCCAUUUUGCCCGUUUGUCCACCCAAAUGGCCACGAAAAUUUAAACGGACCACACUAGGACAAUCCCCAACCUCCCUGGUACUCCUUGAUCGAUUUUCGGCCCACAGCACGUCAGAACCCCGGGCCCAUCCCCAAAACUGUGGGCUAUAUAGCACAUCUAUUUAGCUUAAAAUUUUCCCAUUCGCAUCGUUUCGCCUGUUUGUCCACCCAAAUUGCCAUAGAAAUUUAAACGGACCAUGCUGGGACGAUCCCCAACCUCUCUGGCAGGCCCCGAUCAAUUUUUGAUCUACAACACACCUGAAACCCAGUCCCACCCAUCGUAGGCAAUAAAACACCAAUUUGGCCUAAAAAUGCCCGGUUUUCAUCAUUUCGCCCAUUUGUAGACCAAAAUGGCCACAAAAAAUUAAACGAAGAAUACUAGGAUGAUCCCCAACCUCACUGGCAUGCCCUGAUCAAUUUUUGGCCCACAGUACGCCCGAACCCCUGUCCCACCCCCAAAAUCGUGGGCUAUAUCACACCGAUUAGGCUCGAAAAUACCCCGUUCGGGCCGUUUCUCCCAUCUGUCCACCUAAAUGGCCACAAAAAUUUAAAUGGACCACACUGGGAUGAUCCCCAACCUCCCUGGCAUGCCCUGGUCUAUUUUUAGCCGACAACACGCCCGUACCCCGGGCCCACCCCCAAAACCGUGGGCUAAAGCACACCGAUGCCCGAAAAUGCUCCGUUCGCUCCGCUUUGCCCAUUUUUCCUCCCAAAUGGCCAGGAAAAUUUAAACGGACCACAAUGGGAUGAUCCUCAACCUCCCUGGCAUACCUCGGUCAAUUUAAGGCCAACAACACGCCCAGACCCCAGGCCCACCCCCAAAACCGUGGGCUAUAGCACACCAAUUUAGCUCGAAAAUGCCCCAUUCGCGCUGUUUCGCUCGUUUGUCCAGCCAAAUGGACACAAAAAUUUAAAUGGAACACAUUGGGACAAUCCCCAACCUCCCUAGCAUGCCCCGAUUGAUUUUUGUCCCACAGCACGCCUGGACCUCGGGUCCACCCCUAAAAUCGUGGGCUAUAGAACACGAAUUUUGCCUGAAAAUGUCUCGUUCGCACUGUUUCGCUCAUUAGUCCACCCAAAUGGCCAGAAAAAUUUAAACGGACCAUACUGGGAUGAUCCCCAACCUCGCUGGCAUGCCUCGAUCGAUUUUAGGCCCACAACACACCUAGACCUCGGGCCCACCACUAAAAUCAUGGGCUAUGGCACACCGAUUUGGCUCAAAAAUGCCGCGUUCGCGUCGUUUCGCUCGUUUGUCCACCUAAAUGGCCACUAAAAUUUAAAUGGAACACACUUGGAUGAUCCCCAACCUCCUUGGUACACCCCGAUCAAUUUUUUGCUCACAGCACGCCCGGAUCCCAGGCCCACCCCUGAAACCGUGGGCUAUAGCACAUCGAUUUGGCCCGAAAAUGCUCCAUACGUGUCGUUUCGCCUGUUUGUCCACCCGAAAAGCCAUGAAAAAUUAAACGGAUCACACUGGGAAGAUCCCCAACCUCCCUGGCACGCCCUGGUCGAUUUUUAGCUCUCAAAAAUCCUGGACCCCAGGCCCUCCCCCAAAAUCGUGGGCUAUAGCACAUUGAUUUAGCCCGAAAAUGCCCUGUUCGCGCCAUUUCGCCCAUUUGUCUACCCAAAUGGCAACAAAAAUUUAAACGGACCACACUGGGAUGAUCUCCAACCUCCCUGGUACGCUCCAGUCAAUUUUUUGCCUCAGCAUGCCCAAACCCCCGGACCAUCCCCGAAAUCGUGGGCUAUAGCACACCGAUUUGGCUCAAAAAUGCCUCGUUCACGUCGUUUUGCCCUUUUGUCCUCCCAAAUGUCUAUGAAAAUUUAUACGAACCACACUGGGGCAAUCCCUAACCUCCCUGGCAUGCCUCGGUCAAUUUUUGACUCACAGUAUGCUUGAACUCCAUGCCCACCCCCAAAACCGUGGGUUAUAGCAGACCGAUUUGGUCCGAAAAUUUCCCGUUCGGGCCGUUUCACCCAUUUGUCCACCCAAAUGGCCACAAAAAUUUAAACGGACCAUACUAGGACGAUCCCCAUUCUCCCUGGCAUGCCCUAGUCGAUUAUCAGCCCACAUCACGCCCGAACUUUAGGAUCAUCCCCAAAACCGUGGGCUAUAGCACACCAAUUUGGCUUAAAAAUGUCCCGUUCGUGCCGUUUUGCCCGUUUGUCCACCCAAAUGGCCACAAAAAAUUAAACGGACCAACUGGGACGAUCCCCAACCUCUCUGGCACACCCCGAUCAAUUUUUGGCCCACAGAACGCCCAAACCUCAGGCCCACCCCCAAAACCUUGGGCUAUAGCACACCAAUUUGGCCUGAAAAUGCUCCAUUCGAGCCAUUUCGCCCGUUUGUCCACCCAAAUGGCCACGAAAAUUUAAACGGACCACACUGAGAUGAUUCCCAACCUCCCUGGCACGCCUCGGUCAAUUUUUGGCUCACAGCACGCCCGGACCCCGGGCCCAUUUCCAAAAUCAUGGGCUAUAGCUCACCGAUUUGACCCAAAAAAUGGCCCGUUCACGCUGUUUCGCCCGUUUGUCCACCCAAAUAGCCACGACGGACCACACUGGGAUAAUCCCCAACCUCCCUGGCAUGCCCCGGUUGAUUUUUGGCCCACAAGACGCCCGAACCCCGGGCCCACCCCGAAACCGUGGGCUAAGCACAUCGAUUUGACCCGAAAAUGCCUCGUUCGCGCCGUUUCACUCGUUUGUCCACCCAAGCAAAGAUUCAACAAUAAUACUAAAAAAUAAUAUCCAAAAUGUAGUAAUUAAUAAUAUAAUCAAACCAAGUCACAAUUGAACAAAGAAAAAAGAAAAUAGAUAAACCUUAGAUUUUUUGCUAUUUUAUUCAGCAGCAACAUGAUUGUUUCAUCCAACUUUUGGAUCAAAACCUUAAGUGAAAAAGAAACAUGAGAAAAUAAUUAAAGGGUGGGGUGGGGGGAUUUAUUGUGAUCAUUUGUUAUAUAAUCUUUCCUUGAGCCGGGGGUCUUUCGGAAACAGCCUUUCUACUUCAUCAGAGGUAGAGGUAUGGACUGCGUACAUCUUACCCCCCCCAGACCCCACUAAGUGGGAAUACACUGGGUUUGUUGUUGUUGAUUUGUUAUAUAAUCUUUAUAGUUAUUAAUUAAAAGUUAUAAAUAAAGACAAAAAGGCUGAUGAUAAUGAAUGCAAAAAGUCUUGAAUCAAAAAGAUGAUGAUAAUGAAUGUAAGGAAACUUAAAUCAAAAUCAAAAUAUAUAAAAAGUAGAAAUAGAAAAGCAUGUGUUUCUUGUGAAAUUUUUAAUUGAAUUAGAAAUGGUAAAUAUUAUAAUUUCUUACCUGAAAUAAAUAACCCCAAAGCUGAUACCUAUUUUAUUGGAUAUAGCUGUAGGUUUUAUAAAAUUUAUGAAAAUUUUACUAUGAAAUUUCCAUAAAAUUCAAUACCAAAAAUAAUUUGAUUUAUUUCAUUAGAAAACAUAAACUUCAAAUAUAAAGGGAUUACACGGCAUAAGCAGCACACGUCCUUGGACAUUUUAUUAUUGCUCGUCCAUACUGGACUUCUAAUAGAAUUUGAAUUUCAAAACUAUUAAGGCAAAAUAAUUAUUUUAUAGGUAAAAUUUUAAUUAAUGUAAAAUACCUAAUUAUAGCGAACAAAGUUAAGAUAAAAUCUAACCUUUUAAAAUAAGCAUAUACAUCCAUAUAAUGUGGCACGAAGUUUUUGGUCUAUUAUAAGACGAUGUGAGUUAUAUAUCAUCCAAAAUAUCAUAUUUUUAACACUCGGAACCACUGAAUAAUGGCCCUACACAAUUAGGAACUCCAAAUAAUAUGACAAAACCAAAAAACAUGUUUGCACGCAACAUCACCACCAAUUAAAAUAAACAACCUACAGCAUAGGAAAAAAAAAAAUCAAUUUUUCCAUUUUUUUCUUAAACUCUUAUUCAAUUAUUUUUUUUAUAAAGGUUUUAUAUAUUGUUACCAAUUAAUUAGUUGUGUCUUUGUUUCUUUACGUGAAAUUGAGGGGUUUUUCCUAUUAAAAGUCACCUAAAUGUAGAAAGAGUGGUUUAAUAUUAAUUGUGGGGACAAAAACCUACCAACAUUAAAAUAAAAUCCAUUAUAUUUUUUCUUCCAAAAUCAUUAGGGUUAAAAUAUACUAAUUAGUUUUCUUACCAUAUACUUUAGGAUUUCUUAAUUUUAAAAUUCAAAUAUUAUAAAUAUGAAAAUAAUAAAACGACGGUUUUGUCUAUUGCAAAAAUUUUUAAUGACGGGCAAAAAAUUCAAAUCACUUUUCUAAGGGUCUUCACACUUUUACUAUAUUAUAGAUAUAGAUUAUAGAUUAUAGAUUAUAGAUUAUAGAUAUAGAUUAUAGAUAUAGAUUAUAGAUAUAGAUAUAGAUUAGAUAUAGAUAUAUAGAUUAGAUAUAGAUAUAUAGAUUAGAUAUAGAUAUAGAUAUAGAUAUAGAUAUAGAUAUAGAUAUAGAUAUAGAUAUAGAUAUAGAUAUAGAUAUAGAUAUAGAUAGAGAUAUAGAUAUGGAUACAGAUUAUAGAUUAUAGAUGUAGAUACAGAUUAUAGAUAUAGAUACAGAUUAUAGAUAUAGAUUAUAGAUUAUAGAUAGAUUAUAUAUAGAUUAUAGAUAUAGAAAAAAAUUUCCCCCAACCCCCUCCCCAUCUUUCUUCUAUAUUUAUAUAUAUAUAUAUAUAAAUAAAAACCAUUUUCAAUAGCGUAAAUACAAUCAUGUUUCUAUCAUAUGUUUUUUUCCUUUUUGUCGAAUCAGAAAAAGACAUGAACUAUCAAGCAAACACUUGAAAAAAAUUUUAUCAUUGCAUAAAUUCUCCAAUAAAACUGAACAACAAAAUCGUGUUCCUAACAGUACUACAUUCAGUUUACAUGCAAUGCAGAAACUGAAGUCCCCCUCCCCGCACGAUUUCAGAAAAUCAAAUCAAAGUUAUAUGUGAUAGUUGAUUGUGCAAACCUUCCAACAUAACAAAAAAGCAAAAGUCGGGAAGAAGAAAGACCACAUGACACAUAUUUACAUAGAGAGCUCAUAUGUCCCAACCUUCGAUUAAAAUACAAUUAUAUCUUGCAUUUUAAUUUGUAGAUUUAUACGUGAUUUCUGGUUGGAAGUUGUGAUCUUGAGUUUCCCUAAUGUGAUGGCGUUUAUGGAUUAUUAUGUGAAGAUCCGUCCUUAUAGGCAGUAAGCACUCCCUGCGUUUUCGGCAACACAAUAAGUUAGAAAGCAAGUACUUUGGGUCAUUUAAGGUUCUGAAGUGAAUUGAUUGAGUUGCGUGCAUAGGAACCCUGGGCAAAUAAGUCAUCUCUGUAGCAUUUACACAAAUGAUGGUCCAUAGGAGAAAUUUAGUAACACCCCGCAUUCUCGAGCUAGAAAAUGAACCGUCGUUCCUACAUGCGUAAACUCAAAUUCCAUGGUUUAUACUUAAAUUCAUGUUCCAUGAUCUUUCUCCUAGUAUAUAAAGUGCUUAUGAGGUGAAAAGUGGCCAAAAGCAAGGUUGAUACUAAGAACCUGUCAUUCAUCCGAAAUUGGAUAUUUGAUUCUACAAGGGUUUACUUUAAAUGAGUAUAAAUCUUGAUACACAUCGAAUUUUGCAGCUCAAAACCCACCAAAUUGUAGAUAAUUGAAUUAGCUUUCCAACGAUACCAAUUUCGCUAAAAUUUGAUAAUCGAUCAAAAAGUUAUGACAUUUUUCGUGUGAGGCAGUAAGCCGAUGCGAUGUCGACGCGACGCGUCGGCCUGCGCAUUACAAAAAUUUUUUUCAUGCCAAAUCAGUUUCUAAUUGGUCUAGGGGCAUUUUAGUCAUUUCUCCUCACCCAAAUUUCGUUUAUAACACCGAAUUUAAGCCCUAGAACAGCAUUUGAGCCCCAAAAUUCACAUUCUCCCCAAACUAAAAUCAUCCUCUCUUUCCCCAAAGAUUCAAGAACUCAUCCCUAAGAUCAAGAAUUCCAAGAAAAGGAUCAAGAUCUAGGUUCCAUUCUUCUAACUACGAAAUCUAAGGUACGUGGGGUUUAUCCUAAAACUACAUGGGCUUGUUGAAAACACUCAAUUAUGAUUUAAAGAUCAUCAAGCAUGAAUUUGUUAAAGGGGUUUUGAAAUCCAUGAUUUUAUUAUGCUUUAUGCAUGUUUAAUGUUAUUGUUGUUUUUGCCUUUAGGCCUUAUCCCCUUAAAUUGAUUUACACAUAUAUGUAUAUGUAUGAAGAAGUGAAAUUUAAGAUUUUGUUUGAGAGCAUAAAUUAUGAAAUCCCUCUCCUGUGAUAAAUUCAAGUUUUUGAUCUCAUUGUGAAUGAUUUGAAAUGCAUGAUUUAUGGUUUGAAAAUAGUUUUCUCAAAAUCAUAGUGUUUGAGCCUGAUUUAGAGAUAAUGAGAGGGAGCUUCUUGAUAUAGUUAUGUUUUGUUUUAAAGAGAAAGAGUCACAUGUGAUUGAGAUAUUUGACAUGACCACCUUGCAUUAUGGAAAUGCUGACAAAGAGUUUCUUGCAUAUGUUUACAUGAGUUUUAAAGAAAGGGUUUCUUGAAUUGUUUUAUUGAUAUGGUGGUCCCGAACUUAUGUUUUGAAAACAGUGAUUGUAAUAUGCUAGAAUUGGCUCAGAGAUGUGACUUGCAAGUCAAUGGUAUGAUGAUACCAUAAGUAUGUAUGCCAUAACAGAGUAAGAGAUUUCAGAGUAUAUUUUCAGAAUAUGUUUUCAGAAAAUACAUGAUUUUAAAAGAGUUAAAAAUGUGCUUAAAGAGGGUUAGGUGGUUACCCAAAGAGGGCUUGAGUUCAAGUAACUCUUAGCCCGAAAUCGUAUUUGUCGAUACGGGUAGAUUAUUAUUGUACGCUAGCGACGGCCGUGUGGCGUAGUAGAUACAGAGAUCCAACCCUUGCGGCACACUUGGGUUGGGGGGUUGGCUGUCGAGUUAAUGGCAGUUUCCAUAGAGCCUAUGGAAUUUCAGAGUUGUAGGGUAUACCACCUAGCGCAGAAGUAAAACAAAGAGUGUCACAGAGUUCAGAUGAUUUUACAGAGUCUUUUAAAUAUACCCAUGUGAUUUCUUAUUAGAUGACAUAUUUACGAACUGAUUUAAAUUGCUCUCAUGUAUGUUGAAUAUAAAUUGCUAUUUUGAAUUUGCUCUGCGUACCAGUACAUCUGUAUUGACCCCCCUUCCCUACCUCUCAGGUUCUGAGGCUCAGUCUAGGGGUCUUGAUAAGCAGUAGAUAUUUCAGACAGCAGAGCAGAGUUCAGUGGUGAGCCUUCUAUAUUUCAGAAGCCUAAUGUCUUACAGUCAUUUAUGAUUUCUAUAGUUUUGGUCUAUUGGGGGCCUUAUCCCAGAUAUAUUAGAGAUUUCGCAGACUGAGUCAGAUGUUAUUUAGAUGUUGAAAUGCAGUUUUCAUCAUUAUCUUGAAUUCAGAAUUGACCAUGAUUCCGUAUUAUGUUUUGUUCCGCAUCUUCUUUAUUUAUAUGAACGUUGUGCAUGAUUACCAGAUAGAGAGGGACGUCCGGGCCUUCAUGGUUUGGAAUGCUCAUCACGGCCAGGGCCUCAGUUCGGAUCGUGACAAAUUUGUAAAAAGGUAAUGUUAUGACCACGCACCAAGUGAGACACAAUGUAUGCAAUCCUAUACAUAUUAAGCUUUGAAAAUAGAACUACUUGUGAAUUGCAAGGUGAACCAUUUUUACCAAAAAAUGUUCACGUGAACUUAGAUUUAUGGAAAUGAUUAACUUUAUAUAUUUAUUACUUAUUUUAAGAGAGGCUGAUUUCAAUAAAUCGAGGAAAUACUUUUGAACUUAUGUAUCCUUAUUUAUAAAAUUUAUUGAAUUAAAAGUACAUUAGAAGGGGCAAAAAAUAGUCAGAUUUCAAUUUUCCAUUUAUAUGUUAAAUGGACUAAAGGACUUGUAACAAGAAAAUCAAAUAGGGGAGGUAAACACAAAAAAAUUAGAUGAUUAUGUGAACAAUCACUAAUGAUUGAAUUGUUAAUGCAUAAUAUAAGUAACACGAGUUCAAUAUUAAGAUUGAAUAUGUCAGGUCUAAGUCAUGAAUUCGACGACUCUGAUUAUAAUUAAUCACGAAACUAUUAACAUACCAGGAUCAGCAUGGACAGCAUCGAUGAGCUGCAAAUAGACUUUAUGUCCAAGUAUUUCAUCAACUCGAUCGACAACAGAUGCCUUCACAUCAUCUAAAUCAAAACAAUUGUACCCUUAACUUUUUUGCUUUCACCAUCUUCAGAUAUUUUCAUUUUACUUAGAUCGGAUAGCUUCUGAUGAGACAUAUCUGUACAAUAAAGGGGUCCAAAAGUAAUUAAGGUACAUACAUGUAAUUAAUUAUAGGCAAAAAAAGAAAAAGUAUUUACAUGCAUGUAAGUAUGUUUUGCCCCUUUAUCAUACUUGGAUAUUGCUCAGACUCUUUAAAAAUAUCAAGAGGUAUAUAUGCAUCGAAUAUGAGAGCAUGCAACAGUAUUUUUAAAGGGUUGGAGCAACAUAGGUCGAAGGUAUACUGUUCAAUGAAAAAAGAUACUAAUGUUUGACAAUGCCAUGCACAAAGCACAAUUGUUGAAGUUUAGACAUAAUCAGAAUGACCUGCAUUACUGUAAUUAUUUAUCUAAAAGUUCAAUACACUCAUGUGCAUGAAACAACAUAUACUACACUUGAUUAGGGAGUAGAAAUGUAGAAUUUACAAAGGUAAAGGUAAAAUAGUGUGACAAGAAACAGUGGAGGAAAAUUAUCAAAGAACCGAACAAAACCAUCCCCCACCUGCGAAGGCCGCCACUGUCGGUGAGGAUUCCACCAGUCAACUGCCGCCACCGAACCAGCCGGAGAAAUCCCCACAAACAUAUCAAAGAAGUGCAGCGGCUCCGGCGAACCACAUCGCCAUGCAUCCAGCGACCACCGCCGUCGCAUUGUCCCAAGCUACAAUCCCCGUGCUGAUGCCGUAUAUUUAGCUACUUUCGUCGGGAAGUUUAAUCGUAAUGACGGAUUCUGACAAUCCGUCUCCGGUAUGGUCUCAGUCGCUUGCUGCUACCUCGAUUCGUCGGGAACCGCACUUGUUUGAGGACUUUUGCUUGAGAAAUUAUCGCAAUUUCAUAUGAUUUAAUCCGAUAGCUGAAGCAUAUUUCUGUUCCUUCACCUUAUGUUUAGCAGCAUGGACGACAUCCUUCUAUGGCAAGAAUAUGAUUUAUGUGUGAUAGAGAGAGGAUUCAAAUAAUUGUGCCUUUUUGGUUUUAACAAAUUGUGUUUGGGUGUAUUUAUGGUAAUUUAGCAUAUUUUACUGAGUUGAUUUUUUUCUGAAAUAUCCUUUUUCCUCUUUUACCUCCCCUUGAUUUGUUUGAAUAUUUUUUCUUCCUUUGCUGCUUUCACUGUAUAAACAACCGCAAUUCCCUCCCCAUUCUUUACGACACACGACACGAAAGCUGUAAGCAAAAAGUAAAAAUUUUUACUUUAUUAUUUUUGCCUACUUACAUUCAGAGCAUUGGUCUUGACCCUUCUGUGGCAAUUCCUACUUGAAUCCUGUGCUUCUUGGUUUCUCCUUCUUCUUCUUAUUGUUUAUUAUCGUCAACCGGUAUGUCCCUAUCGACAUAAUUUUCAUUCUCUAUGUGAUAUGUUGUAAAAAUCAUUAGAAAGCAUGCCUAUAGGAGAUAAUUUGAAAAUAAUUUAUUUUCCCGCUUGAGUAUGUUGGUAUCUAGUUUUCUUUGUGUAUGCCGUGGUAUUUUGAUUAUAUUUACAGGUGUCAUUGAAGGGUAUUUCGGAAUUGGAAGAGUCGCUUUGGAAAUUUGGGAAGGGCGUUUCAAUUAUUUUUAGUUUAGUUUUAUUGGUAUGUAAUUUAUUGUACAACAAUGUAAUAAAUUAUGGGGACUGUUUGCCGAUGGGGUUUAUGCGUUUUAUGUGCUACAUGAAUCACUUAGGAAAACUUUGAAUUAGGAUUGAUAACAAACUUAUUUUUUUUCCUCCUAGUUAAAUUAACUCUCCGACGUAUAAAGCUCUAGCAUGUUAUUUUAACCGAUGACAAAAUGGUUACUGUUCAAACGUCUGUAUUUAUGUUGCUGCAUGAUUUCAAUUAAUUUCCAGCAUGUAAAUUUUAUUUUCCAGCCUCCAAGAAUCAAUUUUCAAUAAAAUCAUUGUUCAGCAGUUUAAAUACUUUGCAAACAUAAAUUGAUUCCCAGCAUAUUAAAAAAAGUAAAAAUUACACUUUUUGAAACAAAUUUCCAGAAUAGGGAAAAUGGAUUUCCAGCAUUGUUUUAUAAAUUUUCAGAGGUGAUUUCCUACAUGUUAAUUAGCCAGGUUUUGAAUCUUGUUUUCUUUACCCAUUUUUUGUUUUGGUGUUUUGUCUUAUCUGUUUUUCGUUUCCUUAAUUGGGUAUUUCUGUUUUUGGUUAAAUAUUGUGCCUUUGGUUGGAUUGUAGUUAUAUCUUGAUCAUUCUACAGUUUACUGGACAUGUUCCUUUUUGGAGUUUUUUUGGGGGGGUUUGCUUUUGAGGCAUUUCUGUGUGAAGCUGCUACUGGCAUUGGGAUUUUUUUACAAGCUAUAAGUCUAGCUUUUUAAUUAAGUGCUCUCGGAAAAAAACUAUUCUCUCCCUCUUAUUUUAUGUAACGUUAUUUUUUUUACUCCGUUCCAAAAAAUGCCAUCUUACUGUAAUUAGAAUAUUUAGACCACAUUUCAAAAGUCUUUCAUUGUGCCAAAUAAAAUAGCAUGUGCAGCAGAAUAAAGUUCCAAAUUUUUGAAUUUUAUACAUGUUAAAUAUACUUGAGUAUACUUUUUGUUGUUUUUGUAGGUAUGGGUAAACCUAAAAAAGUCUUCUCAUCAAAGGCUGAAAGUUCAGAUCUUGCGAAAAAGAAUUUCUUCAAAAAGGUAAUUAGUUAUGUAAAGAAUAUAAAUUUCUUAGUUUUGUUUUUGUCUGAGAGUGGUAAACCUACAACAACAACAACAACAAACCCAGUAUAUUCCCACAUAGUGGGGUCUGGAGAGGGUAAAAUGUACGCAGUCUAUAUCAUUACCCCCGAAGGAGUAGAGAGGCUGUUUCCGAUAGACCUCCAGCUCAAGACCCAAUAUAUUCACUGUAAAGUUGAAGAUAGCAACUCAGUUUUUGAUAGCCUAAUCACUGUAAAGAUGGAAAACUGUCAUUUUGUUUAAAAGACAAAGCAUUUAAGAUUACCAAAUAUAAGACAACAUUGAGAUAAUUCUUCACUUGCUGGUUGUUUGUGUUUUAAUUAUCAAAUUAGAAAUAACAUUGAGAUAAUCCUAUAAUCCUCCACUUUUUUUUUUAAUGUUUUAAUGAUGUCUCCUCCUCUUUCUUUCUCUGUUUUCUUGCUUUUUUGUUUUUUUCAGAUUGAAUUUAGUUGGGUGGGCAAGGAUGCACUUCUUGGUGUCCACGAUCAAGGAAGAUGUAGUAAGUGUAGCUUCUAUUAAUAAUUAUUAUUAUAUUAUUAUUAUUAUUAUUAUUAUUAUUAUUAUUAUUAUUAUUAUUAAUAAUAAUAAUAAUAAUAAUAAUAUUGUAUUAUUAUUAAUAGGUAAUUAUUCUUGUACUAUUAUUAUUAAUAAUAAUAAUAAUAUUGCAUUAUUAUUAAUAGGUUGUUGUUGGGCUUCCUCUGCCACGGGAGCAAUAGCGGCUGCCGUUGCCAUAAAAAGAAACCUACAACCUAUUGCACUGUCAAAACAACAACUCAUUGACUGCAUGUUUAACCAUUACUCAAAGCCGGAUGAGGCCAAAAAAUUGAAUAAAAAAAAGUGUUUCCCUCUUUGCUGUGAGAAGGCAUAUAUAUUUGCAAUGGAACAAGGUUUAUGUGAAGAAGAAUAUUAUCCCUUCAUCAAGGAAAGGAGUGAAUGCAAAAUGCCACAAAUAUUACAUGACACGGUGUGUAGCUGUAAUUCUUCGUAUUGUUCAUUUGUAUUGUUCAGUAAAAGUCUUAUCUUUACUGAUCUUAUCUUUACCGUUUUUUUUUUGCAGGAAAUACUCAAGAUAGCUGAUUACCAAUUAUUAGAUAUUGACAUGCUGAGUAAAAAGGAUACAGAAGAAUAUAUCAAAACACAACCUAUCACGUGUACUAUUGAUCUUUAUCCUAGUUUUCGCCGCCACACCGGACAGGUUCUCAUUUAUCUUUUUCAAUUAAUGUUCAUGUGGAUGUCUUCUAAUUUUCUUUCUUGUUUCUUAAAUACAGGGAGUUUACAUGGCCACUGAGAAAGAAGUUGAAAGAUUUCAGAAGCUAUUUGAUGAAGGAAAAAAUAUACCAGCACAUGCUAUGCUGAUAGUAGGAUAUGGGAUGGAAAAUGGUGAAGAGUUCUUUUUGGUGCAGAAUAGUUGGGGGACAAAAUGGGGUUAUUAUGGAUUUGCAAAAAUCAAGCGGCGUUUACUUUAUGAUUUACAAUAUCCUCUGAUACAUUGAUGAGCCUUGUGUUUUUUUGCUGCCAGAAACUAUUUUGUGACAUUUGUAAUAGGUAGUGGAUUGUUUCUUUCAACUGCAUAGUUAAACAUGAUAGGCACUUAUCAUAGGAUGGAUAGCUUCAUUGAUUUUGCUUUGAGAUAGAUACCCACCUCUCUUUUCACAUUUUUUUACUGGCUUUAUUUCUGGUCUCUGAAUGAGAUAAUUCUUUUAGUUUCCACAGUUUUGUUCGUAGCUGAUGUUUGAUUGCCUGUUGAAUAUUGUAUUGCUUCUAUUUGUUCUUGAGAUCUUCUCAUUGAUUUUUUCUUCUUUCGACUUUGUAAAACUAUAUAUAAAAAUAGAUGCUCUCCGAUUUUAGGUGAUUGCUUCAACUGAUGCUCAGAUGCUGUUUUCCGUUGCAAGUUCUUCAAAUGUCCCAAUCUUCGAUUAAAAUACAAUUAUAUCCUGCAUUUUGUAGAUUUAUAUGUGAUUUCUGGUUGGAAGUUUGUUGAGGGAUUAUUAUGUGAAGCUCCGUCCUUAUAGGCAGCAAGCACUCGCUGCACUUUCGGCAACACAGUAAGUUGGAAAGCAAGUACUUUGGGUCAUUUAAGGUUCUGAAGUGAAUUGGUUGAGUUGCGUGCAUAGGAACCCCGGGCAAACAAGUCACCCUUGUAGCACAUGGGCGGAGCUACCUUUGACAAAGGGUGGUCAAAUGCACACCCUUCGCUGGAAAAUUACAUAGUGAAUAGAGGUUAAAUGUUAACCAUAAUGAAUGUAUAUUCAAUUUUGCACACUCUUUAACUUAGUUGAGAAUAAAAGUUGCAUACCCUUCACCAUAUUCCUAGAUCCGCCACUGCUGUAGCAGUUACACAAUGAUAGUCCAUAGGAGAAAUUUGUAAAGAGGUAAUGUUAUGACCACGCACCAAGUGAGACACAAUGUAUGCAAGAGCACUCGGCCUGUACAUAUUAAGCUUUGAAAAUUGAACUGCUUGUGAAUUCCACAGUGAACUUUUUGCCAAAAAAUGUUAACGUGAACUUAGAUUUAUGGAAGUAAUUAACUUUGUGAAUCCAUAUUCUGGAAAUGCAUGUUGGAGUCUCAUCCGAAUCUAUCAACAAUAUCACAUCGUCCUUCGGGAAUAGAAUAGAGUCAAGGAAUAUGUUCAAGGUUCAUAGGAAUGAAGACACACGAUAAGGAGUCAUGAAGUAAAUUUCCUAAAAUGUCACUGUAGCCUCCCGAAGAUAGGUUACGGACGUCUCUGCACCGAUCCGCAGGACUCUACAAACACUUAGCUCUUGUACUAAUACACCAACGAAACCUGGCUCUGAUACCAAUUUAUCACGACCCAACUUUUCAGGUCAUGAUAGUGCCUACCAUAACCCACCAGUAGGCAAGCCAACUUGUAAUCCGGAACGGCUAGUAACGGACUACUCAAUAACUUAAGGAAAAGAAUGCGGAAUAUAUGAGAUAAAGAUCAAUACAUAGACAAAUCUCAAAGCCUGGCGGUAUCAGUACAAGAGCUUCUAAACAUAAUAAGAGUACAAAAGUGAUAUAUCAAGGAGAAAUACACCGAUUCAACUUACCUCUGAAUACAACUUAGAGGCUAGUCUAAUACAUAGGAGGGAGAUAAGUAAUACUCUGAACGUCAAAAGCUCACUCUAAGUAUCCGAAUCAGGGCUACUUGAUAUCUUGCAACCCCAAAAAGACAUAAAACACACCACAAAUGGAGAGCCCAAGGAACCAAGUCUCGGCCAAGAAUGACAACACAAGAAUGAAAAGAAAAUCCGAGAAUGAUUCAACAAUGGUGAGAUAAUAACAUGUAUAACCACACCAAAACAGCAACAACAUUACAUUAAUGUGAUGAACAACAAGCUUACAAUAACAACAACCAACGAUUACAAGAGGACAAGACACAACUACUACAAGAUGACAACAAAAGUAAAGGGAUAGAUAGUUAGACAAAGGUGGUGUAAACCCUAGCAACCAAAGAAUACAUUAAACUCUAAGACCCCUAACACCUCACACGAUCACCUAACUCUUACGAUGACACAAGAGCGGAGUCCACCACUCAAGUGCCAAGGUUUCUCAAAAACAAGAAAUCACAAGAGAUUCCACCCUUGAAUUGUUAUCCUAGUUACAAGUUUCGGUUUGCCUCAAGUAGAGAGAGGGCUUUGGUGUUUCAAAUGUCCUACAACAAUAAUCAACUAAAGAACUAAAGACAUAAAACUAGUCUAUUUAUAGACUUAUUACAAACAUAAGUGAAAUGUCUCAAAUGCCCUUAAUGAAAGGAAGACAAAAGGUGCCUAUGGAGUGUAGUGUAUUGCCCAUUCUUGGUGUGUGAUAUGGUGUUCCUUUGCACUUCACUUGCACACUUUGAGUCUUGGGUUCGACGCGCACUCUCAUAAGUUUAUCUCCGUGAUUAUUCUUGUAUCACUAGUCCACUCGAUGGACACAUCAACGGCGAUAACCCAUACUAUGAUUUGUAGGCUGCAGAGGUGUAUUAUGAGUACCAAACGAAUGGUACUCAAUAGGCAACUGCCAACUAAGCUCCAAAGAUAAAGUAGAUAUAUACAACAUAUAAACAGAAUGAAAACUACAACCAAAAGUUCAUGAAUCAUAUAAUAAGUCAAUGAGAAUAACAAGGGACAACUAUCAUAUUUAUGUCCAAGAGUCUAACAUAAGAAGACUAAGGAAGAAUCAAAGGGAACUAUCCUAUUCCGGCUACAUCCAGUAUAUGACAAUGUAAUACUGUAUAUCCCAGGUCAAUAUACAAGUAAAGAGCGAAAGAAAAAUAUAUUGUAAUAUACAAGGAUAAAGAACGACUAUACAAUAUGAACAAUGAAUGAAGGGAUAUCCGAUAGUACCAUGGCUUCAUCUCAAACAUAAACUAAACUGUCAUGUUCUCAUUUUAAGACCUCAUUAUAAUACUAUCAGGAUUCAAUAUUAUAAUACUAUCAGGAUUUAAUACCAACAUACUUAGGAUUUCUAAUCCAUAUGGCUAGACAUAGAAUAAUCGUGCAUAGUAAUGUAAUCAUAAGAUAGCAAAGGUUGAAGACAUACCUCAAUCUCAAUGCCGGAUCCAUGACCAAUCUGUCAUAAGCUAGCCAUAAUAAUGAUCAUAACCAUGAUAAUAACAAUGUCAAUAACAUCGUAAAUAAUCGGCUACUCCGGACAACCAAAUACCUAGCCGAGCCUGUGCGUACCCCCACCACCCCAGACUCAGAAGGUUCAAUCAACAAACAAUAACACAAGAUAUAUUCUUCACCCAUAUCUAUGCAACCGUCCCAUUCCGACUGAUAGACAUAGGUGCAUAGUGGUGAUAAGCGAUACACAUGCAGAAAUGAAUGCAAAAUAUACCAUCAAUAUCACAAUGCAUCAUAACUGUCCUCAUCAGGACCAUCAUCAUCGUCAUCAACCUCCGGCCUUACCGGGUAUCAAUAUCAUCUCAAUAGUAUCCUCCGAACUCGAACCGAGUAUCAAUAUUAUCACAAUAUCCUCCUUCCUUGCCGAGUACCAUUAUCAUCUCAAUAGUAUCCUCCGAACUCGAACCGGAUAUCAAUAUCAUCAUAAUAUCCUCCGGCCUUGCCGGGUAUCAAUAUCAUCUCAAUAGUAUCCUCCGGCCCGAACCGGGUAUCAAUAUCAUCAUAAUAUCCUCCGGCCUUGCCGGGUAUCAAUAUAUCAUCAUAACUUUUGACACAUAAAUAUAGGCAUAUAAUAGGUGCACAGACGCAAGCCGAUAUACUCAUAAUCGUAAAGAUAUCUAUCUUAUCAAUACACCCAAUUACUCAUUAUUAGUUAACCAACAUUUAUUAUUAUUAAACCGCUAGUUCGCUAGUCAUCACAUAACCUCUAAUUAUUAGCCUAAAUAUUAUCCUUCACAUAAUCCUUAUUUACGGGAUAACAACUACCCACUAUUCAUUUAAUAGUCUACAUCUAACAUCUAGUCUAAGUUCAUCAUUAGAUCAAAACCGUCAUUUAUCCACCAUUCAUUAUUAUCAACUAUUCAUCCUAUUUUUGUUAAUCAUUACUAGACAACACAUUACUACUUGUCGCCUAACCAUAUUUUAUUAAAUGAAAUCAUUCAUUAACUAACCAUCAUCAGCUACCAUGUUCCAACUAAGCAAGAUUCAUUAACUAAUACAUUAGCUUCUUAGCCAUCAAGUGCAAUAGUUAGCUAAUAGACAACUAGUUACCACAUAGCUUAACCGUCUAACAAGAAGAAAAAACCAUAAGAUCAUAUUUCGGCUAUAAUCACAUCAUUUAUAAUGGUAAAUAAUCAUGAACGUACCAAACCUAUACAUGCCAUCACCAGUAUUCAAUCAAUGGAAUAAUAAGCAUCAUACCGCAUCUUGCUCCGUCCCAUACCGGAGAGAUGUGUAUUCAAACAUAUACAUAUUCAUAUUCAUAAAUCGCAAUCACAUCAUUCAUAAUGAUAAAUACUUAGAUAUUUAAUCAGUACCAUAAUAACACGGCCCUUGGCCCUUGGCCCAUUAAUUUAUCCGGAAUAAUCACAACAUCAUAAUCAUGGCCUUAGGCCCAUAUACAUAUCCGAAACUCAUAUCAAUAAUCAUAUCUAUAAACCGUAGCAUAUCUAUAAUCAUCUCACAUAUAUGAGGCAUCUCACAUCUAGGAGGCAUAAUAUCAACAAGCAUAUCGCCUCUAUUAGAUAUCUCAUAUCUAUAGGUUAUGCAUCAGGACCAAGAGGAAAAUCGUCUCUAUAAGCUCAAUAAUUAUAACUAAGAGGAAAAUCAUCUCUAUGGACAAAAUAUCAUAACUAAGAGAAAAAUGCAUCUCCAUAGGCAAAAUAUCAUAAUUAAGAGAAAAAUGCAUCUAUAUGGGUCAAAUAUCAUAAUUCAAAGGAAAAUUCAUCUCUAUAGGCAAAAUAUCAUAAUUAAGAGGAAAAUGCAUCGCUAUGGGCAAAAUAUCAUAAUUAAGAGAAAAAUGCAUCUCUAUGGGCCAAAUAUCAUAAUAAAGAGGAAAAUGCAUCUCUAUGGAUCACUAAUCAUAAUCCGACAAAAAUCAUCACAAUUUAUCAAUUCACCAAGUAAUUCUCAUAAAUAAGGCUCAUUAGUCUCAACUAGGUCUACUAUCCGCAACUAAGCCCACAAGGACUAACACAAAUCUUGACCUAAGUAGGCCGGAUGAUCCCACUUCUAAUCCAUAAUUUUCAUAAUUACGCAUACUAUGCUCCAAACUAGGCUAAGGUAUCUAGUUCAGCCUCUAGAUGUCAAGCAAGCCAUAUUAACGCCAAAGACAGUAACUUUGACUAGAAACAAGGGUGCUCAAGUCAACUUUACCAAACUUACGGUUCCAAAACUAUCACACUAGCCCAAUAAGGCUAAAUAUACAAAUCAUGCUUCAAAUGCUAAACCAUAUUUUGAGCAUAGCAUUAUAUCAUAUCCAUGCUACAAAUUUACCCAAACUAGGAAGAAGGCAAUAGGAUUCUACAAGGGUAUUAAGUAAUUCAACAUACAGGUCCAAAACCCUAUCUAAUCUCCAAACUUAUAUGUAUAUUCAAUACUAAGUCAUUCUAUCCAAUAUCAAUCUUAAUAUUCACAUUCACACGCAAUAUAUAUCAUACAUCAUUCAUGAAGAAGAGUAGACAGAAGCCUACCUCAAGGCUAAACCGCAAAAUCACACUUCAAGCACCACAUGCUCGUCUUCACUUCACAAUCCUCAAAAUGCCAUCACACUAUCAAAAAUAUAAUCUACUCAUCAAUAUGAGUCUAACGAUACCCAUAUUGCACUAUUGUGCUUCGGGUCCAAAAAUAACACCAAAAACCCCAAGUGGAUCCCACAUACGGAAAUCGCAUUUCCGAGGUUAACUCAAUGUUCAUCUAUCACCAAGGAAGCAUAUCCCUCAAUUGACGGGUGCAAACAAACAAAAUUUGGGGCUAAAUCAAGCCCUAGGCUAAAUUGGGGUUUUUGGGUCAAGAACAAUGAAAUUCACCAAUAAAGUGAUGAAAUCCUACCUUAAUCCGGAUGAUAAUCAUGAUAAAAGAUGUUUACCAAGCUCCCUAGACAUCCACAAGACUCAAUUUUGAGUUAUCGUACCCAUUCAAGGGUUUAGGUUCUCAAAUGUGAAAGAAAAAUCCCCAAAAUCGCGAUCUUGGGGUCUAUUUAUAGACCCCUCGGCGAAGAGACGCGGUACCUGUGACAGCAAAGUCAAAAACUUGUUUUUGACCCUCAGAACUCAUUCGGAACCCAAAAUAUAUGAUCCAAUAGUGAAAUUUGAGUGUAAACCACAAUUCAAAUCCAUUGGAAUCAUCAAAACUUCCAUACAAGACCGUUUAGGCAAAAAGUGGGGCCCACCUAUAUAGUUUCGAUUUUAUGACUUUUCGACUAAUAGGUCGAAAUGAGCUCGGAUGCAUUGGGACCCAAACCAAAGGUCUAUCUAGACUAAAAUCGAUAUUUCGGAUACGCUGGCACAGUAAAAAUUUUCAUCCGAGAUCUUUUCGUUGAAAUUUUUGAUCGGUGGCCAAUUGGAACCAAUGAAGACUUCUAAACAGGGAAUUGACUCUAAAAAUCAAACGAACUGCCCGGUAACCGAACCCUCAGUCCCAGCAAGUCAUAAAUGACUUGGGGCAGCUAUGGAGAAGCUCGAAUGGUAAAGAUAAGCAUAAAUAUGAAAAAUGACCUGAAGGGUCAUUACAAUAUUCAUUACUAAAAGAACUUUCGUCCCCGAAAGUCAAUGAAUAGAAAGAAUCUCAAAGGCUCGAAGUGAUAAGGUACUGGGCCCGCAUGCUCCAAGAAUGACUUCCCAGGUAACCUCUACAAGGAGAGAACACAUGCAAGGGAUUUCACCACAGGUAUCCCUUUUUCAACCUGCACCCUCACUUUACUUCCCAAACAACCAAACCUCAACUUCAACCGCUAGAUUGCCUCCAACUGAACUGAAAAGACUGAUGCACGCAAAUAUGAAUCACAACACGUUGAUACCAACUCAAGUAUGUUACUCCCAUUGAGUAAAUCAUCCAAAAUUCCUAAAGAAAAUUGAAUCUUGAGGUCAAAACUGAUAUAACCAAUAUGGGGCCCAUGAGCUAUCAUCUGAACACUUAUCAACUAUAAUCCAACCGACGCCAAGAAGACCAAAUAGAUAACCACAGACCCACCCAAAAAGAUUACUAUAUCAUUUCAACUACUAGACCUUCAAAGUUUAUCACACCCACAAAGUAAUUCUUUUUUUUUUAAUAACCGUGUUGUCCAGCCAUCUUGCCCGCAGCUCAAACUAUUUUAACACGGACUACUUGCACCUCCCACCACCAAUAGUGUUAAGUGUUGCUACCAGGUAAUUCUGUCCACUCAAGGAGAAUAGAUAGGAAGAAAUCACUCAGUGUUUUGUCUCUGCUGGGAUUUGAUAUUGAGCCCUCAUGGUGCUCAACCCACUUCAUUGACCACUAGGCCAACACCCUUAGAUGCCACCCACUAACAAAUUCAUUGAGAAGCAAAAUAUAUAGAGUACAAAGCAGAGAAAGAUACCCCAGCUCAUAUAACCUGCCACAAGUCUAAGGUGAAGCCUUUGUGAUGAAACAAGUCCAAAAUGAGUCGGCCUCAAUGUAUAAUCGACCUCAACUAGUACUAAUUUUUGUAACUUAGUUAAAUCAACCAAGAACUCGUCAGCUAACUCUCAAGAAAGAAUUACUAUUCGUUUCAACUACUACCUCUGCACCCAAUGGUGUGGCCUAGCAGUCAAUAAAGUCGGGCGAGCACCAUGAGGUCUCAGGUUCAAAUCCAACAGAUAUAAGCACUACAAGCAUCCUAUGGAAUUAGUCAAGGUGAACGCAAGCAGGCCCAAACACCACAGUUAUCCAAAAAACACUCUACUAGACUAACCAAGAACUUGUCAACUAACUCUCAAGAAAGAAUUACAACUACUAGACCCCUGCACCCAAUAGUGUGGCCUAGUGUCAAUAAAGUCAGUUGAGCACCAUGAGGUCUCAGGUUCAAACCUCAACAGAGAUAAACACUACAAUGUAUCCUAUGGAAUUAGUCCAGGUGAACACAAGCUGGCUCAAACACCAUAGUUAUCCAAAAAACACUCUACUAGACCUCCAAAUUUUUUCACACCCACUAACUAAUCUUUUAGAAGCAAAAUGUAUAGAGUACAAAGCAAAGAAAGAUACCACAACUCAUAUAACCAGCCACAAGUCUAAAUAAAGGUGAAGCCUUUGUGAUGAAACACGUCCAAAUUAGUGGACUCAAUACAUACUCGACCUCAACUCGUACUAAUUAUUGCAACAUUAGUUAAAUCAACCAAGAACUCGUCAAGCUAACUCUCAAGAAAGAAUUACUAUUCAUUUCAACUACUAGACCUCCGCACCCAACGGUGUGGCCUAGUGGUCAAUAAAGUCGGUCGAGCACCAUGAAGUCUCAGGUUCAAAUCUAACAGUGAUAAACACUACAAUGUAUUCUAUGGAAUUAGUCGAGGCGAACGCAAGCUGGCCCAGGCACCACAGUUAUCCAAAAAAAACUCUACUAGACCUCCAAAUUUUUCACACCCUCGUCAGCUAACUCUCAAGAAAGAAUUAUUAUUCAUUUCAACUACUAGACCCCACACCCAACGGUGUGGCCUAGUGGUCAAUAAAGUCGAUCGAGCACCAUGAGGUCUCAGGUUCAAAUCCCAUCAGAGAUAAACACUACACAUAUCCAAUGAAAUUAGUCAAGGUGAACACAAACUAUCCCAGACACCACAGUUAUCCAAAAAACACUCUACUAGACCUCCAAAAUUUUUCACACCCAUUAACUAAUCUUUUAGAAGCAAAAUGUAUAGAGUUCAAAGCAGAGCAAGAUAACACAGCUCACCAUAAGGGUGUAGCCUUUAUGCUGAAAAGAGUCCAAAUCUAAUGAGCCACAACUAUUUUAUUACUAAUUGUUGCAACACUAAUAAAAUGCAAAAGGGUAUUAAAGGGGCUAAUAAAAUUGUACCUUUAAGCUUUUUCAACCCAUCAACAUAUAAUCAACCACAACUAUUUUACUAAUUGUGAGUGUAAAGAAUGGAUCCUGGGCCUAACUCAACCUAGCUUUGCCUAACUCAACCUCAAAAACAUCUUAGGCCUAACUCAACCUCUAAAGCUAGCUCAUGAGGGGAGGAUUGCUCAAAUCCAUAUAAGGAGAUCAAUUACCCAUUCUUUUCCGAUGUGGGAUACUUAACACUCCUUGCACGCUCAAACCUAGUUAACUGGCGCGUGGACAACAUAAUAUGGGAGCCCAACAUCGGUUAACAACGAUUUGGAAUGGACCUGACUCUAAUACCACGUAAAGAAUGGACUUUGGACCUAACUCAACCUCAAAAGUUAAGCUCACGAGGGGAGUAUUGCUCAAGUCCACAUAAGGAGACUAAUUACCCAUCCCUUUUCCGAUGUGGAUAGUUUAACAGUUACAACACUAAUAAAAUGCAAAAGGGGAUUAAAGGGGGCUAAUAAAAAUUGUACCUUUGAGCUUUUUCACCCCAUCAAUGUGUACACAAGAAAGUGAUCUUAAAGUCAUCCAUGUAAAUCCACUUAGGAAAAAAUGGUCUCUUCUAACACUAAUUUGAGCAUGACCCAUAAUUUCUUGACACAAAUAAAGAUUCUUGCUCAAUAAUUCUUGGACCAUAAAGUUUCAUUUUGGAUGUGCUUAAAAUUCUCAUUUUGUCAACCCCAUAAUUUUUUCCCUUUCAGUUUUGUGUGCUGUAAGCAAAUUGUGAAGGUUUGUUAUGGUCAGUGUAGAUGAUGAACAAGAAAAUGACCAGCUAAUUUCAAGAUUUUUUAUUUUUUUUAAUUUGUUUAUUGACUCACACAAAAUUUAAGGAAUAAAAAAAAAUUCAAUCUUGUGAUAUUAAAUUAAAAUCAUAAUAAAUGUAUUAAUUUCAUUUAUAUUUAGAUAUCGAAUAUACAAAAAUAGAUAUGCAAUAAUAUUUGUUUAGUUUGAAAAUUAAUAGAUAAUUUAUUAAAAAAUUAAUUGAUAAUUUAUUAUUUUAUAUUUAUUUUUGUUAUUAAAUAUUAGCUAAUAAUUUUAUUAAAACAUUAAAUUUAUUAUAUUCAAAAGGAUGAUAAUUAUUCUUAUUAUUUAUUGUCUCAACUUUUAAUUAUAAUGUGUCAAGUCAAUAAUCGAUAAGUAAUAAUGAAUAAAAAAAGUAUUAAAAUAUUUUUUGAUAUUGUAGUCUAUAACAUAUUAUGUAAAAAAAUGAAAUUAAAGAGUGGCUUAAAACAGAAAGAUAUAUUCUUUAAAAAUAGAUUAAAAAAAUAAAAUACUAAAGAGACGUUCUUCUUAAAUGAAUAGAAGGUCGUGUCAAAUCAAAAUCAAACAAACACAUGAAAGUUAAUUAGGUCAAUUAUCAGUUGUUCAUUUUUUUUACGUGAACUAUUAACAUCUACUCAACUAGGCGUAUUUUAAUACAUAGAUGUUGAUAGUGCAGGUUAAAAAGGGGAACUAUACUAAUAGUUAGGAUUUGAAACUCGCGAGAAAAUUGUAGUUUCGAUGUGUUUUUGACCAUUAUCUCGUUUUAAUUUGCUGUGAAUUGAUGAUUAUGGAGUGUUUUGUUAGGUUUAUAUUUGAUUAAUUAUCAAGGGAAUGUUAGGUUUUAUAUUCGAUUAAUUAUCAAGGAAGAUUCUUUGAAAACUUUGGUCUAUAAACAAACAUUGACAUAGCAUAUAAUUCAACGUUCCGAGGAACUAGUCGAGGUGCAUGCAAGCUGGCCAGCCUCCGCACCUUAGUUAUCAAAAAGAUUCAAACUUACUGAUGUUCAAAUUUUGAAUAGUUAGGAAGGGAUAUUGAAUGAUGUGUACCAAAUCUAGAAGCUUAAACUGAGAAAGAAGGGAUAUUCUUAUUUGGUUAAUUUGAGUCUGCAAUAGGCGUCUUUCUUAAAAACAACGGAGAAAAGUAAAUAAAGAGUAAAGAAGAUGGGAGUUUUUAACAAGUUUAAACAGAACAAUACAUCUAUGUAUGUCACAAAGUUUUACAGUCAAUAUUUUCUAUUUUGCAUCAUUUCUCUUGCAAGCACGAGAGAAAUGAUGAGAAAUUCUUAAGCCAAUCUGUGAAUCAAAACGACAAUCACAAAUCAACAUAAAAUUCAUACAAAAGCUAGAGGACCUUGUGCUGGUAAACCGAUUUAACAGCUGCAAGAGGAACCUCAGCAAAUUGCGUAUCAGCCAGGAUUAGUUGAUAAGUGAUCGCUGCAAUGACCUUUUGACAUAAUGAAAAGCAAAAAAGAAAAAGGAUUAGAGCAGAAUUUCAGUUAAGGCAACAUGUAGUCAGUCAUGACAAUUGAUAUAACAUGCAGACUAUAGUAUAAAACCAGCAAAUCUUUGCAAGAACACAACUUGUGCAGUUAAGUAGUACUUUUAUCCAUACAAAUCAUCUAUAUGCAUGCCAUCAAGCUCGAUGACCUUGAGGAUGGAAUAUUUGUUAUUUCCAUUUAUCCCAUCUAACACAUAAUAAAUACAAGUGCGGUAAUGCUUUAGAGUAUACCUCCCCAGGUUCUAUGCCUUUCUUGGUUUUCAGAACUAACGUGCAAUACUUCCUGCAAAAGCAAUCAACAUUCAAAAUGCAGAUUCUCAUCCAUCUGAAAAUUUUGUGAAAUCCAGCAGGCUAUAAUAUUUCUUAUUGCAAAAAUGGUAGCAACAAUGCAGGAUUGUACUAAAAGAGUGUGUAAGUAACAUAUAAACUACAUGCUUAUACCCGUUCAAUAAACAUCUUUCAAGGAACUGUGACUCUUUUCCUGUGUUUGCAGCAUAAUUCAUGUCCGGAAGUUCUUUUGAAUAAAUGUUCAAUACGUCCUGCCACAGCAUAGACAAUAGAGUGAGGACUAUACAAGGCAACAGCUUAAUGUAAGCAUUAGUAUGGCCAAUUUGUCCACUUUUACUUGUCCCGUUUUACUUCAAUAAAGUCAAUCUGACUAAACUUGGAAGCUCACUAUUCGAAAACUAUACAAAAAUGCUAUAAGUUGCAAUCGUUCUCGUGUUAAUAUGAUGAAAUAUAUAUGCUCUUGAAAAGCGAAACCUGACAAAUAAUUCUAAUGUAAACUUCCCAGCUUCCACAACAACCUCGCAAUUUCCAUAAAAUUACAAACAAAAAAUGAAAAUUAGAGAUCUCAUGAGAAAAUUACUCCCUCUAUCUACUUUUACUUGUUGCGUUUUGCUUCAAUAAAGUCAAUCUGACUAAACUUCCAAAAUCACUAUUCGAAAACUAUACAAAAAAUGCUAUAAAUUGCAAUGGUACUCGUAAUAAUAUGAUGAAACAAAAAAUAAUACAACUUCAGUCAAAAUUCAUGCAGUUUGAAUCUCAAAAAAAGAAACGUGACAAGUAAAAAUAAACCGAGAGAGCAUUUGAACCGUUACCGGAACAAUUUUGGUUCUUUCUUACCGAUUGAUAUGGGAGAAGAAGAUGAUUUCUUGGCGCCAUUGUUACUUUCCAAGUUUUUUUUUUGGGGGGGGAGAAAGGGAGAGAAAUGAGAGGUUUUGUAUUUAUAGGUGAGGAUUUUAAGCGGGAAGAGGGAUAGGGAUUUUUGAAUUUUCGAUUUAGGGAUAAUUAUACUUUUGAUUCCUUAAUUAUUGUUCCCUCCGUUCAUUAAUAUUUGUUUAUUAUUGAAAGACCCUUAAACUAAAAUCAAGCGUAAAAAAAAAAAAA
rnacentral:lncRNA from 1 species